rnacentral:lncRNA from 1 species
CCCCAUUCAAAUCAAUUAUAUUAAAGCAGCAACAAUUAAUUUGAAUCGGAGGAGCGAGUACAUAACCAUUUUGAAGAUAAAUACGAUGUGUAUUAAUUCAUAGUAUGUAGCUGUGUACCAAAGCGCAGUACGCGCGUCAACCGGUCAGAACAUAACCCGUACAUGGCACGUCAUCAGCUAAUUAAAAUAGUGACCAUUGCCCGCAAAAAAUAAAAAUAAAAUAAUUAAAAUAGUGACCAAGGCGGGAACACGAGUACACGACUGCCGAGGGCCGGUCCAGCCAGCAGACGCGCGCGCGCAGCUCAGCAGAAGAGGUACCCAACGGCGGCGGCGACGAGCGUCCCGAAGGCGAAGGCGGGGGUGGUCGCGGCGGCUCCGGUGGCCGGGCUGGGAGCUGGCGCCUCAGCAGCCAUGGCCAUGCCCACCACGGACGAGGCCACGACGGCGGCGGCGAGGAUCCUGAGCUUGAGGGUGGCCGCCAUUUCUGCUAGGUAGCUAGCUUCUCGGUCGACCGAUACUAAUUGGGAAUUAGUCGAAGAUGUAUAAGUACUGAGCAAAGAACAGGAAGCUGGCGAGCUGAAUGGUUUGAGAUGGGAAGGAAGAGCGGAGCACGUCGGGUAUAUAUAGCGCCCAUUGGUACUUGGUAGGGCUUUGGCGUGCUGUGUUGUGGAAGGCUAGCCAUGAAAAUGAGGAUCAUUGGCUGGAGCUGCUGCUUUCGGUCUGCCCACCUUUCACAGGCUGUGCGAGUGGGCAGUUGUUUAGGCUUUGCUGUGAUCGCCGAAUGGGUGAUUGAGGGUGCACAAUGAUUAGUCGUUGUGGUUUGGUGCUUCUGAUUUGUUAUUUUGUUGGGUUGAGCACUGGCGCACUGCCAUGUGCAACUGCCAACUGGUACCUAUAGUUAUCAUCGAUGUAUUUUUUAACUUAGUUAUCAUCGAUGGUCUAUAUUUCAGCUCUCUGUUAAAAAAGAAGAAGAAUGACCCCCUGCCUUGCAUAUGGGCAAUGCAUCCACGCACUUUAUUAAUUAUUCACAAAGACCUUAUAAAGUAAUACAUCAGUAAUUCUGAAGCCAUCAUCUCAUCAAGGAGUUGUGCCAUCGCCUAGCAUGUCCAUCCAACACUCAAGUAAGAGGGGAAAUUAUCCAUGACAUAUUUUUUUUAAAAAACUUAAAUUUGAAAAAAAAUGUGUGCGUAGUGUUGAAAAUGUGGGUGCAACUUUUACAAAUGUUGAUAGCAUUUGAAAAAAAAGUUCCAAGACGUAUUUGGAAAAACUGUUCAACACAUAUUCAAACAACAAUGUUCAAACAAAUGUGAUUGAAAAAUUGUUAAUCAUGAAUUUAAAAAAUGUAAAAUGCGUAUGAAUUCUAAUGUAUAUUUUUAUCGUAUAUUUACCAAAUGUUAAACGUGUAUAGAAAAAUAUUCCUGAUGACGUAGGGGCUCACGCAGUCGCUUCUCCCCUAAAAAUUUAGGGUUCCUCCCGCGUGUGUUACUUUUUCUCCAAUUGCAACGCAUGGUCUCCUAUGCUAGUUACACAAAUAUAAUCUUUACUGUUAUGCUAAAUUUGAUAUUUGUUAGCAGAAUCCUAAAUUCAAUUUUUCGGAACGGAUUUCCUUCCAAGUCAAUUUUUAAAACUACAACUCUAUUUAAGUGUACAAUUAGGUGAAAUGUCAAAUAUAAAAACAUAAGAUCUAUAAGCAGCGACAGAUAAAAACAUCUUUUUAAAUUACAAACUUGAUUUUUUCAAAUUUCUUGAAAAUUAUGAUUUUGAAAAAUGUUCUAAACAUUUAUUAAAAAUGCAAAUAAGAUUUUAAAUUCAAAAAAUUAAACAUGUGACAUUUUGUUACCAAAUUAGUGUUUUUAUAAUUCAAAAAAUUAUUUGGAAAUGGGAACAAACUUUGGAAAACAAUUUUUUUAAAAUAAUUAAACAUUUUUGAAAAUUGAAUAUCUUUCCGAACAUUUAUUGGAAAUGUGGUUUUUGAAAAUUGUGAACAAAUUUUGUAAAAUGAAUUUUUUUUUCUGAAAAUCUUUUUUCUUAUUUGCAAACAAUUUUGAAGUUACAAUUUUUUAAAAUGUGAGCGCAAUUUUUUUUUAAAUAAGAUUUUUGUAAAACAUGAGCAGUUUUUUAAUGUCCCCAAAAAUUAUAUGAUAAUAUGUGUGUUUUUAAACAAGAUUUUUUUAAUUUAUGAGUUUUGAGAAAAGAAGGAAAGGGUAAAAGAAACACAUAAAACAAAAAAAGAGAAAAACAAUAGAAAAAUGAAACAACAAAACCAAAAAAACAAAGCUUCUAGAAUGUUCCUAAAACCAGUGAAAACCAAACAUGUAAACUUAAAAUACCCUGCACUACGCUGGAUACACAGGGGCCGGCUCAUCCCCGAGCACUCCUACACAAAUGUCCGGCUAUUUGCCGCGACCCGCACCAAAUAGGGACCCCCUCCUCCUUACUCAUUUUGGGGCUAUAGUUACGCAUGUCAUCUCGCAUACAACAGUUGGGUAAGCCUCCCAUGCCACAUUGCAGCCCAAGUCAUAAGUAGUUGUACACAAAAACACAUGUGCUUUUGUCUUAUUGUUCCUUGAUGAACAUCGGGAUAAUCCAUGGCUAAAGCAUGCUCUUAGGGCCUGUUCGGAUCUUCUCCAGCUCUCAAAUUCGUGAACUCAAUGCACUAAACUGCUCCAAAUGUGGGAGUUCCACAAAUUCGAGAAGCCGAGCCCUCCCCUCGUGUAAAAAGGAGAAGACAGAAAUGUUGGGAAACGUUGCAAGGAAAACAAAAAAAAUUCUAUGCACACGCAAGAUCUAUAAAGGAGAUGCAUAGCAACGAGAGGGGAGAGUGUAUCUACGUACCCUCGUAGACCGUAAGCGGAAGCGUAUGAGAACGCGGUUGAUGUAGUCGAACUUUUUCACGUUCCAACCGAUCGAGCACCGAACGUACGACACCUCCGAGUUCAGCACACAUUCAGCUCGAUUACGUCCUCCGCCUUCUUGAUCCAGCAAUACGGCGAGGUAGUGGAUGAGUUCCGGCAGCACGACGGCAUGNNNNNNNNNNNNNNNNNNNNNNNNNNNNNNNNNNNNNNNNNNNNNNNNNNNNNNNNNNNNNNNNNNNNNNNNNNNNNNNNNNNNNNNNNNNNNNNNNNNNNNNNNNNNNNNNNNNNNNNNNNNNNNNNNNNNNNNNNNNNNNNNNNNNNNNNNNNNNNNNNNNNNNNNNNNNNNNNNNNNNNNNNNNNNNNNNNNNNNNNNNNNNNNNNNNNNNNNNNNNNNNNNNNNNNNNNNNNNNNNNNNNNNNNNNNNNNNNNNNNNNNNNNNNNNNNNNNNNNNNNNNNNNNNNNNNNNNNNNNNNNNNNNNNNNNNNNNNNNNNNNNNNNNNNNNNNNNNNNNNNNNNNNNNNNNNNNGGGCACCGCACAUGGCUAAGCAAUUGUCCACAUAUAUAUAGGUGGGAGGGAAUGGGGAGAGGCCAAGGGGCACCCCAGGUAGGUCUGAAUCCUACUUGGGCUCCUGCCCUUGGCCGCGCCCCCCACUGCCAUGAUUUUUUGAGGGUCAAACCCCCACUGCCAUGAUUGUUGGAGGGAGGAAGGAAAGGGGGGAGAGGAAGGAAGGGGGAGGCCGAAUUCCCCCCACCUUUCCUUUCCCACUAGGGCGGCUGCCAUUGGGGGUGCGCCAGCCCCUUGUGGGCUGGUGUGCUCCCCUCUUAUGGCCCAAUAGGCCCACUAACCUCCCGGGGGUGUCCGGUACUCCGUUGAUCACCCGGUACACUUCGAAACACUUCGGGUGUCCGAAUACCAUCGUCCUAUAUAUCAAUCUUUACCUCUCGACCAUUUAGAGACUCUCGUCAUGCCCCUGAUCACAUCAGUGACUUCGAACAACAUUCGGUCACCAUAUCAUAUAACUCAUAUAACACUAUAUUGUCAACGAACGUUAAGCGUGCGGACCCUGCGGGUUCGAGAACUAUGUAGAAAUGACAGAGAAACCUCUCCGGUCAAUAACCAAUUGUGGAACCUGUAUGCCCAUAUUGGCUCCUACAUAUUCUACGGAGAUCUUUAUCGGUUGAACCGCUAUGACAACAUACGUAAUUCCCUUUGUCCAUCGGUAUGUUACUUGCCCGAGAUUCGAUCGUGGUAUCUUCAUACCUAGUUCAAUAUCGUUACCGGCAAGUCUCUUUACUCGUUCUGUAAUACAUCAUCUUGCAACUAACUCAUUAGUCACUUUGCUUGCAAGGCUUCUUAUGAUGUGUAUUAUCGAGAGGGCCCAAAGACACCUCUCCGAUACUCGGAGUGACAAAUCCUAAUCUCGAUCUAUGCCAACUCAACAAACACCUUUGGAGAUACCUGUAGAGCAUCUUUAUGAUCACCCAGUUACAUUGUGACGUUUGAUAGCACACAAGGUAUUCCUUCAGUAUUCGGGAGUUGCAUAAUCUCAUAGUCGGAGGAAUAUGUAUUUCACAUGAAGAAAGCAAUAGCAAUAAACUGAACGAUCAAUAUUCGAUGCUAACAGAUGGGUCUUGUCCAUCACAUCAUUCUCCUAAUGAUGUGAUCCCGUUAUCAAAUGGCAAAGCAUGUCUAUGGUUAGGAAACCUUAACCAUCUUUGAUCAACGAGCUAGUCUAGUAGAGGCUUACUGGGGACACGGUAUUUGUUUAUGUAUUCACACAUGUACUUAAGUUUCUGAUCAAUACAAUUCUGGCAUGAAUAAUAAACCUUUAUCAUGAAUAAGAAAAUAUAAAAUAACAACUUUAUUAUUGCCUAUAGGGCAUAUUUCCUUUAGUCUCUCACUUGCACUAGAGUCAAUAAUCUAGAUUACAUUGUGAUCAAUCUAACACCCAUGGAGUCUUGGUGCUGAUCAUGUUUUGCUCACGGAAGAGGCUUAGUCAAUGGGUAUUCCACAUUCAGAUCCGCAUGUACUUUGCAAAUUUCUAUGUCUCCAUCCUUGACCUAUUCACGAAUGGAGUUGAAGCAUCUCUUGAUGUGUUUGGUUCUCUUGUGAAACCUAGAUUCCUUCGCCAAGGCAAUUGCUCCAGUGUUGUCACAAAAGAUUUUCAUUGGACCCGAUGCACUAUGUAUUACACCUAGAUCAGAUAUGAACUUCUUCAUCCAGACUCCUUCAUGUGCUGCUUUCGAAGCAGCUCUAUACUCUGCUUCACACGUAGAUCCCGCCAUGACGCUCUGCUUGGAACUGCACCAACUGACAGCUCCACCAUUCAAUAUAAACACGUAUCCGGUUUGUGACCUAGAGUGAUCCGGAUUAGUGUCGAAGCUUGCGUAGACUUAACCAUUUACGACGAGCUCUUUGUCACCUCCAUAAACGAGAAACAUAUCCUUGGUCCUUUUCAGGUACUUCAGGAUGUUCUUGACCGCUUUCCAGUGAUCCACUCAUAGAUUACUUUGGUACCUCCCUGCCAAACUUAUGGCAAGGCACACAUCAGGUCUGGUACACAUCAUAACAUACAUGAUAGAACCUAUGGUUGAGGCAUAGGGAAUGACUUUCAUUUUCUCUCUAUCUUUUGCAGUGGUCGGGCUUUGAGUCUGACUUAACUUCACACCUUGUAACACAGGCAAGAACCCUUUCUUUGACUGAUCCAUUUUGAACUUCUUCAAAACCUUAUCAAGGUAUGUGCUUUGUGAAAGUCCUAUUAAGCGUCUCGAUCUAUCUCUAUAGAUCUUGAUGCCCAAUAUAUAAGCAGCUUCACCGAGGUCUUUCAUUGAAAAAAUAUCAUUCAAGUAUCCGUUUAUGCUAUCUAGAAAUUCUAUAUCAUUUCCAAUCAAUAAUAUGUUAUCCACAUAUAAUAUCAGAAAUGCUAUAGAGCUCCCACUCACUUUUUUGUAAAUACAGGCUUCACCGUAAGUCUUUAUAAAACCAUAUGCUUUGAUCACUUCAUCAAAGCAUAUAUUCCAACUCGAAGAUGCUUGCACCAGUCCAUAGAUGGAUCGGUGGAGCUUGCACACUUUGUUAGCACCUUUAGGAUCGACAAAACCUUCUGGUUGCAUCACAUACAACUCUUCUUUAUGAUAUCCAUUGAGGAAUGCUGUUUUGACGACCAUUUGCCAGAUUUCAUAAUUAUAAAAUAGGACAAUUGCUAACAUGAUUCGUACAGACUUAAGCAUCGCUACGGGUGAGAAAGUCUCAUCAUAGUCACUCCUUGAACUUGUGGAAAACCUUUUGCGACAAGUCAAGCUUUGUAGAUAGUAACAUUACCAUCAUCGUCAGUCUUCUUCUUGAAGAUCCAUUUAUUCUCAAUGGCUUGCCGAUCAUCGGGCAAGUCCACCAAAGUCCACACUUUGUUCUCAUACAUGGAUCCUAUCUCAGAUUUCAUGGCCUCAAGCCAUUUAUUGGAAUCUGGGCUCAUCAUAGCUUCUUCAUAGUUCGUUGGUUCGCCUUGGUCUAGUAACAUGACUUCCAGGACAGGAUUACCAUACUACCCUGGUGCGGAUCAUUCUCUGGUUGACCUACGAGGUUCAGUAGCAACUUGAUCUGAAGUUUCAUGAUCAUUAUCAUUUGCUUCCUCUCUAAUUGGUGUAGGCAUCAUGGGAAUAGUUUUCUGUGAUGUGCUACUCUCCAAUUCGAGAGAAGGUACAAUUACCUCAUCAAGGUCUACUUUCUUCCCACUCACUUCUUUCGAGAGAAACUCAUUCUCUAGAAAGGUUCCAUUCUUGGCAACAAAGAUCUUGCUUCAGAUCUGUGGUAGAAGGUGUACCCAAUUGUUUCCUUAGGGUAUCCUAUGAAGACGCACUUCUCUGAUUUGGGUUCGAGCUUAUCACGCUGAAGCCUUUUGAUAUAAGUGUCGCAACCCCAAACUUUAAGAAAUGAUAGCUUAGGUUUCUUGACAAACCACAGUUCAUAUGGUGUCGUCUUAACAGAUUUAGACGGUGCCCUAUUUAACGUGAAUGCGGUUGUCUCUAAUGCAUAACCCCAAAACGAUAGUGGUAAAUCGAUAAGAGACAUCAUAGAUCACAUCAUAUCUAAUAAAGUAUGGUUAUGACGUUCGGACACACCAUUACGCUGUGGUGUUUCAGGUGGUGUGAGUUGUGAAACUAUUCCACAUUGUUUUAAAUGAAGGCCAAACUCGUAAGGACCGGCUGUUAAAGAAUCAAGAAGGAGAAACAGACAAAUUUGAUUCAUCAAGUUUGCUGUUUUAACCUUCUUCAAGGACCGGCUGUAGUCAAAUUUGAUUCAACUAAAGUAGGAGAAACAGACACCCGCCAGCCACCUUUAUGCAAAACUACUUGCAUGUUUGUCGGUGGAACCGGUCUCAUGUGUGUGGACAUGUAAAGUUGGUCCGGGCUGAUUCAUCCCACAAUACUGAAGGAAAUAUGCCCUAGAGGCAAUAACAAAGUUGUUAUUUAUAUUUCCUUAUAUCAUGAUAAAUGUUUAUUAUUCAUGCUAGAAUUGUAUUAACCGGAAACUUAGUACAUGUGUGAAUACAUAGACAAAACAGAGUGUCCCUAGUAUGCCUCUACUUGACUAGCUCAUUGAUCAAAGAUGGUUAUGUUUCCUGACCAUAGACAUGUGUUGUUAUUUGAUGAACGGGAUCACAUCAUUAGAGAAUGAUGUGAUGGACAAGACCCAUUCGUUAGCUUAGCAUAAUGAUUGUUUAGUUUUAUUGCUAUUGCUUUCUUCAUAACUUAUACAUGUUUCUUUGACUAUGAGAUUAUGCAACUCCCGAAUACCGGAAGAACACAUUGUGUGCUAUCGAACAUCACAAUGUAACUGGGUGAUUAUAAAGAUGCUCUACAGGUGUCUCCGAAGGUGUUUGUUGGGUUGGCAUAGAUCAAGAUUAGGAUUUGUCACUCCGUGUAUCGGAGAGGUAUCUCUGGGCCCUCUCGGUAAUGCACAUCACUAUAAGCCUGGCAAGAAAUGUGACUAAUGAGUUAGUUGCGAGAUGAUGAAUUACAGAAUGAGUAAAGAGACUUGCCGGUAACGAGAUUGAACUAGGUAUGAUGAUACCCACGAUCGAAUCUCGGUCAAGUAACAUACCGAUGACAAAGGGAACAACGUAUCUUGUUAUGCGGUUUGACCGAUAAAGAUCUUCAUAGAAUAUGUAGGAGCCAAUAUGAGCAUCCAGGUUCCGCUAUUGGUUAUUGACCAGAGAUGUGUCCCAUUCAUGUCUACAUAGCUCUCGAACCCGUAGGGUCCGCAUGCUUAACGUUCGAUGACGAUUUGUAUUAUGAGUUAUGUGAUUUGAUGACCAAAGAUUGUUCGGAGUCCCAGAUGAGAUCACAGACAUGACGAGGAGUCUCAAAAUGGUCGAGAGGUAAAGAUUGAUAUAUUGGAAGGUUAUAUACGGACAUCGGAAUGGUUCCGAUAAGGUUUGGGGAUUUAUUGGAGUACCGGGAGGCCAUCGAAACCCCCCAAGAAUUUAAUGGGCCAUAUUGGGCUUUAGUAGAGAGAGGGAAGAAGGGUCACGAGGUGGCACACGCCUCCCCCUUGCCCAAACCGAAUUGGACAAGGGGUGGGGGUGCGGCCCCCCUUUCCUUCUUCCUCUCCCUCCUUUCCCCUUUCUCCUUUCCGUAAGAUGGAAGGAGGGGGGCCGAAUCCUACUAGGAAGGGAGUCCUAGUAGGACUCCCCCCUCAUGGCGCCCCCCUUGGGCCGGCCUCCCCCUCCCCCUCCUUUAUAUAUGUGGGCAGGGAGGCACCCCAAAGCAUAACAGACAAUCUCUUAGCCGUGUGCGGUGCCCCCCCUCCAUUGUUUAGCACCUCGGUCAUAUCGUCGUAGUGCUUAGGCGAAGCCCUACUCCGGUAACUUCAUCAUCACCGUCACCACGCCGUCAUGCCGAGAAACUCUCCCUCAUCCUGAACUGAAUCAAGAGCUCGAGGGACGUCAUCGUGUUGAACAUGUGCUGAACACGGAGGUGCCGUACGUUCUGUACUUGGAUCGGUUGGAUCGUGAAGAUGUUCGACUACAUAAACCGCGUUACUAAAAGCUUUCGCUUUCGGUCUACGAGGGUAUGUGGACACACUCUCCCGUCUCGUUUCUAUGCAUCUCCUAGAUAGAUCUUGCGUGAUCGUAGGAAAAUUUUGAAAUACCGCGUUCCCAACAGUGGCAUCCGAGCCAGGUCUAUGCGUAGAUGUUAUAUGCACGAGUAGAACACAAAGAGUUGUGGGCGAUAAUAGUCAUACUUCUUACCACCAACAAAUAUAGGGGAUCACAACAGUUUUCGAGGGUAGAGUAUUCAACCCAAAUUUAUAGAUUCGACACAAGGGGAGCCAAAGAAUAUUUGAAGGUAUUAGCAGCUGAGUUGUCAAUUCAACCACACCCGAAGAUUAAUUAUUUGCAGCAAAGUGAUCAGUAGCAAAGCAGUUUGAUAGUUUUGAUAGUAGUGACAGCAGCAACGAUAAUAGUAACAGUGAUAGCAGUAAUUUGUAGCAAGUGUAAAAGUAAUGAUAGCAAUAGUAACGCAACAAUAUCAAUAAGGAUAAAUUCGUAGGCAUUGGAUCGGUGAUUUGUUGGAUGAUAUUCAUCAUGUGACAGUUAUAACCUAGGGCGAUAUGGCACUAGCUCCAGUUCAUCAAUAUAAUGUAGGCAUGUAUUCCGUAAAUAGGCAUACAUGCUUUAUUAAAAGAACUUGCAUGACAUCUUUUGUCCUACCCUCCCGUGGCAGCGGGGUCCAUAUUGGAAACUAAGGGAUAUUAAGGCCUCCUUUUAAUAGAGAAUCGGAACAAAGCAUUAACACAUAGUGAAUACAUGAACUCCUCAAACUACGGUCGUCACUGGGAGUGGGCCCGGUUGUUGUCACUCUGGGGUUGCCGGAUUAUGACAUGUAGUAGGUGAUUAUAACUUGCAAGGUCGGAUGUAAAACAUGGAAUAAUGAUGAAUUCAUAAACAGUUCAGAUUUGAGUUCAUGGCACCCGGGCCCAAAGUGACAAGCAUUAAGCAUAGCAAAGUCAUAGCAACAUCAAUCUAAGAACAUAGUGGAUACUAGGGAUCGGGCCCUAACAAAACUAACUCGAUUACAUGAUGAAUCUCAUCCAACUCCUCACCGACCAGCGAGCCUAUGAAGGAAUUACUCACUCCUGGUGGGAAGCAUCAUGGAAUUGGCAAUGGAGAUUGGUUGGUGAUGAUGAAGAACAAAGAUCCCCCUCUCCGGAGCCCCAAACGGACUCCAGAUCUGCCCUCUUGAGGAAGAACAGUGCUUGGCGGCGGCUCUGUCUCGUGAAACGCGAUAAUUCUUUCUCCCUGAUUUUUUCUGGAAUAGUGUGAAUUUAUAGUAUCAGGGGGUCGUCAGCGGGGCCACCAGGUGGGUACAACCCACUAACCUAGGCGCGCCAGGAGAGGGGGCGCGCCCUAGUGGGUUGUGCCCAACCAGGGGCCCCUCUCUAGUGGGUCUUGGCUCCAGAAAUUCUUUUUAUUGAUAUAAAAAUCCUCGCAAAGUUUUGUUCCAUUCUGAGAGGUUGGAGAUGUAUCAACUCCCCCAAGCCUAAACCUUUGCUUGUCCUCAAGCAAUUCAGUCGAUAAACUGAAAGUGAGAAAGAAAAACUUUUAUGAACUCUUUUGCUCUUGUUUGCAUGAAUAAGCUUAAACAACACCCAGGUUUUCAGCCAACAUUAUAAGUAACUAUGUCAACAAUAACAUUUAAAGAUUAUAAUGAUUCAUAUCAAUGACAUAAUCAGCUAGCGAGCAAUAAUAAAAUAUCUCAAACAACAACAUGUCAAAACAACCAUGAUAUAACAUGACAAUAAUGGUAUCUCGCUACCCCUUUCUGAGACCGCAAAACAUAAAUGCAGAGCACCUCCAAAGUUCAAGCAGUGACACAUUGUAAUUCAUGGUAGAAAAUAUCCAGUCAUGAUGCACCCAACAUUAGCUAUACACAAUGCAUAAAUCAUGACAGCUGUGCUCUACUCAAUUUUUGGCGCUUGUUUAUAGAAGGUGAUGACACAACAUAAAAGUAAAUAGAAAGUCCCUUUGUAGAGGGAAGCAGUGAUUUGUAGACGUGCCAAAGCUCAUUUUUUAAAAUAGAGAUACAUGAUUAUUUUGAGACAUGCCCCCUUCUCAUUCACUUCAUGACUAUCAGUUAUGAACAUCUUCCAUGCUAAGCACGCUAGUGGUGGUUCCCAAGCGGUAAAAGUAAAGGUUUACUCCCCCUCCACCAUCAAUCACACUCCACGGCUUGUCCGGAUCAACAGGUGCCGUCCAUACCAACAUCAGUCCCGGGGGAGUUUUGUUUAAUUAUUUGCAUUUUUGAGUUCGGGACUGGGAAUCCCUAUUACUGCCCAUUUCCUCGUGCGAUGGCGAGUGAAUAAACACUCGACUUGAGGAUAACAUGCUUAGCACGGAAGAUAUCGACCACCUCAUGUCAUUCCACGAACGAUCCAAGCACACAAAAAGGAUAAUUUAUUUAGAAGUUUUUAGAGGUGGCACAUGCAAAUUUACCUAGGAAGGCAGUGUAAUACCGUAUAUAGGUAGGUAUGGUGGACUCAUCUGGAAUAACUUUGGAUGCAGGUUUAUGAUGUACAAACAGAAUUCCCACUUAGUACAGGCGAAGGCUAGCAAUUAAGAUUGAGAAGCGGCCAGCUAGAGAGCAACAACGGUCAUAACCAGGCAUUAUGCAUAAGUAACAUUGGACACUAGCAUGACUAGGAUAUGAACACCAUGAGCAUAAAUAUUAUAGAGGCUAUGUUGGUUUUGAUUCAACUACAUGCAUGAACUUGUACCAAGUCAAGCCACUCGAACAUUCAGAGGAGGAUACCAUAUCAUCAUACUACAUCACAAUCAUUUUAACGCUAUGUUGAUAUCCAAGAUAAAUCAUUAUCAACUCCCAGCUACUUAUGCAUGGCAUGAGAAACUAUAAUCUCUAAUUGUCAUUGCAAACAUGUUUAAUCAUAAUGGGCUGAAUCAUGGGCACUAGGUUAAACAUAUUUACACAACAAGAACAAGUCGAGUUCAUACCAGUUUCUCUUUGCCACGGCCAGCUCAUCGAAUAUCGUCAUCAUUGCCUUUCACUUGCAUGAUCGAAUGAUAUGAAAAUAAUAAUAGUGCAAGAGUGCCAUGGACUAAGUUGGAAUCUGCAAAACAUUUUAUUCAACAGGGGAAGACAAGGUAAAAUGGGAUAUUAUUAGUUCAACAGUUAUUCAUAUGAGAGCUGUCGGUGUCAAAGCCGGCGGAUCUCGGGUAGGGGGUCCCGAACUGUGCGUCUAGGCGGAUGGUAACAGGAGACAAGGGACACGAUGUUUUUACCCAGGUUCGGGCCCUUUGGAUGGAUGUAAAACCCUACUCCUGCUUGAUUGAUAUUGAUGAUAUGGGUAGUACAAGAGUAGAUCUACCACGAGAUCAAGGAGGCUAAACCCUAGAAGCUAGCCUAUGGUAUGGUUGUUCUGUUGGUCCUACGGACUAAACCCCUCUGGUUUAUAUAGACACCGGAGAGGGCUAGGGUUACACAGAGUCAGUUACAAUGGUAGGAGAUCUAUAUAUCCGUAUCGCCAAGCUUGCCUUCCACGCCAAGGAAAGUCCCUUCCGGACACGGGAAGAAGUCUUCAAUCUUGUAUCUUCAUAGUCCAGGAGUCCGGCUGAAGGUAUAGUCCGGCUAUCCGAACACCCCCUAAUCCAGGACUCCCUCAGUAGCCCAUGAACCAGGCUUCAAUGACGACGAGUCCGGCACGCAGAUUGUCUUCGGCAUUGCAAGGCGGGUUCCUCUUCCAAGUACUUCAUAGAAGAUUUUGAACACCAGGAUAGUGUCCGGCUCUGCAAAAUAAGUUUCCACAUAUUGCCAUAGAGAGAAUAAUAUUUACACAAAUCUAAUCUGCUGACGUAUUCCGUAGCGUGACAUCACACCACAGCCAAGCCUUUAUUCGAAUCAUUUUUACUGUCCUGCCUUAGUGCGUUUAGCGAGGCGGUUUCCUUGGCACAUCUUGUCAAAGCAGAGAUCGUCUCCCCUUUAUUUACGGGAUUCUCAUCAAUACGGAUGUGGGUAACCCAAUCGUGCCCGUUGGCAUGUUUUCUCGAUUAAAGGCGAGUCCCAAAUGGUUACGGGGAAGGCCCUUGGUAUUCAACCUCUUAUAAAGAGACCAAGGCCUUACUCCUUUCUUUCAAUCUCAAACGAGUUCGCCUUUCGCCUCGAGUUCCAACACCCAAGGCUCUAGAUUUCAGGCACUUCGGAUCUUCGACAAUGUCCAGUUCCGACCUUCGAGGCCGAUGGAUGUCCUCCUCCGUUACAGAGGAGGACGUGCUAAAGCUGAGAGAGGCCAGGUUCUUGACCGGCGAAAUCUCGCAUAGGCUACCUGCUCAAGGGCAGGUCAUUCCUACUCCCAAGCCUGGUGAGAGUGUGGUGUUCAUGUCUCACUUCCGUCGGGGGCUAGGCUUCCAGAUGGAUCCCUUCGUGAGGGGGCUCAUGUUUUAUUAUGGGCUGGAAUUUCACGACUUAGCUCCGGAGUCCAUCCUCCAUAUUUCCUCAUUCAUCGUCGUGUGUGAAGCCUUCCUCCGUGUUACUCCUCACUUUGGACUAUGGCUCAAGACCUUCAAAGUAGAGCCGAAGAUGAUCGAGGGACGGCACGCGGAGUGCGGAGGCGCUGUUAUAAGCAGGAAUGCCGAUGCUCCAUGGCCCGAGGGCUCUUUUCAAGAGGAGCUCGGCUUAUGGCAACGAGAGUGGUUCUAUAUCACUGCUCCCAGGGGCACCAAGUGGGUGGCGCCACCUGCCUUUCGGUCGGGUCCCCCACCACAGCUGGCGUCAUGGGUCAAUAAAGGACUAGACUGGGGGCCAUCCAAGGACGUGCCCUUGUUGCAGGGCCGCAUCAAGGAUCUCUUAGAAAGAGACCUCAGUCUGGUCGAAGUGACGCAUGUCAUGCUGAUCCAUCGAAUCCUUCCCGGCAAACGUCGCCCCCUUCGCCUGUGGGAGUUCAAUCCGGAGGGACCGCGAGCUCUCCAACAUUUCAUGGGCGCAACGCCCGUGGAGAUGUAUUAAUUGUUAUUUGGAUCACAAGCAAUGUGUCCGGACUUGACCGAGGACGCAGGUCUGAGCUGCAACCGCCCGGAUACUCAAGUAAGUAGCCUUGUGCCCGGACUCGCUAUCCGUAUAUUUUGUCAUAAACUUGCCCCUAAAAGAGUUGUCCUUUAAACAUGAGUGGAUGGCGAAAGCAAAGUUGAUUAGGUGUCCGGCUCCCCUCCCCGAGACCAUGCUGGAUCCUAUGCUAGUCAGGAUGUUGAAGAUUGUGCCUUUGGAGGAAAGCAAGGGAGGCGACAAGGAAACUACGGCCUCCUCGAAGGAGGCUGUUCGGAAGGGAGGAACCUAAAAUUCCUCUCUUCAGGGUAAGAAGAGGACCGCCUCUGAAGACCCAGAGACCAUGGCCUCAAAGCGGGGGGAAAAUCCUCGUUAGAGGGUCCUGCGCAGGGGGAUACCUCGGACGAAUUAUGCCCUCAAGGGGAUCAGCCCUCCACCGAGCCGUAAGUAGAGAGAGGUUUUCUUUUUAAGAGAUGAGAGAAAUCCUUGCUUUAUACCUGAGGAAAGUAACCGAAAAUUCACCUUGUAGCUCGGACCUCAGCCCUUCUCAGCAGAGCUCGUCUUCGGGGGACCUUCUUCCGGAGAUGAUGGAGAGCGGAACACCUCCCCCUGCCGUACCGCCUAGCGAGGCGGGCGACCCUGAGGUAUCGUCGCAGAGGGUUUCUCGGAAUCCGGCAGGGCCGGAAGGUAGUCGUAUGGGCCCCCAAAGUCCUCCGCGCCCGGCCUUCGAAAAGGGCCAUCAGACAAGUCCGGCACCGUCUGGUGCACGGUCGGAGGAGCUGAAGGAUCUGCUAGGGCGAGCGUCUAUCUCAGAGGAGCACCAUGCAUUGAUGGGUACGGUGAUUGAGAGGAUUUCAUCCGCGGAGAGCGGAUUGCACGAGGCCGUCAGGAGUUUACUGACAAGUUUUGAGGUACGUGAAAUAAUGUACCCUUUCUUGACAGUUGCGCAUAAAGAAGAUGCGCCCUGUGUAGAUAGUAGCCCCUGAGACUCUGUGCGUUGUCAAAAGUGAUGGCGCGCAGAGGAUCAUAAUCCCAGGUCUAAUAUGCCGCCUUCAUACGUAGGUGGCGAAGUGUCCGGAGGCCAGCCGGACUGAUGAAUUUGCCGAGCUAAAGCGGCAACUUGACGUGGGAGAUGCCGACAUCGCACUUGUCAACAAGCGGCUUGAUGAGGCACAAGGUAUUUAAUUCCUCCGGUGGCACCUGGUAAAAGGAGCUUUAUGCCAGUAUCUUACAAUGUGUGUGCUUUGAUGCAGAUGGUGCUGCUGCCAUGGAGAAUCUUCGGGCGGAACUUGCCCGAGCCAAGGAGCAAGCCAGAAAAAGUGAUGCGGCUGCCGGAAAGGCAAUUGAAGAGCUGAAAGCCGAACAGGCCGCUCACUGCCGAAGCAAGAAGGAAAUGGCCGAGAUGGCCGUGAAGUUGAAGAGCGCUGCUGACCGUUGCAAGCUUCUUGAAAGAGAAGACCGGGUGGAACAAACGGACCUGGAGAAGGCCAUUGCCGAUGCCAAGGAUGCUCGCUCUGUGAUGAGAGCUAUGAAGGAGGAGCUGCGUCAGGCCGGAGAGAUCGCGGCUGGAAAGCCCUUUAUGCUGCGGAGGAAGUUUUGCGAUCCUAAACAUGCUCCGUUAGACCGGAUGUGGAGUGCGGUGGAUACCUAUCUGGAUUUGGCAGCAAGUGCUGCAGAUGCGACCAAACACUUUCGAGAUCAAGAAGAUCGCAAAGUGGAAAAGCUCUUCUGGUCGCAGUUCCACAAUCCAGAGCGUCCACUGUCAGUAGCCGUUCGUCUGGCCGAAUGGGCCGAGCUGAAUAGGUUGUCCGGACUCGCCAUGAAGUGUGUCAUGAGUCAUCUGUGGCCGGGGAGGCCAGAGCCGAAAAGUUAUUUCAACUUGGUGCAAUAGUUCCUUGGUGCGGUACCGCAUAUUAAUGCGAUGAAGAGGUCAGCAUGCAUAGAGGGUGCACGGAUGGAUCUUGCCCGUGUCAAGACAUACUGGGCGGAGAUGGAGACCACCGCUGUUGCAUCCCGAGAUUCGGACGAAAGCCGAGUACCUGCUGAGCACUAUUUUCAGGAAGUUCUUCAAGGCACUCGUGUAAUAGAGACGCAGUGCUCGAAGGAUGCUAUGUUCGAAUAGCAUAUGUUAUUGUAAAACAAUGUUUUGAUAAAUUGUAGAAGCUUUUUAUACUUGUGCCUUCAAGUAUUAUAACACCUCCUGUGCGGCCGUUUAAGAUAUAUGUAUAUAUAAUCUGAAAGAUGGCAGUCGUCGGCUUCAGCCCCCACGCAAAUAAUGCGGGGGUGUUCACAGAAGGCGCAUUUUCACACUUAAUCCAACGUCUUGGUCCUACAAAGGAGGUGAUAGCGCAGCGAACUAGGCAAUCAGACUAUGAUUCUUUAUCACUUUCACUUAGCCAUAGGAGUUUGACAGUGAGGCUACUUAUAUAGCCCCUGGUGGCGUCUGCGCUUGCCCGAACUUGGGGCGCGUAUGUGCCUGGCCGGGAAAUGGCCCUUCGUUAAUGUGGAGGAAUCCUAAAGAUUCCGAUAAGUCAUCGAGUGGUUGACCAGUCUCAUGCUAUAUCAUGACAGUCAGUUUUCGGCUUUCUCUACUGAGGUGCUCGCCUGGCCGAACUGGGGCACAAUCGCAGUAGUUCUCCUGGUGCCGCCUUAGCCGAUAGAGCGGAACAUAAGGCAGCAAAACACAGGAGCCGGGCAACCCAACAUUUGACCAAAGACAUGAUUCGGAGCUGAUGCAUAUAAGGCCAAACUCGCGACGCCGAACACUCCCUAAGCUAUUCGGUCUUUAUGAGGGCGGGCGGGACAACGCCCUUAGUUAUAAGCCCCUAGUGUCUAGGUACGCGCAAAAUUCUGACAUGGCCACAUGCCAAGACGCCAGCCUCCUCCUUGGUUAUACCAAAAAACCAGGGGAUGUGUAUCAACAAGAGACAGUAAAAAAGGUUUACGCGGGGUCUUAAUCUGAAAAGAAUCCUUGGAACGGGUCCCUGCUGCAUGUCUGCGCCUGUGUCUUCGUUGUGCCGUAUCCUGGACGGGCGCAGCACGGUGUUCAUCUUUAAAAGUGAAGAACUUAGUUGAAGAAGGGUCGUGCCGAACAGAAGUUAUACAAAAUAAACAAAGUAUAAAUUGAAAUGGGUAAGAUUGAGCUUGAUUGUCUCUUGUUUUAUAUGCGCGGAGCCCCUAGUACAGGGGUAUACGGCUAUUAAGCCUUUAUCAAUUAUAUGUUUGUGCCGAACUCGUCUAGCCGCAUCCGUGGUCUUAAUGACCUGUUUAGAUGUUUUGGCUGGUGAAGCCGUUUUAUUGUGGGGCUAUUAAGACAGCCGCACAGUCUUCCGCGCAGGAGGCGCACUCAAUGUUUUCCCUUUAAUGAGAUGAUGCCUCGUGGACCGGGCAUCUUAAGCGUAAGAGACGCAUAAUGCGGUAUUGCGUUAAAGCGGGUGAAAGCCUCGCAUCCCAGUAGUGCUUGAUAGCUGCUUGAGAAUGGGGCGAUGUGGAAGGUUAGCCUUUCACGAUGGAAGUUGUCGGGGGAGCCGAACAUAACUUCUAGCCGGAGAGAGCCCGUGCAGUGGGCAACUGGGCCUGGCGUUACUCCUUGAAAGGAAGUGUUGCCAUGGCGAAUUCUUGUUGGGUCUAUCCCCAUGUGGCAGGUUGUGUCUUAAUAUAACAGGUUUAGACCACUGCCGCCAUCCAUCAGGACAUUUGUAAAGUGAAGUCCGCCGAUUAUUGGAUCUAAUACCAAGGCAGACUAGCCUGCGUUUCGUAUACUUCUAGAGUAAUCCUGAUGGUCGAAGGUGAUCGGUUUUAACAACCAGUGGCGAGACUCCUUUGGGAUAGGCCAUAUGGCGUGCAUCUCUAUGGGCGCCGCUCAUUUUGUCACGUGAAGUAAGUUUACUGUUUUGACUCCUUGUGGAAAAUUCUUUUGUUUCCUGGUGCUCUGCUUGUGGGGUUCGUCAUCGUCCUCACUUGGUGUGUCAAGCCCCUUGUGUUCGGUGUUGAUUUUGCCGGAUUGCUUGAAGACCCAACAAUCUCUGUGGGUAUGGUUUGUAGGCUUCCCGGGAGUACUAUGUAUUUGACAUAUCCUGUCCAAGAUUUUGUUUAGGUUGGAUAGCUCGUCCCUGUUAUCCUGGAGGGGCGGCUUUUUCUGACUCUGCCGUGAGCUUUUGAAUCCGGCAUUGACUGCCGUGCUCUUUGGGCUGCUUCCCUUAUUCCGACGCUGGUCCUUGCUGCGUUGGGGUUUUCCAUUUCCAUCUCUAACUUCGGAUGUACUUGGGUCGCUGGUGCUACAUCUUGCCAACCAGCUGUCCUCUCCUGUGCAAAAGCGGGUCAUGAGGCUUGUUAAUGCGGCCAUUGUUCUUGGCUUUUCUUGGCCGAGGUGUCUGGCGAGCCAUUCGUCUCGAACGUUAUGUUUAAAAGCUGCUAAGGCUUCGGCGUCUGGACAGUCGACUAUCUGAUUCUUUUUAGUAAGGAAUCUGUUCCAGAAUUUCUGGGCUGACUCUCCGGGCUGUUGAGUUAUGUGACUUAGAUCAUCUGCAUCCGGAGGGCGGACAUAGGUCCCUUGAAAAUUUGCCCGGAAAGCAUCCUCGAGCUCUUCCCAACUUCCAAUGGUGUUUUCAGGAAGGCUCUUGAGCCAGUGCCGAGCUAGCCCUUUAAGCUUAAGGGGUAAGUAUUUUAUGGCGUGGAGGUCAUCUCCUCUGGCCAUGUGUAUGUGGAGGAUAUAAUCCUCAAUCCAGACUCCAGGGUCUGUUGUUCCGUCGUAUGCCUCUAUGUUUAUGGGCUUGAAUCCCGCUGGAAAUUCAUGGUCUAGAACCUCAUCGGUGAAACAUAGGGGGUGUGCGACUCAUCCUGCUCUAUGGAUGGGUCUGUGUGGCUGUUGUUUCUGUCCAGGCGGGACUUGGGGCGGCGCUUACGUCGCCGCUUUGAUUGCUUUUCAAGUGAAUGAUCUCUCGUUGCAUCCCUGUGUUCCUCGUCGUCGCUUCCUUUAGGUGUAUCCACCAUGUAUACGUCAUGAGAUGAGGUGGCUGUCCAGUGCCCUAUAGGCGUUGGUUCAUGUUUGUCUCCUACAUCGUCGUCCAUACCGUCGAUGUCUUCAGAGUCGAAGUUGAGCACGUCGGUUAAAUCAUCGACAGUGGCUACAAAGUGGGUGGUGGGUGGGCUUUGAAUUUCUUCAUCGUUCGUACCUUGCUGUACGCAGUCCGGCCAGGGCUCUCCUGAUAAAGAGAGAGACUUUAGUGAUUUCAGAAUAUCGCCGAAGGGCGAGUGUUGAAAGAUGUCCGCGGUGGUGAACUCCAUGAUCGGCGCCCAAUCAGAUUCGAUUGGCAGGGGCGCAGAGGGCUUGGAGUCCGGAGAGGAGUCCGGCUCCUUGGAGUCACAGGCUUCGCAAAGGACAGGGCUGGUGUUCGGCUCGAUCGCCAUAGAGAUUGCAGCCCCCGAGGCGGUGUCCAACCACCCAUCCUAGAUCGGCGCAGUUGGUUCCGAAUUAAGGGUCGGAGGCGAUGCGGGUGCGGCCUCCAGGGCACUGUUCGGCGGCAGAGCUAGAUCAUGCCCAUCAUGACAGCGCGGCGUGCUUGGCUGUGGCUCGAAUCCGUCGAAGAUCAAGUCCCGGUGGAUGUCAGCCACGUAGUUUAAGCUUCCAAAUCUGACCUGAUGGCUUGGGGCGUAGCUUUCGAUCUGCUCCAGAUGGCCGCCGAAGACGAAGAUCUGUCCGGGGAGAAAAGACUCACCUUGGACAGCGUCGUUGUUGAUGAUUGGAGGAGCCAUCGGGCCUAAAAGUGACGACACAGAGGAACUCUCAAUGAAAGCACCAAUGUCGGUGUCAAAACCGGCAGAUCUCGGGUAGGGGGUCCCGAACUGUGCGUCUAGGCGGAUGGUAACAGGAGACAAGGGACAUGAUGUUUUUACCCAGGUUCGGGCCCUCUCGAUGGAGGUAAAACCCUACUCCUGUUUGAUUGAUAUUGAUGAUAUGGGUAGUACAAGAGUAGAUCUACCACGAGAUCAAGGAGGCUAAACCCUUGAAGCUAGCCUAUGGUAUGGUUGUUCUGUUGGUCCUACGGACUAAACCCCUCCGGUUUAUAUAGACACCGGAGAGGGCUAGGGUUACACAGAGUCGGUUACAAUGGUAGGAGAUCUAUAUAUCCGUAUCGCCAAGCUUGCCUUCCACGCCAAGGAAAUUCCCUUCCGGACACGGGACGAAGUCUUCAAUCUUGUAUCUUCAUAGUCCAGGAGUCCGGCUGAAGGUAUAGUCCGGCUAUCCGAAUACCCCCUAAUCCAGGACUCCCUCAAGAGCCACUCAACAUUUUCAUCGUGGUCUUCUCCUCGGUAAGACUCGAAUGAAAAUAAAAGAAAUUCAGAGAAACACACUGAAAUAUUUUUGGAGUUUUGGGUUUUCUUGAACAAGCAAAUAAAAACCAAAAAACCAAAAAAACUAUUUACACGGGAAAGCUCCCAACAAGCAAAAGAAGAACAAGGAAAUCUUUUUGGGUUUUCUUUUUAGUACUGCUACUAAGCAUGCAUAGAAAGUAAAUUACUACAACUAUUUUUUUUGGUUUUUCUAAAGUUUUUCAAACACACAAGAAGAAAGCAAGAAAAUAAAUCUAAGCAUGGGUGAUACAAUGAAAAAGUGUGAACACCGACAAAUAGAAUGAUAUGUGAACAUGAAUAUAAUGUCGUUGAGAAACACGUACUCCCCCAACACUACAAAAAAAGACACAUCCGUGACAUUUUGGGCCGAACGAAAUUUUUUUCUAUCAUACAUAUGACACUUCUAUGACGAUAAUUGUGACAAAACCCGGUAUCAUCAUAGGUGUGGUGGGCUCCUACUUCUAUGACAAAAAAUCAUGACAGAAAAUGGGCUUUUCGUCCUGGGCGGGCCGGAGACGCAGCUGCAUGACAUUCUUUGGGCCGUCCACGAUGGAAAAAACCAUGGUAGAAGCGAGGGCGAGGAAAAUUUCGGGGAGUUCCCGGUUACGGUGGGAGGUCAGGGGCCGAGCGACGCACGUUUCUCUCAUACCCGUACGUGCGUGUGUGCAAGGCAUUGGCUCUAAUUGAACCCGAGAGAGGCGUUGGGAUCUAACUGAACCCGAGCGAUUGCAUUGCAGGCUACGCGUUACUGAACCCGAGCUAUCGAUUGAUGGCUGUUAACUGAACCCGAUCGAGCGAUUCCUUCGCUACUGCUGCUAACUGAAGCCGAUCGAUGGUGCCUCUGGGAUGAACAGUGAGCGUUGCGGGGUGUUUUAGAUGAACAGUGAGCGGUGGCAUUGCCUCUGGAUGAACAGGACCCCGUGGUGUGGUGGAGGGCUGGAUGAAUAGUAGACGGUGGAGGGGUGCCCGUGGAGGGGUGGUUGAACGGGACCCCGUGGUGUGGAGGGCUGGAUGAACANNNNNNNNNNNNNNNNNNNNNNNNNNNNNNNNNNNNNNNNNNNNNNNNNNNNNNNNNNNNNNNNNNNNNNNNNNNNNNNNNNNNNNNNNNNNNNNNNNNNNNNNNNNNNNNNNNNNNNNNNNNNNNNNNNNNNNNNNNNNNNNNNNNNNNNNNNNNNNNNNNNNNNNNNNNNNNNNNNNNNNNNNNNNNNNNNNNNNNNNNNNNNNNNNNNNNNNNNNNNNNNNNNNNNNNNNNNNNNNNNNNNNAGUAGACGGUGGAGGGGUGCCCGUGGAGGGGUGGUUGAACGGGACCCCGUGGUGUGGAGGGAUGGAUGAACAGUAGACGGUGGAGGGGUGGUUGAACAGGACCCCGUGGUGUGGAGGGCUGGAUGAAUAGUAGACGGUGGAGGGGUGGUUGAACAGUAGCUGGUGGAGUAGCGCGUGAUGGAGGCUGGAUGAACAGGAGCCCGUGGAGGCUGGAUGAACAGGAGCCCGUGGAGGCUGGAGGAGGUCGACGGUGGAGAUGAACAGUAUCCCGUGGAGUCCCAUUUUGCGGUACUCCACACCCCUCCCGAUCAAUAGGACCCCCGUUUCGACCGUAGCGCUCCAACACAAGUCCGUUUCCUCCGUUUUGCGGUACGCCACACCCCCGAUCAACGGGACCCCCGUUUCGACCGUAGGAGGUCCGUUUCCUCCGUUUUGCGGUACGCCAGACCCCUCCCGAUGAAUAGGAUCCCGUUUCAAACAUGGCCGGUCAAACACAAGGCCGUUUCCUCCAUUCUGCGGUAUGCCAGACCCCUCCCGAUGAACAGGAUCCCGUUUCGAACAUGGCCGGUCGAACACAAGGCCCUUUCCUCCGUUCUGCGGUACGCCAGGCCUCGUUUCCAUCGCCUGUUCCGCCCAAGCCCUCCCGAUGAACACGACCAUGCAUUUCAUUCCGACCCAGCCGGUUGGCUCCCAUGCGUUCCGUUGCCUCCUGAUGAACACGACGCAUUCCGUUGCCUCCCCAUGAACACGACACAUUCCGUUGCCUCCCCAUGAACACGACUACGACGCAGUUUCUCCGUUCCGACCCAGCCAUGUCAACGAGCCCUCGCCGUACGUAUGUGCGAGUAGGCGUUCGAGACCUCGCCCGUAUGUACACACACAUGGUUGUAUUUUCUUUCUUGCACCCUGGCCGCUGUACGUACGUGUACAUGCUACGUGCGCGCCUCUACAUCGACCAGUAUAUAUGUACGUACACGUUCGUGAUCAGAAUGACAAUGCUACGUACGCUUCGACCAGGUGGGUCCCGACUGUCAGACACUUCCUUGCGUGCGAAGAUGUAGCUGGUGGGUCCCAGCAGUCAGGGGGCGAAUCGUUUUGUUUUUUUGCCCAGACGCACUUCCUUGCGUGCGAAGGUGUAGCUGGUGGGUCCCAGCAGUCAGGGGGGAAACGUUUUUUUGCGAAAUAUGGUGGCCCGUCCGGUGGGUCCCCGCUGUCAGGUGGAGGAAUAAUUAUUUUGCGCAUAAUAAGGAGGCACUUCCUUGCUGUGGCCGUGGACCUAGCUGUCAGCAUCUCCACGCACAGUACUCUUCUGAUGGAAGUCGGUCGUUGACCAGAUUGACCACGCCGCGCCGAGAGCACCACAACGGUGGACGACGGCGAGGCCUAGGAAGGGGACGACACGGAGGCAGGGAAGACUCGGCAGUUGUUUCCCACGCGGAGGGGAGUACGACUGUAUGAGGGUUUACUGGUUCGUCUGCCGUCGCCGGAGAAUAACAGCAGGUGUGGGUGAGUAGAGGGAUGGCUAGGCUAGCGAUGGGAGUACGGUGGGGCAGUGAGGCCUGCGCGGCAGCACAGCUGGCCGCGGGGAGGAGGGAGCAGGUAGUCCCGCCGGCGCUUGUUUGAGCGGCUGGAGCAGGAAGAGCAGAUAUUGAAGAAGCACGACGGCCAUUGGAUGGACAUCCAACAGUCAGUGCUUGUGCGUCAACCUUUUUUUAGGAAAGUCUCAAAUCUAUGGAAAAUAGCAUACAACCCAUCUGCCAUUAUUUCUAAUAAUUUACAGCCCAUUUCCUAAUUCUUAAGGUUUUUUUGGAGCCCAUAUUCUUUAUGUUAGCAUUAUAGCCCAUAUUGUGGCCACGGUUAAAAACUUAUACGAAAUUUUGCAUAUUUCGGUGCGGUCCGAACUGUUUUUAAUCCUGAAAUUUUGACUCACAUCCAAACUGAUUUUAAAAAUAAAUGUAUAUCGAUAUAAAAUCCAACAAAUUCUCCAUGCAUAAAAAUUAAUGUAAUUUAAAAUCUUGAAAUGAAAAAAAGAUUUUUGAAACUAAUUGCCGGUUUGAUGUGAUUUAAAAAUGUACAACCCAUUUCUCAUUACUGAUGGGCCAUUUUCUCGGCCAGCCGAAUGAAAGCUCUCCUCGUCUUGAAAGAUUUGCAGCCUAACAUGCCUGAUAAAGUGACUUACUUGGCAAAUCACAAAAAAACUAGGCUGUGGCCAUGGAGCCAGCUGUCAGCCUCUCCACGUACAGUACUCUUCCAAUGGAAGUUGUUCCUUGACCACGUUAACCACGCUGCGCGGAGAGCACCACGGCGGUGGACGACGGCGAGGCCUAGGAAGGGGACGACGCGCAGCCGGGGAAGAUGCGACAGUGGAAGCCCGUGCGGAGAGGAGUAUGAGGGUUCACUGGUUCGGCUGCGGUGUGAGGCUACCGUCGCUGCAGGGCCUGGCCAGCGGUGGGAAUUGUAGGGGGCGGUGAGGCCUCUGCGGUAGCACAGCCGGCCACGGGAGGCAGGAGCAUGCGGCACGACCGGCCCUGCUUUGGGCGGCUGGAGCAAGAAGACCAGAGGUUGAAGAAGCACUAUGGCCGUUGGAUGGACAUCGUACGGUCACUGGAGCUAGAAUCGUUCAUAUUGACUAAGUUGACAAAGCCCUUCGUCCCCGUCAACUUAGUAGGCCCACAAGUCAACCUCCCACCAAGGUGGGUCCCAGCUAGCCGGGGGAGUAUUCAUUUUUUGUGUGUAAUAAGGAGGCACUUCCGAUAGGUCCGAGCUGACAGCGGGGGGACCGUUUUUUUUGCGAAAUACGGUGGCCCGUCCGUGGGUCCCAACAGUCAGGGGAAACGAUUUUUUUCGCAAAAUACUAGUGGCCCGUCUGGUGGGUCCCCGCUGUCAGGUGGAGGAAUAAUUAUUUUUCGCGUAAUAAGGAGGCACUUCCUUGCGGCUGCCGUGGACCCAACUGUCAGCCUCUCCACAUACAGUACCCUUCCGAUGGAAGUCGGUCAUUGACCACAAUGACCAUGCCACGCCGAGAGCACCACGGUGGUGGACGACGGCGAGGCCUAGGAAGGGGACGACGCGGAGCCGGGCAAGAUGCGGCAGUGGAUGCCCACCCGGAGAGGAGUACGAGCAUUCACUGGUUCGGCUACGGUGUGAGGCUGCCGUCGCCGCAGAAUAACAGGAUGUGUGGGUGAGUGGAGGGAUGGCCUGGCCAGUGGUGGGAGUAGUAUGGGGGCGGUGAGGCCUCUGCGGUAGCACAACCGGCCACGGGAGGCAGGAGCAGGCGGCACGACCGUCGCUGCUUUGGGCGGCUGGAGCAAGAAGACCAGAGGUUGAAGAAGCACUAUGGCCGUUGGAUGGACAACAUACGGUCACUGGAGUAUUGACUAAGUUGACAAAGCCCUCCGUCCCCGUCAACUUAGUAGGCUCACAAGUCAGCCCAACAAUAUGGUGGGUCCCAGCUAGCAGGGGGUAUUCAUUUUUUUGGGCGUAAUAAGGAGGCACUUCCUUGCGUGCAAAGAUAUAGCUGGUGGGUCCGACCUGUCAGUGGGGGGAACGUUUUUUCGCGAAAUACAGAGGCCCUUCCUGUGGGUCCUAGAUGUCAGGUGGAGGAAUCAUUAUUUUGCGCGUAAUAAGGAGGCAUUUCCUUGCGUGCGGCCAUGGACCCAGCUGUCAGCCUCUCCACGUAUAGUCCACUUCCGAUGGAUGUUGUUCAUUGGCCACGUUGACCAGGCCGCGCCGAGAGCACCAGGGUGGUGGAUGACGGCGAGGCCUAGGAAGGGAACGACAUGGAGACAGGGAAUACUCGACAGUUGUUUCUCACGCGGAGGAGUAUACGAGGGUUUACUGGUUUGUCUGCCGUCGCCGAAGAAUAACAACAUGUGUUGGUGAGUUGAGGGAUGGCUAGGCCAGUGAUGGGAGUACGAUGGGGCCGUGAGGCCUGCGUGGCAGCAUAGCCGGCCGCGGGAGGAGGGAGCAGGCAGUCCUGCGGGCGCUUGUUUGAGCGGCUGGAGCAUGAAGAGCAGAGAUUGAAGAACCACGACAACCGUUGGAUGGACAUCCAACAGUCACUACUCUCGUGUGUUGACUAAGUUGACAGGGCAUUGCGUGUGCGUCAACCUUUUUUAUGAAAGCAUACACGUCAACCUAUAGUAGGCGCACAAGUCAGCCUCAAAUCUAUGGAAAACAGCAUGCAGCCCAUCUACCAUUAUUUCUAAUAAUGUACAACCCAUUUGCUAAUUCUUAAGAAUUUUUUUGGAGCCCAUCUUCUUUUUGUUAGCAUUACACCCCAUAUUGUGGCCACAGUUAAAAAGUAUACGAAAUUUUGCAUAUUUCGAUGCGGUCAACUGUUUUUAAUCCAGAAAUAUCGGUUCACAUUUAAACUAUUUUGAAAAAUAAUUUAUAUAAAUAUAAAAUCCAAAUAAUUGUCCACGCAUAAAAAUCAAUGGAAUUUAAGAUCUUGUAAUGAAAAAAAAUUGAAACUAAUUCCCGGUUUGAUGUGUUUUAAAAAUGUACAACCCAUUUCUGGGCAAACCGAAUGAAACUCUCCUCGUCUUGAAAGAUUUGCAGCCCAGCAGGGCCGAUAAAGCAAGUAGGCCUUGUUUGGGUAUUUCUUUAAAAAAAAUAGAACUAGGCUAGCCAUUUUCAGCAAGAAAAAAACACAGGGCUCAUGAUGUGGUAAACAUAAAUAAUACCCUGGCUAGACGGGCCAUAGCCCCCGCACAGCCCCGUUGUUACCCUGAUCCGUCGCUAAAACUAGUAUAAAUAACAACUGCUUGUUCCUAAAAAAACUGCGUGACUUGCUGGGUCCCUAGUGUCAGCCGCUCGUAGUGUAAUUCUCUCUAUUAUUGACUACGUUGACAAUGCCGUGAGCCCCAGAUGUCCAAACAUUAGGAGGAACCAUAUUUUUGGGCUUGUACCAUAGAGGCACUUGCUUGUGUACUGCCAUGAAGCUGGUGGGUCCCUACUAUCAUCCUCUCCACGUACAGUCAUCUCCUUGUUCCUCUCGGUUGUUGACGACGUUGACAACGCAAGAGGGCGGCGCACCGCGCACGGCGAGCGAACCAAGGCCGCAAGGCGGAGGACGACGAGGAGGCCUUAGACGGAACGAGGCGCUGCAAAUCCACUUUGCCGCCUCCAAUAACGUCGCUGAAUACGAGGCGCUCAUUCACGGGCUUCGGCUUGCCAAAGAACUCGGCAUUCGCCGGAUCCUGUGUUAUGGUGACUCCGACCUGGUGGUCCAGCAGUCGUCCGGCGACUGGGAUGCCAAAGAUGCAAACAUGGCGAGCUACCGCUUCCUCGUGCAGCAACUCGGUGGAUAUUUCGAGGGGUGCGAGUUCCUCCAUGUGCCAAGAAACGAUAACGACCAAGCAGACACCCUAGCACGAAUCGGCUCCACUCGUCAAGCAAUACCGUCUGGUGUCGCCCUCCAACGCCUCCUCAAGCCGUCUGUCAAGCCUUCACCAGAAUCAGACUCCAUCUUUGUGCCAGCUCCUCCCGAAGAAGUCGGAUCCGACUCAAGAGCCCCAUCAGACGUCACGAGAAUUUUGGCGGGCGGCUCCAGGAUCGCGGUAGUCGAAACUGGCCCGGGGACUUCAGAACCUGGCCCGGGUACUACGGUGGCCAGCCCGGAGACUUCAGGACUCGGCCCGGGGACUGCGCCAAUCAGCCCGGGGACUUCAUCGAUCCAGCAAGCGGCUGCCGACUCCAACCCGCUGCCUCCCGGCCCAGUCGCCCUUGUCCAAGUCGCAGUUCUGAUAGUCGAAGAAAUAACAGCACCCUCAUGGGCCCAGCCCAUCCUCAAAUUCCUGGUGAGCAAAGAGCUGCCAACGGACGAGAUCCUAGCUCGGCAAGUGCAACGCCGAGCAGCAGCCUAUACCAUAGUCAACAGAGAGCUGGUUAGGCGCAGUGUCACUGGCGUCUACCAGCGCUGUGUGGAGCCAGAGCAAGGCCAGGCAAUUCUCAAAGACAUCCAUCAAGGCGAGUGCGGCCACCAUGCAGCUUCAAGAGCACUCGUCGCAAAAGCCUUCCGACACGGUUUCUUCUGGCCGACUGCCUUGGAAGAAGCCAAGGACUUGGUUCAAAAAUGCAAAGGAUGCCAGAAGUUCCGCUCCAAGCCGCAUCAGCCGGCUUCUGCACUCAAGACUAUUCCCAUUGCCUGGCCCUUUGCUGUCUGGGGCUUGGACAUGGUGGGACCAUUCAAGAUGGCAUGAGGCGGCCUGACUCAUUUACUUGUCGUGGUGGACAAGUUCACCAAGUGGAUAGAAGCAAAGCCGAUCAAGAAGUUGAACGGUCUGACUGCCGUGACUUUCAUCUUCGACAUUACAAUCCGGUACGACAUACCACACAGCAUCAUCACCGACAACGGCACAAAUUUUGCCAAAGGUGCCUUGGCCCGUUUCUGCGCGACGCAGGGCAUCCGACUGGACUUAGCGUCCGUUGCCCAUCCGCAGUCAAACGGCCAAGUAGAGCGAGCAAAUGGCCUCAUCCUAUCCGGCAUCAAGCCUCGACUUGUCGAGCCUCUGGAAUGCUCGGCUGGCUACUGGCUCGAUGAGUUGCCAGCCGUCCUCUGGAGUCUGCGCACAACGCCAAACAAGUCAACCGGCUUCACGCCUUUCUUCCUCGUCUACGGCGCCGAAGCCAUCGUCCCAACGGACAUAGAGUUCGACUCCCCACGAGUCACCAUGUACACCAAGGAGGAAGCAUAAGAAGCACGUCAAGACGGUGUCGACCUGCUGGAAGAGGGCCGACUGUUGGCACUCAGCUGGUCCAGCAUCUACCAGCAGAGCCUGCGCCGAGACUACAACCGGAAGGUCAAACCAAGAUCUUUCCAAGAAGGAGACCUUGUGCUCCUGCUGAUCCAGCGAACAGCCGACCAGCACAAGCUCUCAUCACCUUGGGAAGGCCCUUUCAUCAUCAGCAAAGUGUUGGGAAACGAAUCCUACUACCUGAUCGACGCUCAGAAGCCCCGAGCAUGCAAGAGGGACGACUCCGGCAAAGAGAUGAAGCGGCCAUGGAAUGCAAAUCUCCUCCGGAGAUUUUACAGUUAAUGCAGUAUGUACCACACUACCUUUUGUAUUAAAGUACCAAGACUCCGGGCCCCCCGAGAAGAGCUCGGGGACUGCCCUCUUUUAUCUAUAUGAUAAGAAUUAUGCCUACAAGUAUGUUACUCUUUGACAUGCCGCUUGGCACCGGGGUCGACUAGUCUGCCCGGGGACUCGCCGUCUUGCACUAUGAAAUGCUUCCUGCAGCCGGACAAGUAGUGUCACUACUAGGAAAAGGGCUAUAGAUGGAAUUGACACUAAUGGCGCACCAGACAUGUGAUGCGCCAUUACUAUAUACUAAUGGCGCACCAUGUGUUGGUGCGCCAUUAGUGUGCAAAUACUAAUGGCACACCACGUCCAUAGUGUGCCAUUAGUAAUUUUUUUUAAUUUUUUCAAAACUACUAAUGGCGCACCGUGGGAGUGGUGCGCCAUUAGUAAGAAAGAAUUUUUUUUCAAAACUACUAAUGGCGCACUGUGGGAGUGGUGCGCCAUUACUAGUUGAACUAGUAAUGGAGCACCAUGCCACGGUGCGCCAUUAGUAACUUGGCCCAAACAUUCGCCCGAAUGCACCCCCCCUCGGUGGACCGCCUUUUCAGUUUCAAAAAAUAAAUAAAAGAAAAUGAUAGAAAUGUCAAAAAAAUAAAAGAAAAUAAAAUUCCCAUGUGAUAUGUGGUCUAGUUGUUAGCAAAAUUUACAUACAUGAAUUUUCGACUUUUUUGCAAAUUCUCUCGAGAAUUUGUAAAAAUGGGCAUAACUUUUGCGUACGAACUCAGAUUAAAAAGUUUUUUAUAUGAAAAAUCAUCUACUCGAAAAGUUACAUCCGAAUUUAACUGGGGGGGGAUCCCCGUUAAAAUUUUUCAAAAUCCUCAAAAACCUAACAGAAAAAAAGAUACGGGGCUUUUAAGAUCUGGAGAGGCAAAAAAAAUCAGAAAAAUUCAAACUUACUAAUGGCGCACCUACCCAUGGUGCGCCAUUAGUAUCUUCCCGCCUUAAAAAUUCAAAAUAAGUCAAAAAAAUAAAAAAGUUACUAAUGGCGCACCUGCCCAUGGUGCGCCAUUAGUAUCUUCCCGCCUUCAAAAUUCAAAAUAAAUCAAAAAAUAAAAAAAAGUUAGUAAUGGUGCACCUGCCCACGGUGCGCCAUUACUAUGUCGUAUAUAUGACUGGGCGCACCUCCUCCACUCCACCUCUCCUCCACUCCAUCUCCUCCUCUCCUCCACUCCAUCUCCUCCUCUCCUCCACUCCAUCUUCCCUUCUCUCCUCCACCAUACUACCCUCCUCCUCUCCGACGACCUCCUCCUCCUCCUCUCCGGCGACCUCCUCCUCCNNNNNNNNNNNNNNNNNNNNNNNNNNNNNNNNNNNNNNNNNNNNNNNNNNNNNNNNNNNNNNNNNNNNNNNNNNNNNNNNNNNNNNNNNNNNNNNNNNNNNNNNNNNNNNNNNNNNNNNNNNNNNNNNNNNNNNNNNNNNNNNNNNNNNNNNNNNNNNNNNNNNNNNNNNNNNNNNNNNNNNNNNNNNNNNNNNNNNNNNNNNNNNNNNNNNNNNNNNNNNNNNNNNNNNNNNNNNNNNNNNNNNNNNNNNNNNNNNNNNNNNNNNNNNNNNNNNNNNNNNNNNNNNNNNNNNNNNNNNNNNNNNNNNNNNNNNNNNNNNNNNNNNNNNNNNNNNNNNNNNNNNNNNNNNNNNNNNNNNNNNNNNNNNNNNNNNNNNNNNNNNNNNNNNNNNNNNNNNNNNNNNNNNNNNNNNNNNNNNNNNNNNNNNNNNNNNNCCUCCUCCUCCUCUCCGACAACCUCCUCCUCCCUCCUCUCCUCUCCUCCCCUCCCCUCACGGUUUCUCCUACCUCCUCUCCGGUGAGCUCCUCCUCCCUCCUCUCCUCCCAUUCCCUCAUGGUUUCUCCUUCCUCCUCUCUGAUGCUUCGGUGAACUCCUCUCCGGCGACCUCCUCCUCCUUUCCAGCGAUGUAGGCGAGCGCCUCUCCGGUGACCUCCUCCUCCUCCUCUCCGGCGAACUCCUCUCCGGCAAAAGAACACGACAAAAGAACGUACAAGAUCCAAAAACAGGAACACAAUUUGAAAUAAUAUCGUGCCAAAAAGCGAGCAAAAAAACGAGCAAAAAAUGGGCAAAAAAUCACGAUCCAGAUCCAAAUUCAAAAUUCAAAAAUAGCAAUGGCGCAUGGUGGGGGUUAGACGGCGCCACUACUAUUUUCCCGCCUUCAAAAUUCAAAAAUACUAAUGGUGCACCGUGGCCUAUACUAAUGGCGCACCGUGGCCUAUACUAAUGGCGCACUAGUGGUGCACCAUUAGUAAAAAAUACUAGUGGCGUGAUACUAAUGGCGCACCAGUGAUGCGCCAUUAGUAGGCAAAACUGGUGCGCCAUUAGUAGCCCUUUUCCUAGUAGUGUGUGUGGCACCUAAGCCGUCUCCUGUCAGAAGCCGCAGCUUGCAGAGCGACUGUCUGGUGAGCAGGAGUAAGGUAGAAUGGGCAUCCACAUGAAAAAUGGCUAAGGACUCAAAGCAUAAACAUAGCUUAAGCCGGCUUCUAGCCUUCUUUCGCAAACCGUCUCUUGAGCAGUCGGCUCGUCGCCUUCUAUUCAACUUGCUAAAAAAACUCUAAACGGCUAAGUACUUGCCUUCCCAAAGUAGCCAAGUACUUGACCCAGCAGCAAUCCGCAGAGCGGCUGUUCGGCUGACAAGUCGGCAAUUAAGCGAAGGCAGCAAAGGAAAAAGCCAAAAGAGCAAUAAGCAAGAAGAGAUAGAACUCGGAUGAAUAUUUACAUAACAAAGGCCCUUGGCCGAAUCUUCGAACAGAAGUUCAAAAUACACCCUGCGGGUGGAAUUGUGCGAAUUAACAAGUUCUUCAAAGACUAUUAAGAAGAUAAAACAAAGAUAAGGUGGCAGCCUAGGAAGCAGCAGACGGGUUCGGAGGAUCGGAGGAUAUGGCGGUGCCAGUUGUUGGGGCGGCCGGCUGGUCGGUCUCAGCUUGAUCACCUCCGGUGGCAGCCGGCUUGGUCGGGUGCGGCUCGUUGCUGGAGGCGUGGUCGAGCUGAGGCUGGCUGUCCGCUCCGUCUUAUGGUGCCUCCAUCUCGCCUUCCUCCUUGACGCUGGAGCCGAUCACCUCCGCCGAGUCCUCGCCAUAGUCUGGGUUCAUCCCGAACCACUCCGGCGGCGCCUCCUUGCCGUCUUCAGCCCGCUCAGGGACGAAGAUGCUGGUGUCAGUGUACUCGACGAUCGACGCCGCACACUUGACGAGGGCGUCUUCCAGGACAGCCAGCUCCACCUGGGCCUCUAGCCGGAGUGUGGUGAGCCGGUCUAGAUCCAGCCCAGGAUACCAUGCCUUGACGAACUCCAAGGCCCGGCGCACUCCAGCCCAGGCCGAGGAGCCCUUCCAGGCCUCAAGACGGCCAGCCACGACCUCUAGCCAGUCGGCAGUCCGACUGGGAGUGCGCGGAGCCUGCAUGUCCGGCCAUAGGGCAGUGAUUGCCUAGACGCCGACAUGUUGAAGCCAGCGCAGCAUCCGGUGGGCCGGCCGAAGGCGGGCCUUAAUGCUGAGGAUCUGCUCAUCGAGAGUUCGGGGGGCGUCGGCGGCGAUCUCCGCGCCAUCCAGCCUCCGUCCCUCGCGAUCAACCUCGAUGGCUUGAUUGGCGGCCUGCGAGUGGCCGGGGAAGAAGUCUGCCAAGACGAAAGAACGAAGAACAAGUAAAAAACUAGAAGUCGGCUCAACCUAUAGUCGGCAACUCAAAGAAGAAAAAUGAGGAAACUCACCAUCGACGAGAUCCUCGAUCUCAUGGAAGCCGGAGGUCAGCAGCGCCUCCUUGUCAGUUCAAGAGGAGCGCUCGCUUGCAAACUUAGCCAGGAGGGCAGUCUCCUUCUGCUCCGCCUCAUCCUGGGUCUUCUUGAGCAGCUCCUUCUGCUCUACCAAUUGCGCGACCAGCAGGUCGCGCUCUGCGGCCAGCUUGCUGCACUCCUCCCCCUUGACACGCAGCGCGGUGUUGGCCUCGCCCAAUUGCUGCUGCAGAGUGGCGUUGGCCUCUGAAGGAAAGAAGAAAGAGGGCAUUAGUCGUCAACAAAGAAGGUCGCCGGGGAGAUCCGUCCCGACUGCUCAGCAGUCGGCCCGAAUCUCGGGGACUACAGCCCGCGGGUGCGCCAGUGCGCCCCCGCAGAAAAGAAAGAAGACUUACUCUGGCUCUCCGACAAGUCGGCGGUCCGCUUGCCCAGCUCUUCGACGUUGCGAUUGAAGGCGGUCACACGAAGAUUGUGAUAGUACUGUGACAAGCGUUUCAGACAAACGUUAGUACUUGGAACUCGGCAAUUAGAGUUCCGACCCGCCUGCUCAGCAGCCGGCCCGAAACUCGGGGACUACACCCAGUGGGUGUGCUGGCGCGCCCCCACAGAGAUGAAAAAGAAAAACAAACAACACAAGAAGGAGGAGACGUACCCGGAUGGCCGUCCGCGACGCCAGAUGCGCCUUGGUACAGUUCUGGAUGGCGUCGCCCUUAGCUCGGAGCUUGGUUUGGACAUCUAGAAGCGCCUGAUUCAGCGGACCCGUCCCGCCUCCUCACACCCACCCAGUGGGCGUGGCGCUCGUCGCCUCGGCGUCUGGGAUCGUCGAGCUCGCGACGCCGGUCUCCAAAGGGCGCGGCGCCGAAGUCGCCUUCGCAAGUCGGCGACGCGUCGGCGUGCCGACCUGAAGAAGCAGGCCCGCCACGACCUCGUCUUCAGUCGGUGGCACUGGCGGGACAGCCGGCAGCUCGCCUAGCGCGCUUCCAGACGGCGGCGGCGGCACAACCACGUCCGGUAUAAGGUCGUCGCCACCUUCCCCCUCCAUGAUCGGGUACUCGCCGCCGGCUUCCCCUGACUGCCCCAUGAACUCCGGAGGUGGCGGCGCAGAGUUCCGUGGGGUGACAAACACCACCGAUUGGCGGUGCACGGCUUCCUCAGCCUGCCGCCUUGACGCGACGGCGGUCUCGGCCUCUUCCAGUUUCUUCUUGGCGGAGGCCUCCGCCUUCUCGGCCUCCGCCUUCUCGGCCUCCGCCUUCUCCAGGCGGGAGGCCUCCUCCUCUUCGCGCUUCUCUUGCACGUUCCACUCCGUCGCCUCCUGGAGGUCGGCGGCGGGGUCAACCCGCUGAGUGGUGGCGGACGUCUCCGCCGACCCCAUGACGGAGGGGGCGGCGCCCCUCUCAAGAGUGAGGGGAGCCCUGAAGCAAGGGAAGCAAGUAAAGACUCUGGCAAAAGCUACAAGGAAAGAAUAAAAGUAGAAAGAUGGAGUACUCACGCGGAGACCAGCGGCGGCUUCUUCACUUCCUUGCGGAAGCGGAUGGCCUUCGCGGUCGCCUCGUCCCGCUUGGUUGCCGCGGCCGAGCUCUUGGGUUUCUUCGGUCGACUGCCGAACAAGCUCGGCACGGCCCUGCGUUUCCUCGCGCCUCCUUGAGCGUUCGGCGUGGCAUAAGAGCUCGCGCCGGGCUGGCCGGCUCUUGGCUGGUGGCGGGGGACGACUUCCUCAUCAUCAUCAGGCCAGUCCUCUAGACUGGCCCCGAGCCGCGGGCCGCCUCCUUCCUCGGCGUCGUCUUCCAAAGCCGCCGCCCCCAGAUUGGGGUCAUCUAUGUUGCUUUCCGCCCGGUCGGCGAGGAACUCGCGGGCUGGCCCUGCGGUGCCGGCUGACGGAUGGAGGAGGGGAUUCUGACCAAAGCCGACUGGUCAGGUCGGACAAGAUGAACUUGGCAAGAAAGAAGACAAGUUAAAGAAAGAAAGAAAGGGGCAACUCACUAUAGGCGGGGGGUUAGCGCGAGAGUAUGGCUCCUUGCCGAACUGCCAAUCUUCUAGGAUCUUACUGUCCGAGAGGUAGUUCACCAUGUAGACCACCUCCUCGUGAGGCAUGUCCUUGGUGCACAUCCGGCUCGGGUCUCGGUGCCCGCUCAUUUGGCAUAUCAUGUGGAGGCGACCUUGGAGUGGGAGGACUCGGCGUGCCACGAAGGCGGCCAGCAGAUCCGGACCGGUCAGGCCCUCCGUCUGCGUCAGCACUCGGAGUCGCGUGAUGGCGCCGGCUCCUGCAGGCGUCAGUGACUUGGCCCGGUACGACCAGUUGGGCAGCCUCCCAGCCGGCGGGCCAGCUACGAAAGCCGGCAGAUUGACCCAAUCACCCUCCGUGAAGACGCUCUUCACAUAGAAGUACGAUCGCUGCCACAUCUGCACCGACUUUAUCAGCUUGAUGGUAGGGAAGGGGUUGUCGGCCCCCGGCCUCCACACGAUGAUGAACGCGUCGCACUGAGCCGGCACGCCUGCGGCCUGGGUGCCGAGCUUGGAGAAGAAGAACUCCCCCCAGAGCUCGAUGGCGGGGAGGACUCCGAGGAUGCCCUCGCACAGGGCGACAAAGGCGGACAACAGCACCACCGUGUUGGGCGUGAGGUGGUGGGGCUGGAGGCCAUAGAACUCGAGGAAGGAGAGAAAGAAGCGGCACGUCGGCAGGCCCAGGACGCGCAGGCAGUGCGAGCGGAAGAUGACCCGCUCGCCCUCCUCCAGCGCCGGCGAGAUUUCCCCCUCGUUGCAAGGCGCACCCGCACGUAAUCCUUGCCGGGGAGCCGACGUAUCUUGCGGAGGAAAUCGAUGUGGUCAUCGUGGACCUCUGAGCCAUCCCAGGUGCCGGAGUGCACUGAGGGGGCACGGCGGCGGAGGAAGAGCUCAUUGUGAGUGGAUCACCGUGGCACUCGGGAAACCUCGGGGCGCGGCGGUGCGAGGAAGAAGAAGAAGAGCGAGGAGUAGCAUGGGGGAGGGGCGCGCGUGCUCAGCCGCUCUCCCCUCUUCCCCUACUUAUAGCCUCAUGGGCUGCGAAGCCGAGGGGUCGGUCGUGGGAUUUGCUGCGCCACGACACCAUGACCCCCCACGUUUAUCGCACGGAGUUACUGCGCGCAGUAACUCCGUGGGAACCCCAACCGUCCGCUACGGCCGCAACGGAUCCGCUCGUGCGUCGAGGCACGGUAGUGGCGGGCCCCGCCUGAAGACUUGUCCCGUCACGUGCGUGGGCAGGCAGACUGGCCUGCCCGCGCGCUGCCACGUGACAGGCCCAAAUCGGGCGGCGGCCUGGAGGCUUAGCCAUCACGCCACUUGGAUCACGCCAGGGCGUUCGAAAUAUUGGACAAAUCAGAGAUGGGCGAGUCCGACUCCUUUUAGUCGGCCCGGCAGAAGUCAAGCAAGAUACAUGUCUCGAGCACCUGGAGAGAGAAACUGCUGAGGCUCCCCAGCCGAUCGUCCGCGGCGCCUCACCAGCUUCGAGGACUACUGUCGGAGUAAUGGGCCAUGGGUAGGCUAACCCGAAGCCCAGAACCUUUAAAGACAUCAGGGCAGGGUGCGCCCCUCGAAGAUGCCACGACGAAUAGCCGCCUUCUAGAAGUCGACCGGAGGAACGGCUGACUCCCCCCGCAGCCGAGUCCUGGAGGCGAGUUCAAGUCACGCCGACUCCGAUCUGGCGGCUUCCAGAGAGGCCGGCCACCAGGAGUCAGCCCCUGGCACCAACAAAUACCCGUGCCCUCAUCAAGAGGGACGGGACGGGGAGUGGCUACAGUGAAGCCCACUCCCUCCCCUUUCCAAGGGCAGGCGUGGCCACAGUGCGCCGUACCCGCAGAGAUCUCUGUCUGGCACGACACUGUUGCCAUGCUGGCCCUGACAUUAGCACUAGUGGGCAGGGUCCUGCACCCACGACGGCCUGUCUGUACGACCCAGGGAUGACGGGUCCCGCCAAUCAGCGGGAGUCCAGAAGACGGCGAGAGCACCACCAGUCGGACCCGUUGGGAGUCGGCCCGCCCCUCCCACGGGCCCCACACACCAUUAACCAGACGAGACGGGGAGUGGCAACAAUGAUCGCUCGCCAAGCGGCAGUGCUGUUGCCACGACCCCAUGACCAAGCCCACAUCGUUAGAAGCACGGCUACAGUAAUUAGCAGCCUUGCCCUCUCCUACCUCCAGGAAGCAGCUCGAGGAGCAACCUUGUACUCACUUUGCCAUAGUGAUCAUGCAGAGACCCCGCAGAGCAGGACUAGGGGUGUUAUCUCCUAGGAGAGCCCCGAACCUGGGUAAAGUACGCCGGCGUUUGUGUCUACGCCUCAACCCGCUUCCAGGCACCGACGACGUUCUACUUGCUCCCACCAUGAUAAGCCAUCCUUUGGCAUAUGUCGCACCCAACCCCCGACACAAAGCAAGUAUGUGGAGAAGAAGUACCUUUUACUAACCCAGGUUCGGAGUUGCCCAGGGGCCUUUGCAGAUCUACCAUGCAGCGUGUCCGAUGCUACAGAGUUUUUCCGAGAUGGAGAAGGGAAUUCCACAGAGAACCUGUUCUAGUCGCAGUAUGAUGUGCCAGAACAUCCGGUGCCCUUUGCCGAUCAGCUAAAACAGUUGGUCGAGCUGCACAGGGUGGCCGAACUGGCCAUGAAGGAUUUAAUAAUCUGGCUUUGGCCAGCCGAAGCUAUACCUAGUAGUCAUUUUGGCCUCGUGAAGCGGAUGAUGGAGGCUUGUCCGCGGCUAGACAUUGUCAAGCGAUCAGUCUGCAUCGAAGGUGCCCGCAUGGCCUUCACUUGUUGCAAGUUGUGGCGGGCGAAGAUGGACGCCAUCGAGGUGGCCAAGGGGCCGCCGGAGGGCAAGGAGCACCGCACACCCGAGCGAUAUUUUGCGGAUUUCCUGGAAGGGUCUAGACUUGCAGCAACGCAGUGCGGGCAGGACAUUAUUUUCGAAUGAAGACAUUUGUUUUUGUCUUUGCCUUGUAUGAUGAAAACAAAUCCAGUUUGUAAUAUAAUGUUUGUUAUGUUUUGAUUGUUUCCUCCUGUGCGGCCGUGUUGUAUGGAAUUUGAGGGUUGACCAGUCGUUGGCUUCUUCCCUCACGUAGGUAGUACGGAGGUGUUCGGGAUGGAAUCUGAACAAUCUUGAUCCAAUUAUAUGGUCCUUGAAGGAGUUGUUUAGCACAACGAACCAGGCAAUCAGACUAUGCGGCUUAAACGCCCUCACUUAGCCAUAGGAGUUUUAUAAUAAAACAUAGGCGCAGCCCCUAGUAUACGAACCAGAGUGCUGUCAGCGUCUGAUCGGGAAGUACCGAUCCUUCGCGAAAUGCGGAAAAACUGACCUCCGAACAGCUGACCGGCUCUCGCCGCAUCAUGACAGUCAGUUUUCGGCUUUCUCUACUAAGGUGCUCAUCCGGUUUAGACCAGGGCACAAUCGCAGUAGUUCUCCCUUUACUACCCUAGCCGAUGUAGCGGAACAUAGGGUAGCAAGCACAGGAGCUGGGCAACCCAACUAUUGACCAAAGACAUGAUUCGGAGCCAAUGCAUAUAAUGCUAAAUUCGGGGUGCCGAACUUAUCUAUAAGAAGUGUUUGGACUUUGUUGCCAUAUUAUGGGGCGAUGAGAAGCCCCUGGCAAAUAUGAGACGUGCCAAAGUGCACGUGUGCGAGUAUAUAAGUGACUAAUAGCAACGGGAAACAGAAAAAGAGCAGAGGUAGUAUCUGGGGCCCCUUGACAUGGGCCGUAAAAUGUUUCCAUUAUAAUUGGGUUAAUGCGUCAAAGCACAUUUAUAAAAUAAUGCAAUAAGCGACCGACUAUUUAACAUGCCAGAACCAGAGGAGAGCUGCAUUUGGGUACUGAAAAACAGGUAGAGUAGUCAUUGGAUUGUCCUUUAGGGCUUCCCCUAUAUGCAUGUGCUCUGCGCCAAUCUAGUGUACUUGUCCUUUGACAGGACCGGUAAGCAGGCCGUCGAAGGGGGCUAGUGAGUCCGGGAUUGGUGUAGCCGAACUACGAGCUAACUGUGCCUCCGUCGAUGCCCAUAGGAUUUUGAGUGCGUAAUUAUGUAUGCGUGGUGCGGAUGCCGCUACCUCAUCAGGACUGGGACGGAGGCCGAAUUGCUAAUCGAGCUCUUGACGAGCCGUGUUGUCCUGUUGUAGUGUGGUCCGGACUCUCUUUGUGAUGUCCAGGGGCUCGGCGGCCGGAUUACGGUUCUGCUUGAGAAGGCCGCUCUAUACCUCUGCUGCUAGGGCGGCUGUGUGCUCCUCUGUUCAGAGGGAGCGUUGCAUGUUUCCAUUGACUGUUAUGACGCCGCGUGGACCGGGCAUCUUGAGCUUGAGAUAAGCAUAGUGUGGCACUGCAUUGAAUCUAGCAAAUGCAGUUCGUCCAAGCAGUGUGUGGUAGCCGCUGCCGAAGGGGACGAUAUUGAAGAUUAACUCUUUGCUUUGGAAGUUGACCGGAGAACCGAAGACCACUUCCAGCGUGAUUGAGCCCGUAUAAUGGGCCUCUACAUCUGGUAUGACUCCUUUAAAGAUAGUCUUUGUGGGCUUGAUUCGUGAGGGAUUAAUGCCCAUUUUGCACACUGUAUCAUGAUAGAGCAGGUUGAGGCUGCUACCACCAUCCAUUAGGACUCAUGUUAGGUGAAAUCCAUCGAUGAUUGGGUCGAGGACCAGUGCGGCCGAACCGCCAUGGCGGAUACUAGUGGGAUGAUCUCGAUGAUCGAAGGUGAUCGGGAAUGAUGACCAUAGAUUUAAUUUUGGGGCGACUGGCUCUACCGCGUAGACGUCCCUGAGUGCUCGCUUGCGCUCCCUUUUGGGGAUGUGUGUAGCGUAUAUAAUGUUCACUGUUUUGACUUGAGGGGGAAAUUUCUUCUGCCCCCCAGUGUUCGGCUGCCGGACCUCUUCAUCCUCAUCCUCACUUUGUGAUCCCUUUUCUUUGCUCUCGGCAUUUAACUUGCCAGCCUGUUUGAAAACCCAACAAUCUCUGUUUGUAUGAUUGGCUUAUUUGUCUGGGGUGCCAUGUAUCUGGCACGGACGGUCGAGUAAGCGGUCUAAGCUGGAUGGUCCCUCAUUGUUCCUUUUGUAGGGCUUCUUCCGUUGACCGGACUUGGAGCCGCUGAAUCCGGCGUUAACUGUGGUGUCAUCGAUGUUAUCGCCAUUGCUUCGGCAUUUGUGUCUAUUGCGCCGGAGCUUGCCGGUGCUGUUCUUGGCCUCGGAGGGGCCUUCGCUGGCUGUGUUUUUACUACGAGCUAGCCAGUUGUCCUCACCCGCGCAAAAGCGGGUCAUGAGUGCUGGGAGGGCUGCCAUGGAUUUCGGCUUUUCUUGGCCUAGGUGGCGGGCGAGCCAUUCGUCACGGAUGCUGUGUUUGAAGGCUGCUAGGGCUUCGGCAUCCGGACAGUCAACGAUGUGGUUCUUUUUGGUUAGGAACAUAGUCCAGAAUUUUCUGCCUGAUUCUCCAGGUUGUUGGACUAUAUGACUUAAGUCAUCGGCAUCUGGUGGCCGGACAUAAGUACCUUGGAAGUUGUCAAGAAAAGCUUCUUCCAAGUCCUCCCAGCUGUCGAUGGAAUAUUUGGGCAGGCUAUUUAGCCAGUGUCUAGAUGGCCCUUUUAAUUUUAGUGGGAGGUAUUUGAUGGCGUGGAGGUCAUCUCCUCGAGCCAUAUGGAUGUCGAGAAUAAAAUCUUCGAUCCACACUACGGGAUCGGUUGUUCCGUCGUAUGAUUCAAUAUUGACGGGCUUGAACCCCUCGGGGAAUUCGUGAUCGAGUACUCUGUCUGUGAAGCAGAGAGGGUGUGCAACGCCUCUAUAUCGGGCCACGUCAUGGUGCACCUUCGGUGAAGUCCGUCUGCAGUUAUCGUCCCGGGCGUAUGUAGGUUUGUCACGUCCAAAUAGGUAGCCGUCAUCCCGAGUCGGGAAGCGUCCUCGCGAUCCAUAGAUUGAUCUGCUGUGUCCUGCUCUGCUGUCCAGGUCCUUCCGAAGGUCAUAUGUAUGGUCCCGAGUUGUUCUGUCUCUGUUUUUAUGAGGCAGUGGGGCGGGCUGUUGUUCGGCCUGAGUUGUCAGUUUAUCCCGACCACGGGGUAGCCGGUCUGCCGCACUAUCCCGACCACGUGGUGGUCGUUCUGCAUUGCGUGAGGGAGGUACGGGAUCUGGUGCCUCCUCGUCGAACUGAGGUAGCAGUCUACGCUUCGGGUAACUCUUGGCUGGGCGCUUGAGGCCAUAUUCUUCGGCUGCUUGGACAUCGGUCCGUCUGUCAAUGAGUACGUCUUGAUCGGCUUGGAGCUGCUGCUGCUUUUUCUUCAGGCUUCUAGCAGUAGCUAUUAGCUGGCGCUUGAAGCACUCUUGCUCGAGGGGUGCCUCAGGCACGAUGAAAUCCUCGCUGCCGAGGCUCUCCUCAUCUUCGGAGACUGGACGAUAACUAUCGUCAUCCGGGUCGUUGGGCAUGGCUUGUUUAUCAGGGUUAACUUGACCGUUGUCUUGUUCCUCCUGUUCGGAUGCUGCUUCAACAGGGUCUUCAUUGUUUUCGGCGUCGCCCAAAGUACUAUUUUCUCCGGUGCCAGUGUUGCCAUCUUUUGAGCGACGAGGCUUAGAACGGCGUUUAGGACGCCGGUGCUUGGACUAUGUCUUAGAAGGUUUAUUCACAACUGGAUCUUCAGUGUCAUCGUUGCUAGCCUUUUUAGGUGUGUCAACCAUGUACACAUCGUACGAAGAGGUGGCCGUCCAACGUCCAGUGAAUGGCGGGUCUUAGCCUUGCUCCUUGUCGGCAUCGUCGUCCAUACCGUCGAUGUCUUCGGAGCCAUAAUCGAGCAUGUCGGUUAAGUCAUCGACAGUGGCUAUGAAGUGGAUGGCGGGUGGGAAGCAAAAUUCCCAUCGUCAGCCUCUAGUUCGAACCGAACAUAGUUCGGCUGUGAGUCUUUCUCCAAGGACAAAUUCUUUAAAGAGUUUAGCACGUCACCCAAAGGUGAGUGCUGGAAGAUGUCUGCGACGCUGAAUUCAAAAAUCGAUAACCGAUCUAGCUCGGUGCCCGCAGGCGUACAUGGUCCGGAACUUAUAACCGGAGACGAGUCCGGAGUUCCAUUGACGCAAGUAUUGUAGGGUGCCGAGUCUGUGUGCGGCUCCAACGCCGUGGACUCUGUGGCCUUGGAUGGCAUGAUCUUCUUCGGUUCUAAGGCCGUUGCAGCAACAGGAACCAUCUCCCGGAUGUGAUCCGAUGACAGGUUUAAGUCACGUUCAUCGGAGCGUGGGGGAGCGAUCGUCGCGGUCUCAAAUCCAUCGAGGCUCAGGUCUCCGCGGACGUUCGUGAUGUAGUUCAAGCUUCCAAAUCUGACCUGAUGGCUAGGGGCGUAGCUAUCGAUCUGCUCCAGAUGGCCAAGCGAGUUGGCCCGCAGUACGAAGCCACCGAACACGAAGAUCUGUCUAGGGAGGAAGGUUUCUCCUUGGACGGCGCACUAUUGACGAUUGAAGGGGCCAUCGAACCUUUCAUCGACGACACAUUGGAACUCUGAAUGAAAGCACCAAUGUCGGUGUUAAAACCGGCGGAUCUUGGAUAGGGGGUCCCGAACUGUGCAUCUAAGGUCGAUGGUUGCAGGAGACGGGGGACUUGAUGUUUACCCAGGUUCGGGCCCUCUCUAUAGAGGUAAUACCCUACUUCCUGCUUGAUUGAUCUUGAUGAAUAUGAGUAUUACAAGAGUUAAUCUACCACGAGAUCGUAAUGGCUAAACCCUAUAAGUCUAGCCUGUAUGACUAUGGUAAUGAAUAUCCUUUUCGGACUACACCCUUCGGUUUAUAUAGAGACCGGGGGGGUCUAGGGUUACAUAGAGUCGGUUACAUAGGAAGGAAUCUUCAUAGUUGAUCGCCAAGGUUGCCUUCCACGCCAAGGAUAGUCCAAUCCAGACACGGGUGCAGUCUUCGGCCUUCGUGCCUUCACAGCCCAUCAGUCCGGCCCAUGGAUAAUAGGCCGGACGCCCGAGGACCCCUUAGUCCAGGACUCCCUCACCCAAGACAUCAUUUACCACAAGGUAUGGGCUAUAUGAGUACACGGUCAUGUCAUUUGGUUUGACUAACGCCCCUGCCUACUUUAUGAGUAUGAUGAAUAAGGUGUUCAUGGAGUUCUUGGAUAAGUUUGUCGUGGUGUUCAUUGAUGAUAUAUUGGUGUACUCAAAGAAUGAAGAAGAACACAAGGAACAUUUGCGCUUGGUUCUCGAGAUGCUCCGGGAACAUCAGCUAUAUGCCAAGUUCAGCAAAUGUGAGUUUUGGUUGAAGGAAGUCGGAUUUCUCGGACAUUUUAUAUCCGGAGAAGGUAUAGCAGUAGAUCCUUCAAAGGUUUAGUCUGUUACCGAGUGGUUGGCACCCACCUCAGUUGGAGAGAUACACAGUUUUCUUGGACUCACAGGAUAUUAUCGGAGAUUCAUUGAGAAUUUUUCCAAGAUUGCAAAGUCCAUGACGGAGUUAUUGAAGGACACCAAGUUCAUAUGAGUUGAAGAAACGUUUAGUUACAACCCCAGUGCUAAUUCUUCCGGCUAUACACAAGGAUUUCCAUGUAUAUUGUGAAGCUUCACGACAGGGACUUGGAGGCAUUCUUAUGCAAUAAGGAAGAGUUGUUUCAUAUGCCUCACGACAGCUUCGACCUCAUGAGUUGAAUUAUGCCGCGCAUGACUUGGAGUUAGCAGUCGUAGUGCAUGCGCUCAAGACCUGGAGACAUUUUCUUAUUGGAAAUCGUUGUGAUGUUUACACAGACCAUAAGAGUUUGAAGUACAUUUUCACGCAGAAGGAUUUGAACCUCAGGCAGAGGAGAUGGUUGGAGCUCAUAAAGGAUUAUGACAUGAAACUGCAUUAUCAUCCAGGAAAGGCCAAUGUUGUAGCAGAUGCGUUGAGCCGCAAGAGUUAUGUUAACACCCUCAUAACCAGAGGAUUACCCCAUGAGUUAGGCGAAGAUCUCAGAGAACUUCGAAUGGAGAUAGUUCCGAGAGGUUUUGUUGCACCGUUGGAAGUUCAGUCCAUGUUGUUGGGAAAGAUUUGAGAAGCACAGAAGACAGAUAAGGAGAUUGCGGAGAUAAAAGAAAAGAUGAGUAAAGGAAAGGCCAAAGGAUUUCGUGAGGAUGAACACGAAACUUCAUAGUUUGAGGAUCACAUCUAUGUGCCCAACGACCCAGAGAUUGGGAAGUUAAUUCUUUAGGAGGCUCGUGAUUCGCCAUACUCAAUUCACCCAGGCAACACCAAGAUGUAUUUGGAUUUGAAGGAACCUUUCUGGUGGACAGGUAUGAAGAAGGAUAUUGCCGAGUAUGUAGCAAUAUGUGACGUAUGUUAGAGAGUUAAGGCAGAGAAUCAGAAGCCAGCAGGAUUACUUCAGCCUUUGCUGAUACCCAAAUGGAAGUGGGAUAAGCUUGGCAUGGAUUUCAUCACCGGAUUACCCAGGACACGCUCUGACUCCAUCUGGGUUGUAGUUGAUCGCUUGACCAAAGUGGCACACUUUAUCCCCGUGAAAACUACUUAUACGAGUGUGAAGUUAGCCAAGAUAUAUAUGACCAGGAUCGUAUGUCUGCAUGGAGUUCAGAUAGAGGAACACAGUUUACUUCGAAGUUUUGGAAUCAGUUAUACCAGACUUUGGGUACCAGGCUAGAGUUCAGUACAACCUUUCAUCCAUAGACAGAUGCGAUCCAGAUUCUAGAGGACAUGUUGAGAGCUUGUGCGCUAGAUUAUGGAUCUAGUUGGGAUGAUAAUUUUCCUUACAUAGAGUUCUCGUACAACAACAACUACCAAGCUAGUUUGAAGAAGGCCCCUUUUGAAGCUUUGUAUGGAAGGAGGUGCAGGACACCAUUGAUGUGGGAUGAAGUUGGAGACCGACAAUUAUUUGGGCCAGACUUAAUUAGAGGGUCUGAGGAGAAGGUCAAGUUGAUUCGUGAUAGACUCAAGGUAGCCCAGUCCAGGCAGAAGAGUUAUAUCGAUACUAAAUGCAAGGAGGUAACAUAUGAAGUAGGAGACAGAGCAUAUCUUCAUGUGUCACCACUUUGAGGAGUUAAACGAUUUGGAGUUAAAGGAAAGUUAGCCCCACGAUUUGUAGGACCAUACCGAGUUUUGGAACGUAUGGGUGAAGUUGCCUACAAGUUGGAGUUACCCGAAGGUUUGUCAGGAGUUCAUGAUGUGUUUCAGGUUUCCCAGUUGAAGAAAUGCCAUGCAAAGAUGGCCUAUAAUCCUCUGAGAGAUACAGUGUGCCUGGAAGCAAUUCAGUUGGAGAGUGGCCUGACCUAUGAGGAGAAACCCGUCAGGAUUCUCGAGUUCGCCAACCGAGUUACACGCAACAAGGUCAUCAGGUUUUGCAAGGUUCAGUGGAGCCACCAUACCGAGGAGGAAGCCACCUGGGAGCGAGAAGAAGACCUCCGGGAAGACCACCCACACCUUUUUGCUAGCCAACCCGAAUCUCAAGGGUGAGAUUCAUCUUAAGGGGGGUAGGUUUGUAACAUCCCAAUUUUCAAUUUGGAUGUUAUUCAUUAGGUCAUCAUAUGCAUCCAUAAUUUGUGUAUCUUUGAAUUUGUUUUAUUUGGAAUUUUGAUCCUCGAAGCCUUAAGCAACUCAAGGACCAAUUGAGAGAGAGUUGGAGGUUUUCACGAAAACCCAUUUUUGAAUUUUCAAAAUUAUUUAUCCAAUUAUUUCAAAAUAAAUAAAAUAAUGAGAGAAGAUAAUAUGACUUCUUCAAAACAGCAAGGAAAUAUUGGAAAUUUAAUUUUGAAUAAAAAUAUUUUUUAUUUGAGUUUUAUUUGCAAUUUUAUUCGGUUGCAUUUUAUGAGUUUUUCAGGAGCUUCAGCACCAGCCGAAGAAGAAGAAGCCUCGUUGCAAGCCUCUCAUUGUUCCCCCCUCUGAUGAAUCGCCCCAUCCAGGUUCUUCUUCUGAUGUGCCCCCUCAAACUCCGAUCAGGGUGAUCCAAGAUAUUGGCCGAGACUUGCAGAUUCCGGAUUACCAACUCUCAGUGGAUAAGCUUAUGGCUAAUCCUGCAGCUGACAGCAUGUCUGGUGGAGAUGUUUAGUUCUCUUUGGAACUAUGGGGUCUGCCAUGCCCUUAUGAUGGCCCUGCUGUUGGGUCUUUUGGUCAUUUUUAAUGACUGUAAUAACUUAGGCCUGAAACUUUCUUGCUUGUUGGGAUUCUAUGUGCUGUGGUACUACUAUGUAGUGCUCUUUUGCUACCAUCUUUUAUAUGGUUAUUAUGAAUAAUUAUAAUUGCAAGAAUUGGAGUGUGCUCUGCUGGAAUGUGAGAGGGCUUAAUGCACCUGCUCGAAAGCGUGCUGUUAAACAGAAAAUUGAGGAAAGCCAGUGUGUUGUUGCUUGUUUCUAGGAAACUAAAUGUGAAACCUUUGAUAUAAGGGAAAUUAGGGCCUUUUGCCCUAGGCAAUUUGAUACUUUUGCAUUCGCACCAUCUGUAGGUGCUUCUGGUGGGAUUCUGGCGGUCUGGAAUUCGGUUGUGUUGUCUGGUGUGCUGGUGGAAAUCCAAUCCUUUGCUGUUGUGGUGCGUUUUACCUCUAAACAAAAUAAUGAGUAGUGGUCUUUAGUUUCUGUCUAUGGGCCAUGUCAGGGAGAAGCCAGGGAUAACUUUGUGUCCUGGUUAUAUAAUUUGCAUAUUCCAAUUGAUGAUAAUUGGUUAAUCAUUGGAGAUUUUAAUUUCAUCAGGUCCUCUGACAACAGAAAUUUACUAGGGGGGAUGUUAAUGAUAUUUUUAUCUUCAGUGAAAUUAUUGGUCAUCUGGGUUUGCUUGAAUUUCCACUUAAAGGAAGGUCUUAUACUUGGUCUAACAUGCAAUAUUCCCCAUUGCUUGAGCAACUAGAUUGGUUUUUUACAUCCACUAACUGGAUAUCUAUUUAUCCUUUUACUGAAGCACUACCUUUAGCUAGAACUGCUUCAGACCAUGUGCCUUGUGUUGUGGUUAUUAAAACCUCCAUUCCUAAGUGUAACAUCUUCAGAUUUGAGAAUUACUAGGUGCACAUGGAGGGGUUUUUGGAAUGUGUGCAGAAAUCUUGGAGCAAACCAUCUAAUAAAUCACACUCCUCUGCAAUCAUUGCUGAUAAGUUGAAAUCCCUCAGGCAGGAUCUAAAGAGGUGGAAAACUAAUUUUUCCAAAAUGAAGUUGCUCAUCUCUAACUGCAAAAAUGUCAUUUUACUGCUUGAUAACUUGGAGGAAAUCAGGCCUCUUUUUAGGCAGGAAUUUAACUUCAGGAAAAUUGUUAAACUGCAUUUGGAAAAAUUGUUGCAUCUUCAGUUUUUGUACUGGAAGAAGAGAUGUACUAUUAGAUCCAUCAAAGUGGGUGAGGAGAACACCAAAUUUUUCCAUGCAAUGGCUACUGAGAGGUUUAGAAGAAACUCUAUUGCUAGUCUGCAGUAGCCUGAUGGUGAUGUUAUUUCUGAUCACUCUCAAAUGGAAGGUAUGACUUGGAGUGCUUUUAAAGGAAGGAUGAGAGUUUCAAGAGGUAUUGUUAUGGGUUUUGAUCUGGCUGUCCUGCUUCAACAUGUACCUGGCCUUGAGGAUUUGACAAAACCAUUUACAAUUGAGGAAAUGGACAUGGUGGUCAAACAUAUGCCCAUUGAUAAAGCCCCUGGGCCAGAUGGGUUCAAUGGCCUUUUCUUCAAGAAGUGCUGGCAUAUUAUUAAGCAAGAGUUUUAUGCUUUAGCUCAGGAGUUUUAUGAUGGCAAAGCCACUUUGGAGAACAUCAAUGAGUCUUUCAUCACCUUGAUUCCUAAGAAACUUUCACCUGAAGAGGUUGGAGAUUACAGGCCUAUUUCUUUGACUCGCAUGGGCAUUAAGUUUUUGUCCAAAAUGAUUGCCAAUAGAUUUCAGGAAUUGAUAAUGAUGUGCAUCCAUAAAAAACAGUAUGGUUUCAUUAAGUCUAGGACUAUACAAGAUUGCAUUGGGUGGACUUUGGAAUAUUUGCAUCAGUGUCACCAGUCCAAAAGGCCAAUUUUAAUUCUCAAACUUGAUUUUGAGAAAGCUUUUGAUUCCAUUGAACAUGAAGCUAUCUUUCAAAUCAUGAGACACAAGGGUUUUAAUGACAAAUGGAUUGGUUGGGUGAAAUCUCUUUUGUCUUCUAGGACUUCCUCUAUUCUGCUCAACGGGGUGCCUGGGAAAAAAGUUGUAUGUAAAAAAGGUGUCAGGCAAGGAGACCCAGUAUCUCCCCUUCUUUUUGUUCUUGCUGCAGAUCUCUUGCAAUCUGUGGUUAAUGACAUGCACAUCAGAGGGGAAAUUAAACUGCCUAUUCCCUGUCAUGACAAGGACUAUCCAAUUGUGCAGUAUGCUGAUGACACCUUGAUUGUGGUACCUGCUGAUGAAGCUCAGCUCUUGUCUCUUAAGAAAAUGUUGCUGGUUUUUUCUCAGUCCACUGGCCUGGAGGUUAAUUACCAUAAGUCCUCCAUGAUCCCAAUAAAUGUUUACCAAGAGGAAAUCCACAGAUUGGCAUCCCUCUUUGGUUGUCAAGUGGGAAAGAUGCCAUUUACCUAUCUUGGUCUGCUUGUUGGAACUACCAAACCUGCAAUGUCUGAUGUGUUGCCUCUGGUUACUUGUAUGGAGAGGAGAAUGUCUGCUAGUUCAUCUUUUCUUGCUCAGGGAGGAAGACUGUAGUACUUAAAUUCUGCUUUGUCCUCAUUGCCAAUUUUCUUCCUUUGUAGUUUGCUUAUUGCUCCUGGUAUUUUAAAGGAACUACAGAGAAUUCAAAGACAGUGCUUGUGGAGGAAAAAUAGGCAAGAACCAGCUCCUUCUCUAGCUGCUUGGGAUUUGAUUUGUAGAUCCAAAAACAAAGGAGGGCUGGGCAUUCUAGACCUUGGCCUUCAAAAUGUGGACCUUCUACUGAAACAUGUGAAUAAGUUCCUCAACAAGGCUGAUGUUCCUUGGGUUCAUCUCAUUUGGAACUCAUAUUAUCAUGAACUUGUCCCACAAGGAACAGCACCAUGUGGAUCUUUUUGGUGGAAGGAUGUCCUUAAACUCUUGGAUCAAUUCAGAGAAGUCAAAUGGGUCAAGGUUAAUGAAGGGGACACUGCUCUUUUCUGGCAGGAUAAAUGGCAGCUUGGAAAUUCUGUUUUGCCUUUGCAGCACAGGUUUCCCAGGUUAUUUUCUUUUGUCAAAGAUGCUCUGGUCACAGUCAAGGAUGGAUUUUCUGCCCUGGAUCUGAUCUCUUGGUUCCAUCUUCCACUUUCAGAGCAGGCUCACAAUGAGCUCUUGGUUUUGAAAUCUCUUAUGCUGAACCAUGAGAGGGAUUCUGAUUUGAAGGAUGUUUGGUCUUGGCAUGGCUCUGACAAACCCUAUACUCCUAAACAGUUUUAUGUAUCCGGGUUCACUAAUCAUACUUUUAAUCCCGUAUUGACUUGGAUUUGGAGGAGUUGUUCUACCAUGAAGAUUAAGGUUUUUGCCUGGAUGUUAAUAAUGGAUAGGCUCAACACCAAGGAUAUGGUGGAAAGAAGGCAUUGGCAUAUAGAUGAUGGAGUUAAUUAUGUGCUUUGUCCCACUCACACCAGGGAAAAUAGAGAUCACCUCUUCUUUAACUGUAAUUUCAGUCAGAGGGUUUUGAACUUUCUCCAGAUUGAUUGGGAAGCUGGGAGUGACAUGAGUCAGAUUGUGCUCAAUGCUAAGAGGAACUUUGCUCAUCCUUUCUUUGCUGAAGUGGUCUUUACUGCUUGUUGGAACAUCUGGAUCAUCAGGAAUGGAAAGGUUUUUCGAAAGGAAAGGCCAAGUUUUAAUAGGUGGAGAGGAGCUUUUGUGAAUGAUAUGCUUUUACUUUCUCAUAGAAUCAAGGUGAGAUACAAGGAAGGCCUGAUUAGAUGGGUCUCCUUUCUCCCUCCUUAAAUGUAGUUGUUUUAUUAGUUUUUUCCUUUUUCUUUUGCUACUCCUGGUAGCAUUUGUAAUCAUUGAAAUUAUGUUUGUUAAGUCAAUAAAAGGCUGUGGGGGCUUUCCCUACAGUGCUCAGUCAAAAAAAUUAGGGAAAAGAUGCAUUUUUAAAAAUUGCACUUAGUCCAGAAAAAUGUUCACAUUGUCCCAAAUAUUAGGAGGGGAUGGCGAAAAUUGUUUCUCGAAUUUUUAAGAUUUUAUUUUUAUUUUUGGAUUUUUUCUCCGUGGCGCUAUUUAAAAAAAACUUCUUCAGACUGACUGGGCCGAAACCCAGCCGGCCCAGCGCCCUACCUUCCCCGAGCCGCCGCCGGAAUCCGCCUCCCGCACGCCGCGCCACCGCCGCCGUGUCCGAGUGGGACACCGCUCGAUGCCCCCUCCUCCAAGCCGAGUCGCCACCCCACGGCCUUUAAAUAGCGCCCGGACCCCCCGCCUCUCCACAAGUUGCCGCCGCCUCAAGCCGGAGCCGCCGCCGUCAUAGAUCGCCGCCGCCGCCGCUGCCGCCCCACCCCGCGCCGCUGAAGCUUCGCCGCCUCGCCGCACAACCCCGCCGCCUCGCCGGAGCCGCCGCCACCACCAACCGCCGCCGUCGAUUUUUCUCGCCGAACCAACGAACCGCCAUGGACCAGUAUAAACUGGCCCGAUCCGUUUUUUUUUUGGUUUUUGGUUUUUCUUCUAAGCCCGGUUUAUUAUUUUAGGUUAGUCUAUUUAGCGGACGAUCGUCCGUUAGCCUUCGGUAGCGAACAAUUUUCGUUUGUUAGGUUUCUGUAGCGAACGUUCGUUCGUUAGUUUUUUCUUUUUUUGUUUAUUUCGGCCAGGGACCCAUACAUAAUUAUUUUUUUGUAGAUUAGUCCCUGAACUUUAAACCCUCAUAACUUUUUACUCGUUUAUCCAAAUCCAUCGAAACCAAUGCCAAAUUCUUUGUUAUGCCCUCUAUCCAGAUAAUCAACUUGAACAUGCUUUUGGAAGUUUAAAAAUAUGGUUUCAAACAGAUUUGAAUUUGAACUUCUUUUGAUUGUAAUUUGAGUUUCGUAGUUCUGAUUUGACCGAUACUUUUUGCAAAUCAAAGCUCAUCGCUUGAACUUUCUAUUUAGAUCUUUUAUUUGGCUUACCUUUGCAUCUUAUGCUUGAAUGCUUAUGUAUGCCAUUGUUUGUCCGCGAUAAAGUAUCUGGAGUGCGAAGCUUGAUACUAUGAAUCUCUAGGGUUUUCCGAUUGUCAACAAGGCAAGUUACACUUUGAUCAUAUCCCUUUAUUACCCAGUUUUUAUGCAUUAGUUUCAACCCUCAAAUAUUUGCAUGAGUAGGAUUGGGAACAUGUGGUUGCUGUUAAGUAGUUGAUGAGGUAGGAACCUAAUACCUUUGAUCACCCCGGGAAUAUACGCUUUGUUACUUAUUGCUUAGCCAUGCUCGUAGACGUGGAUUGGUAUGUGUGAUUCAUGAAAGUUCCUGAUAUGUCUCCGUGGUAUCUAUAAUUUUUUAUUGUUACAUGCCAAUAUUCUACAACUUCCAUAUACUUUUUGGCAACUUUUUAUACUAUUUUUGGGACUAACAUAUUGAUCCAGUGCCCAGUGCCAGUUCUUGUCUGUUGCAUGUUUUUGGUUUCACAGAAUAUCCAUAUCAAACGGAGUCCAAACGGGAUAAAAACGGACGGAGCUUAUUUUUGGAAUAUUUGGGAGAAAGAUCAAUGAGAAACGGUGUCCGAGGUGGCCACGAGGCAGGGGCCCAUGCCCGUACUAGGAGGGCGCGCCCCCCACCCUCGUGGGCCACCCGUAAGGCAGUUGAUGCCCUUCUUCGGCCGCAAGAAAGCUAAUUUUUGGAAAAAAUCACGGCGAAGGUUUCAGUCCAAUCGGAGUUACGGAUCUCUGGAUAUAAAAGAAACGGUGAAAGGGCAGCAGAACAGAACGCAGAAACAGAGAGAGACGGAGAGACAGAUCCAAUCUCGGAGGGGCUCUCGCCCCUCCCACGCCAUGGAGGCCAAGGACCAGAGGGGAAACCCUUCUCCCAUCUAGGGAGGAGGUCAAGGAAGAAGAAGACGAAGGGCCCCCCUCUCCCCUUCUCUUCCGGUGGCACCAGAACACCGCCGUGGCCAUCAUCAUCACCACAAUCUUCACCAACAACUUCACUGCCAUCAUCACCAACUCUUCCCCCCUUUAUGCAGCGGUGUUACCUCUCUCUUACCCGCUGUAAUCUCUACUUAAACAUGGUGCUCAAUGCUAUAUAUUAUUUCCCAAUGAUGUAUGGCUAUCCUAUGAUGUUUCAGUAGAUCUGUUUUGUCCUUUGGGUUAUUUGAUGAUCAAGAUUGGUUUGAGUUGCAUGCUUUAUUAUUGGUGCUGUCCUAUGGUGCUCUCCGUGUCGCGCAAGCGUGAGGGAUUCCCGCUGUAGGGUUUUCAAUAUGUUCAUGAUUUGCUUAUGGUGGGUGGCGUGAGUGACAGAAGCACAGACCCGAGUAAGUAGGUUGUUUGCGUAUGGGAUAAAGGGGACUUGAUACUUUAAUGCUAUGGUUGGGUUUUACCUUAAUGAUCUUUAGUAGUUGCGGAUGCUUGCUAGAGUUCCAAUCAUAAGUGCAUAUGAUCCAAGUAGAGAAAGUAUGUUAGCUUAUGCCUCUCCCUCAAAUAAAAUUGCAAUAAUGAUUACUGGUCUAGUUAUCGAUUGCCUAGGGACAAAUAACUUUCUCCUGACAAAAAGCUCUCUACUAAAACUAAUUUAGUUGUGUCUUUAUCUAAGCAGCCCCUAGCUUUUAUUUCCUCGCUCUUUACUUUCUUGCAAACCUAUCCAAAAACACCUACAAAGUACUUCUAGUUUCAUACUUGUUCUAGGUAAAGCGAACAUCAAGCAUGCGUAGAGUUGUAUCGCUGGUCGAUAGAACUUGAGGGAAUAUUUGUUCUACCUUUAGCUCCUCGUUGGGUUCGUCACUCUUACUUAUCGAAAGAGGCUACAAUUGAUCCCCCAUACUUGUGGGUUAUCAAGACCUUUUUCUGGCACUGUUGCCGGGGAGCAAUAGCGUGGGGUGAAUAUUCUUGUGUGUGCUUGUUUGCUUUAUCACUAAGUAAUUUUUAUUUUCUAUUCUUAGUUGUUCUUUAUCUUUAGUUAUGGAUAUGGAACACAAAAUACCAAAAAAAUUAGGUGUACUUGCUACUCAUGGAGAUGGGGAACCUCCUAAAACCCUCGAUGCUGGUUAUGUGAAAGAUAUUAUGUACUACUUUGAUAAUCCUGAGAAAACCCCAUUCAACUAUGUAAUUGGAGUAACGUUGGAUCAACGUGAAUACUUUAGGGAUUAUCGCUUGACUCAAAAAGGGAAACUAUUAUGGGAUCAAAUUCAUAUAUUGAAGUGGUAUGCUAGGCAACUAUGCUUGAGUUAUGAUUAUACUUGUUGCUCUAGGAUGAAGGCUCCACAGCUUCCCUUCUCAUGCAAAUUUAAUGAUAAUAAAACCUUAGCUUCUUAUGCUAAUGGUAUAUAUGAUUACUAUGAUGUGGAACAAAUAGAAGAAUUUGUUGCUUUUAUGGGUGCUUAUGAGAUUGAAUCUAUGUUUAAAGAGUUUAAAGAUUUUGAUGAUGCUGCUUCUAGACCUGAAAAUUUAGCAAUCCUGAAAUAUUGUUAUGAGAAUUAUGAAUACAAUUACGAAUUAAUGCACUUAUUGAGAAAGUCUCCGCUGUCCAAGAAGAGACUAAUAUUUUGCAGGAAUCUAUGGAAGAAGAAGUUGAUAAAACUGUGAGCUCAUUGGAUGAAAAAGAUGCGGAGGAGAGCGAAGAACAAAAGGAGGAAGAGCAGAUUGAUCACCUGUGCCCACCUUUCAAUGAGAGUAACUCUUCAACUCAUACAUUGUUUAAUUCCCCUUCGUGCUUACCGAAGGAUGAUUGCUAUGAUGAUUGUUAUGAUCCCAUUGAUUCUCUUGAAAUAUCCCUUUUUGAUGAUGCUUGCUAUGCUUGUGGCCAAGAUGCCAAUAUGAAUUAUGCUUAUGGAGAUGAACUUGCUAGAGUUCAUUAUGUUAAACAUGAAAUUGUUGCUAUUGCACCCACGCAUGAUAGUCCUAUUAUCUUUUUGAAUUCUCCCGACUACACUAUAUCGGAGAAGUUUGCACUUAUUAAGGAUUAUAUUGAUGGGUUGCCUUUUACCGUUGCACAUGAUGAUUUUGAUAGAUAUAAUAUGCAUGUGCUUGCUGCUCCUACUUGCAAUUAUUAUGAGAGAGGAACUAUAUCUCCGCCUCUCUAUGUUUCCAAUACGAUAAAAUUGCAAGAAACUGUUUAUACUAUGCAUUGGCCUUUACUAUGUGUGCAUGAAUUGUUCUUUUAUGACAUGCUGAUGCAUAGGAAGAGAGUUAUACUUUGUCAUUGCUUGAUAUAUCUUACCUUGUGCUCACUACUAAAUUACAAAUCAUUGCUAAUUAAAAUUGGCUUCGAUAUACCUUGGGAUCCAGGUGGAUUCACUACUUGAGCACUAUAUGCCUAGCUUAAUGGCUUUAGACAAAGCGCUGCCAGGGAGACAACCCGGAAGUUUUAGAGAGUUGUCUAUUUCUGUUGAGUGCUUUCAUAUAGUUUAAAAACAACAAAAAAUAAAGAUGAGAACCCAAAUUUUUUUUCAAAAAGAAAAGCGAAAGUGAGUAAGACAAGCAUUGUUGAAGUGGGAGCUAGCCUUGAACUUUGUUCAUGCUCACGGAAACUUUGUGAAUCUUGAUUACAGAAGCUUUUCAACAAAAAUAAUUAUCCCCUUAUACAAUUCCAUUGUAUUAUAAAAAUAAUGUGCUAAGGUUUGCCUUUAGGAUGUUUGCAAUGCUUGUUGGUUUGUGCGGUGCAGGACAUAAACUUUGGCUGUAGUGCAUGAUUUUUAAUUGUUUACUGGAACGUCAAAUGGUUCUGAUUCAUUUUGUACUGUCUUUAUGUACAAAUUUUUUAUUUUUCCUAAUUUUUGCAGAAUUUUUCAAGUAUCAGAAGUAUGGUGAAUGUUCAGAUUGCUACAGACUGUUCUGUUUUAGACAGAUCCUGUUUUUGAUGCAUAGUUUACUUGUUUUGAUGAAACUAUCAAUUUAUAUCAGUGGAUUAAGCCAUGAAAAGUUAUAUUAAAGUAGACACAAUGCAAAAACAAAAUAUGAAUUGGUUUGAAACAAUACUUAGAGUAGUGAUUUGCUUUAUUAUACUAACAGAUCUUACCGAGUUUUCUGUUGAAGUUUUGUGUGGAUGAAGUGUUUGAUGAUCGAGAAGGUUUUGAUGUGAGAAGAAGGAAGAGAGGCAAGAGCUCAUGCUUGGGGAUGCCUGAGGCACCCCAAGUAAAUAUUCAAGGAGACUCAAGCGGCUAAGCUUGGGGAUGCCCCGGAAGGCAUCCCCUCUUUCUUCAACAAGUAUCAGUAUGUUUUCGGAUUCGUUUCGUUCAUGUGAUACGUGCAAAUCUUGGAGCGUCUUUUGCAUUUAGUUUUCAUUUUUCUUUUAUGCACCAUGCUGGUAUGAGAUGGUCCUUGGUUGAUUUAUAGAAUGCUCUUUGCACUUCACUUAUAUCUUUUGAGUAUGGCUUUAUAGAAUGCUUCAUGUGCUUCACUUAUAUCAUUUGAAGUUCGGAUUGCAUGUUUCUCUUUACAUAGACAACCACCAUUUGUAGAAUGCUGUUUUGCUUCACUUAUAUUUGUUAUAGCGUGGGCAUAUCUUUUGUAGAAAGAACUAAAACUCUCUUGCUUCACUUAUAUAUAUUUUGAGAGAUGACAGGAACUGGUCAUUCACAUGGUUAGUCAUAAAAUCCUACAUAAAACUUGUAGAUCACUGAAUAUAAUAUGUUUGAUUCCUUGCAAUAGUUUUGCGAUAUAAAGAAGGUAAUAUUAGAGUCAUUCUAGUGGGUAGUUGUGGAUUAGUAGAAAUACUUGUGUUGAGGUUUGUGAUUCCCGUAGCAUGCACAUAUGGUGAACCGUUAUGUGAUGAAGUCGGAGCAUGAUUUAUUUAUUGAUUGUCUUCCUUAUGAGUGGCGGUUGGGGACGAGCGAUGGUCUUUUCCUACCAAUAUAUCCCCCUAGGAGCAUGCGCGUAGUACUUUGUUUCGAUGACUAAUAGAUUUUUGCAAUAAGUAUGUGAGUUCUUUAUGACUAAUGUUAAGUCCAUGGAUUAUACGCACUCUCACCCUUCCACCAUUGCUAGCCUCUCUAGUACCGCACAACUUUCACCGGUACCAUAAACCCACCAUAUACCUUCCCCAAAACAGCCACCAUACCUACCUAUCAUGGCAUUUCCAUAGCCAUUCCGAGAUAUAUUGCCAUGCAACUUCCAUCAUCAUCAUAUACAUGACUUGAGCAUUUAUUGUCAUGUUGCUUUGCAUGAUCCUAAGAUAGCUAGCAUGAUGUUUUCAUGGCUUGUCCGUUUUUUUAUGUCAUUGCUAUGCUAGAUCAUUGCACAUCCCGGUACACCACUGGAGGCAUUCAUAUAGAGUCAUAUCUUUGUUCUAGAUAUCGAGUUGUAAUAUUGAGUUGUAAGUAAAUAAAAGUGUGAUGAUCAUCAUUAUUAGAGCAUUGCCCCACUGAGGAAAGGAUGAUGGAGACUAUGAUUCCCCCACAAGUCGGGACGAGACUCCGGACUUUAUGAAAAAUAGAAGAGGCCAAAGAAGCCCAAAUAAAAAAAGAGGCCAAAGAAUCCCACCAAAAAAAAUAAAAAAAAUAUAUAUAAAAUUGAAAAAAAAUGAGAGAAAAAGAGAGAAGGGGAAAUGUUACUAUCCUUUUACCACACUUGUGCUUCAGAGUAGCACCAUGUUCUUCAUAGAGAGAGUAUCCUAUGCUUUCACUUUCAUAUACUAGUGGGAAUUUUCAUUAUAGAACUUGGCUUGUAUAUUCCGAUGAUGGGCUUCCUCAAAUGCCCGAGGUCUUCAUGAGCAAGCAAGUUGGAUGCACACCCACUUAGUUUCAGUUUGAGCUUUCAUACACUUAUAGCUCUUAGUGCAUCCGUUGCAUGGCAAUCCCUACUCACUCACAUUGAUAUCUAUUGAUGGGCAUCUCCAUAGCCCGUUGAUACGCCUAGUUGAUGUGAGACUAUCUUCUCCUUUUUGUCUCCUCCACCAUCAUAUUCCAUUCCACCUAUAGUGCUAUGUCCAUGGCUCAUGCUCAUGUAUUGCGUGAAAGUUGAAAAUGUUUGAGAACGUCAAAAGUAUGAAACAAUUGCUUGGCUUGUCAUCGGGGUUGUGCAUGAUUUGAAUAUUUUGUGUGGUGAAGAUGGAGCAUAGCCAGACUAUAUGAUUUUGUAGGGAUAACUUUCUUCGGCCAUGUUAUUUUGAAAAGAAAUGAUUGCUUUAUUAGUAGGCUUGAAGUAUUAUUGUCUUAAUGUCAAAUGAUAGACUAUUGCUUUGAAUCGCUCGUGUCUUAAUAUUCAUGCCAUGAUUAGACAUAUGAUCAAGAUUAUGCUAGGUAGCAUUCCACAUCAAAAAUUAUCUUUUUUAUCAUUUACCUACUCGAGGACGAGUAGGAAUUAAGCUUGGGGAUUCUGAUACAUCUCUGUCGUAUCUAUAAUUUUUGAUUGUUCCAUGCCAAUAUUCUACAACUUCCAUAUACUUUUUGGCUACUUUUUAUACUAUUUUUGGGACUAACAUAUUGAUCUAGUGCCCAGUGCCAGUUCCUGUCUGUUGCAUGUUUUUGGUUUCGCAGAAUAUCCAUAUCAAACGGAGUCCAAACGGGAUAAAAACGUACGGAGCUUAUUUUUGGAAUAUUUGGAAAAUUUGGGAGAAAGAUCAACGCGAAACGGUGUCCGAGGUGGCCACGAGGUAGGGGCCCACGCCCGUACCAGGAGGGCGCGCCCCCACCCUCGUGGGCCACCCGUAAGGCGGUUGAUGCCCUUCUUCGGCCGCAAGAAAGCUAAUUUUUGGAAAAAAAUCACGGCCAAGGUUUCAGUACAAUCGGAGUUACGGAUCUUCGGAUAUAAAAGAAACAGUGAAAGGGCAGCAGAACAGAACACAAAAAUAAAGAGAGACAGAGAGACAGAUCCAAUCUCGGAGGGGCUCUCGCCCCUCCCACGCCAUGGAGGCCAAGGACCAGAGGGGAAACCCUUCUCCCAUCUAGGGAGGAGGUCAAGGAAUAAGAAGACGAAGGGGCCCUCUCUCCCCUUCUCUUCCGGUGGCGCCGAAACGCCGCCGUGGCCAUCAUCAUCACCACAAUCUUCACCAACAACUUCACCGCAUCAUCACCAACUCUUCCCCCCUCUAUGCAGCGGUGUAACCUCUCUCUUACCCGCUGUAAUCUCUACUUAAACAUGGUGCUCAACGCUAUAUAUUAUUUCCCAAUGAUGUGUGGCUAUCCUAUGAUGUUUGAGUAGAUUUGUUUUGUCCUUUGGGUUAUUUGAUGAUCAAGAUUGGUUUGAGUUGCAUGUUUUAUUAUUGGUGCUGUCCUAUGGUGCUCUCUGUGUCGCGCAAGCGUGAGGGAUUCCCGCUGUAGGGUUUGCAAUAUGUUCAUGAUUUGCUUAUGGUGGGUGGCGUGAGUGACAGAAGCACAGACCCGAGUAAGUAGGUUGUUUGCGUAUGGGAUAAAGGGGACUUGAUACUUUAAUGCUAUGGUUGGGUUUUACCUUAAUGAUCUUUAGUAGUUGCGGAUGCUUGCUAGAGUUCCAAUCAUAAGUGCAUAUGAUCCAAGUAGAGAAAGUAUGUUAGCUUAUGCCUCUCCCUCAAAUAAAAUUGCAAUAAUGAUUACCGGUCAAGUUAUCGAUUGCCUAGGGACGAAUAACUUUCUCGUGACAAAAAGCUCUCUACUAAAACUAAUUUAGUUGUGUCUUUAUCUAAGCAGCCCCUAGCUUUUAUUUACUCGCUCUUUACUUUCUUGCAAACCUAUCCAAAAACACCUACAAAGUACUUCUAGUUUCAUACUUGUUCUAGGUAAAGCGAACAUCAAGCAUGCGUAGAGUUGUAUCGCUGGUCGAUAGAACUUGAGGGAAUAUUUGUUCUACCUUUAGCUCCUCGUUGGGUUUGACACUCUUACUUAUCAAAAGAGGAUACAAUUGAUCCCCUAUACUUGUGGGUUAUCAGUUGCGAGAGUAAUAACUAAGGGAAACUUAAGGUGGCUACUUUAAUACACAUCUGGGUGGAUUGGUUGCGGGCACCUGGAGAAUCCAGUGUUGUCUUAGGAUAUCCCGGAGUACCCAUGUGAUCAUCCUAUGGAAUGCCACCCAGGCUCAAAGGGAUCAUAAUAUUGUUCAUGCUAGAAACUUCCGUGUGCAGCCACAAGCCAUUAUGGGCUCUGGCAUAGUUGAGUAUGUUGUGUGACCUCUUUCAGUGGUAGGCUAGCAGAUGUAGGAGAAAGUAGGUGGUACUGUCUACCUAGAGUAAAGAGUUAAUGCUUCAGAAAGACCGUGUCUCGAUCAUCCGUUUCUCAAACAUCAAGUAGUGCGAGAAAUCCAACAGAGGAGAUCGAGUCUUGUGGGGAAAAGUGCGCAAACCUCUGGAGAGUGUACAAACUAAUCAUGAUUAGCCAUGUCCCCGGUUAUGGACAUCUUGAGUAUCUGGUAUUUGAAUUAUUGAUUGAUCUCAUCACUCUACUUAAUAAAUUUGUUGGGUUAUUAAUAUUCUUUUGGGAUUGAGUUGGGGAAACCUUCUCAAUAAUGGCAUAAACUUUGUAGUCAAAUAAAAUCUAUUCCUUUGUUGUAGGAAAAAAUUAGCUUUAUGCAAAUGUUAAACUUACAACCUCCACCAGCCAUAUAUUGCAUGUAGUGAUAGUUGUUGUUCAUUCAUUGCUCUAUAGUGUUAUCUUGCCAGCAUAUUCCAUGUGCUGACCUACACGGCUGCAACGUAUCAUGUUGCAUAAUUUUUCAGACGAAGAUUAAGGUGCGCUAGGUCGUUGUCAUGCACUCAGUUUUGCCGUGGAGUUGGAUGGACUCAUUUAUCUUUGAAGCUUCCGCAGUUAUUUAGAUAGCCUUCAGCCAUAUUAUUGUAAUAAGUACUCUUUAUGAGACUCUCGAUGUAAUAAGGGUGUGAUUGAACUCUGCUAUAAAUCCUCGAGUACUGUGUGUGUCAGCAAUACCAAUCCAGGGAUGACACUUAAGCACAGAGACUUCGGUCCAUUGGGAUCGGGUCGCUACACUUUUAUGGUCAUGCACCCUUAAAGAGUGGUCUAUUUUUGUUGAAUCUCGAUUGUAGUGUGAUAACCCACAAGUAUAGGGGAUAAAUUGUAGCCUCUUUUGAUAAGUAAGAGUGUCGAACCCAACGAGGAGCUAAAGCUAGAACAAAUAUUCCCUCAAGUUCUAUCGACCACCGAUACAACUCUACGCACGCUUAACGUUCGCUUUACCUUGAACAAGUAUGAAACUUGGAGUACUUUGUAGGUGUUGUUGGAUAGGUUUGCAAGAAUAUAAAGAGCACGUAAGUAAAAAGUAGGGGCUGUUUAGAUAAAGACACAACUAAAUUAGGUUUAGUAAAGAGCUUUUUGUCAUGAGAAAGUUAUUUGUCCCUAGGACAUCGAUAACUAAACCGGCAAUCAUAAUUGCAAUUUUAUUUGAGGGAGAGGCACAAGGUAACAUACUUUCUCUUCUUGGAUCAUAUGAUGAAGGAAAUAUGCCCUAGAGGCAAUAAUAAAGUAAUUAUUUAUUUCUUCAUAUCAUUAUAAAUCUUUAUUAUUCAUGCUAGAAUUGUAUUAACCGGAAACUUAAUACAUGUGUGAAUACAUAGACAAACAUAGUGUCACUAGUAUGCCUCUACUUGACUAGCUCGUUGAUCAAAGAUGGAUGGGUUUCCUAGCCAUAGACAUGAGUUGUCAUUUGAUUAACGGGAUCACAUCAUUAAGAGAAUGAUGUGAUUGACUUGACCCAUUCCGUUAGCUUAGCACUUGAUCGUUUAGUUUACUGCUAUUGCUUUCUUCAUGACUUAUACAUGUUCCUAUGACUAUGAGAUUAUGCAACUCCCGAUUAUCGGAGGAACACUUUGUGUGCUACCAAACGUCACAACGUAACUGGGUGAUUAUAAAGGUGAUCUAUAGGUGUCUCUGAUGAUACUUGUUGAGUUGGCAUAGAUCGAGAUUAGAAUUUGUCACUCCGAUUGUCGGAGAGGUAUCUCUGGGCUCUCUCGGUAAUGCACAUCACUAUAAGCCUUUCAAGCAAUGUGACUAAUGAGUUAGUUGCGGGAUUAUGCACUACGGAAUGAGUAAACAGACUUGCCAGUAACAAGAUUGAGCUAGGUAUUGAGAUACCGACGAUCGAAUCUUGGGCAAGUAACAUACCGAUGACAAAGGGAACAACAUAUGUUGUUAUGCGGUUUGACCGAUAAAGAUCUUCAUAGAAUAUGUAGGAACCAAUAUGAGCAUCCAGGUUCCUCUAUUGGUUAUUGACCGAAGACGUGUCUCGGUCAUGUCUACAUAGUUCUCGAACCCGUAGGGUCCGCACGCUUAAAGUUCUGUGAUGAUCGGUAUUAUGAGUUUAUAUGUUUUGAUGUACCGAAGGUAGUUCGGAGUCCCGGAUAUGAUCAUAGACACGAUGAGGAGUCUCGAAAUGGUCAAGACAUAAAGAUUGAUAUAUUGGAAGCCUAUAUUUGGACGCCGGAAGAGUUCCGGGUGAAAUCGGGAUUUUACCGGAGUGCCGGAGGGGUUACCAGAACCCCCCGGGGGUUAAUGGGCCUAGUUGGGCCCUAGUGGAGAGAGAGAGGCGCCAGCCAGGGUAGGCCACAUGCCCCUCCCCCUUUGGUCCAAAUUGGACUAGGAAGGGGGGCACCCCCCCUUUCCUUCUCCUUCUCCCCUUCCUUUCCCCCUCCUAGUAGGAGUAGGAAAGAGCGGAGUCCUACUCCUACUAGGAGGAGGACUCCUCCUCCUGGCGCACCCUACAGGGACGGCCGGCCUCCCCCCUUGCUCCUUUAUAUACGGGGGCAAGGGGCACCCUAGAACACACAAGUUGAUCAUUGAUCUCUCCCAGCCGUGUGCGGUGCCCCCUUCCACCAUAAUCCACCUCGGCCAUAUCGUAGAAGUGCUUAGGCGAAGCCCUGCGGCGGUAGCUUUAUCAACAUCGUCACCACACCGUCGUGCUGAUGAAACUCUCCCUCGAGCUCUGCUGGAUCGUGAGUUUGCGAGACGUGACCGAGCUGAACGCAGAGGUGCCGUACGUUCGGUACUGAGGAUCGGUCGAUCGUGAAGACGUACGACUACAUCAACGUGUUGUCAUAACGCUUAUGCUUAACGGUCUACAAGGGUAUGUGGAUGACACUCUCCCCUCUUGUUGCUAUGCAUCACCAUGAUCUUGCGUGUGCGUAGGAUUUUUUUAAAUUACUACGUUCCCCAACAGUGGUAUCAGAGCCAGGUUUAUGCGUAGAUGUUAUAUGCACGAGUUGAACACAAAUGAGUUGUGGGCGAUACAAGUCAUACUGCUUACCAGCAUGUCAUACUUUGGUUCGGCGGUAUUGUUGGAUGAAGCGGCCCAGACCGACAUUACGUGUACGCUUACAUGAGACUGGUUCUACCGACGUGCUUUGCACACAGGUGGCUGGCGGGUGUCAGUUUCUCCAAUUUUAGUUGAACCGAGUGUAGCUACGCCCGGUCCUUGAGAAGGUUAAAACAGCACUAACUUGAUGAACUAUCGUUGUGGUUUUGAUGCGUAGGAAAGAACGGUUCUUGCUCAGCCCGUAGCAGCCAUGUAAAACUUGGAACAACAAAUUAGAGGACGUCUAACUUGUUUUUGCAGGGCAUGUUGUGAUGUGAUAUGGUCAAGACAUGAUGCUAUAUUUUAUUGUAUGAGAUGAUCAUGUUUUGUAAUGGAGUUAUCGGCAACUGGCAGGAGCCAUAUGGUUGUCGCUUUAUUGUAUGCAAUGCAACCGCCCUGUAAUUGCUUUACUUUAUCACUAAGUGGUAGCGAUAGUCGUAGAAGCAAUAGUUGGUGAGACGGCAAUGAUGCUACAAUGGAGAUCAAGGUGUCGCGCCGGUGACGAUGGUGAUCAUGACGGUGCUUUGGAGAUGGAGAUCAAUGGCACAAGAUGAUGAUGGACAUAUCAUAUCACUUAUAUUGGUUGCAUGCAAUGUUUAUCCUUUAUGCAUCUUAUUCUGCUUUGAUUGACGGUAGCAUUAUAAGAUGAUCUCUCACUAAAUUUCAUGGUAUAAGUGUUCUCCCUGAGUAUGCACUGUUGCGAAAGUUCGUCGUGCCGAGACACCACGUGAUGAUCGGGUGUGAUAAGCUCUACAUUCAAAUACAACGGGUGUAAGCUAGUUUUGCACACGCAGAAAACUCGGGUUAAACUUGACGAGCCUAGCAUAUGCAGAUAUGGCCUCGGAACACUGAGACCGAAAGGUCGAGCGUGAAUCAUAUAGUAGAUAUGAUCAACAUAGUGAUGUUCACAAUUGAAAACUACUCCAUCUCACGUGAUGAUCGGACAUGGUUUAGUCGAGAUGGAUCACGUGACCACUUAGAUGAUUCGAGGGAUGUCUAUCUAAGUUGGAGUUCUUAAGUAAUAUGAUUAAUUGAACUUUAAUUUAUCAUGAACUUAGUACCUGAUAGUAUUUUGCUUGCCUAUGUUGUUGUAGAUAGAUGGCCCGUGUUGUUGUUCUGUUGAAUUUUAAUGCGUUCCUUGAGAAAGCAAACUUGAAAGAUGAUGGUAGCAAUUACACGGUCUGGGUCCGUAACUUGAGGAUUAUCCUCAUUGCUGCAUAGAAGAAUUACGUCCUGGAAGCACCGCUGGGUGCCAGGCCUGCUGCAGAUGCAACUGACGACGUUAAGAACGUCUGGCAGAGCAAAGCUGAUGACUACUCGAUAGUUCAGUGUGCCAUGCUUUACGGCUUAGAACCGGGACUUCAAGGACGUUUUGAACAACAUGUAGCAUAUGAGAUGUUCCAGGAAUUGAAGUUAAUAUUUCAAGCAAAUGUCCGGAUUGAGAGAUAUGAAGUCUCCAAUAAGUUCUACAGCUGCAAGAUGGAGGAGAAUAGUUCUGUCAGUGAACAUAUACUCAAAAUGUCUGGGUAUAAUAAUCACUUGAUUCAACUGGGAGUUAAUCUUCCGGAUGAUAGUGUCAUUGACAGAAUUCUUCAAUCACUGCCACCAAGCUACAAGAGCUUUGUGAUGAACUAUAACAUGCAAGGGAUGGAUAAGAGAAUUCCCGAGCUCUUCGCAAUGCUAAAGGUUGCGGAGGUAGAAAUCAAGAAGGAGCAUCAAGUGUUGAUGGUCAACAAGACCACCAGUUUCAAGAAAAAGGGUAAAGGGAAGAAGAAGGCUUUGUGUGUUAUUGCUUUCUUCAUGACUUAUACAUGUUCCUAUGACUAUGAGAUUAUGCAACCCCCGAUUACUGGAGGAACACUUUGUGUGCUACCAAACGUCACAACGUAACUGGCUGAUUAUAAAGGUGCUCUACAGGUGUCUCCGAUGAUACUUGUUGAGUUGGCAUAGAUCGAGAUUAGAAUUUGUCACUCGGAUUGUCGGAGAGGUAUCUCUGGGCCCUCCCGGUAAUGCACAUCACUAUAAGCCUUGCAAGCAAUGUGACUAAUGAGUUAGUUGCGGGAUGAUGCAUUACGGAACGAGUAAAGAGACUUGCCAGUAACGAGAUUGAGCUAGGUCUUGAGAUACCGAUUGUCGGUGUACAAAAGUAGGGGCUCUCCUUUUGACCCCUUUACUUGUGCACGGGCAGUCAGAGCCACGCACCGCGGCCACACGUAGCAGGGCCAAGGAGGGAAGCUGGAGAGAAGCCGAAGCCCAACACAAGAUGAUCAAGGCAAUGCCAAGACCAGAAACACAAUACAGCAAAGGGGCGAGGUGGAAUCCCCCGGCAAGGCCCUUGUUGGGGCGGCCUCCGCGGCCCCGGCAAGAGCCUUGCCGGGGCAACUUGCCCAAACACCAACAGAGCGAGCCACCCUUGAGCCCACAGGUUCCGACCCAACCAAUCACAAUUGGGCCAGGGCUCGGGAGGCACCUCUGUGGUGGCAUGCAGAUUUUAGUCAAGACCACGGACAUAUGAGAUCAGAUGAGGACCAGAAGAUGGUGACCCUCGGCGGGAUCCUCGCCGAGGGAAGCCACAAGACCCCCAGCAAGAUCCUUGCCGGGGACGACUGCGCGCCACGGCAAGACCCUUGCCGGGCCCCCGGCAAGGCCUUCGCCGAGGACAUCAGCAGGGCCACUGCCAGGCCCGCACCAACCAAGUUUCCACCGCCGUUCGCAUGCAGCUGCCAGCCCAACCAGCUGGGCUGGCACCUGCGUGGCAACAUGUAGCUUCCAAGCUAGGUCAGCAAGCGCCUGCGUGGCGGCAUGCAGAUCUUCGUGAAGACCCUACCACCGCGCCACCUUAGCUACCUGCCUGCCUACAUGGCGUCGCAUGCAUCGCUGGCCAGGGCGCGUGUCGAAGCAAGGAGGAGCGGCGAUGGACGGGAAGAGCCUCGCUCCCGUCCCCGAUAAAGCUAGGGGACACCUCACCGGCGCAUUAAAUGCGUCUUGUCCUGUAAUACGGGCGAUAAGCUCGCAGUACUGUGUGUCACGCCCAAGAUGGGACCCUAUAACUCAAAGGUCCCACCAAGGAUAGAAGCGCAUCUUGAAGACACUUUUGCAAGGUGGAUAUCAUUACAUCAACAUUACAUAAUAGUGGGGAUACAACCAAGACAUACAAUGUCACAAGAAUACAACAACACAUCAUAUACAAGAUCAACAUCCGACUACGGAUGAAACAUAAAAAGAAACUCAAACAAUAUCCACCCUGCUAGCCCAGGCUGCCGACCCAGAACCUAACCCAAGAUCGACGGAGAAGAAGAACUCCAACACAAGUAAACAUCACUCUCACGUCAUGAUCAUCGCACAACCUGUACCUGCAACUGUUGGUGUAGUAAUCUGUGAGCCACGAGGACUUAGCAAUCCCAUUACCAUGGGUAUCAAGACUAGCAAAGCUUAAUGGGUAAAGAAGGGGUAAAGUGGUGAGGUUGCAGCAGCGACUAAGUAAUGUAUGGUGGCUAACUUACGCAAAUAAGAGUGAGAAGAGAAGCAAAGCAAGCGGUCGUCAACUAGUAAUGAUCAGAAAGUGAUCCUGAACUCCUACUUACGUCAAACAUAACCCAAAAACCGUGUUCUCCUCUCGAACAACCCCGAAAAGAGACAAUCACGGUUACGCACACGGUUGGUGUAUUCUAGAAGAGUUUACUUCAAGUUUACUACAAACGGACAUUAACAAAUUCCCAUCUGCCACAUAACCGCGGGCAGGGCUUUCAAAAGUUCAAACCCUGCAGAGGUGUCCCAACUUAGCCCAUUAUGAGCUCUCACGAUCAAUGAAGGAUAUUCCUUCUCCCGGGAAGACCCGAUCAGUCUCGGAAUCUCGGUUACAAGACAUUUCGACAAUGGUAAAACAAGACCAGCAAAGCCGCCCGAUGUGCCGACAAUCCCGAUAGGAGCUGCACAUAUCUCAUUCUCAGGGCAACACCGGAUGAGACAUCCUACGAGUAAAACCAGCCCUCAAGUUUCCGCAAGGUGGCCCCGCAGUCUACUCGUUUCGGGCCAACACUUAGAGAAGCAUUACCCCGGGGGGGGGGCUAAAAUAAAGAUGACCCUCGAGAGUGCAACUCCCGAGGGAAAAGUAGGUGGUGGUGAGGCAAAUGGUAAAACCAAGGUUGGGCCUUGCUGGAGGAAUUUUAUUCAAAGCGAACUGUCAAGGAGGUCCCAUAAAUCACCCAACCGCGUUAGGGAUGCAAAAUCCAUGAACAUAAUACCGAUAUGACGGAAACUAGGGUGGCAAGAGUGGAACAAAACACUAGGCAUAAGGCCGAGCCUUCCACCCUUUACCAAGUAUAUAGAUGCAUUAAUAAUAUAAGAGAUAUUGUGAUAUCCCAACAUAAACAUAAACCAACAUGGAUCAAUCUUCAUCUUCACCUGCAACUAGCAACGCUAUAAGAGGGGCUGAGAAAAAGCGGUAACAUAGCCAAACAACGGUUUGCUAGGAAGGGUGACAAAGGUUAGAGGUUCGUGGCAAUUUGGGGAGGCUUGAUAAGCAAGUGGUAGGUAAUGCGGCAAAGCAAUAGAAUGAAGCAACUAGCAUAGCAAUGAUAGUAGUGAGAUCCAAGGUGACAGUCAUCUUGCCUGAAAUCCCGCUAGGAAGAAGAACGAGUCCAUGAAGAAGAUGAAGCCACGAAGACGAACCAAGCGUAGUCGAACGAAUCCUCACGGUCGCAACGAAACGGGAACUAUCGAGAGAAGCACACAACAUGGUAAACACACCACACAUGAAUAAGGCAUGAUGCUCAACCAAGUAUGAUGCAUUACAAGGCUACAUGAAGCUACUCAUGGCAAGAGAUGAUGCAUACAAGAACAACACAUCAAAGCAAGUUUAAAUGAGGCCGGAAACAACUUAUAACAAUUCUGGUAAGUCCCCAUAUGCAAAUUCUAAAUUGGUCCAGAUCUGAAUAAACCUUAUGUUCAAGUUUUUAAACAACAAGUUAAGAUGCACCACAAUGAUCUACACGAAAUUCUAGUCAAGUUACAUAUAAAGUUCAUUUAAUUUGGAGCUACGGCCUAGAAGAUAUGAGUAAAACAAGUCAAACAUGGCAUUGAUGCAAAAUGCAUUCAAACAUCAAGCAAACACCUCAAAACGUGGAUGCAACAAGGUAUCAUGAUGCUACAUGCAAAACUAAGCAAGUUUCAUAUAGAGCACACUCAAAACGGAGCAACGGUUCAACACAUACACAUGGAACAAGUUUAAAUGACAAGCUGUCCAAAACAGCAACUAGGCAUCUUGCAAGCACCAAAACAACAUGCUACAACACCACAACAUGAAAAACAAAAGGCAUGGACAUGAUGUACAGGUAAAGCAUAACAAAACAUGAACACUGAGCUAUCUCGAGAAAUAACUAGAACAUGCUCAAAAGGACAUGCCAAGAUUGCAAAUAAUAACAGUUCACAGACUUAGUGGAAAUCACUGGACAUGACAGAAAUAACAUCAGGUUGCAAAGUUUAGAGCUAUCAAACAACAUGCUACAUGAACUUAUCAUGGCAACCAAAGGCAUGGAAUGAAUCUACUAAUUGCAUAUAGCAAAUGUCCCUUACUGAUCAUGAGCCAAAAAGGCACAGAAGAUAUGAUAGCACCCAUGUAAACAUAGCAAGUUUCGUUACAGAUUCAGACUUGGUGAAAAUAACAGUACAUGGCAUAAACAGAAUUAUGAAGGCAUCUUUGUGAUCUUGAAUCACUCAUCACAAAGCAUUGCAUGACAAUAUAAGCAUAUCAUCAGCAAGAAGGCAUGUUCAUGAAGCUAAAAAUGGCAAGAGCAAGCUCAUAGCAUGCUUGGAUCACUAACAACAACCAUGGCAAAAUUGCUUAACAUGUAAACAAUCUGCCAGGAACAUCUUAUAGCAAAAGUAGAGCAAUAUUAAGACAUGCUAGAGCACUCUAUAAUUGCAACCAGGAGCAUUAAUGGAUAGAGCACAUCCAUAUGUCCAAAACAUCCUUACUGAACAUACUCAAAAGAGGCAUGGAUCUCACUUUAGCAACAUGAAUACAUGGCAUAAAAAUAACAGCAGAACAAAGACUUGCCAAAAUCCUAAGUCACUGAAAUCAGCAACAUCACGGAGCCUAGUUUGCAAGCUUGUGCUAGUCACCACAUAGAUCACAAAAAUACAUGGAAAGCACCCCUGUAAAGAUGGCAUGGCAUAGAUCAAAACACAUGUAGAGCUCAUAACCAUAUGAUGCACACAACAAAUGUGACAAAAAUGACAAAUCAACAUAAUCUGAUAAGUACCAGCAGUAAACAUUAUAUAGCACUAUUGCAUCAGAGAUUUGGGAAUCAAUACAGACUCAAAAAAGCAUGUCACAAUGGAACAAAGUAAAGAGCAUCUUAUGAUGAACAUUUUGAUAUAUCAUAUGCACAAAUCGGAGUAAUGAGCAGUAAGUUACGGACGGUCAAACAAGUGCACAUAUCAUCACAAAUCUGGGGACUUGGAAGAAAUUUACCAGGCAAGAUCUAGGCUUGACCUCGCGGCACGCGAACCGAGGUCAACGGAAAAAUCGCCGGCGUUGGAGGCGGUCGCCGGAGAAGGACGAGGGCAGCCGGAUCCAUGCGGCAGGGCGCCGGAUCUGGCCGGGAGGAGAUCGGGGACGCGACCCCGGGCGGCGGGGUACGGNNNNNNNNNNNNNNNNNNNNNNNNNNNNNNNNNNNNNNNNNNNNNNNNNNNNNNNNNNNNNNNNNNNNNNNNNNNNNNNNNNNNNNNNNNNNNNNNNNNNNNNNNNNNNNNNNNNNNNNNNNNNNNNNNNNNNNNNNNNNNNNNNNNNNNNNNNNNNNNNNNNNNNNNNNNNNNNNNNNNNNNNNNNNNNNNNNNNNNNNNNNNNNNNNNNNNNNNNNNNNNNNNNNNNNNNNNNNNNNCGUUGACCCGCGGGUGGCGCGCGGGAGGAGAUGGGCCCGAUCCGAGCCUCGCCGGGCCGGCAGCGCGGGGCGGCGGAGGGAGACAUAUGUCAGCCCUGAAGUGGCUGGGCGGUGGCGGCGGACAUGUCCGUCGGUGGGAUAUUUGUCCGGCGGCGCGAGGGGAGCGAGGUUAGGGUUUCAUCUGCGGAAAUUUCGGGGAGGGGCACAUAUUUAUAGGUAGGAGGAGGUAGGAGUGUCCAAAUGGAGUGCGGUUUUCGCCCACACGAUCGUGAUCGAACGACCGAGAGCAUGGAGGGGGUUUGGAUGGGAUAUUGGGCCACUUUGGAGGGGUGUUGGGCUGCACACAAAAGAGGCCUUUGCGGCUACCCGGUUAACAGUUGGAGUAUCAAACAGACUCCAAAUGGCACGAAACUUGAUAGGCGGUCUACCGGUGGUGUACCUAGGCCGCUUGGCAAACCUCGGUCCAUUACGAGAACGUUUAACGCCCGCUCACAACAAGAGACAAAAGGGGGACGCCGCAGGACAUAGGAGUGUCGGAUUGCAAAAACGGACAACAGGGAAAAUGCUCAGAUUCAUGAGACGAACACGUAUGCAAUGCAAUGGACAUGAUGACAUGGCAAAAUGCAACACACAAGCACAUGACAUGGCAACGACGGCGAAUAACUGGCGAACACCUGGCGCAUCAAAUUCGGGGCGCUACAGUGUGCCUUUCCACCUCCUGUGUGCCACUAUGGCAGCCCCUUUCAACUAUAAAAGGAGGCCCAUGGCAUACUGGAGGGGGAUUCAGCUCCUUUGAACGACGCAGCCACCAUAGCUAGUUGGAGUGCUCAAGAGCACUCAAUACUUCCACCAAAGCAGGACUAGGGUUUUACGCAUCCUCACGGCCCGAACCUGGGUAAACGAUCCUUGUGCUGACUAUUAUCCCUGCUCUUCUCACAACCCUGCGCCCCGGCAACCGUAGGAGGGAUUCUCGUGAUCCCAUAGGUGUCAUUUCCCACUGACAUCUUUGGCGCGCCAGGUAGGGGGCGCGAAUUGUGAGAAUCUGGUCUGGCAAUUAGCCUAGCAGUUCUUCAUCACCAUGGCUCCCAAGAAGAAGACGAUCGCGGCGGUCGGCUCAUCGGGAGCCGAACGGCCCGUGCAAGUGCGGGCGAGCAGCGGGCCGAUUGCGGACAGGACCCGUGCCGCAGUCCGCGAGCACCAGCAUUGCUCUAGCAGUCAGAGCCUGGCGGGCGGCGUCGUUCGUGCGCUAGGCGACGGGCCGCACGCCACUAAAUCCAAAGACGGACCUGGGCCCCCUGCAGGCGGCACGGGGCCCUCCAGGAGUGUCGUUGUGCCACCCACGGGCGGCACAGCAACCUCCAAGAUGCCCAUGUCGGCGCCCACAUCGCGCUCUUCCCAGGGUGCACGCGGCGAGCAGCGCCGCCAUGCUAGAGACCCCGGGCACCGCCGUGGGAAGAGCCAUGUGCAUCGUCCGCGGGACGAAGGAGUCCAGCAUGCUCGCCGAAGCGCUGGUGAAAAUGGCACGCAGCCGCUAGGCCGUGGUAGAGCUCCUUCUCACGUAGUUAGAAGUCGAAGCACGCCAUGGUCCAUGCAGCUGUCGCCACCACCCACGCCAGCAGAAGCUUUGGCGCACGCGCAGCUGCUUCUCGACUUCCCUCCUGCUGCGGAGAAGCUCGACAAGUGGAGAGCCACCAUCCGGAGCCUCAUCGCCGUCACCAAUAAAGAUGAUCCACGACCGGCGGGGCCUUCGGGCCGGCGCUCCAUUGAACCACCGCAUGCCAGCGGUGGAGGGGCCGGGGGUGCAGCGGCCAUGGUGCACUCUCCUCCUCCACGCCAGCCUCCGUGGGUGUCGGUCCGUCGCGAUGACGCUUGUGAUAAUAUUUCCAUAGCGUCGUCUGACCCACGGACCCUCCGCGACCAGCGUCGCGAUGACGUAUCAAUGAGCUCACGAAGAUGCUUGGACCACUAUUGAGCGCCGGCGUGAUACACGCCACCAGUCGGACAAGCGGGCGGGACCGGCUAUGGACCACCCAACACCGAGGGGCUCCGGUGACCUACCUUACGAGGUGGGCUGCCCAGCCUUUACCCGUGAGCUGCGGCAGUUCCAGUGGCCGUCCCACCGCAUGUUCAAGCCUGACGUCGGCGAGAAGUACACUGGCAAGGCCCAUCCUUCAGAGUUCCUUAGCAUCUACACCAUCGCGAUGCAGGCUGCCGGAGCUCGUGACAACAAGGUGCUUGCCAAUUACUUCCCAUUGGCACUGAAGCCCAAUGUCAUGUAUUGGUUUAUGCACUUGUUGAUACGUCUCCAUCGUAUCUAUAAUUUUUUAUUGUUCCAUGCCAAUAUUAUUCAACUUUCAUAUACUUUUGACAACUUUUUAUAAUAUAUUUGGGACUAACAUAUUGAUCCAGUGCCCAGUUCCAGUUCCUGUUUGUUGCAUGUUUUAUGUUUCACAGAAACCCCAUAUCAAACAGAGUCCAAAUGGGAUAAAAACGGAGAGAGAAUUAUUUUGGAAUAUUUGUGAUUUUUGGGAAGUAAAAUCAAUGCGAGACGGUGCCCGAGGUGGCCACGAGGGUGGGGCCCAUGCCCACUCCAAGUGGGCGCGCCCCCCACCCUCGUGGGCCCCUCAUAAGGCGGUUGAUGCUCUACUUUGGCCACAAGAAAGCUAAUUCUUGGAAAAAGAUCUGGGCGAAAGAUUCAACCCAAUCAGAGUUACGGAUCUCCGGAUAUAAAAGAAAUGGUGAAAGGGCGGCAGAACAGGAACGCAGAAACAGAGAGAGACAGAGAAACAGAUCCAAUCUCGGAGGGGCUCUAGCCCCUCCCAUGCCAUGGAGACCAAGGACCAGAGGGGAAACCCUUCUCCCAUCUAGGGAGGAGGACAAGGAAGAAGAAAACUAAGGGGCCCCCUCUCCCCUUCUCUUCCAGUGGCGCCGGAACGUCGCCGUGGCCAUUAUCAUCACCGCAAUCUUCACCAACAACUUCACCGCCAUCAUCACCAACUCUGCCCCCCUCUAUGCAGCGGUGUAACCUCUCUCUUACCCGCUGUAAUCUCUACUUAAACAUGGUGCUCAACGCUAUAUAUUAUUUCCCAGUGAUGUAUGGCUAUCCUAUGAUGUUUGAGUAGAUCUGUUUUGUCCUAUGGGUUAUUUGAUGAUCAAGAUUGGUUUGAGUUGCAUGUUUUAUUAUUGGUGCUGUCCUAUGGUGCUCUCCAUGUCGCGCAAGCGUGAGGGAUCCCCACUUUAGGGUGUUGCAAUACGUUCAUGAUUUGCUUAUAGUGGGUUGCGUGAGUGACUGAAACACAAACCCGAGUAAGGGGGUUGUUGCGUAUGGGAUAAAGAGGACUUGAUGCUUUAAUGCUAUGGUUGGGUUUUACCUUAAUGAUCUUUAGUAGUUGCGGAUGCUUGAUAGAGUUCCAAUCAUAAGUGCAUAUGAUCCAAGUAGAGAAAGUAUGUUAGCUUAUGCCUCUCCCUCAAAUAAAAUUGCAAUAAUGAUUACCGGUCUAGUUGUCGAUUGCCUAGGGACAAAUAACUUUCUCGUGACAAAAAGCUCUCUAAUAAAACUAACUUAGUUGUGUCUUCAUCUAAACAGCCCCUAGCUUAUAUUUUCGUGCUCUUUACUUUCUUGCAAGCCUAUCCAAAAACACCUACAAAGUACUUCUAGUUUCAUACUUGUUCUAGGUAAAGCGAAUGCUAAGCUUGUGUAGAGUUGUAUCAGUGGUCGAUAGAACUUGAGGGAAUAUUUGUUCUACCUUUAGCUCCUCGUUGGGUUCGACACUCUUACUUAUCAAAAGAGGCUACAAUUGAUCCCCUAUACUUGUGGGUUAUCAAGACCUUUUUCUGGCGCCGUUGCCGGGGAGCAAUAGCAUGGGGUGACUAUUCUCGUGUGUGCUUUUUUGCUUUAUCAUUAAUUAAUUUUUAUUUGCUGUUCUUAGUUGUUUUCUAUCUUUAGUUAUGGGUAGGAAACACAAAAUACCAAAAAAAUUAGUUGUACCUACUGAACCAAUGGUUGAAGAACCACUCAAAAUCUAUCACACUCCUGAAGCUUAUUACUUGGAUCAUCUACGAUCCCUAUGUGCUCGUGAUGAAACCCCAACUAGCUUAGUUGAGGGCAAAUCCUUAGAUGAGCAUGCUUGUUAUGUGCGACACCGUAUAUCUGAAAAAGGGAAACUUUUACUGGAUCAAAUUCAUCGUUUGCAAUGCUAUGCCUGGAGUUUAUGUUAUAUUUAUGAUGUUACUUGUUGUUCUGAAGACCCUAAGAAACACCUUCCCUACCAAUGUGAGUUUAUUGAUAUUGGAAUCUUAUCUUCGUAUGCUAAAGGUGUUUAUAGUUACUAUGAUGUUCAACAAAUUGAAGAAUUUGUUGCUUUUAAGGGUGCUUAUGAAAUUUCUUCUUUGAUUGAAGAGUACGAUGCUACUCUUUACAAAUCUGAAAAUUUUGCCAUACUUAAAUAUUGCUAUGAUAAUUAUGCUUCUAAUGCCUAUGUUGAACCAUAUAUUGAGGACUACUCCGCUGUCCAAGAAGAGACUAAUAUUUUGCAGGAGUCUAUGGAAGAAGAAAUUGAUGAAACUGUGAGCUCAUUGGAUGAAAAAGAUGAGGAGGAGAGCGAAGAACAAAAGGAGGAAGAGCGGAUUAGCUAACCGUGCCCACCUUCUAAUGAGAGUAACUCUUCAACUCAUACAUUGUUUAAUUUCCCUUCGUGCUUACCGAAGGAUGAAUGCUAUGAUGAUUGUUAUGAUCCCGUUGAUUCUCUUGAAAUAUCCCUUUUUGAUGAUGCUUGCUAUGCUUGUGGACAAGAUGCCGAUAUGAACUAUGCUUAUGGAGAUGAACUUGCUAUAGUUCCUUAUGUUAAACAUGAAAUUGUUGCUAUUGCACCCACGCAUGAUAGUCCUAUUAUCUUUUUGAACUCUCCCGACUACUCGAUAUUGAUGGGUUGCCUUUUACCGUUGCACAUGAUGAUUUUGAUGAAUCUAAUAUGCAUGUGCUUGCUGCUCCUACUUGCAAUUAUUAUGAGAGAGGAACUAUAUCUUCACCUCUCUAUGUUUCCCACAUGACAAAAUUACAAGAAACUGUUUAUACUAUGCAUUGGCCUUUACUUUGUGUGCAUUAAUUGUUCUUUUAUGACAUGCCGAUGCAUAGGAAGAGAGUUAGACUUCGUCAUUACAUGAUAUAUUUUCUUUGUGCUCACUACUAAAUUACAAAUCAUUGCUAAUUAAAAUUGGCUUUGAUAUACCUUGGGAUCCGGGUGGAUCCAUUACUUGAGCACUAUAUGCCUAGCUUAAUGGCUUUAAAGAAAGAGUUGCCAGGGAGACAACCCGGAAGUUUUAGAGUGUCAUUUAUUUCUGUUGUGUGCUUUCAUAUAGUUUAAAAACAACAAAAAUAAAGAGGGGAACCCAAAACUUUUUCAAAAAGAAAAGCGAAAGUGAGAAAGACAAGCAUUGUUGAAGUGGGAGCUAGCCUUGAACUUUGUUCAAGCUCACAGAAACUUUGUGAAUCUUGAUUACAGAAACUUUUCAAAAAAAAUAAUUAACCCCUUGUACAAUUCCAUUUUAUUAUAAAAAUAAUGUGCCAAGGUUUUCCUUUAGGAUGUUUACAAUGCUUGUUGGUUUGUACGGUGCAUGACAGAAACUUUGGGUGUAGUGCGUGAAUUUACAUUUUUACUGCAACAUCAAAUGGUUCUGAUUAUUUUUGCACUAUCUUUCUAAACAAUUUUUUUAUUUUUCAUAAUUUUGGCAGAAUUUUUAAAGUACCAGAAGUAUGGUGAAUGUUCAGAUUAUUACUGACCGUUUUGUUUUAGAAAGAUUCUGUUUUUUAUGCAUAGUUUGCUUGUUUUGAUGAAACUAUAAAUUUAUAUCAGUGGAUUAAGCCAUGAAAAAGCUAUAUUAUAGUAGACACAAUGCAAAAACAAAAUAUGAAUUGGUUUUCAACUAUACUUAGAGUAGUGAUUUGCUUUAUUAUACUAACAGAUCUUACCGAGUUUUCUGUUGAAAUUUUGUGUGGAUGAAGUGUUCGAUGAUCGAGAAGGUCUCGAUGUGAGGAGAAGGAAGAGAGGCAAGAGCUCAAGCUUGGGGAUGCCCAAGGCAACCCAAGUAAAUAUUCAAGGAGACUCAAGCGUCUAAGAUUGGGGAUGCCCCGGAAGGCAUCCCCUCUUUAUUCAACAAGUAUCGGUAUGUUUUCGGAUUCGUUUCGUUCAUGCGAUAUGUGCAAUCUUGGAGCGUCUUUUGCAUUUAGUUUUCAUUUUUCUUUUAUGCACCAUGCUGUUAUGAGAUAGUCCUUGGAUGAUUUAUAGAAUGCUUUAUGCACUUCACUUAUAUCUUUUGAGUACGGCUUUAUAGAAUGCUUCAUGUGCUUCACUUAUAUCAUUUGAAGUUUAGAUUGCCUGUUUCUCUUCACUUAGACAACCGCCAUUUGUAGAAUGCUCUUUUGCUUUACUUAUAUUUGUUAGAGCGUGGGCAUAUCUUUUGUAGAAAGAAUUAAACUCUCUUGCUUCACUUAUAUAUAUUUAGAGAGAUAACAUUAAUUGGUCAUUCACAUGGUUAGUCAUAAAAUCCUACAUAAAACUUGUAGAUCACUGAAUAUGAUAUGUUUGAUUCCUUGCAAUGGUUUUGCGAUAUAAAGAUGGUGAUAUUAGAGUCAUGCUAGUGGGUAGUUGUGGAUUAGUAGAAAUACUUGUGUUGAGGUUUUUGAUUCCCGUAGCAUGCACGUAUGGUGAACCGUUAUGUGAUGAAGUCGGAGCAUGAUUUAUUUAUUGAUUGUCUUCCUUAUGAGUGACGGUCGGGGACGAGCGAUGGUGUUUUCCAACCAAUCUAUCCCCCUAGGAGCAUGCGCAUAGUACUUUGUUUCGAUGACUAAUAAAUUUUUGCAAUAAGUAUGUGAGUUCUUUAUGACUAAUGUUGAGUCCAUGGAUUAUACGCACUCUCACCCUUCCAUCAUUGCUAGACUCUUCGGUACCGCGCAUUGCCCUUUCUCACCUAGAGAGUGGUUGCAAACUUCGCCGAUGCAUCCAAGCCCCGUGAUACAAUACGCUCUGUCACACAUAAGCCUCAUUAUAUCUUCAUGUUAUCCCGGAUUGGACGGUUCCUUAUCUGGCGUAUAUGAACCGGGGCGAGUUACCAAAGGAUGAGACCUUGGCCAGGCAGAUAAUCCGGCAAUCCAAAUCCAUGACUAUCAUCAAUGGAGAGUUACAUCAUUGCGGUGUGACAGGGGCAUUUCAGCACUGUGUAUCUCCUGAAGAAGGCUGUGAAAUUCUACGCGAGAUCCACGAAGGAGAUUGUGGUCACCACGUCGGAUCAAAAUCUUUGGUGGCUAAGGCGUUUUGUCACGGUUUCUAUUGGUUAACAGCUCAUGCUGAUGCUGAGGACUUGGUCAGAACAUGUGAUGGCUGCCAGAAAUUCUCAAGACGCGCUCAUGUGCCGUCUCAAGAAUUGAGGAUGAUUCCAAUCACUUGGCCAUUUGCAACUUGGGGGAUGGAUAUGGUUGGGCCUUUCAAGAGGUCCAAGGACAAGAAGACCCACCUUUUGGUGGCGGUUGAUAAGUUCACGAAGUGGGUAGAGGCAGAGCCCGUUAGCAAGUGUGACGCAGCCACGGCGGUUCAAUUCAUCAAAAAAGUGAUCUACCAGUUUGGCUUUCCACAUAGCAUUAUCACUGACAAUGGUACCAAUGUGUCAAAGGGUGCAGGAGUUCUGUCAACGUGAGCACAUCUGGCUUGAUGUAUCAUCAGUGGCUCACCCCUAGUCCAAUGGUCAAGCAAAGAGGGCUAAUUAAGAGAUCUUGUGAGGCAUCAAACCCCGGCUUAUGGUUCCUUUGCAACAGACGCCGGGUUGUUGGGGUGAGGAGCUACCUUCAGUAUUAUGGAGCAUCAAUACCACACCCAACAGAUCGACAAGAUACACACCGUUCUUCAUGGUUUACGGAGCGGAAGUGGUUCUUCCUAGUGACAUCCGUCAUGACUCACCUCGUGUAGCGGCGUAUGUUGAAGCUGACAACGAGAAGGCACGACAGGAAGCUCUUGACCUGUUAGAUGAGGAAUGUGACAUAGCGGCAGCCCUCUCAGCGAUUUAUCAGCAAGAUUUGCAUCGUUAUCACAGCCGCCGGGUUAGAACCAGAACCUUUCAAGAAGGAGAUUUGGUACUUCGGCUCAUCCAGGAUCAGACGGAUAUGCACAAGUUAUCCCCCCCUUGGGAAGGACCUUUUGUGGUCAGCAAGAAUCUACACAACGGGUCGUACUACCUAAUCGAUGUUCGAGAGCACAAAGACUCACGUAAAGCGGAGGAGGAGACCAACCGGCCGUGUAAUAUUGCUCAUCUUCGGCCUUACUAUACUUGAGCUUUAGGCUCUGCUUAUGUACAUAUUAUGACAAUGUAUAUAUUAUGAUCAAUAUAAUAAACCAGAACCUCAGCUAAAGCGGGGUAUCUGUUGUUUUCUUACAUCAUGUGUGGUUACAUGGAGCUUCUGUUUCUAAAGCGGCGUCCGGUUUACCCCUUGAUUUAGCUUCUCAAAGCUUUAUAUUAUAUCACUUGGGGGCUUGGUCAUAUCCGCACCAUAGCUACACCUUUUGAUAGGCGCAAUGCCAUAGCAUCACUUGGGGGCUUGGUCGUAUUCGAACCAUAGUCACACCUCUUGAUCGGCUCAAAGCCAAAAUAAUCUCGGGCCAAAGAGAGUAUUGUAAAACAACAACUCAAACAUGGGUACCCACUAAGCACAGCUCAAAACGUUACUUGGGGAUUCUUUGCUAUUGCAAUGAACCUAGAAUCUACAAUUGUAAUGGGCUAUCAAGCCAUGGCUUGGAAGCCUGGUGUAUACACCUCAAACCCCGGGUUAACCUACCUCUUUAAGUAAGUCACGCUACCCAGGUAAACCUGGUAUGACCCUUCGAACUUUGACAAGUUACUCUAAAAUACAGACCCUGAACUUGUCAAGUUAAAACGAUGAUUGUUUAAGGAUUGCGGACCAUCUUAAAAGGCUUUGCAAAAAUGGUUUAACUCAGUGUCCUAGCAGCCCAUGAAAAGCCUCGAAUUUGGGGCCUGGCAGCCCGUGAAAAGCCUCGACUACAACGGCUUUAUUUGCCUUUGAUAGCCUCGACUACAAUGGUUUUAUUUGCCUUUGAUUGAGUUUUGCUUUCUUUUUGAUAAUAUUUAUGAUGUUUUUAAACCGGUGUUAUUAACCCGGUUAGACUGCCAAUUACAAAUUGACAGUACACGAUCAAAUCAUAAUCCGGAUACUAUCAGCCCGGUCUGGUUUUGAAUCAAAGUCCCAGUAUGGAGUAAACCGGUGUUCAUCAUAACCCGGAACGGUUUUUAUUAUAGACCAGCCUCAUAUAACAUGAUUUACUACUCCUCCAAGAGUUGUGUUAUGACCCUCACUACAAUGUUGGUUAGCCCACCUUAUGCCUAAAAGGUCACAGGUAUUACAUAUAUUUAUGUGUUUGGUUAUCUUUUACAACCUUGGUUACACACCUUGGUCAUAUACAUAUUGGAUAUCAUAAUUAACCCGCCCGGGGGUAAAUCGCCAGGGAUCUUUGAGCUUUUAUCUGCAGGAACAACUUGAAUAAAUGGCUAUGGAUUAUGAAUAUCAUAUCUUAAACAUGUCGGAUUAAGCAAGCAUCAGUCGCAGAUAAAUAUGCACGAAGGCAUACCAGACCAAGUAUUUUAACUAGCCUAUUGCAAGGUGUUCCAGUGCCCAAAAGGAUAAUUUUUUUCUCAAAUACAUGUUGCAGCAUGUAGAAGAUUAAACCAGCCUCCGGUUCAUGAUUGGUCACCAGCUUGGCCUAAUGGUUGUGGAUCAUCUCGCGCCGGUUCAGCUUCUUCUUCUCUACCCAGUGGCUGGAAAUCAGCAGUUGCCCAGUUGAUCCCAGUUAGGGUUGGAAUAUAGCUCCAUCACUUAUCAUCAUGGACGGUUCAAUGUCAGGGGCAUAAGUGUGCUUACGGAUUGGCGGGAUAAGAUUUUGAGCUUCUAGAAUCAGUGCAGCAACCCACUUGUUCUUGUCAUCAUAGCUUGCUUGAUAGUAUGAAAGGUCUGCUUCUUCAACCAGUUGACAAGCCAAUGGGCGUACUUCCUGGUUUAUGAUCCGGAGAUCAUCUUCGCCAAACUCUGUUCCGUCUUCUUUCAAACUGGGAUAACCUUGGGCCGCUUCAACUGGAUCAAAGUUAGGUACCCAUGCUUUUGCCCGGGUCAGGGCGGCUAAAGCGCCCGUUCUAGCAGCAGACUUUUUUAGCUCGUCUACCCGGGCAGGAAGCAUAGAUAACCGUUUUAAGGUAUCCUUGAUCAAGGUGGGAGGCAGAUUGUUGUGAGACACAGUAUAUAUGAUCCGCCGUGCGCUGGUAUACAACUGCUCUAUCAGAGUAUAGGCUGCUUUCAGUUUCUUCUGAACAUCAGAUCCCAAGUGGCUAAUACGAGUUCCUGUAUCAUUACAAUGAUUAGUAAACUGGAAAAUACAUGCAAGGAUAUAUGGAAAGCCUAAGUCAAGGAUGUUUACCGAAAACAACAACAGUCAUGGCAUGAAUUUGCCGCUUCACACCGGUCAGUUCGUCAACCACCGGUUUAAGUGUCGCUUCUGCGUUCUCAGCUCUUUUUAUCAAAGCGGAUUUUUCAGUUUCCCAAUCCGUCCGCUCUUUGUUGAAGCCUUCUUUCAAUUUUUCCAUAGCGCCUAGAGCGUUGGUCAAUUCUUCUUUUGCCUUGGAAGUUUCAGCCUAUUGGGACUUGAGGUUCUCUCGCAGAUCAGCGGUUUGGCUUUCAUUCUUGCUCAGUUCACCCUAUAAAGAGACAAAUAUAUAAUGAAUUGGCAGUGCAUAUUUGAAGUACCAAGCACAUAACAAGUUAUGCCCUUAGUACUUGGGGGAUAAUGCAUAUUUGCUCUUCAUCAGAAAUUUUUUACAAGUCCCAAGCACAAUACAAGUAUUAAGCUUGGCACUUGGGGGCUAAUGUGCAUUUGAUCAUAAAUUGCGGAGAUGAGAUUUCUUCUACAAAGUCCCGGUUCAUCUUUAUGAAGUUAAACCGGCCAUUGGGGGCUACUUCAGUGAAGUUAAGAUGCCUUGUUGCAAAAAUAGAAUUUUUACUAAGUCCCGGUUCAGAUUGGUAUCUUAAACCGUCACUUGGGGGCUACUGGAGUUGAUAAGCUGCAAUUAAAAAUAAGGGGGAAACACUUAUGAAAUUACCUCAUAUCGUUCCUUCAUCGCAUUUACCAAGCCGGCUUCAUAGUCACGACUGGUGUAUAGACGGUUCAGAUAGCCGGAAUGGAGGUCUUGAGCAUUCAGAUGGGCAUAAGUGGACAGAUCGGCAUUCCAUUUGCCUUGGCCAAUUGCAGAGAAUUCCUCUUUGGCAGUAUGCUUCGACAAAGCGACAGGAUUGCCCGGAGUGGUAUGGCCAGUGCCAGUGAUCAUAACGUCAUCAUCCUUUUCCUCAGCAGCUCAUACUGGAGUUGCCAAUUUAUCAAUAAUUUUCACCGGACUGACCGGUUUGUCAGUCCGGAUAGGGCUGGUUGGCUGGUUACCAUGGCCUGUGGUGUCAAUUUCUACUUGAUCAAUAGCAAAGACAUGAUCUUGAGGCGGCGGGUCAUUCAACAUGUCAUCAAUAUUGGUUUCUUUAGGAUCAGGAGUUUUCUUCGAUUCAACUGCCGCAUCCUCCUCUAUUGGUUUAUUCAGACGAGCCUUCUUGCUUGGUUAGGGCUUGGCACUGAGAAAAAUAAGCAUAAGGAUCAUUACAGUAUAUAUUAAAUAACAUAUCAAGGAUAUAAAUAAGAGUAUGGCUCACCCAAGCACUGUUUUGAGCGGUGGAAGCUUUGUGGCAGACGAUUCACCAGAUGAUGAGUGAGAAGUACCCUGAUAAUUUGAAUCGGAUGGGUUAAGAGGUUGACGAAAACAACCCGCUUUGGGGCGUGAAGAGUCAAGGGAAUAAGAGACCUCUAAACGGCAUUUCUGAACCGAAGUGUUCGAUAAACCGGCGGAGGUAACUACCUGGCCGCUAUGCCGGGUUGUGCAGUGAGCCUCGUGCUAUUGUGUCUUCACAAGAAAGUUCGGAUCCAAGUAAGCAAGAGGAUGAGAAAAUUUAACUUUCCAGUUUGCCCGACGGAUUUUUAGUGUUGGCAAAGGAUUUGAAUCGGAGGAAAGAACGAUUACCUCUACAACAUCGGCUUGGCUGCCUUCAGCGUCGUCCUGACAAUAAUCAUCAUCAAUAAGGCGUAUGAAAAAUGAACCAAGUGAGUCAAGUUCUACAUCUGGUUUCGGAUUACCCACAUCAUCAUCAGCUGGUGGAUCGGAAGAUGUAGUGGUCCUUCUCUUGGCAGGUUUUUUCACAAUUUUAUUUUUUUGACGAGUUGGCUUGACCAGUUUGUCUUGAGGGGGUUUCUUGUUCCAAAAUGGGUCAUCGCCCUGUCAGAAAAUAAUCACACUUUCAGAGAAUAUUUGGACAAAAGCAAUUUCAGAUAAACAGAUUAUGUGAUUCUUACAGCUAGUGGUUUGUUGAUGGUGCGGAAAGGGAGAAGUCCGGUUUGAGCGUAGACAACCUCCGGUUUGUGCAACAUCUUUUUUACAGCUUCAGUGACUUCUUCAUCUGUAAGCUGAAUAUCAAUGUGCCGUUGAGAAUCCUUCAAGCUUCCAGUAUACUCACACAUUAAACUGGGGCGCCGGCUUAAAGGCAGAAUGCUCCAGCUUAUCCAACAACGGGCAAGAUCAACUCCUAUCAAACCGUUCUCUAUGAAAGCUCUAAGCUUUGGUAAUUGUGGAGCAUAGUUAGCCCUUUCUUUUGUAGUCAACCUUUGAGGGAAAGGUUGUGUGUUGCUCAGGUGUUCAGGGCGGUAACCCGGCAGCUGGUUUUCAUCAGGUGGAGAGGUGUCUCUACAAUAAAAUCAAGUGGCGUUCCACUCCUUGGGGUGGCUGUGAAGUUUAGGAUGAGGAGAAGUAACUUCCUUCCUCUUCUGAACCGCCAUCCCGCCCAAUUCAAUGUUGGGUCCAUCUGUGAAUUAUGUACGGCGGUUUAGGUGAAAGAAAUCUCUGAACAUCUCUACUAUAGGUUCCUCUUGAAGGUAAACCUCACAAAAGACUUGGAAGUGGCAGAUGUUGGUCACAGAAUUAGGACCGAUGUCUUGAGGGCGCAGUUGAAAGCUGGCCAGUACAUCCCGGAAAAACUUUGAACCGGGAGGACUGAAACCCCGGCCUAAGUGAUCAGAAAACACAACAACCUCUCCAUCCUUGGGUAUUGGAGGACAAUCCGGGCCAGGGACCCUCCAAUGGAUGACAUCCUUCUUGGCUAAAGCGCCCGUUUUGACAAGAUUGUCUAGCUGCUCUUCGGUUACUCGCGAACGAGCCCAAUUGCAUUCAUAAACUUGCUUGGCCAUGGCAAUGAAAGAUCUACAACAGGAUAAUUGCCGGUUUAAGAUUUACAGUGGACAACUACAUAGCGGUAUAAGGGUGUAAGCAUGCUGUUAAACCAGAGUUGGCUAAUCAUAAACCGGAGUUUGCUAAACGUAGAAUAUAAAUGUGAAGUACAUUGGCGAUUCAACAAGGGGACUAAUGGUAUAUACUGGGUUGUCGUUUUUCUAAAAGUUAAACUGCCUAGUCUGACAUUGAAGAUACAAGCUUACAGAUGUAUAAGUGAAGGAAAAACAAAUUUCACAAGUUGGCAUUAUAAUUUUGGAUCUACCGCAUAUCAGAAAAGGAAAAUAUAUUCAAACCUAAGAAGUAGUACCGAAACAGUGGAUGAAGGUUCAGAUGGGAUCUUCUAUUUAAAUGGGAUGCAUAGAUGGAAAGAGAGACUAAGGCUAUCACUAUACAGAGCAGAUAUUCAAGGUUCUAUCAAGAGCCAUUAUGUGAACAAAGAACACCGACGAACACCGAAGAACACCGAAACCCUAGAAACAGAUCUAUGGUGGAAGAAUGGAAAGCUUACCGAUGCUAAUGGAAGAACGGAGAAGUGCAGCAGUUCUCUGGUACGCUCAGGGUGAUGCAGAGGCCGGAGUUGAGGCAGUGGCGACGGUCGAUGGUGGCGGCGGAGUGCCAGAGGUUGAGCAGCGCGAGGAAGACGACGACGCAAAGAGGCACGAGGGAAAAAAAGGAAAAUGACCCCUCAGCCCUAUUUAUAAGAGAAGUGGACAAAAUGGCAGACACGAGAAUCGAGGAGCCCAAAAAUGGGUGUCUGACAGCUUUGUUGCCUCGAUUGUCGGAGGCCCAUUAAUGAAGAUGAGUAUAUGCAGUUAAAAAUAACAAAUGAUGUCAUGGCGGUUUACCAUGGUCUUGGAAGAUGACGUCCUGGCGGUUUACAAAUUGUGUGAAGAUGUUGAAGAAGAAAUCUUAUUAAGUGCUUAGGACUGACAUGAACCAGUUCAAAUCAGUCUGGGGCCUAAUGUUGAGGAUGUUACCACUAGGCGUGAACCGGCCAGGAGAGACCGGGUUAACUCCAUUGGUAGUUCAUUAUAUCUGAAGCCCAUGAAGAUAGACGAUGACGCUAUAUGAAGGCCCAGGGCCCAGAGCGGAUUUAAGGCCUGUAGACAUAAACCGGCAUUGACAAUAUAACUUGUACUAUAAGGUAGAAAGAACGGAGACCGAGCCGGACACGUUUAUGAGCCGGCCUCGGAACUCUGUAAACCGACGGGCGUCAACCCAUGUAUAUAAGGGGACGACCCGGCGGCGGUUCAGGACAAUAGACAACAACUCGAGACUCAGGCAAAGCGUAUUCGCUCCCUGGUCAUCGAAACCCCAUAAAUUCCAUCACAACUAGACGUAGGCUUUUACCUUCAUUGUAAGGGGCCGAACUAGUAUAAAACUCUCUUGCGUCCCUUGUCCGCUUAAACCCCUUUAAGCUAACCCGUAGUGAUGGCUCCACGAUGAAGUCCUUUCAUGAGGACAUCUGCCGUGACAAAACCAUGACACUACCUAUCAUGGCAUUUCCAUAGCCAUUCUGAGAUAUAUUGCCAUGCAACUUCCAUCAUCAUCAUAUACAUGACUUGAGCAUUUAUUGUCAUAUUGCUUUGCAUGAUCGUAAGAUAGCUAGCAUGAUGUUUUCAUGGCUUGUCUGUUUUUUGAUGCCAUUGCUACGCUAGAUCAUUGCACAUCCCGGUACACCGCCGGAGGCAUUCAUAUAGAGUCAUAUCUUUGUUCUAGAUAUCGAGUUGUAAUAUUGAGUUGUAAGUAAAUAAAAGUGUGAUGAUCAUCAUUAUUAGUGCAUUGCCCCAGUGAGGAAAGGAUGAUGGAGACUAUGAUUCCCCCACAAGUCAGAAUGAGACUCCGGACUUUAUAAAAAUCAAAGAGGCCAAAGAAGCCCACCAAAAAAAGGAAAAAAAUGAGAGAAAAAGAGAGAAGGGACAAUGUUACUAUCCUUUUACCACACUUGUGCUUCAGAGUAGCACCAUGUUCUUCAUAUAGAGAGUCUCUUGAGUUAUCACUUUCAUAUACUAGUGGGAAUUUUCAUUAUAGAACUUGGCUUGUAUAUUCCAAUGAUGGGCUUCCUCAAAUGCCCUAGGUCUUCAUGAGCAAGCAAGUUGGAUGCACACCCACUUAGUUUUAGUUUGAGCUUUCAUACACUUAUAGCUAUUAGUGCAUCCGUUGCAAGGCAAUCCCUACUCACUCACAUUGAUAUCUAUUAUUGGGCAUCUCCAUAGCCUGUUGGUACGCCUAGUUGAUGUGAGACUUUCUCUUUUUUUGUCUUCUCCACAUAACCCCCACCAUCAUAUUCUAUUCCACCUAUAGUGCUAUGUCCAUGGCUCACGCUCAUGUAUUGCGUGAAAAUUGAAAAAGUUUGAGAUUACUAAAGUAUGAAACAAUUGCUUGGCUUGUCAUCGGGGUUGUGCAUGAUGUGAAUAUUUUGUGUGGUGAAGAUGGAGCAUAGCCAGACUAUAUGAUUUUGUAGGGAUAACUUUCUUUGGCCAAGUUAUUUUGAAAAGACAUGAUUGCUUUAUUAGUAGGCUUGAAGUAUUAUUGUUUUUAUGUCAAAUGAUAGACUAUUGCUUUCAAUCACUCGUGUCUUAAUAUUCAUGCCAUGAUUAGAUACAUGAUGAAGAUUAUGCUAGGUAGCAUUCCACAUCACGAAUUAUCUUUUUUUGUCUUUUACCUACUCGAGGACGAGCAGGAAUUAAGACCUAGGAUGCUGAUACAUCACCAUCGUAUCUAUAAUUUUUUAUUGUUCCAUGCCAAUAUUAUUCAACUUUCAUAUACUUUUGGCAACUUUUUAUACUAUUUUUGGGACUAACAUAUUGAUCCAGUGCCCAGUGCCAGUUCCUGUUUGUUGCAUGUUUUAUGUUUCGCAGAAACCCCAUAUCAAACGGAGUCCAAACGGGAUAAAAACGAAAGGAGAAUUAUUUUGGAAUAUUUGUGAUUUUUGGGAAGUAAAAUCAACACAAGACGGUGCCCGAGCUGGCCACGAGGGUGGGGCCCAUGCCCACUCUAGGUGGGUGCGCCCCCCAACCUCAUAGGCCCCUCGUAAGGCGGUUGAUGCUCUACUUUGGCCGCUAGAAAGCUAAUUUUUGGAAAAAGAUCUGGGUGAAAGAUUCAACCCAAUCGGAGUUACGGAUCUCCGGAUAUAAAAGAAACGGUGAAAGGGCAGCAGAACAGGAACGCAGAAACAGAGAGAGACAGAGAGACAGAUCCAAUCUCGGAGGGGCUCUCGCCCCUCCCACGCCAUGGAGGCCAAGGAUCAGAGGGGAAACCCUUCUCCCAUCUAGGGAGGAGGUCAAGGAAGAAGAAGAUGAAGGGGCCCCCUCUCCCCUUCUCUUUCGGUGGCGCCAGAACGCCGCCGUGGCCAUCGUCAUCACCGCAAUCUUCACCGACAACUUCACCGCCAUCAUCACCAACUCUCCCCCCUCUAUGCAGCGGUGUAACCUCUAUCUUACGCGCUGUAAUCUCUACUUAAAUAUGGUGCUCAACACCAUAUAUUAUUUCCCAAUGAUGUUUGGCUAUCCUAUGAUGUUUGAGUAGAUCUGUUUUGUCCUAUGGGUUAUUUGAUGAUCAAGAUUGGUUUGAGUUGCAUGUUUUAUUAUUGGUGUUGUCCUAUGCUGCUCUCCGUGUCGCGCAAGCAUGAGGGAUCCCCGCUGUAGGGUGUUGCAAUACAUUCAUGAUUCACUUAUAGUGGGUUGCGUGAGUGACUGAAACACAAACCCGAGUAAGGGGGUUGUUGCGUAUGGGAUAAAGAGGACUUGAUGCUUUAAUGCUAUGGUUGGGUUUUACCUUAAUGAUCUUUAGUAGUUGCGGAUGCUUGCUAGAGUUCCAAUCAUAAGUGCAUAUGAUCCAAGUAGAGAAAGUAUGUUAGCUUAUGCCUCUCCCUCAAAUAAAAUUGCAAUAAUGAUUACCGGUCUAAUUAUCGAUUGCCUAGGGACAAAUAACUUUCUCGUGACAAAAAGCUCUCUACUAAAACUAACUUAGUUGUGUCUUCAUCUAAACAGCCCCCAGCUUUUAUUUUUGUGCUCUUUACUUUCUUGCAAGCCUAUCCAAAAACACCUACAAAGUACUUCUAGUUUCAUACUUGUUCUAGGUAAAGCGAACAUUAAGCGUGCGUAGAGUUGUAUCGGUGGUCGAUAGAGCUUGAAGGAAUAUUUGUUCUACCUUUAGCUCCUCGUUUUGUUCGACACUCUUACUUAUCGAAAGAGGCUACAAUUGAUCCCCUAUACUUGUGGGUUAUCACUUGCCGGCGGAUUCCAUUUAUUCUUGGUCAGAUAUGUGCCAUGAGUUCGUUGGCGCCUUCACCAGGGGCCACCAAGCUCAUUGCCAGGCCAGUGAUCUGCAUAUCAUUCCCCAGAAGGAAGGGGAAACCCUGUGCAAGUACAUCCAGAGAUUCAGCGGGGUGGAGUACAACAUCCCCGACGUUCAUCCCGCAGCCGUGAUCAGUGCGUUCCAUCAGAAUGUGCGCAACCGCAAGAUGCGCGAAGAGCUGGCGAUGACCAAGUUUAAGGAUGUGGUCGAACUCUAUGUUCUGGCCGAUAAGUGCGUCCGGGCUGAAGAGGGAAGGAAGUACCCCAGCGAGUACGCCGACGCGGAAACCGACUCUACUAAUGAAGACACCGCCGCCCCGACAAAGAAGGGCUGGCGUCGCAAUAGGAGACGCAAGGGCAAGACAGUGCUUGCCGUCGAGGGAUCCGACAGCACCGGCACUACCAAGAAGGCCAAGGCAGACGACCCCAGCAAGGAGAUUGCCGGGUGCGCCGCCUGCUGGGCCUUGGCGGCUGCCGACAAGCCAGGAAGCUCCGACAAGCAGUACUGCGGGAUCCACCGCACCAAGGGCCACGACCUCCAGAACUGCCGACAAGUCGAGCUGCUUGCUGAGAAGCAAAAAGAUGAGUACGAGAGGCCAGGAUGGUGCCAAGGGAUCCGGCAAGAAGCGUGGCGGCCAAGGAGGCCGCCGCGGCAAGGACAACCAGUAAGAGAGGCCCGCCCAGGGCCGUGACAAGAAGCAUGUAGAUGAUGAUCAUGAUGAGGACGACGGGUCCGGCGAGCAAGAGUUCCAGAAGGCUACGAAGGCCAUGUGCAUCGAUGGCGGCGCCUCGCUGCAUACUUCUCACCGCCACCUCAAGCAGUGGGCACGUGAGAUUACAGCAGCGGAGCUGUCGUUCAACGCUCAGAAGCCGCUGAAGUGGUCCAACACACCCCUCAUCUUUGAUGCCGAGGACCACGCUGACCGCACAACCGCGGUCGGGUGUUUGCCGUUGUGGGUUUCGCCAACAAUACGCAACCUCAAGGUGAACAUGAUGUUGGUUGACGGCGGGGCCGGCCUGAACUUGAUCUCGCUCGGCAUGAUCAAAAGGCUGCAAAUUCCCGAUGGAGACCUCUAGGAAAUGGGCACGUUUCAAUGGGUCAAUCCGGGGAGGAGCCACCCGAAGGGAAAGGUCACACUGCCCGUGACGUUUGGAGGAGAGUUGAACUAUAGGACGGAGAGUAUCAUGUUCGAUGUGGCCGAGAUCCCCUUGCCCUACAACGGGAUCCUCGGCCACCCAGCACUAGCCAAGUUCAUGGCGGUGUCGCACUACGCCUACAACACGCUGAAGAUGCCUGGGCCGUUGACCAUCAUCUCCGUCCCCUCCGACAAGAAGGACACACUAAUUUGCACCGACCAACUCUAUCGGGAAGCAGUUGCAGCAGCUGCCGCCAAGGCACUUGCUCCUGCCGCUGAAGCCCCGGGAGGGAAGAAGAAGCCAGGCAAGACCUCUCGCACCCACUCCGGCAAGCACACCUCUUCGGAGUGUUGUGCUACCGUCAAGGACGUGCCAGAAAGCUCCACCGGCAAGAGCAAGAAAUCCAGAGCUGAGCCACCGCAGACCAAGAAGGUGUCCGUUAGGGAGGAUGGUACGGGAGGAGCUUUCACCAUAAGCUCCACCCUCGACAGCAAAUAGGAAGGCGCGCUCGUCACCUUCCUAUGGGCGAAUGUCUACGUGUUUGCAUGGCUAGCAUCCGACAUCCCCGGUGUUCCCAGGGAGGUGAUUGAGCACCACCUAGCUGUCUGUCCUCAUGCGCGGCCCGUCAAGCAGAAGGUCAGGAAGAAGGCUCUGGAAAGGCAGGAGUUCAUCACAGAGGAGAUCAGGAAGUUGGAAGCGGCAGGUUUGGUGAGAGGAGUGCUCCAUCCGACGUGGUUGGCCAAUCCGGUGGUGGUGCGCAAGGCAAAUGGGAAGUGGAGGUUGUGUAUUGACUACACAGAUAUCAAUAAGGCUUGUCCCGAAGAUCCCAUCCCGUUGUUGCGCAUCGACCAGAUUGUUGACUCCAUGGCCGGGUGUGAUCUGUUGUCAUUCCUCGAUGCCUACUCAGGCUACCACCAGAUCUUCAUGACAAGAGAAGACGAAGAGAAGACAUCAUUCAUCACUCCAUGUGGUAUGUAUUGCUUUUUACGGAUGCCUUUCGGGUUGAAGAGUGCUGGCUCGACAUUCGCAAGAGCAGUCCAAAUUAGUUUUGAACCCCAGCUCCAUAGAAAUAUGGAAGCGUAAAUGGAUGACAUAGUGGUCAAAACCAAGGACAGGGCCACUCUUGUACAAGACCUGGAAGAUACGUUUGCCAACCUGCGCAAGAUCAACCUCAAGCUGAACCCUGAGAAGUGCGUCUUCUGCAUUCCGUCCGGAAAGCUUCUCAGGUUCUUUGUGUCGCAGCGCGGGUGUCGGUGUCAAUACCGGAGGAUCUCGGGUAGGGGGUCUCGAACUGUGCGUCUAAGGCGGAUGGUAACAGGAGGCGGAGGACAUGAUGUUUACCCAGGUUCGGGCCCUCUCUAUGGAGGUAAUAACCUACUUCCUGCUUGAUUGAUCUUGAUGAUAUGACUAUUACAAGAGUUGAUCCACCACGAGAUUGUAGAGGCUAAACCCUAGAAGCUAGCCUAUGGUAUGAUUUUUCUCGUCCUACGGACUAAACCCUCUGGUUUAUAUAGACACCGGAGGGGGCUAGGGUUACACAGAGUCGGUUACAAUGGGAGGAGAUCUACAUAUUCGUAUCGCCAAGCUUGCCUUCCACGCCAACAAGAGUCCCAUCCAGAUACGAGACAAAGUCUUCUUGUAUCUUCAUAGUCCAACAAUCCGGCUUUCUGGAUACCCCCUAAUCCAGGACUCCCUCAGUAGCCCCUGAACCAGGCUUCAAUGACGACGAGUCCGGCGCGCAGAUUGUCUUCGGCAUUGCAAGGCGGGUUCCUUCUCUGAAUACUUCGUAGAAGAUUUUGAACACAAGGAUAGUGUCCGGCUCUGUAAAACAAGUUCCACAUACCACCGUAGAGAGAAUAACAUUUCCGAUCUGCUAACAUAUUUGAUAUCAUGACAUCACGCCAUGGCCUGGUUAUUAUCGAACCAUUUUUCUCAACCAGCCUUGGUGCAUAUCACGAGGCGGUUUCCUUGGCACGUCUUGUCGAAGCAGAGAUCGUGUCCCCUUAUCACGGGAUUCCCAUCAAUACGGGCGUGGGUAACCCAACCGCGCCAUCAAUCGUGGCGCUUGGGGAAUAAGCGAGUUAACCAGGCUAGUGGGGGCGUAUAGUUUCAUCCGCCCUUAUAAAGGGAUAAGAGUUCGCCUUUUUCACCCAUGCCUUCUUCCUCUUCGCCUAUCCAUUCUCGCGCACUCGAGGUCCAACGCCCAAGUUCGCACCUUUCUCCUCACACCGCCCCAAUCAUGUCCGGAGCGGGAGGAAAGUGGAUGAGAUCCUCCGUUACGGAGGAGAAUAUCAAGAAGCUGCAUGGAGCCGGAUACUUAGACGCGGACAUCGCGCACCGGCUGCCAAACGCGGGGCAGAUCGUCCCUACUCCAGAACCCCACGAGAGGGUAGUUUUUCUAACGCACUUCGUCCGCGGACUGGGAUUUCCCCUCCACCCGUUCGUCCGCGGCCUCAUGUUCUACUACAGGCUGGACUUUCAUGAUCUAGCCCCGAACUUUAUCCUCAACAUCUCGGCGUUGAUCGUCGUGUGUGAGGCCUUCCUCCGCAUCUGGCCCCACUUUAGCCUGUGGCUGAAGACCUUCAAUGUGAAGCCGAAGGUUGUAGGCGGCCAGCAGGCGGAAUGUGGAGGUGCCAUGGUGGGCAAAAUGCCCAAUGUCACAUGGAUCGAGGGCUCCUACGUGGAGACCAUAAAGGGGUGGCAAUCGGGGUGGUUCUACAUCACCGAGUCGCGUGACCCCAAAUGGGUGGCGACCCCCGAGUUCCGAUCCAGAAUCCCUAUGCGGCUCACCUCCUGGAAAGAGAAGGGCCUGCCCUGGGGUAACCCGGUAGAGCUGACCGGACUCCAAACCUGCAUCAAGAACAUGAUGGACAGGAAAAUCAAGUUUGUCAACGUGGUCCAGGUCAUGCUCUUCCGCCGGAUCCUCCCGUGUCAACAACGGGCGUUCAAUCUACGAGAGUUCGACCUGGCCCGUCACGAAACUCUGCGCGAGCUCUUCGACACGACGCACAAGGAUGUCUGGAAGGUGCUGUUCAAGAGCGCCGAGGUUCCCCCCUCCCUAACCGAGGACCGUGGACUUAGCACAAAGCGCCUCGCGAAACCGAUAAGUUCUUUAUAGGGUAUUUGUCCUCCCUAGUUUAAUCAUGUGCGGGAUCUCAGCUACCCCUGCAUUUGACAGGACUGGGUGGAGAUGGAAGAGCAGAUCGACUGCCCAGCUCCUUUGCCUGAAGAUCUAGCGGACGCUCUCCUGACGGAGAUGUUGACUCCGGCACCUUAUGAGGUGCCCGAGAAGAAGGCCAAGAAGAAGGCCAAGGGGACACGAAAGAGUUCCUGACGUCAGGUGGUAUCGGACCCAUCGCCCGACGACUCUGAGACGCACUCCUCUUGCAAAAGCGAGGAGGAGGAAGAUGAGGGUUCUCCCCUGCAGCCGGGGGAGACAAGAAAAGGAAAGCCGCCCCAGCCAGGGGGGCCGAAGGGUCCAAGAAGGGGAGAACUCUCCUUCCAGACUGCUCCACGACGGCCGCCGACAGCGGCGACGAGUGGCUGCUUAGGGACAAGCCCUUGGAAAAGUCGUAAGUAUCCGGAUAUCAUAACGAUUAUUGGUCUACUUUGUUAAACUGCUUCUUCUCAUGCCGAACACGAUUAUGCAGUCCGCCCAGAGCCCGAAUCGACGUAUCUUCGUUAGGUGAUUCUUUGGGCUCGUCGGAUAUGAAGAGCGAUUCACUUCCGACCGCUUCUACCCCCCGCCCUAUGAACAAUGCCGAAGUGUUGUCCGUGAGAGCACCGAGCCGAGGGGAGGUGGUCCUAGAGGAGCCUCGAGGCAACUUUCCGGGUCCUAGGCGCAAAGGGAGCAAGACUCCCACAGGCUCCAAGUCCGGCCGUCGGCCGGACACCACGCCGGAGCCUUCAGUGAUUCCAGAUUCCGGCAGGCAACUCCCUUUGAAGGGAGACAAGCCGCCCGCGUCGGUGGCCUCUGUCCAUCCAAAGGCACCGGACAAUUUGUUGGAAACACUUCGAGGCACUUCCAUCGAUGAAGAUCACCGCACUAUUAUGAGUGCGGUGAUCGAGAAGAUUUGGUCUGCCAAAAGCGGACUAACCGAAGCUUGUGCCAGCCUCCUAACAGGCUUUGAGGUAAAUAGUGGAAGUAUAUAAAAAUAUUACCGUAUAGACAGUAGCCCCUGAUGCUCUGUUAGGUGUUCACGAAGAAAAGCCAAAUAGAGGAUCAAAUAAUAACUGCAGGAGUCUAAUCCAAAUAUUUCUAUAUACGUAUGCAGGCUUCAAUGCUGGCCGCUGCCGCAAAUACUGAGGAGAUCGCCGCACUGAAGCGGAACCUCGAGCGGUCUUAGGAAGAACUCAGCCUUGCCAAAAAGUAGCUCGAGGAGAACAAAGGUAAGCAAUACCGUGUCUUCAUAAAAAGGUUUUGGUUGCAAGAUAACAAGAUCAUCAUGGAUGUACCAGGGUCCACAACCGAAGUGGCAACCCUGAAGUAGUUGCUCACCGAGGCCGAAAACAAAGCGGCCAAGGAGCGCACUGAGAGAGAAAAACAAGAGGCCCGAGCAGGCGAGGUGCAGCAAGAGCUUCAAGAACUCAUGAAGAAGCACGAGUCCUUGGAGCACGACUCAAAGACGCGAGAGUCCGAGCUUGCCAAGGCCCUCGAAAGCGCAAAAAAUGCCAAGGCCGAAGCCCAAAAGGCCCUCCAGGAGGCGGUGAAGAAGAUAGCGGCGGGUAAGGCAUUCAUUAUGCAAAGUAGGCAUGCGAAAGAAAAUUUCCUUUUACUUACCCGAGUUCGGAGCUCUCCAGGAGCGUUCGCAGAUCUGCCCCGCAGUGUGUCUAAGGCCGCGGAGUUCUACCGGGCCAAGGAGGGAAGCUCGACGGAGAAGUUGUUCUGGUCUCAGUACACUAGGACCGAACACCCGAUGCCCGUGACCGACCAGCUGAAGCAACUGGUCGAGCUCCACAAGACGGCCGAACAGGCCAUGAGGGGCCUUAUAGGCCGGAUGUGGCCUAGCGAUUCCCUUCCCAACAACUACUUCGGCCUGGUGAGGCGACUUGUGGAUGCCUGCCCAUGGCUGGAAGUCAUAAAGUGGUCUGUCUGCAUCGAGGGUGCCCGCAGGGCUUUUGCCCGUGCGAAGGUGCACUGGGCCAAGAUGGACGCCGAGAAGCUGGUGAAGGAUGGGCCGCCGCAAGGCAAGGAGCAUCGCCACCCUGAAAUGUAUUAUGAGGGUGUCCUGAAGGGUGCCCGUAUUGUGGCGGACGUGUGCGAAGGAUGUAAUUUUUGAAUGAACUUGCUCGUGUUAUCAUGUAUUAUGAAAACUAGUUCAUUUGCGCAAUCCAACGCUUUUCGAAUUUAAAAUAUUACCCUCUAUGAGGCCGUUUAUAAAAUUAGAGAGUUGCUAGUCGUCGACUUCAGCCCCCAUGCAACUAGUGCUGGGGUGUUCGGGAUAAAUCUGGGCACUCUUUUUCCCAUUUAUGGGUCCUUCGAGGGAGGUGCUCAGCGCAGCGAACCAGGCAAUCGGACUAUAAUGCUUUACCGCUCUCACUUAGCCACAGAAGUCUACAAUUUUAAAUUUUGGCGAAGCCCCUAGUGUUCGGAAAGCCGAAGUUGGGGCACUAUACACGCCUAAGCCAGACAAGGCCGACUCCUCGCCCAAAGCAGAAAAAAUCUUUAGGGACUUGAGACCUCUCGACCAGUGACCAGCUCUCACCUCAUCAUGACAGUCAGUUUUAGCUUUCUCUACUGAGGUGCUCAGCCAGAAGAACCGGGGCACAAUCGCAGUAGUUCUCCCAGUGCUACCUUAGCCGAUAUAGUGGAACGUAAGGUACCAAAACAUGGGAGCCAGGCAAACCCAACUAUUGACCCAAGACAUGAUUCAGAGCUAAUGCAUAUAAUGCUAUAAGUUCGGGGUGCCGCACUGUCAAAAGUGUUCGAACUUCUCACGCCAAAUUAUGGGGUAUACGGAAGCCCCUGGCAUAUUGGCCAUACCAGAGUGUAUGGGUGCUGAUUGUCACAGAUGAACAUAUAUAUAAAAGAAUAUAAAAUGCAAUAAGAGACUAAUGCUAUGCAUUGUUUAUUUAAGAAAUGUGUUGAUGCAUACUGAUACAAGCAGUGCGUUAAGCAAAAAAUGGGAAUAUUUGACAUGUCCCAUCCAAGGACAAGCUGCGAGCUGGUAUUUAAAACAGGUAUUUCACUCGUUAUUAGAGACCACCUGGGGAUUCCAUUGCACGACGUAGCCUCCUGCCUCCUUGGGUGUUGUCUCAUGUGUCCGGCUAUCGUACUGCCGGAUUGGACUUCCAGAGAGUAGAGUCCUGGAAGGGAGAGAAUGAUAGAGGUGGUAAGCCCCUAGUGCGGUUGAGCCGCAUUCUGGGACGUGCCAUGAUCGUGCCCCCGCCGACACCCAUGGUAUUUUCAAUGCGUAAUUAUGUACGCGCGGGACGCAUUUUGCCGUUGUACUAAGACUAGGGCGGGGGCCGAAUUGCUAGGCGAGCUCUGAGCGUGCCAAGCGAUCCUGUUGCAGGUUACUCCGGACGCGCUUGACGGUGUCCGAGGGCUUGAUCGCCGAACUGGUGGAUUGCCUCAAAAGGCUGCUUUGUGCUUCUGCUGCGAGGGCCACAGUGUGCUCCUCCGUACGGAGCGAGCGCUCUGUGUUUCCAUUGACUGUGAUGACCCCCCUAGGUCCUGGCAUCUUGAGCUUGAGGUGUGCCUAAUGCGGUACCGCAUUGAAUCUUGCAAAUGCAUUGCGCCCAAGCAGUGCGUGAUAGCCGCUGCGGAACUGGAUGAUAUCGAAGAUUAGCUCCUUGCUUCAGAAGUUGUCCGGAGAUCCGAAGACCACUUCCAGUGUGAUUGAGCCCAUACAAUGGGCCUCUACACCUGGGAUGACGCCUUUAAAGGUCCUUUUGGUGGGUUUGAUCCUCGAGGGGUCUAUACCCAUUUUGCGCACUGUAUCCUGAUAAAGCAGGUGCAGGCUGCUGCCGCCGUCCAUAAGGACUCGAGUGAGGCGAAUUCCGUCGAUGAUUGGGUCUAAGACCAAUGCGGCAGAUCCGCCAUGACGGAUACUCGUGGGGUGGUCCCUGCGGUCGAAGGUGAUCGGACAAGAGGACCAUGGGUUGAACUUUGGGGCGACGGGCUCCAUCGCAUAUACGUCCCUUAGUGCUUGCUUCCGCUCUCUCUUGGGGAUGUUGGUUGCGUAUAUCAUGUUCACCAUCCUUACUUGUGGGGGGAACCUCUUUUGUCCUCCCGUGUUCGGCGGCCGGGGCUCCUCCUCGUCAUCGUUGUGCAGCCCCUUGUCCUUAUUUUUGGCGUUUAACUUGCCGGCCUGCUUGAACACCCAGCAUUCUCAAUUGGUGUGAUUGGCUAGUUUUUCGGGGGUGCCGUGUAUUUGGCACGAGCGAUCGAGUAUGCGGUCCAGACUGGACGGGCCUGGAGUGCUUCUUCUGAAUGGCUUUUUCCGCUGACCAGGUUUUGAGCCUCUGAAUCCGGCAUUGACUGCCGUAUCCUCGGUGUUAUCGCCAUUAUUGCGGCAUUUUUGUUUGUUGUGACGUAGCCUGCCGCUACUAUCCUUGGUAUCCAAAGUGCCAAGGUUCCUUGAUAUGUUGUUGCUGCGAGCCAGCCAGCUAUCCUCUCCCGUGCAAAAGCGGGUCAUGAGUUUUGUGAGGGCUGCCAUUGAUUUCGGCUUUUCUUGGCCGAGGUGCCGGGCGAGCCACUCGACACGGAUGUUGUGCUUAAAUGCCGCUAAGGCCUCUACAUCCGGACAUUUGACAAUUUUAUUCUUCUUGGUUAAAAACCGAGUUCAGAAUUGCUUGGCCGAUUCCCCUGGCUGCUGAAUUAUGUGGCUUAGGUCAUUUGCAUCUGGUGGUCGCACAUAAGUGCCCUGGAUGUUGUCGAGGAAUGCGUCUUCCAGAUCCUCCCAACAGCCGACGGAGUCUACUGGCAAGCUAUUCAACUAAUGCCGAUCUGGUCCUCUAAGUUUUAACUGGAGGUACUUGAUGGCAUGUAGAUCGUCGCCGCGAGCCAUGUGGAUGUGGAGGAGGAAGUCCUCGAUCCAUACCGUGGGAUCUGUUGUACCAUCGUAUGAUUCGAUAUUUACGGGUUUAAAACCCUCUGGGAAUUCAUAAUCCAUUACUUUAUCUGUGAAGCAUAGGGGGUGUGCGGCGCCUCUGUGCUGGGCUAUAUCGCGGUGCAGCUUGUAUGAGUCUUGCCUAUUGUAUUCGGCCCGGCCGGAUUUACUUUUACUGUAUCCAGCGUGACAGUCACCGUCCUGUGUAGGGGCACACCCUCGUGAUCCAUAGAUUGAUCUUGCGUGUUUUGCCCUGUCUUCCAAUACAUCUCGCAGGUCUCGCGUGUUUCCCGUUGCCUUUGUAUGUUUGUUUGAGUGGCGGCGGGGUGCGGGCUGAACUUCUGGCUGAAAUGCCUCUCUGUCUCGGCCACGAGGUGGCCGAUCAGCUGCGUCGUACGCUGGUGAUGUAUGUUUUAAUGCUUCCUCCUCAAGUCGGGGUAGCAACCUGCGCUUUGGGUGACCCUUGGAGGGGCGUUAGAGUUCGUAUUCCUCGGCCGCAAGGACUUCAGUCCAUCUAUCUGCUAGCAAGUCCUGAUCAGCUCGAAGCUGUUGUUGUUUUUUCUUCAGGCUAUUUGAUGUGGCUAUAAGCUGGCGCUUGAAGCGCUCCUGCUCGACGGGAUCCUCAGGUACGAAAAAUUCUUCGUCUUCGAGGCUCACUUCAUCUUCGGAGAGAGGCAUGUAAUUGUCCUCCUCUCCCUCUGCCGCUCGCUCUGGAGGGCUGGCUUCUUCAUCCUCUGGCUCUGGAUCCUGCUGGAGGGGAUUGUCAUCGACUUCGGCACUGUCCGGAGUACUGUUAUCUCUUAUGCCGGUAUCACCACUUUUGCUUUGGCGAGACUUAGAGCGGCGCCGUUGACGUCGGUGCUUAGGUUGCUUCUUGGAGGGGUCAUCCUCCGCUGUCUUGUCACCAUUGCCUUCUUUGGGUGUAUCCACCAUGUAUAUAUCAUAUGAUGAGGUGGUGGUCCAGUGCCCCGUGGGCAGUGGUUCCUGUUUGUCUCCAUCGUUGUCCAUACCAUCGAUGUCUUCGAAGUCGAAGUCAAGCAUGUCGGUUAGAUCAUCGACAGUGGCUACUAAGUGGGUGGUGGGUGGGGCGUGAAUUUCUUCAUCGUCUGCAUCCCAUUCUAGCCGGACCUAGUUCGACCAAGGUUCUCCUGCCAAAGAGAGAGACCUUAAUGAGUUUAGUACAUCGCCGAAGGGCGAGUGCUGAAAGAUAUCCGCGGAGGUGAACUCCAUGACCGGCGCCGGGUCGGAUUCGACAGGCAUGGGCACAGGCGGUUCAGAGUCUGUGGCUGGAGACGAGUCUAUAGAUCCAGCAUCACGGCUCUCAUGAGGGGUAGGGUCAGUAUCCGGCUCUAUUGCCGCUGAGAGUGCGGCCUCCAUGGCGGGUUCUAUCCGCCCGUCCUCGGAUGGCGCAAUCUGUUCUGGAUUGAAGGCCGGAGUUGUUGCUGGUGCAAUCUCCUGAACACCGUCUGACGGUAGAGCUAAAUCAUGCUCGUCGUGAUCAUGCGGCACACCUGGCAUGGGCUCGAGUCCGUCGAAGAACAAGUCCCCGCGGAUGUCGGCCGUGUAGUUUACGUUUCCGAUCCUGACCUGGUGGCGAGGGGGUAGCUUUCGAUCUGCUCCAGAUGGCCAAGCCAGUUGGCUCGCAGUGCAAAGCCGCCGAAUACGAAGAUCCGUCCGGGAAGGAAAACCUCACCCUGGACCGCAUCGCUACCGAUGAUCGAAGGAGCCACCAGGCCUUAUGGUGACGACACAGCGGAACUCUCAAUGAAAGCACCAAUGUCGGUGUCAAACCCGGCGGAUCUCGGGUAGGGGGUCUCGAACUGUGCGUCUAAGGCGGAUGGUAAGGGGAGGCGGGGGACACGAUGUUUACGCAGGUUCGGGCCCUCUCUAUGGAGGUAAUACCCUACUUCCUGCUUGAUUGAUCUUGAUGAUAUGAGUAUUACAAGAGUUGAUCUACCACGAGAUCAUAGAGGCUAAACCCUAGAAGCUAGCCUAUGGUAUGAUUGUUCUCGUCCUACGGACUAAACCCUCCGGUUUGUAUAGACACCGGAGUGGGCUAGGGUUACACGGAGUCGGUUACAAUGGGAGGAGAUCUACAUAUCCUUAUCACCAAGCUUGCCUUCCACUCCAAGGAGAGUCCCAUCCGGACAUGAGACGAAGUCUUCAAUCUUGUAUCUUCAUAGUCCAACAGUCCGGCCAAAGGAUAUAGUCCGGCUAUCCGGAUACCCCCUAAUCCAGGACUUCCUCAGCGGGAUUGAGGCAAACCCAGACAAGAUCAAGGCUAUCGAGCAGAUUGAGGCGCCCAAGCGGAUCAAGGAUGUGCGUCGGCUCACUGGCUGCAUUGCCGCCAUGAGCUGAUUCAUCUCCAAGUCUGCCGAGCGCGCCCUUCCUUUUUUCCAAAUCUUGAAGAAGGUAGGCCCAAUGGAGUGGACCCCAGAAGCCGAGGCAGCGUUGCAAGAUGUCACACCCUAGCUAGUUCAAGCAUUAGAGUGUGCAUCAUGUAUAAUUUUCUCUUAAAUUUGAAAUGGGGAUGACAGAACCGCCAGCACCCCCCUGGAACAACUAGGGUUUACUAAAAACUUUUUCAAUGAACCUGAAAUGCCCUUCUAAAAAGCCCACCCUUUUUGUUUUGGGUUAAAACCUUUGACAAAAAUGGUGCACAUUUUUCUAGGACAUCUAAGGUCAUUGGAUUAAUCCUUAUAGUAUUUGCAUUUGGGAAUUUAAAUGCUAUACAAUAUUUUAAAUGCUCAAAUAAUCAUAAACUAAAAUGUUUGUUGUUGGAUAUAUUCUAAGCAGUGGCCAUGAUUAAUUUUAUGAUUUAUGGUAAUGCCCUGACAUUUUCAAUAAAGCCCUGAAGUUACAGAAAUAAUAAAUAAAUAAAUAAUAGAAAGGAGAGAAAGAACAGGGACUUACCUGGCGCAGCCCACCAGCCCACCCGGCUCGUCCCAAUCGACUGGCUCUUGUCAGUCGUCCUCCUCCUCUCGCCAGGAGGACAAGGAGCACGUGGCCGGUGCCCGGGUCACACGCCGGCCACCUCCUGCUUCCGCCGACGCCCUGGAGGCGUCUACGAGUGCCACGCCGACCCCCACGUCUCCCUCUCUUUCUUCCCACUCUCCCUGUGGCCUCUCCCUCUCUCUGGCUCUCUCCCCAUCUCCCUGCUGAGCGCAGCUGUCGCCGCCGACAAGCUCCACCGCAGCCACCGCCGUCCAUUCGUUGCCUUGUCAUGCCAGGAAGCUCUACCAUCGUCGACUACAUCGAGUAGGCCGAGCCCCGAGCGCUCGCUCGCCCUGGAGACGUUGCACCGAGCUCGUCCUCAACUCCGGCCACCGGAGAUCCCCUUCGCUGUCCCCUCCGCAUCAGCUCAUCCCCGACCUCUCCGACUGCCUCGAUGAGACCCCCGUGACCUCAGCCACCUCCCCACCCUCUCCGUUCUCUCUCUCGAGCCCCGUAGCGACAGCAUGAAGCUCACCUGCACGCACCGCCGCGGAGCUCGUUGCCGACGAGGCUCCGGCCACCCAAUGGCCGCCACCCUGUCCACUAGUCCUACCGCACCUCCAGGAGCUCAGCGCACCAAACCACGCGCCUCCCCGUGCCCCCUAGCAACUAUUUCAACCUUACCGGAGCUCCGGCCGCCGCAAAACUCAUCGCCGGCGACGUUUCCGGCCACCCAGCUCCACCCACAGCCACCACUCGACGCGGCUUCCUCCCCGCAUCACGUAGAUAGUCUUCGCCGUCCUUCUGGUCACCAGAGUGCAAAUUCCGCGCUGCUCCGCCGCGUCUGGCCUCGCCGGUGGCUAGACGCCGGCGAGUUGACCCUGUUUGCCCCCGUGUGGGCCCAGGUUGACCCCCCUGAGUCUAUGACAGGUGGGUCCGGCCUGCUAAUUAGUUUAGGAUUAGUUUUAACUAAAUUUAAUUAGUUUAGUCACUGACAUGUGGGCCCAGGCCCCACUGACAGUUAAUUAGCACUAACAUAAUUAUGUUAAUUAGUCGUGACACUGAAAGACAGGGCCCACCAGUCAGGUUUAACUUGGCCGACCUAGUUGACCGCUGGCGUCACAACUAUGUCAUGCUGAUGCAUUAAUUCAAUUAUUGGAAUUAUUCUUAUAUAGGAAAUUCCAGAAAAUAGCCAAAACUUCUAAAAAUCAUAGAAAAUCAACCAUAGCUCCAAAUCAAACAAGUUAUAUAUGAAAAAUGAUCAGAAAAAUUCAAUCUAUCCAUCUGUAAUGGUUUCAUGCAUGAAAAAACAAGUUAACCUUGCUGUUUAAGCAGAAUAAGAUAAUGCACUAAUAAGGUUAUGUUAAAUGAGCUAACAUUUGAGUCUUUGAUUCAAAUAUGUUCAUCCCCUUCUGUUUUAGCUUGCAUUAGGCCAAGACACUUUCAUCUUGCCAUGUCAUAGCAUGCAUCAUAUUGUUGCAUAUUGUCAUGUGUUGAUUAUGUUUGGUGUGCUUUCGUGGUAGGUUCUGCCUCCGUGGAUAACCCCGAGUAUUCGUCUGAAGGGCAGUACCCUACUACCACUACAUCAGGCAAGCAACCUUUGAUCAUUCCGAUACAAACCCAUGUUCUUGCUUCUACUCUUGUUUACUGCAUUAAGACAAUGCGAUUCAAACUGCUGUGUGCUAUGGUAGUUGAACCCUUAUCCUCUGCAUGACCUGUCAUUGCCACAGUAACUAGAUGAAAACCACUAGCAUGUGUAGGAGUUGAUUGAGCCAUGUAUGUGUUUCCUACCUUGCUAUGCCUGCUAUGCUUAGAGUUGUGUCAGGUCUGGUCCAUCUGGGUGAUGGGCUAGAGUGAAAUGGUUAUAUCGGUAAUGUGAGGGAUGUGAUGAACAUGAUUUGGUAAAGGUAUUGAUGAGAGGCCAUGUAGGAGUACAUGGUGGGUUGUUUCAUUGAGGCUGUCCAUAAGAACUGAGAUCUGUAUGUGUGAUUUAAGAUGCAGUUACUACCAUACAUUGGGCCCGAAACCAAUGGACCCUCUCGGCUUCUUAUUCACCCUAGUACUCUGUCCAGGAGUUGCAAAUAGUUUCUGGUGUUUGUAGGUUAUGUGUUGGCGGCCGUGCGUAGCACUGACCCUAGGGGUGGGCUAUGUUGCGGUAGAUACACCGUGGCACGGUGUACCGAGUCACCCGUUUGGUGUCUCAGGAACCCUGUUCACAUCGUUCGGAGCCGUAUGUGGAAACCUCGGCCGGACUCCCUGCGGAUGGAAUCUGGAUAGGCGAUACACCUGGACUAGAGACUUGAGUGUUUGGGUUAGCCGUGGCCGACACCCUCGUUGGGCUUCCGCUUGAAGGUUGCCGAGUACAUGUCGUGUAAACGGCGGUAAGUGGUGAAAGUGUGUAUGAAGAAGUACACCCCUGCAGGGUAUAAAACUAUUGAAUAGUCGCGUCUGCUAUAAAGGACUACUUGGUUGCCUAUACAGUUCAUAGACAAGUUAAUGGAUACUACGAAAAGACUCAAGAUAAGUGUGAGUACCGAGGAUGGCCCUCUCGUAGGAUGACGAGGGAGGAUCCCUGGUGGAGUAUUGUGUUGGUGAGUAGUGGACUCGUGUGCGAAAACUAUUUUUACUAAUGGAGUCUCCUAGGAUAGCUUAGCCAAGAGUCAAAGCUGGCUUGCUGCAAUAACUCCACCACCUUCUUGAGAAUGAGCAUGUAUAGUAGGUUCUGUUGUAAGACUUGCUGACUACCUUUGUACUCAUGUUUGCUUAAUUACUGUUUUCAGACAACAACACCGCCCCCUCGAUGGGUUCUACGUAGACCUUGAUGUCGACGAGUGACUAGCCACCCAGGUGGUGAUCCUGGCCAUGGAGGGCCCUAUGUAGAUAGACAGGCUUCGGAAGCCUUCUUGCUUUCUAGUGUUUGUACUCAGACUAUUUACUUCCGCUUAUGCUUGUAUGCUUGUAUGACUUGAGUGUCGAGUCAUGUGACCCCUACCUGUAUGAACAUGUUAUGUAUGGCUCUCUGGAGCCUUUAAAUAAAGUACUUGAGUUGUAGAGUUUUGUUGUGAUGCCAUGUUGUAUGUACUCAUAUCGGGCAUAUUGUGUGUAUGAUUGAAAUGCUUGGUAUGAGUGGGAUCCGACAAUCUAGUUGUUUAUCCUUGACAGCCUUUCUUAUGGGGAAAUGUAGUCUAGUGUUCCUCGAGCCAUAGUAGUCCGCUAUAGCCUGGUUCACCGGAGUCUUGCUAGCCCAACACUACUGCUCUGGAAACUUGACUGACCGGCAUGUGUUUCACUUCGUUCCUAUGUCUGUCCCUUCGGGGAAAUGUCACGCGGUGACAUCCGGAGUCCUACCUAGCCUGCUACAGCCCGGGUUCCCCAGAGUCCUGUUAGCCCAGUGCUACAGCCCGGAUUCACUCGCUGAUGACCGACAUGCUCGAUGUGAUUCAUGUAUGCCUGUCUCCAUAGGUCUGCGCUGCUUUGGGUUCACGACUAGCCAUGUCGGCUCGGGUUCUCUAUCAUAUGGAUGCUAGCGACACUAUCAUAUACGUGAGCCAAAAGGCGCAAACAGUCCCGGGCCAUGGUAAGGCGACACCCGUGGGGAUACCAUGCGUGUGGCCGCAAUGUGAUAUGAGGUGUUACCGGCUAGAUCGAUGUGACUUAGAAUCGGGGUCCUGACAACGUUGGCAUCAUAGCCGGACUGCCUGUAGGUUCAUUGAGCCAAAUUGGUCGAUGUUGAGUCUAGAAAUGCUUUAGUUAUAUGUAGAGGAAUUGAUUGUGGGAGGGAACGUAAGGCUCUUUUACUCCUUUACCUUAUGCGCUCUGAUCUGAGUCAUUCUCUUCUUAUUCAACGUGGGUUAAGGACUAGGCUCUCUCCUUCUAUCAGGUUCACGUGUUACUAAUCCGUAGUAGCUUAUAGGAUUGUUGUUACAAGCCUCAAUACAGUUUCUACUACUUUUAGUAUGUUGCCAGUUGAAUCAGAACCUUGAUAUGAAGUUGUUGAGUGGUAUUGCAAACUAUUGUGGAUGUCUCAAAUCUUUUUCUGAGCAUUUAUAGCUGUUAUGCUGUCCAAUUUUCCCUAGAAAUUCUAAUGUCUUUGCAUUGUGGUUGUGCUUUCAGAUGGCCACUCGUGCUCAAAACCAAGUGGUUCGCCUGACCCAGUGCCUUGAUGUGCCUGGUCAUACUGCUAUAUUAGCCCGGGUAAUGAUCGAGACGGGUUACCGUUGGUAUCCCGAAUACACUGUCGAAGAAUAGUUCCGAGACUUUAAUCAAAGCCAAUAUUUCUGCACCGUCAGGACAUUUCCUUCUUAUCCUGGAUCUACCGAGCCCCUCCACUGUUCCUAUGGACUCGGGGUUACAGUUGAGAUGGCUGUGCAGGAUGCUGCCUAUUCCAUGAUGACCAUCAUGCGAGUCCGGACUGGCCUGCUUCAGAACACCGACUUCCGUUACAUGCCAGCUUCACUUCCGGGAGCGCAAGGGUAUCUUCAGGCUAUCUAUGCUGACUCCACUCAGGAGGACUCAUUAACUCGUACCACUGCCGAGAUGCUCGAGGAUAAGGACCGAGAGAAUCGGGCCUUGAGACUGGAGCUUUUCAACACCCUUGCUGAUCAUUGGGCCACAUUGACUCGGUUUGCACCUGCGGUGCAAGCAGGAUGUAUGGAUACAAGGGAUCUGUAUCCUGUGAGAUUUGCUAUGCCAGACAUGGUGGAUUGGCAUGAUGUGGGAGGCAUCACCCCUCUCCGUGGUCCCCGUAGGCCACCGUUUGUUGGUCCAAGACCUCAUCCUAGCCCCUUUGGUCCACAAGCUCCUCAGGACCGUCUAUUCCCAGAUGAUCACGUUGAACUUCCAGGCUAUGGAGGUGACUUCUAUGAGGACUACUACGGAGCUGUCUGAGUUAGUAGUAGUAUCACUAGUAUUGUAAUAGUUGUAUCUCCACUGUCCUGCGUGACUUGUGGAAUAUGACUUUGUGUGUAAUCAAUUCCGGAGGUGUAGACAAAUAAUGUAUAGGAGCUUGGAAUGCCUCCGAUGAGAUGAAACGUCUUUCAUCAUAGUUGUACUGUAGCCUGGGCUUGUACUAAACUAUGUAUGGUGUGUAUGACUGUUGGUAUAUAUAUGGCAGUUUUAUAUUACCAUGACAUACGGAUGAACAUCUCUGCAUUCCGUGUUAUCCAUUACAUUCUGCACUUCCUUGCUAAGUUUGAGCCAUCCUUAUCUAAACCAUUGUCAUGUUUUCUCCUAGGAUGGUCAACACCCGCAGCAACCCUGCUGCCCCAGAGAAGAGGGAAGCCAGUGCAGCUAGGGGUGAAAAUUUGCCUCACCCGCCUUCUCUGGCCGAAGUGAUGCUGGAGGCGGAAAGAAACAAGCGUGAGACUAACCGCCUGCUAGAACGGAUUGAGCAAAACACUACACGCCAUCAGCGAAAUGACUUGGUGUCAAUCAAUGACUUUAUCAAGCUGUACCCACCAAAGUUUAACCAUUCUGUCGAGCCCCUCAACGCGGAUGACUGGCUUCGCAGCAUCACCCACAAGCUACGUUCUGCCAACGUAGCCGAAGCUGACAAGGUUACUUAUGCUGCCUAUCACCUCGAAGGCCCUGCUAGCCUUUGGUGGGAAAACUUCGAAGCUAUGCGCCCGGUCGGCCAAAUCACUACUUGGGCUGAAUUUAGUGAGGCUUUCCAUGAGCAUCACAUUCCGGAAGGUCUCAUGGAUCGCAAGAGGGAAGAGUUCUGCAAUUUCACCCAAGGAAGACUGACUGUGGAUGCAUAUAGUCGUGAAUUUGGGAAUCUGGCACGAUAUGCUCCUGAAGAAGUAUCUACCGACGCUGAAGCAGGCAAGGUUCUGCAAGGGACUUAGCCCUGAGCUUCGCCGCGAUCUUCGUCUGCACGAGUGCACCUCCUUUCAGAAGUUGGUCAAUAAAGCCAUAAGUGCCGAGUCAGGUCAGUCUGACUAUGACGCUUCACGCAAGCACUCACGUGAUUUUGGUUCUUCAUCCGGCUCUGGAGCUCAGAAGCGCUGGGUGUGGAUUCCAAGCACGGCACUGCCACCCAGGUUCAUUCCGAGGCCAUCUUUGAGGCGCCUCGUCCCAACCAGCAGUUUGCACCGCCCAAGCCCUAUGGUGGCCCCGCUGCUAAUGCUGCUCCACGUCCCAGUGUGGUGACGUGUUUCAAGUGUGGAGAGACGGGUUACUAUAGCCGAGAGUGUCCCCAGAACAACAACCCCAAUCAAUUUGGAAAGUCCGUUGGCCGUGGUAAGCCAGCGGGAAAGACAUUCUAUGCCAAGCCGGUCACCACUGCACGUGGCUAUGUCAACUAUGUCUCAGCCGAGGAGGCUCAUGAGGAUCCUAACGUCGUCCUUGGUACGCUCCUUGUUAACUGCCAUCCGGCAUCUGUUCUUUUCGAUACUGGAGCAUCUCAUUCAUUCUUAUCCGAGAACUAUGCUCGAUUGCAUAACACGACAUUCUCUGACAUGCCCACUUCCAUGGUAAUUCAAACUCCGGGUUCCAAAUGGCAAACUUCUAGAGUAAGCCAUGGGCACGAAAUUCUUGUCGAUAGACUUGUCUUCCUUGCAUCCUUAAUAGCUCUCAAGUCCUCGGACAUAAACAUCAUCUUGGGUAUGGACUGGAUGUUAGCUCAUUAUGCUAAGAUUGAUUGUGCCACUAGAACCGUUCAACUUACUCAUCCAUCGGGCAAGACAGUCAAUGUCUUAACUCGAGUGGCCAAGUGCCAGCUUUACUCCCUAAAUGCCAACCCCCUUCCAGACCUUGAGGAUAUUCCGGUAGUCCGGGACUUCCCGGAUGUCUUUCCCGAAGAACUGCCAGGUAUUCCACCUGACAGGGAUGUCGAGUUCGUGAUAGACCUUGUUCCAGGAACCGUUCCAAUUUCUAGGAGACCCUAUAAUAUGGCACCCCUAGAACUAGCCGAGCUUAAGAAUCAACUCGAUGAGUCCUUGAAAAAGGGUUUCAUCCGUCCUAGUUCCUCUCCUUGGGCUUGCCCCGUCCUCUUUGUCAAGUAGAAGGAUGGAACGGAUCGGAUGAUUGUAGAUUACCGACCUGUCAACUUGGUCACCAUCAAGAACAAGUAUCCGCUUCCCAGGAUCAACGAUCUGUAUGAUCAGCUCGCUGGAUCCUCAGUCUUUUCCAAGAUGGAUUUGAGGUUAGGCUACCAUCAGAUCAAAAUCAGAAACGGGGACAUUCCCAAAAUGGCCCUUGUUACCCAUUAUGGCCAAUACGAGUACACCGUUAUGUCCUUCGGUUUAACCAAUGCCCCAGCCACCUUCUCCCGGUUAAUGAACUCGGUCUUCAUGGAGUAUUUGGAUAAAUUCAUCAUAGUUUAUCUUGAUGACAUACUCAUCUACUCCAAGAAUGAAGAGGAACAUGCCGAACAUCUAAGGCUGGUAUUGAUGAAACUUUGAGACCAUCGCCUUUAUGCCAAAUUCUCCAAGUGUGAAUUUUGGUUGCCAGAAGUGACCUAUCUAGGCCAUGUAAUCUCUAGUAAGGGUAUUGCUGUCAAUCCCGGGCGAGUUCAAGCCGUCCUUGAUUGGACUCCACCUGAGACGGUCAAGCAAGUCUGGAGCUUCCUUGGCUUAGCGAGCUAUUGCCGCCGCUUCGUCGAGAAUUUCUCCAAGGUUGCUAAACCUCUAACUGAACUCCUCAAGAAAGAUAAAAAGUUCGAGUGGACCCCACAGUGUGAGUUCAGCUUUUAGGAACUGAAAAGACGCCUAACAUCUUCUCCCGUACUGGUACCACCAGAUUUCUCCAAGGACUUUGUUAUCUAUUGCGACGCCUCGCGACAAGGACUAGGUUGCAUACUCAUGCAGGAUCGUCAGGUAAUUGCCUAUGCUUCACGGCAAUUACACCCACAUGAGGAAAACUAUCCCACACAUGAUCUAGAGCUUGCAGCUGUAGUCCAUGCACUCAAAACUUGGCGACAUUACCUCCUUGGUAAUCGUUGCGAGAUCUUCACCGAUCACCAAAGUUUGAAAUAUAUCUUCACCCAACCGGAUUUGAAUCUCAGGCAACGAUGUUGGGUCGAGUUGAUCUCGGAUUACGACUUAGGAAUAACUUACACCCCGGGCAAAGCCAAUGUCAUGGCUGAUGCACUAAGUCAUAAAUCUUAUUGUAACAACCUGAUGUUACACCAAAGUCAACCACUUCUCCACGAGGAAUUUCGUAAGCUCAAUCUUCAUAUUGUUCCUCGAGGAUUCCUAUCCACACUGGUGGCGAAACCUACCCUUACGGAUCAGAUCAUCAAGGCACAGAAGGUAGAUCCAGGAAUCUCCCGUAUUAAGAGAAGCAUUAAGAAAGGAGUCACAAAUUGUUUCUCCGUUGAUGAUCAAGGUGUCGUAUACUUUGGAAACCACUUAGUGGUUCCAAAGGCACGAAACCUGAGGCGGCUGAUCCUUAAGGAAGCUCAUGAAUCCCCUCUCACCAUUCAUCCCGGUAGUACUAAAAUGUAUCAAGACCUACGUCAGAGGUUUUGGUGGACUAGGAUGAAGAGAGAAAUCGCUCAAUACAUUGUUAAUUGUGACGUUUGUCGUCGUGUUAAAGCAGAGCAUCAAUGGCCUGCUGGCACCCUUCAACCUUUGGCUAUUCCCGAGUGGAAAUGGGAUAAAAUCAGUAUGGAUUUCAUCACUGGGUUUCCCAGGACCAAGAGAGGGAAUAAUGCCAUCUUCGUCGUGAUCGACCGUCUUUCCAAGGUAGCCCAUUUCCUACCUGUUCGUGAGAGUAUCACCGCUAGCCGACUAGCUGACUUGUACAUCUCCCGAAUAGUGUCUCUUCAUGGUGUCCCACUGGAAAUUAACUCAGACCGUGGGAGUCUCUUCACCUCUCGAUUUUGGGGAAGUUUACAAAAUGCUAUGGGAACUCGUCUCUCCUUUAGCACCGCUUUCCACCCUCAAUCAAGUGGUCAAGUAGAGCGAGUUAACCAAAUUCUGGAAGAUAUGCUCCGAGCUUCUGUCAUCUCAUUCGGAAUGGGUUGGGAGAAAAGCCUUCCAUUUGCGGAGUUUGCUUAUAACAAUAGUUAUCAAGCUAGUUUGGGCAAAGCUCCUUUCGAAGCUCUCUAUGGACGAAAAUGUCGAACGCCUCUUAACUGGUCAGAAACCGGGGAAAGACAACUCUUUGGCCCGGAUAUGAUUCAGGAAGCAGAAGAGCAGGUUCGCGUUAUUCGUGAGAAAUUGAAAAUAGCCCAAUCUCGUCAAAAGAGCCAAUAUGAUCGUAAACAUAAGCUCAUGACUUAUCAAGUCGGCGAGAAGGCUUACAUUCGGGUUACUCUGUUAAAGGGAACCCAUCAUUUCAGUAAAAGGCAAAUUGGCUCCUCGUUACAUCGGACCCUUUCGCAUUCUUGCCAAACGAGGAGAAGUUGCCUACCAAUUGGAACUACCUUCGCAUCUUUCCAGAGUUCACGAUGUCUUCCACAUUUCUCAACUCAGGCGUUGCUUCGCGGAUCCUAUCCGUGGAGUGGACCACGAAACGCUUGAUCUACAAGAUAACCUCUCAUAUCAGGAAUAUCCCGUUCGUAUCCUUUAUCAAGCUAAGCAUACACUCGACGUCAUAAUAUCAAGUUUCUCAAGGUUCAAUGGUCACACCAUUCCGAGAAAGAAGCCACUUGGGAAAGGGAGGAUCGUCUUCAACCCGAGUACCCCACCUUCUUCCCGGAGGAUCCUAAAUCUCAGGACGAGAUUCUUUUGAGUGGGGGUGAGUUGUCACACCCUAGCUAGUUCAAGCAUUAGAGUGUGCAUCAUGUAUAAUUUUCUCUUAUAUUUGAAAUGGGGAUGACAGAACCCCCAGCACCCCCUGGAACAACUAGGGUUUACUAAAAACUUUUUCAAUGAACCUGAAAUGCCCUUCUAAAAAGCCCACCCUUUUUGUUUUGGGUUAAAACUUUGACAAAAAUGGUGCACAUUUUUCUAGGACAUCUAAGGUCAUUGGAUUAAUCCUUAUAGUAUUUGCAUUUGGGCAUUUAAAUGCUAUAAAAUAUUUUAAAUGCUGAAAUAAUCAUAAACUAAAAUGUUUGCUAUUGGAUAUAUUCUAAGCAGUGGCCAUGAUUAAUUUUAUGAUUUAUGGUAAUGCCCUGGCAUUUUUAAUAAAGCCCUGAAGUUACAGAAAUAAUAAAUAAAUAAAAAAACAGAAAGGAGAGAAAGAACAGGGACUUACCUGGCGCAGCCCACCAGCCCACCCGGCUCGGCCCAGUCGACUGGCUCUUGCCAGUCGUCCUCCUCCUCUCGCUAGGAGAACGAGGAGCGCGUGGCCGGCGCCCGCGGCCACACGCCGGCCACCUCCGGCUUCCGCCGAUGCACUGGAGGCGUCUACGAGUGCCACGCCGACCCCCACAUCUCCCUCUCUUUCUUCCCACUCUCCCCGUGGACUCUCCCUCUCUCUGGCUCUCUCCCCAUCUCCCUGCCGAGCGCAGCCGUCGCCGCCGGCAAGCUCCACCGCAGCCACCGCCGUCCAUUCGUUGCCUCAUCAUGCCAGGAAGCUCCGCCGUCGUCGACUACAUCGAGUAGGUCGAGCCCCGAGUGCUCACUCGCCCCGGAGACGCUGCACCAAGCUCGUCCUCAACUCCGGCCAUCGGAGAUCCCCUUCGCCGUCCCCACCGCAUCAACUCAUCCCCGACCUCUCCGACUGCCUCGAUGAGACCCCCGUGAGCUCAGCCACCUCCCCACCCUCUCCGUUCUCUCUCUCGAGCCCUGUAGCGACUGCACGAAGCUCACCCGCACGCACCGCCGUGGAGCUCAUCGCCGACGAGGCUCCGGUCACCCAAUGGCCGCGCCACCCUGUCCACUAGUCAUACCGCACCUCCAGGAGCUCAACGCACCAAACCACGCGCCUCCCCGUGCCCCCUAGCGACUAGUUCAACCUUACCCGAGCUCCGGCCGCCGCCAAACUCGUCGCCGACGACGUUUCUGGCCACCCCAGCUCCACCCACUGCCACCACUCGACGCGGCUUCCUCCCUGCAUCACGUAGAUAGUCUCUGCCGUCCUUUUAGUCGCCGGAGUGCAAAUUCCGCGCUGCUCCGCCGCGUCUGGCCUCGCCGGUGGCUAGACACCGGCGAGUUGACCCUGUUUGACCCCGUGUGGGCCCAAGUUGACCCCCCUGAGUCUAUGACAAGUGGGGCCGGCCUGCUAAUUAGUUUAGGAUUAGUUUUAACUAAAUUUAAUUAGUUUAGUCACUGACAUGUGGGCCUAGGCCCCACUAACAGUUAAUUAGCACUAACAUAAUUCCGUUAAUUAGUUGUGACACUGACAAACAGAGCCCACCAGUCAGGUUUGACCUGGCUGACCCAGUUGACCGCUGACGUCACACCUAUGUCAUGCUGACGCGUUAAUUCAAUUACUGGAAUUAUUCUUAUAUAGGAAAUUCCAGAAAAUAGCCAAAACUUCUAAAAAUCAUAGAAAAUCAACCAUAGCUCCAAAUCAAACAAGUUAUCUAUGAAAAAUGAUCAGAAAAAAUCAAUCUAUCCAUCUGUAAUGGUUUCAUGCAUGACAAAACAAGUUAACCUUGCUGUUUAAGCAGAAUAAGAUAAUGCACUAGUAAGGCUAUGUUAAAUGAGCUAACAUUUGAAUCUUUGAUUCAAAUGAGUUCAUCCCCUUAUGUUUUAGCUUGCAUUAGGCCAAGACACUUUCAUCUUGCCAUGUCAUAGCAUGCAUCAUAUUGUUGCAUAUUGUCAUGUGUUGAUUAUGUUCGGUGUGCCUUUCGUGGUAGGUUCUGCCUCCAUGGAUAACCCCGAGAAUCCGUCUGAAGGGCAGUACCCUACUACCACUACAUCAGGCAAGCAACCAUUGAUCAUUCUGAUACAAACCCAUGUUCUCACUUCUGCUCUUGUUUACUGCAUUAAGACAACGCGAUUCAAACUGCUGUGUGCUACGGUAGUUGAACCCUUAUCCUCUGCAUGACCUGUCAUAGCCACAAUAACUAGAUGAAAACCACUAUCAUGUGUAGGAGUUGAUUGAGCCAUGUAUGUAUUUCCUACCUUGCUAUGCCUGCUAUGAUUAGAGUUGUGUCAGGUCUGGUCCAUCUGGGUGAUGGGCUAGAGUGAAAUGGUUAUAUCGGUAAUGUGAGGGAUGUGAUGAACAUGAUUUGGUAAAGGUAUUGAUGAGAGGCCAUUUAGGAGUACAUGGUGGGUUGUUUCAUUGAGGCCGUCCAUAAGAACUGAGAUAUGUAUGUGUGAUUUAAGAUGCAGUUACUACCAUACAUUGGGCCCGAAACCAAUGGACCCUCUCGGCUUCUUAUUCACCCUAGUACUCUGUCCAGGAGUUGCAAGUAGUUUCUGGUGUUUGUAGGUUAUGUGUUGGUGGCCGUGCGUAGCGCUGACCCUAGGGGUGGGCUAUGUUGCGGUAGAUACAUCAUGGCACGGUGUACCAAGUCACCCGUUUGGUGUCUCAGGAACCCUGUUCACAUCGUUCGGGGCCGUAUGUGGAAACCUCGGCCGGACUCCCUAUGGAUGGAACCGUGAUAAGCGAUACAUCUAGACUAGAGACUUGAGUGUUUGGGUAGGCCGUGGCCGACACCCUCGCUGGGAUUCCGCUUGAAGGUUGCCGAGUACAUGUCAUGUAAACGGCGGUAAGUGGUGAAAGCGUGUAUGAAGAAGUACACCCCUGCAGGGUAUAAAACUAUUCAAAUAGCCGCGUCCACGGUAAAGUACUACUUGGUUGCCUAUACAGUUCAUAGACAAGUUAAUGGAUUCUACUAAAAGACUCAAGAUAAGUGUGAGUACCGAGGAUGGCCCUCUCGUAGGAUGACGAGGGAGGAUCCUCAGUGGAGUAUUGUGUUGGUGUCAUGUGCGAAAACUAUUUUUACUAGUGGAGUCUCCUAGGAUAGCUUAGCCAAGAGUCAAAGCUGGCUUGCUGCAAUAACUUCACCACCUUCUUGAGAAUGAGCAUGUGUAGUAGGUUCUGUUGUAAGACUUGGUGAGUACAUUUGUACUCAUGUUAGCUUAAUUACUGUUUUCAGACGACAACACCGCCCCCUCCGAUGGGUUCUACAUAUACCUUGAUGUCGACAAGUGACUAGCCACCCAGGUGGUGAUCCUGGCCAUGGAGGGCCCUAUGUAGAUAGACAGGCUUUGGAAGCCUUCUUGCUUUCUAGUGUCUGUACUCAAACUAUUUACUUCCGCUUGUGCUUGUACGCUUGUAUGACUUGAGUGUCGGGUCAUGUGACCCCUACCUGUAUGAACAUGUUAUGUAUGGCUCUCUGUAGCCUUUAAAUAAAGUACUUGAGUUGUAGAGUUUUAUUGUGAUGCCAUGUUGUAUGUACUCAUAUCGGGCAUAUUGUGUGUAUGAUUGAAAUGCUUGGUAUCAGUGGGAUCCGACAAUCUAGUUGUUUAUCCUUGACAGCCUUUCUUAUGGGGAAAUGUAGUCUAGUGUUCCUCGAGCCAUAGUAGUCCGCUACAGCCUGGUUCACCGGAGUCCUGCUAGCCCAGCACUACUACUGUGGAAACUUGACUGGCCGGCAUGUGUUUCACUUCGUUCCUAUGUCUGUCCCUUCAGGGAAAUGUCACGCGGUGACAUCCGGAGUCCUGCCUAGCCUGCUACAGCACGGGUUCCCCGGAGUCCUGUUAGCCCGGUGCUACAGCCUGGAUUCACUCGCUGAUGACCGACAUGCUCGAUGUGAUUCAUGUAUGCCUGUCUCCAUAGGUCUGCGCCGCUUUGGGUUCAGGACUAGCCAUGUCGGCCCGGGUUCUCUGUCAUAUGGAUGCUAGCGACACUAUCAUAUACGUGAGCCAAAAGGCGCAAACGGUCCCGAGCCAUGGUAAGGCGACACCCGUGGGGAUAUCGUGCGUGAGGCCGCAAUGUGAUAUGAGGUGUUACCGACUAGAUCGAUGUGACUCAGAAUUGGGGUCCUGACACAAGAUAUGAAGAAAUACCUUUCCUCCAUGCCAACACCGGUUGCGCCUAAACCACAAGAGUCGUUGCUGUUGUAUCUAGUGGCAAAGAAUCAAGUGGUCAGCGCCGCACUGGUGGCAUAGAGGGAGGUUGACGAGGAGGUAGUGGCGAUGGAGGGACCGGCGGAUGGCAAGCCAGAGAUUCCCCCGGCAGGUCCUGGUGCCGGCAAGGCAAGGCCCCCGGCAGAGUCUGACGACAUCGGGGCGAUGCCCCCAUAGUCAAGUGAAGUGGUGCAGAAGAAGAAGAUGAUGCAGCACCCGGUUUACUUUGUCAGCUCCCUCUUGCAGGGGGCUAGGUCGAGGUAUGAUACGUCUCCGUCGUAUCUACUUUUCCAAACACCGUUGCCCAUGUUUUGGACUCUAACUUGUAUGAUUUGAAUGGAACUAACCCAGACUAACGCUGUUUUCAGCAGAAUUGCCAUGAUGUUGUUUUAUGUGCAGAAAACAAAAGUUCUCGGAAUGACCUGAAACUCCACGGUAUGUCUUAUAAAAAAUAAUAAAAAAUCCUCGCCGAAGAUGAAGACCAGGGGGCCCACACCCUGUCCACGAGGGUGGGGGGUGCCCCCCUACCUCAUGGGCCCCCUAGAAACCUUCCGACGCCAACUCCAACUCUAUAUAUUGGCUUUCGGGGAGAAAAAAUAGGAGAGAAGAAAUCAUCGCGUUUUAUGAUAUGGAGCCGCCGCCAAGCCCUAAAACCUCUCGGGAGGGAUGAUCUCGAGUCUGUUCGGGGCUCCCGAGAGGGGGAUUCGUCACCGUCGUUGAGGGAGUCCUGGAUUAGGUGGUGUUCGGAUAGCCGAACUAUACCUUCAGCCGGACUCCUGGACUAUGAAGAUACAAGAUUGAAGACUUCGUCCCGUGUCCGGAAGGGACUUUCCUUGGCGUGGAAGGCAAGCUUGGCGAUAUGGAUAUGUAGAUCUCCUACCAUUGUAACCGACUCUGUGUAACCCUAGCCCUCUCCGGUGUCUAUAUAAACCGGAGGGUUUUAGUCCGUAGGACGAACAACAGAACAACAAUCAUACCAUAGGCUAGCUUCUAGGGUUUAGCCUCCUUGAUCUCGUGGUAGAUCUACUCUUGUACUACCCAUAUCAUCAAUAUUAAUCAAGCAGGAGUAGGGUUUUACCUCCAUCGAGAGGGCCCGAACCUGGAUAAAAACAUCGUGUCCCUUGUCUCCUGUUACCAUCCACCUAGAUGCAUAGUUCGGGACCCCCUACCUGAGAUCCGCCGGUUUUGACACCGACAUUGGUGCUUUCAUUGAGAGUUCCUCUGUGUCGUCACUUUUAGGCCCGAUGGCUUCUCCUAUCAUCAGCAGUGAUGCGGUCCAGGGUGAGACCUUCCUCCCCGGAUAGAUCUUCGUAUUCGGCGGCUUUGCACUGCGGGCCAAUUCGCUCGGCCAUCUGGAGCAGAUCGAAAGCUACGCCCUUGGCCAUCAGGUCAGAUUUGGAAGUCUGAAUUACACGGCUGAUAUCCGCGGAGACUUGAUCUUCGACGGAUUUGAACCACAGCCGAGCGUGCCGCACUGUCACGAAGGGCAUGAUUUAGCUCUGCCGCCGAACAGUGCUUUGGAGGCCGCGCCCACAUCAGCCCCGACCCUUAAUUCGGAGCCGAUCGCACCGAUCGAGGACGAGUGGUUGGACACCGCCUCGGAGGCCGAAAUCUCUGCGGUGAUCGAUCCGAACACCAGCUUUGUCCUUCGCGAAGCCUGUGACUCCAAGGUGCCGGACUCCCCUCCGGACUCCGAGCCCCCGCGCCCCUACCGAUCGAAUCUGAUUGGGCACCAAUUACGGAGUUCACCGCCGCGGACAUCUUUCAGCACUCGCCUUUUGGCGAUAUUCUGAAUUCACUAAAAUCUCUCUCUUUAUCAGGAGAGCCCUGGCCGGACUACGGUCGGCAAGGUUGGGAUGCGGAUGAUGAAGAAAUUCAAAACCCACCCACCACCCACUUUGUAGCCACUAUCGAUGAUUUAACCGACGUGCUCGACUACGACUCCGAAGACAUCAAUGGUAUGGACGCUGAUGCAGGAGACCAUCAGGAAUCAGCGCCUAUAGGGCACUGGAAAGCCACCUCGUCAUAUGACAUAUAUAUGGUGGAUACCCCAAAAGAGGGCGAUGGCGAUGGAACAGCGGAGGAUGACCCCUCCAAGAAACAACCUAAGCGCCGACGUCAGCGGCGCCGCUCUAAAUCCCGCCAAAGCAAAAACAGUGAUUCUGGCACAGGAGAUAAUAACACUCCGGACAGUGCCGAAGAAAACCCCCUCCAGCAAAACUCAGCACAGGAGGAUGGAGAAGCCAACCCUCAUGAGAGAGCGGCAGACAGAGAGGUCGAGGAUGAUAACUACAUGCCUCCCUCCGAAGACGAGGCAAGCCUCGACGACAAGGAAUUUGUCGUGCCUGAGGAUCCCGUCGAACAAGAGCGCUUCAAACGCAGGCUUAUAGCAACGGCGAGCAGCCUCAAGAAAAAAUGGCUACAGCUUAGAGCUGAUCAAGACUUGCUAGCUGACAAAUGGACGGAAGUCCUAGCGGCCGAAGAGUAUGAACUCGAACACCCCUCCAAGAGCUACCCAAAGCACAGGUUGCUACCCCGAUUAGAGGAAUAAGCACCUACAUCACCAGCGCAUGACGCGGCAGAUCGGCCACCACGUGGCUGUGACAAAGAAGCCUUUUGGCGCUCCACUCAAGCCGCACCCCGGCGCCGCUUUAAAAAUACCAAGGCACGGGGGAAUGUGCCAGACCUGUGAGAUAUAUUGGAGGACAAGGCGAAGCAAACAAGGUCAAUCUAUGGAUCGCGUGGGCACCCCACGACACGUGACGGUGAUCGUCACUCCGGAUAUAGUAAAUCCGGUCGGGCCGAACACAAUAGACAAAGCUCGUUUGAGCUGCGUCGUGAUAUAGCCCAAUACAGAGGCGCCGAACACCCACUAUGCUUCACAAAUGAAGUAAUGGAUCAUCAAAUCCCAGAGGGUUUCAAACCCGUAAACAUCGAAUCAUAUGAUGGCACAACAGACCCUGUGGUAUGGAUCGAGGACUAUCUCCUCCAUAUCCACAUGGCCCGCGGCGACGAUCUACACGCCAUCAAAUACCUCCCACUCAAACUUAAAGGACCAGCUCGGCAUUGGCUUAAUAGCUUGCCAGCAGAAUCAAUUGGUUGUUGGGAGGACCUGGAAGCCGCAUUCCUCGACAAUUUCCAGGGAACUUAUGUGCGACCACCAGACGCUGAUGACCUAAUCCACAUAAUUCAGCAGCCAGAGGAGUCGGCCAGGCAAUUCUGAACACGGUUCCUAAGAAAGAAAAAUCAAAUCGUCGACUGUUCAGACGCAUAGGCCCUAGCAGCCUUCAAGCAUAACAUCUGUGACGAGUGGCUUGCCCGGCACCUUGGACAGGAAAAGCCGAAAUCUAUGGCAGCACUCACGACGCUCAUGACCCGCUUUUGCGCGGGAGAAGACAGCUGGCUGGCUCGUAGCAAUAACUUGACCAAGAACCCUGGUAAUUCAGAUACCAAGGACAACAGUGGCAGGUCGCGUCGCAACAAGCAAAAGCGCCGCAUUAACAGCGACAACACUGAGUAUACGGCAGUUAAUGCCAGAUUCAGAGGCUCUAAAUCCGGUCAGCGAAAAAAGCCAUUCAAAAGAAAUACUCCGGGCCCGUCUAGUUUGGACCGAAUACUCGACCGCUUGUGCCAGAUACAUGGCACCCCCGAAAAGCCAGCCAAUCACACCAACAGGGAUUGUUGGGUGUUCAAGCAGGCAGGCAAGUUAAAUGCCGAAAAUAGAGACAAGGGGCUGCAUAGCGAUGACGAGGAGGAGCCCCGGCCGUCGAACAACAGUGGAUAGAAGAGUUUUCCCCCACAAGUGCGGACGGUGAACAUGAUAUACGCAACCCACAUCCCCAAGAGGGAGAGGAAGCGUGCGUUAAGGGACGUAUACGCGAUGGAGCCAGUCGCCCCAAAGUUCAACCCAUGGUCCUCCUGCCCGAUCACUUUUGAUCGAAGGGACCACCCCACUAGCAUCCGUCACGGUGGAUUCGCCGCAUUGGUUCUAGACCCAAUUAUUGACGGAUUUCACCUCACUAGAGUCCUUAUGGACGGCGGCAGUAGCCUGAACCUGCUCUAUCGGGAUAGUGCGAAAAAUGGGCAUCGAUCCUUCGAGGAUUAAACCCACUGAAACGACCUUUAAAGGCGUCAUACCAGGUGUAGAGGCCAACUGUACAAGCUCAGUUACACUUGAAGUGGUCUUUGGAUCGCCGGAUAAUUUCCGAAGCAAGGAGUUAAUCUUCGACAUAGUCCCGUUCCGCAGUGGCUAUCACGCACUGCUCGGGCGAACCACAUUUGCCAAGUUCAAUGCGGUACCGCACUACGCAUGCCUUAAGCUCAAGAUGCCAGGCCCUCGAGGAGUCAUUAUGGUCAAUGGAAACACCGAACGCUCUUUCCGAACGGAGGAGCAUACGGCGGCCCUCGCAGCGGAAGUACAAAGCAGCCUCUCAAGGCAAUUUUCCAGUCUGGCCAUUAAACGACCGGACACCGUCAAGCGCACCCGGAGUAACCUACAACAAGACCGCCUGGCACGUUCUGAGCAGGCGUAACAAUGCGGCCCCAACCCCAGCCCUCGCGAAAUUGCAAAACCAGUGCUUCGCGUACAUAACUACGCUCUGGAAAUACCAUGGGCACAAGGGGAGGGGCACCAUCAUGGCACGCCCAAAACACGGCUUAAACCGCACUAGGGGCUGCCGAUUUUUUUAAUUUUCUCUUACUUUCAGGACUCCAUUCUUCGGAAGGCCUGUCCGGCAGUACAAUUGCCGCACAAACGAUGCAAGAACUAGGGAAGUAGAAAGCUACGCCGCAUUAUGGAACUCCCAGGUGGUCUCUAUCACAAGAAGUAUACCUGUUUCGCAUACCAUUCUGCAGCCUGCCCCUGGAAAGGACAUGUUAAAUAGUCCAACCUUUUGCUUAUCGCACUAUUUGUAUCGUUCGUCUUUGAUCGCAGCCUUUUUUUUAAAAACAAUGCAUAGCUUUUGUCUAUUAUUCCAUUAAUAUCUCUUAUAUGUUCAUUAAUGACAUGUUGCACCCGUACACUUUGGUACGGCCAAUACGCCAGGGGCUUAAGUACCCCUCAAUAUGGUGUGAGAAGUCCGAACACUUUCACAAGUGCGGCACCCCGAACUUAUAGCAUUAUAUGCAUCGGCUCCGAAUCAUGUCUUGGGUCAAUAGUUGGGUUUGCCCGGCUCCUAUGUUUUGGUGCCUUACGUUCCGCUAUAUCGGCUAAGGUAGCACUAGGAGAACUACUGCAAUUGUGCCCCAGUUGAGCUGGGCUAAGCACCUCAGUAGAGAAAGCUAAAACUGACUGUCAUGAUGAAGCGAGAGUUGGUCGCUGUUCGAGAGGUUUUUCGAGUCCCUAAAGACUUAUGCUGCUUAGAGCGAAGAGUCGGCUUUGUCUGGCCCAGGCGUGGAUAGCGCCCUGAACUCGGUCUUCCGAACACUAGGGCUUUGCCGAAAUUUAAAAUUAUAGAAUUCUAUGGCUAAGUGAGAGUGUCCAAGCAUUAUAGUCCGAUUGCCUUGUUCGUUGUGUUGAGCGCCUCCCUCGAAGGACCCAAGAAUGGGAAAAAGAGCGCUCAAGUUUAUCCCGAACACCCCAGCACUCGUGGCAUGGGGGCAGAAGCCGACGACUUGCCAUCUCUCAAAAUUUGAUAAAUGGCCGCACAGAAGGUAAUAUUUAAAUUCAGAAAGCAUUGCUUAGCACACAUGAACAAGUUUUCAGCGCACAGGACAAAAUAAACAAGUUUUAUUCAAAAAAUACAUCUUUCGAGCACUCGUCCGCCAUAAGGCGAGUGCCUUCCAGAACGCCCUUAUAAUACAUCUCGGGGUGGCGAUGCUCCUUGCCCGGCGGCGCCCGUCCUUCACAAGCUUCUCCGCAUCCAGCUUGCCCCAGUGCACCUUAGCACGGGCAAGCGCCCUACGGGCACCUUUGAUGUAGACGGAGCGCUUGAUGACUUCGAGCCUUGGACAGGCCUCCACCAGCCGCCUCACCAACCCGAAGUAGCUCCCAGGUAGAGCCUCUCCAGGCCACAGCCGAACUAUGAGGCCCUUCAUGGCCUGUUCGGCCACCUUGUGGAGCUCGACCAGUUGCUUCAGCUGGUCGCUCAAGGGCACAGGGAGUCCGGCCUCAGCAUACUGAGACCAGAACACCUUCUCUGUCGAGCUACCCUCCUCGGCUCGGUAGAAUGCGGUGGCAUCGGACACGCUACGGGGCAAAUCUGCGAAUGCUCCUGGAGAGCUUCGGAUUCGGGUAAGUAACAAGUAACUCACUUUUACAUGUUUGCUUUGCAUAAAGAAUUCCUUACCCGCCGCUAUCUUUUUCAUCGCAUCCACCUCCUGGAGGGCCUUCUGGGCUUCGGCCUUGGCAGACUUGGCAUUUUCAAUGGCCGCCGCGAGCUCGGACACUUGCGUCUUUGAGUCAAGCUCCAAACUCUCAUGUUUUUUCAUAAGAGCCUGGAGCUCUUGCCGCACCUCGCCAACCUGGGACUCAUACUUCUACCGCUCGGUGUGCUUCGUGGCCGCCCUCUUCUCGGCCUCGGACAGCGCUUGCCUAAGGGUCGCCACCUCAGUCGUGGCCCCUACAAUAGCUACGUUAGUCCUGUCAUUUUUUGCAAUUGCACCUUUUAUAUAUAUUUCAAUAAGGUAUCUCUUACCUUCCUUCUCCUCGAGCUGCCGCUUGGCAAGGCCGAGCUCUUGCUUGGACCGCUCGAGGUUGUGCUUCAGCGUGCCCACCUUCGCAGUCAGUGCGGCGGACGAUAGCAGCGAAGCCUGCACACGCAUAUUGACUCCUUUUUGUUAGACUCCUGCGAAUUUUAUUAGAUCCUCUAUUCGGCUUUUCUUUCCGAACGCCAAACAGAGCAUCAGGGACUACUGUCUAUGUGGUAAUACUUUUACACAUUCUUUACUUACCUCAAAGCCUGUUAAAAGGCUGGCACAUGCUUCAGUCAGUCCGCUCUUGGCGGACUGAACCUUCUGGACCACCGCACUCAUAAUGGUGCGGUGCUCCUCGUCGAUGGAGGCGCCAUUAAGCACCUCCAGCAAGUUGUCCGGUGCCUCCGGUUGGACGGAGGUCACCGGCUCGGUAGGGUUGCUCCUCUUAGAAGGAGGCUGCCUACCGGAGUCCGGAACCAUUGAAGGUUCCGGCGUGGUGUCCGGCUCAAAGCCGAACUCGGAGCCCUGGGGGGAUCUAUCCCCUUUACUCCUGGAGUCCGGGAGGUCGCCUUGCGGCUCCUCCAGAACCACCCUCUCCUGGCUUGGAACCUGUUGGGACGCCACCUCGGUGUCGUCCGUAGGGCGGGGGGAGGUAGCGGGCGGAAGUGAAUUCACAUCCGACGAAUCCAGGGAGCCGCUCGACGACUCGUCGAGCCCGUCCUUGGGCGGACUGCAUAGUCAUAUUCGACAUAAGGAAAAGUUGUGCAAUAAAGGAAUACUAUGAGUUACUCUGGUAUCUGGAUACUUACGAUUUUGCCGGGCGCUUGUCCCUAUGCGGCCACUCCUCUUCGCUGUCGUCGGCGUCGGUGGAGUAGUCUGGAGGAAGGGUCUUCCCCUUCUUGGACCCUUCGGCCUCCCCGGUCGGGGCGGCCUUCCUUUACGUUCCUCCCCCUGCUGGAGGGGGAGAGGUUUCUUCUUCCUCCUCCUCGUCUUCACAGGAGGAAUGCGUCUCGAAGUUGUCGGAUAAUGAAUCCGACACCUCCAGGCGCCGGGCACUCUUUCGAGUCCCUGUGGCCUUCUUCUUGGCCUUCUUCUCUAGCACCACAUAGAGUGCCGGAACCAGCAGCUUCGCCAAGCGAGCAUCCGCUGGGUCUUCGUGCAAAGGAGCCAGAUAGCUGAUCUGUCCGGACUUCGCCUGCCAAUCCUAUCAAAGUUAAGGGAGCUUAGAUCCCACAUAGAGUCAAACUAUGAAAAACUAAUGCCCUGUAAAAGGUAAAAAUAGCUUACCGCACUAGCGUGACGCUGCGUGCUGAAUCCGCGAUCCUCGGUAGCGGAUGCGGGAGCCUCGGCGCCUUUGAAUAGUGCCUUCCAGGCAUCUUCGUACGUCGUGUCGAAGAGCCUGCUCAGAGUUCGGUGCUGCGCCGGGUCGAACUCCCAUAGGUUGAAAGCCCGUUGUUGACACGGGAGGAUCCGACGGAUGAGCAUAACCUGGACUAUGUUGACAAGCUUGAGCUGCUUGUGCGCCAGAGUUUGGAUGCAUGUUUGCAGUCCAGUCACCUCUCCUUUGUUACCCCAUGACAGGCCCAUCUCUUUCCAGGACAUGAGCCGCGUAGGGGGUCCAGAUCGGAACUCGAGGGCUGCGACCCAUUCAGGGUCGCACGGCUCAGUGAUGUAAAACCACCACGAUCGCCACCCCUUUAGGGUCUCCACAAAGGAGCCCUCGAGCCAUAGGACAUUGGGCAUCUUGCCCGCCAUGGCACCUCCGCACUUCGCCUGGUUGCCACGCACCACCUUUGGCUUGACAUUGAAAGUCUUGAGCCAUAGGCCAAAAUGGGGGCGGGUGCAGAGGAAAGCCUCACACACGACGAUAAACGCCGAGAUGUUGAGGAUGAAGUUCGGGGCCAGAUCGUGGAAAGCCAGGUCAUAGUAGAACAUGAGUCCCCAGACGAAUGGGUGGAGAGUAAAUCCCAUUCCACGGAGGAAGUGGGGAAGGAACACUACCCUCUCAUGGGGCCUUGGGGUGGGGAGGAGCUGCCCCUCUUCGGGAAGCCAGUGCGCGAUAUCAUUAGACAAGUAUCCGACCUUCCUCAGUUUUUUGAUGUGUCCCUCUAUGACGGAGGAGACCAUCCACUUGCCUCCCGCUCCGGACAUGGCUGGAGAAGGUUGAGGUGGGUAAUGCAGACUUGGGCGCUGGAGCUCGAGUGCGCGGAAAAUGGAUAGGCAAAGGAGGAAGAACGCGUAGGUAAAAGGGUGGAUCCUUAUCCCCUUAUAUGGGCGGAUGCGACUGUGCGUCCCCACCAGCUUGAUAAAACUUGCUUAUCUCCCAAGCGCCAUAAUCAAUGGCGCGGUUGGGUUACCCAUGUCCAUAUUGAUGAGAAUCCCGUAAAUAAAGGGGACAUGAUCUCUGCUUUGACAAGACAUGCCAAGGAAACCGCCUCGCAUAACACACUGAGGUAGGACAAUAAAACGAUUCGAAUAACGGCUUGGCCGUGGUGUGAUGUCAUGCUACGAAAUACGUUAGCUUAUUAGAUUUGUGUAAAUAUUAUUCUCUCUAUGGCAAUAUAUGGAAACUUAUUUUGCAGAGCCAAACACUAUACUGUGUUCGAAAUCUUCUAUGAAGUACUUGGAGGAGGAACCCGCCUUGCAAUGUCGAAGACAAUCUGCGCGCCGGACUCGUCGACAUUGAAGCCUGGUUCAGGGGCUACUGAGGGAGUCCUGGAUUAGGGGGUGUUCGGAUAGCCGAACUAUACCUUCAGCCGGACUCCUGGACUAAGAAGAUACAAGAUUGAAGACUUCGUCCCGUGUUUGGAAGGGACUUUCCUUGGCGUGGAAGGCAAGCUUGGCGAUACGGAUAUGUAGAUCUCCAACCAUUGUAACCAACUCUAUGUAACCCUAGCCCUCUCCAGUGUCUAUAUAAACCGGAGGGUUUUAGUCCGUAGGACGAACAACAGAACAACAAUCAUACAUAGGCUAGCUUCUAGGGUUUAGCCUCCUUGAUCUCGUGGUAGAUCUACUCUUGUACUACCCAUAUCAUCAAUAUUAAUCAAGCAGGAGUAGGGUUUUACCUCCAUCGAGAGGGCCCAAACCUGGGUAAAAACAUCGUGUCCCUUGUCUCCUGUUACCAUCCGCCUAGACGCACAGUUCGGGACCCCCUACCCGAGAUCCCCCGGUUUUGACACCGACAGUCGUCAUCAUCAACCAUCCUCUAUCACCAAUUUCAUAAUGCUCACCGCCGUGCGUGAGUAAUUCCAUCAUAGUCUUGCUGGACGGUGAUGGGUUGGAUGAGAUUUAUCAUGUAAUCAAGUUAGUUUUGUUAGGGUUUGAUCCCUAGUAUCCACUAUGUUCCGAGAUUGAUGUUGCUAUGACUUUGCUAUGCUUAAUGCUUGUCACUAGGGCCCGGGUGCCAUGAUUUCAGAUAUGAACCUGUUAUGUUUUCAUGAAUAUAUGUGAGUUCUUGAUCCUAUCUUGCAAGUCUAUAGUCACCUAUUGUGAGUUAUGAUCCGACAACCCCGAAGUGACAAUAAUCGGGAUACUUCUCGGUGAUGACCAUAGUCUGGGGAGUUCAUGUAUUCACUAUGUGCUAAUGCUUUGUUCCGGUUCUCUAUUAAAAGGAGGCCUUAAUAUCCCUUAGUUUCCAAUAGGACCCCGCUGCCACGGGAGGGUAGGACAAAAGAUGUCAUGCAAGUACUUUUCCAUAAGCAUGUAUGACUAUAUUCGGAAUACAUGCCUACAUUACAUUGAUGAAUUGGAGCUAGUUCUGUGUCACACUAUGUUAUGACUGUUACAUGAUGAACUGCAUCCGGCAUAAUUAUCCAUCACUGAUCCGGUACCUACGAGCUUUCCAUAUACUGGUUCUCGCUUAUUUACUUUUCCGCUGCCACUGUUACAAUCACUACAAAAUACCAAAAAUAUUAAUUUUGCUGUCUUUACUUUUGCUGCCGUUACCACCACUAUCAUAUUACUGUGCUACUAAACACUUUGCUGCAGAUACUAAGUUUCCAGGUGUGGUUGAAUUGAGAACUCAGCUGCUAAUACUUGAGAAUAUUCUUUGGCUCCCCUUGUGUCAAAUCAAUAAAUUUGGGUUGAAUACUCAACCCUCGAAAACUGUUGCGAUCCCCUAUACUUGUGGGUUAUCAAGACCUUUUUUGGCGCCGUUGCCGGGGAGCAUAGCUCUAAUCUUUGAGUCACUUGGGAUUUAUAUCUGCUAGACGCUAUGAAGAACUUGAAAGACGCUAAGAGAACAAUUUAUCCCUCAACUACGAGGGGAGGUAAGGAACUGCCAUCUAGCUCUGCACUUGAUUCACCUUCUGUUAUGAGUAAACUUGCGACACCUAAACCUACUUCUGCUAUUCGUUCUGAUAUGUCGCAUGUUAUUGAUGAUGCCACUUCUACUAUGCAUGAUACUUAUGAUGAAACUGCUUCUAUGCCUGAUACUACUGUGCCCCUUAGUGAAUUUCUUGAUGAACAAAUUGCUAGGGCCAGAGAGAAAGAAAUUGUUGAAUCUGAAUAUAAUGAUGAGAGUGAUGAUGAAGAUAUUUCUAUUAUUCCUGAGGGUUAUGUUUUUGAUAUGGAAUCUUCUGCCGCUCUUUUAGCUUGCAAAGAUAGAUAUGAGCUCAAGAGGUUAUUAGCUAAAUGGAACAAAGAAUCACUUAGAGAUAAAAUGAAACCUGACCCUGCUUUUGCUACUCCACCUAUUUGUGUUCCCGAUAAGGAUUAUGAAUUCUCUAUUGAUCCAGAUAUAAUUACUUUGGUUGAAUCUGAUCCUUUCCAUGGUUAUGAAUCUGAAACUGUUGUGCCACAUCUUACUAAAUUAAAUGAUAUAGCCACCCUGUUUACUAAUGAUGAGAAAUUGCGCAACUUCUAUAUACUUAAAAUAUUUCCAUUCUCAUUAAAGGGUGAUGCUAAGAUAUGGUUCAAUUCUCUUGAUCCUGGUUGUGUGCGUAGUCCACAUGAUAUGAUUUAUUACUUCUCUGCUAAAUAUUUCCCUGUUCAUAAGAAACAAGCUGCUUUAAAGGAAAUAUACAACUUUGUGCAAAUUAAAGAAGAGAGUCUCCCACAAGCUUGGGGGAGGCUUCUCAAGUUACUUAAUGCUCUGCCUGAUCAUCCUCUUAAGAAACCCGAAAUACUUGAUAUCUUUUAUAAUGGACUAACCGAUGCUUCCAGAGAUUACCUAGAUAGUUGUGUUGGUUCUAUUUUCAGGGAAAGAACACCGGAUGAAGCUGAAAUUCUAUUGAAUAAUAUGUUGACAAAUGAAAAUAAUUGGGAACCUCCUGAGCCAGCUCCUGAGCCAGUUCUUGCUCCAAUUACUGAGCCUAUUCCUAAACCAACUCCGAAGAAGAGAGGUGUUCUAUUUCUUAGUCCCGAAGAUAUGCAAGAGGCAAAGAAACCUAUGAAAGAGAAAGGUAUUAAAGCUGAAGAUGUUAAGAAUUUACCUCCUAUUGAAGAAAUACAUGGUCUUAAUUCACCACCUGUUGAAGAAAUAUAUGAUCUUAAUCCUUUAUUCAUUGAAGAACCUCCUGAUCCCGAUAUCCCGACAUAGGUAGUAAAGGUAAAUUCUCUCUAUAGAUUUGAUGAAGGUCAUAUCCCUCACUAUAAGUCUGCUAGACAAUGCUUAGAAGAGUUUGAUAAUUUCAUUGUCAAACAAGAAAACUUCAAUGCUUAUUUUGGUAGACAAUUGAAAUAUGAUUCCGAUAUGAUUAGACGCUUGGGUGAUUAUAUGGCUAAUACUAAAGGUGAACUUAAACUUGUUGGCAAACAUGCUUCUAUGGUUACCACUCAAGUAGAACAAGUACUUAAAGCUCAAAAAGAAAUGCUUGAUGAAAUGAAUAGUAAGAAAAAUGAUUAUGCUGUUAGAGUGGCUACUAGAACUGGUAGAAUGACUCAGGAACCUUUGUAUCCUGAAGGCCACUCUAAGAGAAUCGAGCAAGAUUCUCAGAGAAAUAAUAUUGAUGUUCCUAGUUCUUCUAAAAAGAAGAAAAAGAAAAAUGGUAGAACUGUGCAAACUUCUAGUGAACCUAUUGCUGAACCACCUGAUAAUCCAAAAGAUAUAUCCAUGUUUAAUGCUGAAACACAAUCUGGUAAUGAACAUGAACCUAGUGAAAAUGUUAAUGAUGAUGUUCAUGAUGAUGCUCAACCUAGUAAUGAUAAUGAUGUAGAAGUUGAACCUGUUGUUGAUCUUGAUAACCCACAAUCAAAGAAUCAACUUUAUGAUAACAGAGACUUUGUUGCUAUGAAACAUGGUAAAGAAAGAGAACCAUGGGUUCAGAAACCCAUGCCUUUUCCUCCCAAACCAUCCAAGAAAAAGGAUGAUGAGGAUUUUGAGCGCUUUGCUAAAAUGAUUAGACCUAUCUUUUUGCGUAUGCGAUUGACUGAUGUGCUCAAAACAAAUCCUUAUGCUAAAUAUAUGAAGGAUAUCAUUACUAAUAAAAGAAAGAUACCGGAAGCUGAAAUUUCCACCAUGCUUGCUAAUUAUACUUUUAAGGGUGGAAUACCAAAGAAACUUGGAGAUCCCGGAGUACCUACUAUACCUUGCUCCAUUAAAAGAAAUUAUAUUAAAACUGCUUUAUGUGAUCUUGGAGCCGGUGUUAGUGUUAUGCCUCUCUCUUUAUAUCGUAGACUUGACUUGAAUAAGUUGACACCUACUGAAAUAUCUUUGCAAAUGGCUGAUAAAUUAAUUGCUAUACCUGUCGGUAUUUGUGAGGAUGUGCCUGUUGUGGUUGCAAACGUUACUAUUUUAACGGACUUUGUUAUUCUUGAUAUUCCCGGGGAUGAUAGUAUGUCUAUUGUUCUUGGAAGGCCUUUCCUUAACACUACAGGGGCUGUUAUUGAUUGCAACAAAGGCAAUGCCACUUUUCAUGUUAAUGGUAAUGAGCAUAAGGUACACUUUCCGAGGAAACAACCUCAAGUUCAUAGUAUCAACUCUAUUGGAAAAAUUCCAUCGAUUAUAUUUGGAGGUUUUGAAUUUCCUCUUCCUCCUGUCAAGAAGAAAUAUGAUAUACUUAUUAUUGGGGAUGUGCAUAUUCCCGUUGAGGUAACCUAGUGUUAUUCGAAAUUUCUCCGGUUUCAUGAUUAUCAGAAUGAGUUUGUUAACAAGACUUGAUCAACCUUGUUAGUGGAUUCCUUUUGAUGAGCAUGAGAUGGAUGAAACUAGAAGCACAACCUUCUGUACCCUCUCUAUAUUUUCUGUUAUUUAGUAGAAAUAAAGUAAAAAUAGUAUUUUUCUGUCUGUUUCCUAGCUUAUCCAUGCAAUAUAAAAAUAUCCCAAAAAUAAAAGUCCUCAGAAUGCCAUGCCAAUUUAAUAUGAUUUUUUCGGGAAUAUUUGAGGAUUUACUAUGCAAAAAUUACCGCGGGGGGAGCUGCCACCUCGCCAUGAGGGUGGAGGGCGCGCCCUACCCCCCUGGGCGCCCCCCUGCCUCAUGGGCCCACGGUGGCCCUCCACCACUUAUCCCAGCACCCAUCUUCUUCCUCUGCCUCACACAAACCCGAAAAACCAACUCAAGCACGAGUUCCAGCCACUUUUGCUGUGAUUUUUGAUCUCCUUGCUCAAAGCACCUCUCACAAAACUGCUUCGGGAGAUUGUUCCUUGGUAUGUGACUCCUCCAUCGGUCCAAUUAGUUUUUGUUCUAGUGCUUUAUUCUUUGCAAAUUUGUGCUGCAUAGGUGACCAUGUUCUUGAGCUUGCAUGUCAAAUUCGUAUGGUUCCAAGUAGUUCUAAUGCUUGAUAUAGGCUCUAGGCACUUGUAGGAGUAGUUGCUAUCAGUUUUAUUGAAGUUGGUUCACUUUUGUUUGAAGUUACUAAAAAUUUCAGAUUAUUCCAGAAAAAAUGAAGAGACUUUUGAGGGGCUCAUCGAGCCGAAGCUCAAAGGAGAAACAAAAUGAAGAAGCACAGAGGCCCAAAUAUAAUUUGCCUCAUACCGUGGAGAUCCGGCCGUGUGAAUGGCCUUCUGAUAAUUUCUUGACACAGGCCAGGAUUUAUGAGGAUUUCUAUUCAUUGAUAGAGAAUGCUGGCCUCACCGACUUCAUCCGCGACCAACGUCCACAGUAUCUCUUACUCACAAAUACUUUUGUGCAAAACUUCUACUUUUACCCUAAGGAAUCACCUCCUGCAGUAGAGUUUCAUUUAUAUGACGUUGUGAAGAAAAUGCCAUUGUGUGAAUUUUGCGCAGUAUGCAACAUACCCCCUGAGGGUAUCUUAGAGGAACCACCCCGUAAAGAGGUGGAACCAUUUGUUAACCUUUUCUCUAUGGGAGAAACCAGGAAGGUUUCUGAUGCAAGAAUAACUGGCAUACAUUUUCCUGUAUUGCGCUAUUUUGCCUUAUUUGCUAGUCGAUGCUUGAUUGGUCGCGGGAACUAUGGGAACCUUAGUGUUCCUGAUAUUAUUAUUUUGUUCCAUGGUUUAUACUGCGACAACAUUGUUAGCAUGGGCCGAAUUGUUGCUAGACGGUUAAGUCUUAACCGUACUAAGGGUCCCAUCUUUGGAGGCAUUUAUGCUUCGCGCCUUGAUGCACAUUUUAACAUAGCUAUUAGGCAUUAUGAGAAAGAAGAAAAAUUGCUGCCUAGUGCUUAUCUAGAUUAUAAGAGUAUGAUGGCACAUGAUUUUCUUGUUAAGGGCAGGGAUGGAGAGCUCAAGUAUAAAUUAUUCUUUGAUAAACGUCAUCCUAAAACUAUUACGUUGCCUGCUCCUUCUUUGUUUAAGUUUGUAGGACCCUAUCUCAUUACGUGGGCUGUCGUUCAAGCUUACAAAAAAUCCUGCACCAGCCCUGGAACCGGAACCACAAGAUGAGCCUCCACGAUAGUCUGUUUAUUCUUGGGAUCCAGAGAUGACUGUCAGUCAAUGGCAGUCAGAGUCUUCCUCAUCACAGUAUGAUCCCAACUAUUCUUCGUCGCAGUAUGACCCCAGCUACACAUACGGGUACCCGCCAGGCUAUCCCUGGCAAUAGACCAACUUAGGCCAAAAGCCUAAGCUUGGGGGAGUACGUAUUUCUCACCGACAUUACAUUUAUGUUCACACACACUCAUUGCUAGAUGUCGGUGCUCAUACUCUUUCACUGUAAUAUCCAUGCUAGUUUAUUUUCUUUUUUCCUGCUUUCUUCUUGUGUGUUUGUUAAACCUUAAGAAAAACCAAAAAAUUAGUAGUAGUUUACUUUUCUGCUGCAGUAGUAGUAAGUAAAAAGAAAACCCAAAAAUAUUUCUCGUUCUUCUUUUGCUUGUUGGUAGCUUUCCCAUGUAAAUAGUUUUUAUUUCUUUUCUUUUCUUUGGGGGUCGAUAGGAGAAGACCAUGAUUAAAUUGUUGAAGUGGCUCUUAUAUGCAUUAUUGUUGAUUUAACCAAGAGUCCAUAUUGCCUUGUCUUCUCCUGUUUAUUGAAUGCUCACAGAUUCCAGCUUAGUCCAAUGCACGUGCACUCUUAUUAUUUUUCACAUCAUUCGGUUGUGCAAGUGAAUGGCAAUUAUGAUGAUAUAUGAUGGACUGACUGAGAUGGGAAAAACUGGUAUGAACUCGACCUCUUUUGUUUUUGUAAAUAUGAUGAGUCCAUCGUUCUUGAUUAAGCUUGUUAUGAAUAAACAUGUUUGCAAUGACGAUUAGAGAUCAUAGUUGCUUGUGCCAUGCUUGAUUAGCUAUGAGUUAUAAUGGUUUACCUUGCGUGCCAACAUGCUAUUGAGAUGAUUAUGAUGUGGUAUGAUGGGGUGGUAUCCUCCUUUGAAUGAUUUAAGUGACUUGACUUGGCACAUGUUCAUGCAUGUAGUUGAAACAAAUCAACAUAGCCUUCAUGAUAUUUAUGUUCAUGGUGGAUUAUAUCCUACUCAUGCUUGCAUCCAAUGUUUAUUAAUUUUAAUGCAUGUACAUGGCUAUUGUCGUUCUCUAGUUGGUCGCUUCCCAGUCUUUUGCUAGCCUUCACUUGUACUAAGCGGGAAUACUGCUUGUGCAUCCAAUCCCUUAAACCCCAAAGUUAUUCUAGAUGAGUCCACUAUACCUUCCUAUAUGCGGUAUCUACCUGCCGUUCCAAGUAAAUUUGUAUGUGCCAAACUCUAAACCUUCAAAUAAACAUUCUGUUUUGUAUGCUCGAAUAGCUCAUGUGUCAACCAAGGCUGCCCUUAUCUUCCAUGUUAGGCGGGUUAUUCUCAAGAGGAGUGGACUCCGCUCCUCACUCACGAGAAAAUGGCGGGUCACCGGGAUGCCCAGUCCCAUGCUUUAUGCAAACUAAAUCAAAAUUUAGUUGCAAACAAAACCUCCCCUGGGACCUGAUGUAUGUUGGAGGCACUCGUUGUUUCGAGCAAGCCAUGGAUUGAUGCUUGUUGGUGGAGGGGGAGUAUAAACUUUACCAUUCUAUUUGGGAACCGCCUAUAAUGUGUGUAACAUGGAAGAUAUCGCCAUCUCUUAGUUGCUACGUUGACAAUGAAAGUAUACCGCUCAAAAUACAAUUUAUCUCUAUUUCAAAACCGAGCUCUGGCACCUCUACAAAUCCCUUCUUCCCUCUGCGAAGGGCCUAUCUAUUUACUUUUAUGUUGAGUCAUCACCCUCUUAUUAAAAAGCACUAGCUGGAGAGCACAGCUGUCAUUUGCAUUCAUCACUAUUAAUCUAUAUUGGGUGUGACUAUGAUUGGAUCUCUUUUACCAUGAAUUACAAUGUCUAGUCAGUCCUUGAUCUUUAAAGGUGCUCUGCAUUUUUGUUUUGUGGUCUCAGAAAGGGCUAGCGAGAUACCAUCUUGUUAUAUCAUAUUAUGAUUGUUUUGAGAAAGUGUUGUCAUCCGAGAUUUAUUAUUGUGGCUUGCUAGUUGAUUAUGCUAUUGAUACGAGUAAUUAUGAGACCUGAGAAUUAUUGCAAAUGUGGUUAGUUAUGAUCUUUGCUGAAAGAUUGAAUGCUGGCUUGACAUAAUUAGAACAACAAGAGCAAACAAAGUUUGUAAAAGUUUUUCUUUCUUUCUUUCAGUUUGUGAACUGAAUUGCUUGAGGACAAGCAAGGGUUUAAGCUUGGGGGAGUUGAUACGUCUCCGUCGUAUCUACUUUUCCAAACACUUUUGCCCUUGUUUUGGACUCUAACUAGUAUGAUUUGAAUGGAACUAACCCGGAUUGACGCUGUUUUUAGCAGAAUUGCCAUGAUGUUGUUUCAUGUGUGGAAAACAAAAGUUCUCAGAAUGACCUGAAACUCCACGGGAUGUCUUAUAAAAAAUAAUAAAAAAUCCUCGCCGAAGAUGAAGAUCAAGGGGCCCACACCCUGUCCACGAGGGUGGGGGGCGCCCCCCCUAGGGCGCGCCCCCCUACCUCAUGGUCCCCCUAGAAACCUUCCGACGCCAACUCCAACUCUAUAUAUUGGCUUUCAGGGAGAAAAAAAUAGGAGAGAAGAAAUCAUCACGUUUUACGAUACGGAGCCGCCACCAAGCCCUAAAACCUCUCGGGAGGGCUGAUCUGGAGUCCGUUCGGGGCUCCGGAGAGGGUGAUUCAUCGCCAUCGUCAUUGUCAACCAUCCUCCAUCACCAAUUUCAUGAUGCUCACCGCCGUGCGUGAGUAAUUCCAUCGUAGGCUUGCUGGACAGUGAUGGGUUGGAUGAGAUUUAUCAUGUAAUUGAGUUAGUUUUGUUAGGGUUUGAUCCCUAGUAUCCACUAUGUUCUGAGAUUGAUGUUGCUAUGACUUUGCUAUGCUUAAUGCUUGUCACUAGGGCCCGAGUGCCAUGAUUUCAGAUCUAAACCUAUUAUGUUUUCAUGAAUAUAUGUGAGUUCUUGAUCCUAUCUUGCAAGUCUAUAGUCACCUAUUAUGAGUUAUGAUCCGACAACCCCGAAGUGACAAUAAUCGGGAUACUUCUCGGUGAUGACCAUAGUUUGAGGAGUUCAUGUAUUCACUAUGUGCUAAUGCUUUGUUCCGGUUCUCUAUUAAAAGGAGGCCUUAAUAUCCCUUAGUUUCCAAUAGGACCCCGCUGCCACAGGAGGGUAGGACAAAAGAUGUCAUGCAAGUUCUUUUCCAUAAGCACGUAUGACUAUAUUCGGAAUACAUGCCUACAUUACAUUGAUGAAUUGGAGCUAGUUCUGUGUCACCCUAUGUUAUGACUGUUACAUGAUGAACCGCAUCCGGCAUAAUUAUCCAUCACUGAUCCGGUGCCUACAAGCUUUCCAUAUACUGGUUCUCGCUUAUUUACUUUUCUGCUGCCACUGUUACAAUCACUACAAAAUACCAAAAAUAUUACUUUUGUUGUCUUUACUUUUGCUGCCGUUACCACCACUAUCAUAUUACUGUACUACUAAACACUUUGCUGCAGAUACUAAGUUUCCAAGUGUGGUUGAAUUGACAACUCAGCUUCUAAUACUUGAGAAUAUUCUUUGUCUCCCCUUGUGUUGAAUCAAUAAAUUUGGGUUGAAUACUCUACCCUCGAAAACUGUUGCGAUCCCCUAUACUUGUGGGUUAUCGAGGUACUCCAGUGUGCAGAAAUUGCUCUUCGGCCUCCUUAUGGCCUCGAGGAAGCUGCGUCAUUUCUUCCAAGCCCACGAGAUCACCGUCAUCACCCGCCUCCCGUUGCAACGGAUACUGCACAACCCAGAUGUGACCGGAAGGAUUGUGGAAUGGGCCUUGGAGUUGUCGAGUGUCGGUGUCAAAACCGGCGGAUCUCGGGUAGGGGGUCCCGAACUAUGCGUCUAAGGUGGAUGGUAACAGGAGGCGGGGGACACGAUGUUUACCCAGGUUCGGGCCCUCUCUAUGGAGGUAAUACCAUACUUCCUGCUUGAUUGAUCUUGAUGAUAUGAGUAUUACAAGAGUUGAUCUACCACGAGAUCAUAGAGGCUAAACCCUAGAAGCUAGCCUAUGGUAUGAUUGUUCUCGUCCUACGGACUAAACCCUCCGGUUUAUAUAGACACCGUAGGGGGCUAGGGUUACACAGAGUCGGUUACAAUGGGAGGAGAUCUACAUAUCUGUAUCGCCAAGCUUGCCUUCCACGCCAAGGAGAAUCCCAUCCGGACACGAGACAAAGUCUUCAAUCUUGUAUCUUCAUAGUCCAACAGUCCAGCCAAAGGAUAUAGUCCGGCUGUCCGGAUACCCCCUAAUCCAGGACUCCCUCAGUAGCCCCUGAACCAGGCUUCAAUAACGACAAGUCCAGCGCGCAGAUUGUCUUCGGCAUUGCAAGGCGGGUUCCUUCUCCGAAUACUUCAUAGAAGAUUUUGAACACAAGGAUAGUGUCCGGCUCUGUAAAACAAGUUCCACAUACCACCGUAGAGAGAAUAACAUUUCCGAUCUGCUGACAUAUUUGAUAUCAUGACAUCACGCCAUGGCCUGGUUAUUAUCGAACCGUUUUUCUCAACCAGCCUUGGCGCAUAUCGCGAGGCAGUUUCCUUGGCACGUCUUGUUGAAGCAGAGAUCAUGUCCCCUUAUCACGGGAUUCUCAUCAAUACGGGCGUGGGUAACUCAACCAUGCCAUCAAUCACGGUGCUUGGGGAAUAAGCGAGUUAACUAGGCUAGUGGGGGCGUAUAGUUUCAUCCGCCCUUAUAAAGGGAUAAGAGUUUGUCUUUUUCACCCACGCCUUCUUCCUCUUCGCCUAUCCAUCCUCGCGCACUCGAGAUCCAACGCCCAAGUUCGCACCUUUCUCCUCACACCGCCCCAAUCAUGUCCGGAGCGGGAGGAAAGUGGAUGACAUCCUCCGUUAUGGAGGAGAAUAUCAAGAAGCUGCGUGGAGCCGGAUACUUGGACGCGGACAUCGCGCACCGGCUGCCAAACGCGGGGCAGAUCGUCCCUACUCCAGAGCCCCACGAGAGGGUAGUUUUUCUAACCCACUUUGUCCGCAGACUGGGAUUUCCCCUCCACCCGUUCGUUUGCGACCUCAUGUUCUACUACGGGCUGGACUUUCAUGAUCUGGCCCCGAACUUUAUCCUCAACAUCUCGGCGUUUAUCGUCGUGUGCGAGGCCUUCCUCCGCAUCCGGCCCCACUUUGGCCUGUGGCUGAAGACCUUCAAUGUCAAGCCAAAGGUUGUAGGCAGCCAGCAGGCGGAAUGCGGAGGCGCCAUGGUGGGAAAAAUGCCCAAUGUCACAUGGCUCGAGGGCUCCUACGUGGAGACCAUAAAGUGGUGGCAAUUGGGGUGGUUCUACAUCACCGAGCCGCGCGACCCCAAAUGGGUGGCGGCCCCCAAGUUCCGAUCCGGAAUCCCUAUGCGGCUCACCUCCUGGAAAGAGAAGGGCCUGCCCUGGGGUAACCCGGUAGAGCUAACCGGACUCCAGACCUGCAUCAAGAACAUGAUGAACAGGAAAAUCAAGCUUGUCAACGUGGUCCAGGUCAUGCUCUUCCGCCGGAUCCUCCCGUGUCAACAAUGGGCGUUCAAUCUAUGGGAGUUCGACCCGGCCUGGCACCAAACUCUGCGCGAGAUCUUCGACACGACGCACAAGGAUGUCUGGAAGGUGCUGUUCAAGGGCGCCGAGGUUCCCCAAAAUAUUACCGUAUAGACAGUAGCCCCUGAUGCUCUGUUAGGCGUUCGCGAAGAAAAGCCGAAUAGAGGAUCGAAUAAUAACUGCAGGAGUCUAAUCCAAAUAUGUCUAUAUACGUAUGCAGGCUUUAGUGCUGGCCGCUGCCGCACAUACUGCGGAGAUCGCCACACUGAAGCAGAACCUCGAGCGGUCCGAGGAAGAACUCGGCCUUGCCAAAAAGUGGCUCGAGGAGAACAAACAUAAGCAAUACCGUGUCUUCAUAAAAAGGUUUUGGUUGUAAGAUAACAAGAUCAUCAUGGAUGUACCAGGGUCCACAACCGAAGUGGCGACCCUGAAGUAGUUGCUCACCGAGGCCGAAACAAAGCAUCCAAGGAGCGCACUGAGCGAGAAAAACAAGAGGCCCGAGCAGGCGAGGUGCAGCAAGAGCUUCAAGAACUCAUGAAGAAGCAUGAGUCCUUGGAGCGCGACUCGAAGACGCGAGAGUCCGAGCUUGCCAAGGCCCUCGAAAGUGCAAAAAAUGCCAAGGCCGAAGCCCAAAAGGCCCUCCAGGAAAUUGAGGCGGUGAAGAAGAUAGCGGCGGGUAAGGCAUUCAUUAUGCAAAGUAGGCAUGCGAAAGAAAAUUUCCUUUUACUUACUCGAGUUCGGAUCUCUCCAGGAGCGUUCGCAGAUUUGCCCCGCAGUGUGUCUGAGGCCGCGGAGUUCUACCGGGACGAGGAGGGAAGCUCGACGGAGAAGUUGUUCUGGUCUCAGUACACUGGGACCGAACACCCGAUGCCCGUGACCGACCAGCUGAAGCAACUGGUCGAGCUCCACAAGGCGGCCGAACAGGCCAUGAGGGGCCUUAUAGGCCGGAUGUGGCCUAGCGAUUCCCUUCCCAACAGCUACUUCGGCCUGGUGAGGCGACUUGUGGAUGCCUGCCCACGGCUGGAAGUCAUAAAGUGGUCCGUCUGCAUCGAGGGUGCCCGUAGGGCUUUUGGCCGUGCAAAGGUGCACUGGGCCAAGAUGGACGCCGAGAAGCUGGUGAAGGAUGGGCCGCCACAGGGCAAGGAGCAUCGCCACCCUGAAAUGUAUUAUGAGGGUGUCCUGAAGGGUGCCCAUCUUGUGGCGGACGUGUGCGAAGGAUGUAAUUUUUGAAUGAACUUGCUCGUGUUAUCCUGUAUUAUGAAAACUAGUUCAUUUGCGCUAUGCAAUGCUUUUCGAAUUUAAAAUAUUACCUUUUGUGCGGCCGUUUAUAAAAUCUGAGAGUUGCUAGUCGUCGGCUUCAGCCCCCAUGCAACUAGUGCUGGGGUGUUCCGGAUAAAUCUGGGCACUCUUUUUCCCAUUUAAGGGUCCUUCGAGGGAGGUGCUCAGCACAGUGAACCAAGCAAUCGGACUAUAAUGGUUUAUUGCUCUCACUUAGCCAUAGAAGUCUACAAUUUUAAAUUUUGGUGAAGCCCCUAGUGUUCGGAAAGCCGAAGUUGGGGCACUAUACACGCCUAAGCCGGACAAGGUCGGCUCCUCGCCCGAAGUGGAAAAAGUCUUUAGGGACUUGAGACCUUUCGAACAGCGACCAACUCUCGCCUCAUCAUGACAGUCAGUUUUAGCUUUCUCUACUGAGGUGCUCGGCCGGAAGAACCGGGGCACAAUCGCAGUAGUUCUCCCAGUGCUACCUUAGCCGAUAUAGCGGAACGUAAGGUACCAAAACAUGGGAGCCGGGCAAACACAACUAUUGACCCAAGACAUGAUUCGGAGCUGAUGCGUAUAAUGCUAUAAGUUCAGGGUGCCGCACUGUCAAAAGUGUUCGGACUUCUCACGCCGAAUUAUGGGGUAUACGGAAGCCCCUGGCGUAUUGGCCAUACCAGAGUGUACGCGUGCUGAUUGUCACAGAUGAACAUAUAUAUAUAAGAAUAUAAAAUUCAAUAAGAGACUGAUGAUAUGCAUUGUUUAUUUAAGAAAUGUGUUGAUUCAUACUGAUACAAGCAGUGCGAUAAGCAAAAAAUGGGAAUAUUUGACAUGUCCCGUCCAAGGGCAAGCUGUGAGCUGGUAUUUAAAACAGGUAUUUCACUCAUUAUUAGAGACCACCUAGGGAUUCCAUUGCACGACGUAGCUUCCUGCCUCCUUGGGUGUUGUAUCAUGUGUCCGGCUAUCGUACUGCCGGAUAGGGCUUCCAGAGAGUAGAGUCCUGGAAGGGAGAGAAUGAUAGAGGUGGUAAGCCCCUAGUGCGGUUGAGCCGCAUUGUGGGACAUGCCGUGAUCGUGCCCUCGCCGACACCCAUGGUAUUUUCAAUGCGUAAUUAUGUACGCACGGGACAGAUUUCGCCGUUGUACUGGGACAAGGGCGGGGGCUGAAUCGCUAGGCGAGCUCUGAGUGUGCCAGGCUAUCCUGUUGUAGGUUACUCCAGACACGCUUGACGGUGUCCGGAGGCUUGAUCGCCGAACUGGUGGAUUGCCUCAAAAGGCUGCUUUGUGCUUCUGCUGCGAGGGUCGCAGUGUGCUCCUCUGUACGGAGCGAGCGCUCUAUGUUUCCAUUGACUGUGAUAACCCCCUAGGUCCUGGCAUCUGGAGCUUGAGGUAUGCGUAAUGCGGUACCGCAUUGAAUCUUGCAAAUGCGGUGCACCCAAGCAGUGCGUGAUAGCCGCUGCGGAACAGGACGAUAUCGAAGAUUAGCUCCUCGCUUCAGAAGUUGUCCGGAGAUCCGAAGACCACUCCCAGUGUGAUUGAGCCCAUACAAUGGGCCUCUACACCUGGGAUAACGCCUUUAAAGGUCAUUUUGGUGGGUUUGAUCCUCGAGGGGUCUAUACCCAUUUUUCGCACUGUAUCCUGAUAAAGCAGGUUCAGGCUGCUGCCGCCGUCCAUAAGGAAUCGAGUGAGGUGAAAUCCGUCGAUGAUUGGGUCUAAGACCAAUGCGGCAGAUCCACCAUGACGGAUACUCGGGGGGUGGUCCCUGCGAUCGAAGGUGAUCGAACAAGAGGACCAUGGGUUGAACUUUGGGGCGACGGGCUCCAUCGCAUAUACGUCCCUUAGUGCACGCUUCCGCUCCCUCUUGGGGAUGUGGGUUGCGUAUAUCAUGUUCACCAUCCUUACUUGUUGGGGGAACCUCUUUUGUCCUCCUGUGUUCGGCGGCCGGGGCUCCUUCUCGUCAUCGCUGUGCAGCCCCUUGUCCAUAUAUUCGGUGUUUAACUUGCCGGCCUGCUUGAACACCCAGCAUUCUCUAUUGGUGUGAUUGGCUGGUUUGUCAGGGGUGCUAUCGGGGAUAUACCCCGUGGCAUAAACCGGCCGGAAGUAUAACCCGGCCGGACUUGGCGGUUUACUUGAGUCCCGGUGAGACUUGACGAUUCAUUGGUGACCCAUUUGGACCUGGUGGUUUAUGAUUCAUCGGUAAUCCAGCAGGCGGGUCAGAGGAGCGACAGGACCCAGUGGCCCAACGGGCGGUUCAUGAAGGCCGGUUCAUACUAUGGUGGGCCGGUUUAAGAGGAAAUGCAUGAGGAACAUUAUCUUACAAAGAGCUAAGACCUGGACUUGUAUCCGGUUUGUAUUAAGAUAGACUAGUCCUAAUCCUAGUAGGACCCUACAUGUAACCCGCCCCUCCAACAUAUAUAAGGAGGGGCAGGGCUCCCCAAAGAGAGCGAGGGACAAGUUUCGCAAGAUGGCAAGUUCCGCAAGUUGGACAAGUUAGAUUUAGACAAUAGCUCUCGAGAUAGAGCACUCUUGUAACCGUGAUCAUCAUCAUCAUCAAUAUCAAUGAAGCAGGAUGUAGGCUUUUACCUCCACCGUGAGGGGCCGAACCUGGGUAAAACAUCGCGUCUCUCGUCCCGCUCAACCCCUCUCAAGCUACCACAUAGAUGCGUUGGCCUCGCGACUAAGUCCUGACACUAAGGACAUCUGCCGUGACAGUUCCACGACAGUUGGCGCCCACCGUGGGGCCUGCGCACGAUGGUGUUAAGUUCUUGAAGGGAUCUAUAUCAAGGAUCGAGAAGUUCACAAAUUUUUGGAUGAAGGACCGGUUUGGAAGGAUCUACAUUGUCUCGAUGGAAAGCAACCCGGACGACAUAUACAAGUUUUUGAGAAGAAAGAAAUUUAGGGUUUUGCAGAAUCAGUACACCGCACCCGUCUUUGGCGAUCCAUCAAAUCUAAUCAAAAGAUCAGUGUUUGCUACGACAUCACCGCAAGUCGCUGAGUUUGACAGGAGAUCAGAGGAUUUUCUUUGUUUGGGCGGUGUGUUGUACGAUGCGGAAUCGGUCCAAAAUGCAAGGUUUUCGCCAAGAAACAGAAUCUCUGUUGCGGUCGACGUGAGGAUCGAGACAGGUCACCUGCCUCGCGUCGUCAAUGCUACGGGCGAGCCUUACCGUCGCCACUCCGAGUCACCUACCGCUACUGCUCCCGUCCUCAACUGCAUCAUCAUUACAAGCCUCAGAGUGUAGCCGGGGCCUUAGCUGCCUGGGAGUCCCGAUCCAGAGGUAAGGAGACCACGACAAGGAUUCCAGCGGGAGUCCACCGAGUUGACCGUCACCCGGAAACGAACGAAGACACGGCCUCCGCUGAUGCACCACCACUACUGCGGCCAGAUUGACCACAGCCGCGCCUGGCUGAUUCCGCUGCCCCCGCGGCCGCGUCAGGCCACUUUUGCCUGUGCCGAGCUGCCAGUGUGCUUCACCUCCUCCGAGCCGCCAGUGCACCUUGCUGCCACCGACGACCUCGCCCCGAGCCGGCUGUUCCACCUCCCGCCGUGCUUCACUCCCAAAUUUAUUGAUGGAUAUUACAUAUGGAUCAUCUGCUAUACGAACAAAUCAGGUGCUAUUUUUCUAAACUUUUACUGGUAUAAUUAAGUAUCAUCCAAAGCUUUUUCCACGGUAUGCUGUGCUAUACACAGGUCAACGGACUCAUGGCCAAGGUUUGGUCCGGUCCUCGUGCACCGGCGUUGGAGGCAAUGUAUACAUCUGCACCGCCCGUGCUGGGCGUUUAAAGACCUGGAGAAUAACCCGGAGGGUUUCUGCUUGAACCCCCGGGACCACAUUGAGUCACCAGACACGUAAACCGCCUCUGUCGCGAUGAACAUAUCAUCUGUUGUCCGAACAAAAAACAUUAGGUGAUAUCCAUCUAAAUCUAGUUUCUUGGUAUAUGUUCUUUUUAUCAAGGGAACAAUUACUUUGGACCGGAUAUUAUGAUAUGCACGACAAUUAUUCAUUAUAAAACAUGGUUUAAACCAUGGGUACGGAGUACGCACUGGCAACGUCCUGCCCGGUGGUCGUCCGUGCCACAUUACAUGGUGAAUGGACGCGUACAAGCUGCUGCCCGUACAGCCCGGUCUACAUCGAUUAGCCGGGACUGCGCCUGUGAUUGACUCGCCCGUCCGCUCUCGCGGCCGGUUUACGAACACUGCGGCCGACUCUCCCGUCCGCACCGGCGUACAAUGCCGCAGCCGACUUAUCUGUCUGAGCCGCCUCUGAUGCUGCGGUCGUCUUUGUCGUCCGUCUCUCGCGGCCUGGUCUACGUCAACAUACUGGGCCGCACUUGUCUGGAUGAACUAUUUAUUGACUAUGAGCAAGUCACUACUUGGGAAGCCCGGUUUUCUUCCAACAAAUUGGAGGUAAAUUAUCAUAUAUUAUCAGCCGCCAUCUACACUGGAUGGUUCAAUGGGUAGGCGCACAAGUCGCCGCCACUACAGUUUGGUUAACUUCAAAUCGCCAGUUGGAAGGAACCAUUGGCCGAGUUGCUGACACGGCUCAUAUGGGAUCAUAUACAACCCGCCGCAGUCACCUCAACCUUCUAUGGAUUCACAUCGUGCUAUCAACACCAAUGAUAUACAAGGUAUGCCGGUUUAUAUCACGGUCAAAUAUGGAGAGUCUCAAGCCAACUCCUCGAGUCACCUUUGAGACUCGGGGGCUACGAUGACAUGACUCAGCGAUCUUGCCAGUUUCAGCAAAUUUAAGAACCCCAGGACGAUGGAGGGAAAGAUAACCUAGUCCUGGAGGCUACUAUUAUAUUGAUGAAAAUUUAAAGGCCGUCAGAAAAUUUCCGGUUUAGAAAGUAUAUGACAGUUACAAAAUCCCGGCUCAAUGAAGAAAAUCCGGGUCAUUAGAAAGGAUUCCGGUUUAAAAUCCGGCUCAAGGGAAGUCAGUCUGACUGUAGCUCUCAAAUAUCCGGUUUACAGUCCGGUUCAAGGGAAAUCUGUUCUCCCACAAAGCUCUGAAGCGCUCAAAUCCGGUUUAACAAUGUCCGGUUCAAAAAGGAAUUAACUUCUCGCAAGUUCGAGUUUAAAAGCCGUCAGAAAAUUUUCUGGCUAAAAAUGAAGAUUCCAGUUUAAAAUCCGGUUCAAGGGAAAGAUGUCUCCCACAAAGCUUUGAAGCUCUUAAUAUCCGGUUCAAGAUCCCGGUUCAAGAAGAAUUUAUCUCUUGCAAAAGUUAAAAAUUGCCAAAGAGGACCUGCUGCCAUGAUGCGCGGUUCAAGCAUGGGUAUCCCGCCUUACUGGGCUGACAUAUUAUUGAUCACAUGGGGGCUUCUGCUUCAUAAAGCGGGGUCUCUGUUCUUUUACAUCAUGUGUGGUUACACAGAGUUGUUCUAAAGCGGCCUCCGGUUUACCCCUUGAAAAUUUUAUAAACAUCACUUGGGGGCUUGGUCGUGUCCGAACCAAUGCAAUACCUCUUGAUAGGCGAGAGCCACCAGAUCACUUGGGGACUUGGUCACGUCUGAACCAGUCAUGCCUCUUGAUUGGCCUAAGGCCACAGAAUCACUUGGGGGCUUGGUCGAACCCGAACCAUUGCCAUGCCACUUGAUCGGCAUAAAUGCCACGGUUUCAUUUGGGGACCUGGCUGACUUGAACCAUAGCUACACCUAUCGGGAGCUUGGUCGUGUUCGACCAUGGUAAAGCCAUCUGAUCAGCUCAAAUAAGCCUCUUUUUGCAAAUGGUUUUAUCAUUGCCUUUGCUUCAAUAUUUUCCUUGAUAAUUGUUUCUUUUAUUUUUGUUGCGUUUUUAAACCGACAAAGUUUUAAACCGGCCCAAACUGUCAAUUACAAAUUGAUGGAACACGGUCAAAUCUUAAUCUAGAGAUUGUUGGGGAUAUAAUUAUUUACGUAAGCCGCAGGAGGGGCCGGGUUACGCAAAGAGAAGGCCAUCUGAAGCCCAAGACCAAGAUGUGAAGAUGGCGGUUCAGUAAAGGGUCUAAAGACCCACAGACGAUUUAGGGCCCAUGGUGAUAAACCGUCAUGAGGGCGCGACUUGUAUUGUAAGGUAGAAAUAACUAGUCACCGAGCCAGACACUGUUUAUGAGCCGGCCGGGACUCUGUAAGCCGUAGGGCGUCGACCCGUGUAUAUAAGGGGACGACCCGCUGGCGGCUUAGCGGGAGCAGAAACAAGAGAUCGAGAACCGGGCAUAGCGUAUCUCGCUCCCUGGUCAUCGAAACCUCAAGCAAUUCCAACCCAACUAGACGUAGGCCUUCCUUCACCGUAAGGGGCUGAACUAGUAUAAACCUCGCGCAUCCUUUGUCCCGAUUAAGCCCUUUAAGCUUCCUAGUUGCGAUGGCUCCACGAUCAAGUCCUUGCAAGAGGACAUCUGCCGUGACAAUUGCACGACAGUUGGCGCCCACCAUGGGGCCAGCGCACGGUGGAUUUGAGUUCUUAAAGGGCAGCUUCGAAGGGCUCAAGGGAUAUGAAGUUGGCCGGAUGACCAAGAGUCGUCGCGGCAAGAUCUACAUCGAUGACGAAGGCUGGGGCCCCGAUGCCGGCUCAAUUGAGUACGGCUACCGGGUCCCCUUUGGCGGAAUUCACGUCUUCAUCGGCCGGAUUGGUGAGCCGGGCCCUGAGCCGGACAGCUGCACCGACCUCGUCGAGACGGCUCAGCGUGCAAAACCCGCCCGAGCUCAACCUGCCGUGAAGCGUGCCUUUGUGGGUUGCAUCCACGGAGGUGAACUUCCUGAAGGAUCUAAAGGUGAUGGUGAGCCGGCCGUCCUCUCUGACGGUGAUUCAUCUGCUGGCUCAACAGAUUCGCUGUAUCAAGUUCAAGAUGGUGUGCUUGGGGGCUAUUCCGAUGGCAACACUAUUCCGGACCUCUCAGAGUCGCCAAACUAGGCAGGAGUAUUCAUGGCUAGUACUCAACCCGGCCAAAAUUCUACGGCCUCAGCGGCGAUAACGUAUGAAUUAGGAGCAGCCGGGGCAGGAGGCCCCGUGCACUCACCGGCUCAGGUGCUGAUGGAUCUCAUGGAUAAGCUUACGGCUUUGUUAACUGUUACAGUCAUCCCUGCGAACCAAUCUGAGCAUGAGGCAGAGGUGGCACAGGUUUGCUACGAGAUCGCCCGAGUCAAGGAAACCUUAGCAGCUGAGGAUGCUAGAUUAGCAGCAGAGCGGGCGGCUUUGGACGUACGGGCGCAACAACUUCAGGCAGAGGCCUUGCAGCUCACGUUGAGCUUAAACGCAUCUAAUGAGGUAAUGAGGAGGAGACAUCAGAAAACUUAGUCCUGUUUACCUCAGAAUUAUGAUCCUCAAAAUCUCUUUGCUACACCCGGGGCCAGCCCAAGUAACCCGCCAGGUGCGAAUCAGCUUAUUACAUCCGGAGUGGGAGGUCCAGUCCAACCUCAGGGGAUGGCACCUCCUCACGGCAAUAUGGCGCCACCCAAUUACGUACCAAUACCAUAGGGUCACUUCUCCAACCCCAUGGAGAACUUAAUUGCAGCCUCAGCAUGUUUGGCAGCUCUCCCAGUAGAUGGGGAUGAUCCGACAGCAGUGGAAACCCGGAAGAUCAGAGAACUUGUCCAAACAGCCCUGGCUCAGCAAGAGACCUACUCCUGCAGCCGGGAUAGGAUUCACUCGACUCCUCCACCCUGGUUAGCCCCGCCUCAUCGAAAUCAGAGCCCAAGUUACAGUAGACACAUGGAGUCAGAGGCCUUGUCAAGUAACGCUCAGCGCCGGAACCAGCCCGGCGGGUAUAACCUGGUUCAGGAUCGGAUAUGUCAGGAGGACAAGUGGGCGGCUCAGCUAGCGGCUCAGCUAGUAGCCCAACAGAACUCACCGGCUUACCCGACGACUUCCGUUGAGGCAGGAGUUGCUACUAGAACCGGAGGAGUUCCUUGUCUGGUACCGGCUCUACGUAAUGUACGUCUGCGCAAGGAUUUCAAGGGACCUCGGAAGGUGCCGAAUUAUACGGCCGAUUUACAGCCUGGGGCGUGGAUUGAAAGUUACGAGAUGGCUAUGGAGCUGCUGGAGGUUAGUGAUGAAGCGAUGGCUAAAUAUUUCACCAUGAUGUUGGACGGAACGGCCCGUUCUUGGUUAAAGGGUUUGCCACCCAACUCCAUUAGUUCAUGGGCGGAGCUAAAGGCCCGUUUCAUCCAGAACUUCAAGGAUACUUGCAAGCAGUCUAUGUCAAUUGUGGAUCUGACAAAUUGUAAGCAGGAAGAAGGUGAAUCUACUACUCAUUGGGUGCGCCGGGUCAAAGAUAUAAUACGCUCGUCUGAUAAGAUGGAUGCUGGCUCAGCAGUUCUCAUGCUGGAGAAGAAUUGCCGCUUUGAGCCUCUGAGACAGAAGCUAGGGCACCUUAAGCGUGAUUGCAAUUAUAUGGGGACGCUGAUGGCGGCUUUAGUCAAGUAUGCCGAUUCUAAUAGUACCAAGGACCCCGCGUCUGAUGAUGAAAAGAUGAGGAAGGGAAAGAAGAACGGUAAUGGAAAAGGUCAGCAGCAUAACCCGGCAAGUCAAGGAGGCAAUAAGCGUAAGGCGGAUGGUAACCCGAAAUUUGUGGCCAAUGCACAAGGUAACAAUCAGAAGCGCAAAGGGAAGCCACCCCAGUUUGGUGGGUCAGGACCGUCUCUUGAGCAACUACUCAAUGAGCCCUACCCGAAACACGGCACCCGGGAACGACCAGCGACUCAUUUAUGGAAGGAUUGCGCAAUCAUGAAAGCUUUCAAGAAUUCUAAUACGUUUGAUGGCAAUCAAGGCCCAAGCGGUGGCUCAGGAGCCGACGGCUUUCAUGGCCCGGGCGGUGGUUCAGGAUCCGGUUUUCAGGGAAACCAGGGUGGUUAUAAUCAACAGCAGUCUGGUCAAGGAGGUCAGCAGCAGCAGCAAUCAGGUUAUCAGAGCCAUCCAAAAUAGUUAAACAGUGGGCAGUAUCACGUAUUCACCACAAGUUUGUGUAAACGUGAUCAGAAAGUUCAUAAGAGGGCUGUGAAUUCUGUUGAACCGGCUGUCCCUCGUUACUUGAGGUGGUCGGAAUAGCCUAUUGUCUGGAGCAGGGAGGAUCACCCUCCCUGGGUUGAUAAUCCGGGUCGACUGGCCCUAGUGGUGGCACCGCAGGUUGGUGAGUAUAAAUUUACUAAGGUGCUCAUGGAUGGAGGUAGCAGCAUCAACAUCCUCUAUUACGAGACCUUUCGGCGCAUGGGCUUAACUGACAAGAAUUUAAAGACUUCCAACACUGUCUUCCAUGGCGUGGUGCCCGGUAAGUCAGUGUAUCUUGUGGGCAAGAUUGAGCUAGAGGUGGCCUUCGGAGACGAGCAUGAUUCUAGGGCGGAAAAGUUAACUUUUAAAGUGGUCAAAAUCAAGAGUCCAUAUCACGCUUUGUUCGGGCGGCCGGCUUAUGCCAAAUUCAUGGCGCGGCCGUCUUAUGUUUAUUUACAGCUCAAGAUGCCGGGUUACAAGGGUACCAUCACUGUGCAUGGAAGCCGAAAGGUGGCCCUGGAAUGUGAGGAAGGUGAUGCGGCUUAUGCCGAGUCUGUCUGUGUAGCAGAGUAGCUCAAAUUUUAUCAAGAUAACAUUGACCCGGCGGAUAUGACCUCCCUCAAGAAGCCGACUACGGAGCAUGACCCGGCCAUGAAGUUUAAAUCGGCUGCAGAGACUAAGCUUAUUGAUUUUACCUCGGGCGAUUCAUCUAAGCAAUUCAGCAUCAGUGCCAACUUGGAUCCUAAAUAGGAAAGCGUGUUCAUCGAGUUCAUCCGUGAGAACCGGGACAUCUUUGCGUGGAAGCCUUCUGACAUGCCGGGUGUACCGAGAGAACUCGCUGAGCACACUCUUAAUAUUGAUCCAAAGUAUAAGCCGGUCAGGCAGUUUCUGUAGCGAUUCAAUGAGGAACGACGAAAAGCUAUAGGAGAAGAGGUCACCCGGCUCUUGGUGGCUGGGUUCAUUGUCGAAGUUUUUUACCCAGAGUGGUUGGCUAACCCGGUACUCGUACUCAAGAAAAAUGCCACCUGGCGGAUGUGUGUGGAUUACACGGACUUAAAUAAGGCUUGUCUGGCUGAUCCUUUUGCCCUCCCCUGUAUUGAUCAAAUCAUUGAUGCUACGGCAGGUUGUGCGCGUUUGAGCCUUUUGGAUGCUUAUUCUGGUUAUCAUCAGAUCAAGAUGGCAGUUAAGGACCAGGAGAAGACGGCUUUCAUCAUCCCGUUUGGAGCCUUCUGCUAUGUGUCUAUGCCUUUUGGGCUCAAGAGUGCCCAGGCAACUUAUCAACGGUGUGUACAGAAUUGUCUCCACAAUCAGAUUGGGCGCAAUGUUCAUGCCUAUGUGGAUGACAUAGUAGUGAAAUCCAAAGAGGCGGAAACCUUGAUAUCUGAUCUCAGAGAAACCUUUGACAAUCUCUGGGUUUACAAAAUGAUGCUUAAUCCGGAGAAGUGUGUAUUUGGUGUGCCUGCAGGCAAGCUUUUGGGAUUCUUGGUCUCAAACAGGGGCAUCGUGGCUAAUCCGGAGAAGAUUAAGGCAAUCACUUCUUUGGCUAAACUGGCAUGUAUUAAUGAUGUUCAGCGAUUGGCGGGUCGAGUUGCCGCUUUAAGCCGGUUCAUAAGCCGGUUAGGUGAGAAGGCCCUACCGCUGUACCAAUUAAUGAAGAAGGCAGACACCUUUGUCUGGAGUGAUGCUGCUAAUGCUGCUUUUGAGGAUUUGAAGAGGCGGUUAUCUGAGCCGCCAGUUCUUGCGGCUCCCAUUGACAAAGAGCCUUUGCUGUUAUAUGUGGCUGCUAAUUCACGAGCCGUCAGUGUGGCAAUUGUGGUAGAGCGCAAGGAGGCUGGUAAGGAACAUCCGGUUCAACGGCCGGUUUAUUAUGUCAGUGAGGUACUCAUCGAGUCAAAACAAAGAUAUCCUCAUUGGUAGAAACUUGUUUACGGGGUGUUCAUGGCAAGCCGGAAGCUGAAGCAGUACUUCCAAGGUCACCCUAUCACUGUGGUAAGUUCUGCCCCCUUGGGAGACAUUAUUUAGAACAGAGAGGCUACAGGACGAGUCGCCAAAUGGGCCAUCGAGCUCGGGCCUCAUGGUCUGAAGUACGUACCGCGUACUGCCAUUAAGUCUCAAGCUUUGUUGGAUUUCAUCAAGAUUGGACAGAGCUACAGGCACCUGAGGAGAAGCCCGAUAACACUUAUUGGAUUAUUCACUUUGAUGGGUCCAGACAGUUGGAAGGCUCGGGGGCUGGAGUUGUAUUAACUUCCCCUUGAGGUGACAAAUUUUGUUAUGUGCUCCGGCUUAUGUUUCCUUGCACCAACAAUGCAGCUGAGUACGAGGCCCUGCUCCAUGGUCUCCGGAUGGCCAAAGAGAUGAACUUGAGCCGGGUAAGAUGCUUAGGAGACUCAGACCUUGUGGCUCAACAGGUGUCAGGCAAGUGGGACUCUAAAGAUCCCCUCAUGGCGGCUUACCGUCGUGAAGUCGAUGUUGUGGCUGAAUAUUUCAAGGGUUACGUAGUGGAACACAUUGAUCGAAGAAAGAAUGAGGCGGCUGAUGCCUUAAGCCGGCUGGGGUCUCAGCGUAAGCCGGUGCCGCCUAACACCUUUCUUGAUGUGUUGCAUAAUCCUUCUGUUAAGUUACCUACAGAAGAAGAUCUGGCAAUACCAGACCCGGAGGCACAGCUGGUGGCAGCUAUCCACAUUAUCCCGGAUUGGACAAUGCCUUAUUUGGCUUACAUGACCCGAGGAGAGUUGCCUGAAGACGAGACCUUGGCAAGACAGAUCGUCUGGCAGUCUAAGUCCAUGACAAUUGUCAAUGGCGAGUUACAUCAUUAUAGCAUCACUGGCGCGAUUCAACGUUGCAUGUCACCUAUAGAGGGUCAGGAGAUCCUUCGUGAGAUUCAUGAAGGCAAUUGUGGUCAUCACGCCGGCUCAAAAUCUCUUGUGGCCAAAGCUUUCCGUCAUGGGUUUUAUUGGCUGACAGCUCAUGCUGAUGCAGAAGACCUGGUCAGUAAAUGUGACGGAUGUCAGAAAUUCUCACGACGAGCCCAUGUGCCAGCUCAAGAAUUGAGGAUGAUUCCAAUUACCUGGCCAUUUGCAGUAUGGGGGCUUGAUAUGGUCGGGCCUUUCAAAAGAUCUAAGGAUAAAAAGACUCACCUCUUGGUGGCGGUUGACAAGUUCACAAAGUGGGUGGAGGCGGAGCCAGUUAUAAGUGUGAUGCAGCCACAGCAGUCCAGUUUAUGAAAAAGGUGAUUUUUCGCUUUGGUUUUCCACACAGCAUCAUAACUGAUAAUGGUACUAACCUUUCCAAAGGAGCUAUGGAAGAGUUCUAUCAACGAGAGCAUAUUCGGCUUGACGUUUCAGUUGUAGCUCACCCUCAAUCAAAUGGUCAAGCAGAACGAGCCAAUCAAGAAAUUUUGAAGGGUAUCAAGCCCCGGCUCUUGGUCCCCUUACAGCGGACGCUGGGUUGUUGGGUGGAGGAGUUACCUUCUGUACUCUGGAGCAUCAAUACUACACCUAAUAGAUCUACGGGUUACACGCCUUUCUUUAUGGUGUAUGGAGCAGAGGCGGUACUGCCAAGUGACAUCCGUCACGAUUCACCCCAUGUGGCGGCUUAUGUUGAGGAGGACAAUGAAAAAGCUCGGCAAGAUGCACUUGACCUGUUGGAUGAAGAGCGAGACUUGGCAAUAGCCCGUUCGGCGAUUUACCAGCAAGACCUGCGCCGCUACCACAGCCGCCGGGUUAAGUCCAGAACCUUUCAGGAAGGCGACUUAGUGCUCCGAUCAUCCAGGAUCAAUCUAACAUGCACAAGCUAUCCCCUCCUUGGGAAGGACCCUUUGUGGUCAGCAAGAAUCUGAACAAUGGAUCAUACUACCUUAUCAACGUUCGGGAACACAAAGACUCACGUAAGUCGGAGGAGGAGACCCGUUGGCCAUGGAAUAUCGCUCAUCUUCGGCCUUAUUAUACUUGAGCCGUCGGCUCUCAUGUGCAUAUACUUAUACUAUGUAUAUUAUAUAAAGCAAUAAAGCAGGACCUCUAUCCUUUUUCCACUCCCAAAAAGGUUUAUGUGUUUUCCUUGUCAGGUGGUGGAGAUGACCAAGGAGAAGCGGAUCAUAUCUGAAUCCGGCUUUCCUUUGGUCCGGCUUAUGAUCAUAUCUGAAUCUAGCCGUGAUCACUUGGGGGCUUCCUGUUCAAACAUAGGUCGUAUUCGAACCAAAGAGAACAUAGCUGUCGAUACUCACUUGAUCGGCAUACUGCCAAACCCACUUGGGGGCUUCUUGAUCAUAUCUAAAUCAUAGCUUAACUCCUUUUGGGUCUGACGUGGAUCGUAUUCGAAUCAGCGUCAUUAAACAACUCUUAUGGUCACUUGGGGGCUUCCUGUUCAAACAUAGGUCGUAUUCGAACCAAAGAGAACAUAGCUGUCGAUACCCACUUGAUCGGCAUCGCCACAACCACUUGGGGCUAACAGAUCGUAUCCGAAUCUUAGCUCCACCCCUUUGGAACGGGUCACUGAUCAUAUUCGAAUCAGAAACCCUUGAAUUUUGUUCAUCAUAUUUUACAAGUGCCAACAUUAGAUAUCUUGUGACCCUCUUGAAGGUACAAUGGAAUAUAUUACAAUCUUCCAGAAUUAAUAUUAGUUACAUUAGGUUGUUAAGAACCAGGUGAACUUGUAUGUGCCAAUUUUCAGGAGUUAAGUUUACCCUUAGGGGUUGGUUUAUAUAAGCCGGAAAAACAGCUGUAAGCACUACAGGGCAAUGCAAGGUAUUUCUGCAAAGGGCAUAACAGAUUCAUAUAAAGUAUAUAGUGACGGCAGCUUAUGCAAGUACUAAAGGCCAUAAGCAUACGCAAAGGCAUAGCAAAACUCAAGGUAUUUUUUACUCUAUUACAAGACUCUCCGAGUCUGAAUGAUGCGGCAUUGUUUUUCUACAACUACAUAAGCAGGUGGCGCCUGAUAAUCUACUGUUGGGGUUGAUUUCAAGUCUCUGGGUUAUCCUUCUCCGCCUCUCCGCCGGCUGCUUUGUCCUGGAAGGAUGAUGAGGCCCAGUCAAUGCCACUCAAAGCCUCAAACUCAGCUUCAUCAUCUAUUAAACCAGCUGGGUCGACUUCAGGAGCAAAGGUGUGCUUACGGGUUGGAGGGAUCAAGCUGACGUUGUCAUAAUGCGGCGUGGGGAUUCUCCGAUUCUCCUUGUCAUAACCCGGCUGACACAUGGAGAGGUCAGUGUCGGUCCCAAUAAGAGUAGCCACCGGACGUAUAUCUUUCACACAGGCGGUGAAAUCUUUAUCAUUAAACACGGUGCCAUCUUCCUUUAAACUUGGAUACCCAAGAGCAAUAUCAGCAGGGUCUAGUUCUGGAAGCCACGCCUUGGCCCGGCUCAAUGCGGCUAUGGCUCCGGCUCUUGCAGAUGCUCGUCUUAACUCUUGGAUCCUCUGAGGUAGCACAACAAGCCGCUUCAGCACAUCUUGCAGGAGAUAGGGAACAUCGUUUGAUAAAGACACAACGACCAAGGCACGUUGUAACCCGGUGUAGAGCUGUUCCACCAGAGUAUAAACCGCCUUCAGCUUGAUCACCAUGUUCUGCUUGAGAUUUGUGCUCCUGGGGCCUUCGUUAUUAAGCAUAAGAUGAGUCAGAGGAAACAACUGAAAUGGUCAUUCAAGGAGUUUUGCAGUGUUUAAGAUUUGAGUAAGUCACUCACCAAAGAUUGCUGAGACCAUUCGAGAUAUCUGGCGCUUUAAGUCGGACAGUUCGGCCGUUGCUUCCGCCAGCGAUGCCUCUGUUGUCUCGGCCCGGGUCACCAGUGCGGCCUUUUCAUCAGCCCAAAUUUUCUUCUCCGAUUCAAAAUUUUGCUUUAGCUUCUCUUGUUCAGAGAUGCUAAAUUCAAAUUUGGAGUUAGCCUUUUGAGUUUCAGUCUCUUGGGCUGCCACGCGGUUCUUCAGGUCAACAAUUUCCGAUUCAGAUUGACUUAUCAUGACCUGCAUUGCACCAGAUAACACUCAAGAUUACGGUAAAUAGUGUUAAGUCCCAAGCACAUUGUAAGCAAAGGUAUUUGGCACUUGGGGGCUAAUGUAUCCUGGAGAAUUUUCAAUUACUACUCCGGUUCAUGGAAAUUAAAGUCCCAAACACUUUGCAAGCAAAGAUGUUUAGCACUUGGGGGCUAAUGUGUAUCGCAAGUGUUACCGGGUUAAAAGUCUUUUUCCUAAGCCGGAUAAGCAGUGCUAGGCAAUUUUCACAAGUCUACAGCAUAUUUACUUAUAAGCAAUAGACUUGGGGGCUAGUACAGUAAGUAUGGUUAAAGAAAGCUAGCAUAAGUCAUACCUCAGAUUUCUGAUGUAUCUGCUUCACCAUGUCAAUUUCCAGGUCACAGCUGCUAUGUACUUGAUUGAUAUAGCCGGAGACGAUCUCUCUAAUACUCAAAUGAGUAUAGUCAGUGACGUCCAGCUUGGCCUUUCGGCGUUCUACCAACUCCUCUUUAGAACACUUGGCAAGUACAGAUGGUUGUGCCGGUUCAACAAACUGAGUUUUGAGGAUCUCAACUUCCGGAUCACUUGCUUUGGCGGGGCUAGGAGCCUCCGGGUUACCAGACUUGUUGAAGAUUUGCUCAGUAGGCAGGUUAGAGGAAGAUAUAGGAGCGUCAUGAGAUGGUUGAGGCGGCGGCUCGUGAGCAGGGGCAUCAGGAGCAGCUGUGCCCAGCUCUGGUUCAGUCACAACCGUCUCUUGGGGCGGCUUAUUCUUUUUGCCCUUUUGCUGGGCUUUACUUGCACACUGCGGAGAAAGUAGACAGGUUAAAUACGAAAAGUAUGAGUAAAAUAAAGGCAUAAGGUACAACAAGUUUAUAUUACCCGGGAGCAGUUUUGAAGGUUGGCAUGUUGGACUGCAUAGACUCACCAGAGGAAGGUGAAAUAUCCUGAUAAUUGGAGUCAGAAGAAUUGAGAGGAUAACGAAUGAAACCCGCCAAAGGAAAAAGAAGGUGUGAAUCGGAGGUAACCUCAGCUUGGCGUUUCCGGGUCACAUCAGGUAAGCCGGAGGAGAGUUCCGCGUCUUUGCUGGUCCGGGUCUGCCUCCAGCUCUCAUAUAUCUGUCGCUUCAAAAGAAAGUCAGGAUCUUGGUAAGCCAAAGGAUGUGAAAAUCUUACUUUCCAGGUUACUCUUUGAAUUUUCUAACGCGGCUGAAGCUCGGAGUCGGAGGAGAUUAUAAUUACCUCUUCCUUAAUGAGUUGGCUGUUGCCCGUGUCUUCCUGAAAGAAGGUUAGUAUCAAUAAGGUAGUGAUACAGGAGAAAGGGAAAUUCAAAGGUUACCUCUUCCUCAUUAUCAUCAGUAUCAUCAAGCUGAAACAGCUCAGAGGCGCUUGGCUUCCUCUUCCUUGAGGUGGUAGGCUUGGUGGUUUUCUUUUCGGCUCUCUUGGCCGCCCUGGCUUUCUUGGCUGCCUCAUGAUCAUAUUGGGUUUUCCAGAAGUUAUCAUUUGCCUGUAAAAGGUUAUAACGGGUUAUGCGUAAGAAUACAGCCUAACAUGAUAAAAAAAGAGAUAAUAAUAACCCGACGGCUGGAAACUUACUGUAGGGGCCGGGUUCUUCUGGCAAAAAGGUGGUAAGCCAAAGGCGUUACUAUUCACUGUGCCCUCCUUCAACAAGGACUGAGUUGUAGCUUCCACUAUGUCAUCUGGUAAGUCGUCAGGGCUAUGACACUGAGGGUCAUCUUUCUCGCCUGAAUAAUUACACAUUAAGCCGGGGCGGCGGCUUAAUGGAAUUAUUCUCCAAGCAACCCAGACUCGGACCAGGUCAAUGCCAUCUAAGCCGUUCCCUAAAAGAGAUUUUAUCUUCUUGAUUUUGGGGUGAGUGGCAGACGUUCACUAGCUGUCAACUUAUUCGGCAGCGGGUGAGUAGGUUCAAGGCGCAUUGCACGGAAGCCAGGCAGUGGGUUUUCACCAGCUGGAGAAGUGUCCUGGCAGUAGAACCACGUUUGAUUCCAGUCCUUUGGAUGACUUGGCAGUUCAGCAUAAGGGAAAAAGCAGUCUCUUCGUCGCUGAAUCGAGAUGCCACCAAGUUCUAGACUGGGUCCAUUGGCGCGUUCAUUCUACCGGUUCAAAUAGAACAACUCCCUGAACAAAAGUAGGUUGGGUUCUUCUCCAAGGUAGACCCCACAUAAAACUUGAAAGUUGCAGAUAUUUGACACCGAAUUGGGCCCGAUGUCUUGAGGUCUUAAGUCAAAGAAGUGCAAAACGUCUCUAAAGAAUUUUGAACCAGGAGGAGCAAAUCCCCGGCUCAUGUGAUCGGUGAAAAUGAUCACUUCCCCUUCCUUGGGUUGAGGUUUCUCUUCAGACGGGUCAGGAGCACGAUAAGACAUGACAUCCUUCUUGGGCAGAUGGCCAGACUUUACAAACUCAGACAUUUUGCUCUCUGUAACAAUGGAUGGGACCCAGUUGCAGGUAAUCGGAAGCUUAACAGCUUUGGGUGCCAUUGGAUAAAUUGAAGCCAACAACAAGAUAAAGGAAAUUUUCCGGUUCAUUAUAACCCGGAGAAUAAGCAUUAUUGGGUUAUCUGAGAUGGCGGCUUAAGAAGGGGACUAAUGACAUACAGGUAACUAUGUGAUAAUAAUUAGCAGCUGCAGGUACUAAAGAUGAUUAAGGUUUUCUUAAGUCGCCAUAAGCAAGCGGGGCUGACAACCGGUAUUAUUUUAAACCGGUCACAUGAAUUAUUAUGGAUGAAGCAGAGUCAACAGAGGUUCUGAGAAACAGUGUUUUUUGGUUACGUGUGGAACAAACAGGUUUCACAAGUUGCAAUCAUUAUUUUGGAUCAAACGAGGUUCUGAGAAAGAAAAUAUUUCUAGACCUAAAAACAGUACAGAGAAGAUCAUAUACUUGCGGAGGGUUUCCAAAACAAGGGAAAUGAGAUCUGUUCUUAUACAGGAUAAGCACGAAUAUUUUCCGCAACACUUUUAUGUUUCUUCUAUAAUCUAAACAAAGGCAUUGGAGGUGAAAUUAAUGGAGGUCUGCGUCGGGCGGUGAUGAACACCGACGAACUCAAGAUGAUUUCAAGACAGAUCUGAGAAAGGGGAAAAUAGGAACUUACAGAUGCGGAAGAGCUGCGGAGGGUCGCCGUCGCUUUCUGGUCGGAAUCAGGGUGAUGCAGCGGCCUGAGUCGGUGAAGACGAGGAGUUCAACGGUGGCGGCGGUGGAGCUUGAGCAGCAAAGGAAGAAGUGUGAGGAGGAAGACGACUGAAGGAAAUGGAGAAGUCCUAGGUCGCAUCUAUUUAUAAGGAGGGGCCGACCAAGACGGCGCAAGAAACGAGGAGACCAAAGCAUCAUUAUCCAGCGGCCCCGACGCCUCAAUUCUCGGAAUGGUCAGUAAAGGCAAAGAUUCGUUGGAGGAUAUGAUGGAUUAAAAUAUGAAUUAUAUUGAAGAUGACGUCAUAGAGAUUUGACCCGGAUCCGGAUGAUGACGUCACGGCAGGUUAGAAUUUCCAUGCAAAACAGAAGACUAAGGGCUAGUUUAUAAGGUUUUUAAAGAUUGACAUGAACUGGUUCAAAUCAAUCUGGGGCCUAAUGUUGGGGAUAUAAUUAUUUACGUAAGCCGCCCAUGAGGGGCCGGGUUACGCAAAGAGAAGACCAUCUAAAGCCCAAGACCAAGAUGUGAAGAUGGCGGUUCAGUAAAGGGUCGAAAGGCCCACAGACGAUUUAGGGCCCAUGGUGAUAAACCGUCAUGAGGGCGCGACUUGUAUUGUAAGGUAGAAAUAACUAGUCAUCGAGCCAGACACUGUUUAUGAGCCGGCCGGGACUCUGUAAGCCGUAGGGCGUCGACCCGUGUAUAUAAGGGGACGACCCGCUGGCGGCUUAGGGGGAGAAGAAACAAGAGAUCGAGAACCGGGCAUAGCGUAUCUCGCUCCCUGGUCAUCGAAACCUCAAGCAAUUCCAACCCAACUAGACGUAGGCCUUCCUUCACCGUAAGGGGCUGAACUAGUAUAAACCUCGCGUAUCCUUUGUCCCGAUUAACCCCUUUAAGCUUCCUAGUUGCGAUGGCUCCACGAUCAAGUCCUUGCAAGAGGACAUCUGCCGUGACAAUUCCACGACAGAGACUAUCUGCCCGGUUUGAUUUUCUGUUACCAUCCUAUUAUGGAGUAAACCGGUGUUUAUCAACCCGGCUCGCUUUCAACUACAAGUUGUCAGUACACAAUCAAAUUAUAACCCGGAGACUAUCAGCCAUGUCUGGUUUGACUACGAGUCGCCAGUAUUAUAUAUGGUUAAACCGGUAUUUAUCACAACCCGGUACGGUUUUAUCAUAAACCGACACAAUAUGGAAGGAGUUAUCAGUACUCAAGAUUGGGAUUAUCACCCUUACUACAAAAAGUUGGUAAAACCAACAAUGUGAUUCAAUGUCAUAGGUAUGAUAUAUUUCAUAUUUGAUUAUUUUUUAGUACAGCCUUGGUUAUAAACCCGGGUUAUAUGUUGGGCGUUAUGACCCGUCCGGCGGUAAACCGCCAGGACACUUUAAACUUGUUGUAUCCAGAAACAGGUUGAAUAAAGUAUGACGAUAAAUUAUCUGGUGUUUAUUAAACCGGCCUGGCUUUUGACUAUAUGUCGCCAGUAUGAUGAUAAAUUAUCCGGUGUUUAUUAAACCGGCCUGGCUUUCGACUAUAAGUCGCCAGUAUAUAUUUGGAUUGCGCCUUUGGAAUCAUGUGCUUAUAAAUCAUUGGGUUAUAUUAUUCAAAUAGCCAAGUUUGGCUGAAUUUUCAUUAUGAUGUUGAAUGAAUAAGGUUUUCAUACCGGAUUAUGUAAUCUUGAAUAGCCAACAUGGCUGGAUUUUAUUAUGGUUAUUAAUAACCGGUGUUAUUGAGGUUUUCAAAGUCGCUUUAGCGCAAUGUCUAUUAUAUUAUCAAUGCAUAUGGUUUAUUUUACAAUUGAAGGAAUAGUCCCGAGUCGCUGCAGGCUCACGACCCGACACUUGGGGGCUACAUUAUUCAACUGAAGGUUAUAUCAAAUAUGCAAGUUUCAUGUCGCUGCAAGCAUGCACCAUGACACUUGGGGGCUAAUGCAAAGUCAUUUUUAUUAGUCUUAUUGAAGACCCGACUCAUCAUAUUAUAAUGAGCCGGCCCUUGGGGGCUACCAAUUGCUCCUGUCAACAAUUCAAGGUACACACGUUUUCAUCUAUUAUUGAAGGAUCCACUGCUCAGUUGGUAAAGCACAAAGCUCUCAACCUUGUGAAUAUGGGUUCAAGCCCCAUGAUGGGAGUUACAUAAUAUAAUGUUAUUCUCAAUGAAGUAUAUAUAAAGUCCCAGCUCAAUAUUAUCUUACUGAGCCGGCCCUUGGAGGCUACACGUUGCUGUUAAAGUCUACAUGAUCAUAUUUUCAAAGUCCCUGCUCAUUAUAUACAUAAUGACCCGGCCCUUGGGGGCUACACUGGUUGAUGGUUUUUAUGAGCAUCAGGAAAUUACAAGUCCCAGGUUGCUGCAAGCAUGACAACCCGGCACUUGGGGGCUACAUAUAUGGAGUAUUCAGUUUAUAUGAUUGAGAUGAACUAAUCGGAUUUCCUCAAGGUUGAAACAUUUAUUGGAGCAAGCCUUAAGUUAUCACUAUGUUCUCCUCUUAAGACUUGGGGGGCUACAGGUAUUAUGUAUAUAAAGGAGGAACAUCUUCAUUUUAUCAGUUUUGAGCAAAUCAGGAAGAUCAAUUACAUGACCUGGUGUCGACAACAAUUAUGACCCGGCGCCAUCAAUAUUUAUAAACUGGCCAUUUUGGUAAUAUUAAACCGGCAAGUUUUACAUCUUCAAACCGGCUGAAUAUCAGAUAAGUAUUUCCAGACCCAUAUUUCUUAAACCGGCGCUUUGGGAGCUGAGUCAAAGGAGUUAUUCUUCACAAUAUUUCUCGGUGACAAACCAAUGUCGGCAAAUUGAUUAUGAAGCUGGUCUGUUGACCCGGAUUUCCCAGAAGGAGGAAAUAACAAGGACUUAAGGACGAUCAGGUACUGGUUUACAAAGAAUUCUUAACCCGGAGCAUAACCUGUCAAAUUUGUUCUUGUGUUUAUUUUGCAGCAUAAGUUUACCAUGGAUAAAUCCAAGCUAAACUUGGGGGCCAAUGUCGGGGAUAUACCCCGCGGCGUAAACCGGCCGGAAGUAUAACCCGGCCUGACAUGGCAGUUUACUUGAGGCCCGGUGAGACUUGACGAUUCACUAGUUCAUUGGUAAUCUUGUAGGCGGGUCAGAGGAGCGACAAGACCCGGUGGCCCAACGGGCGGUUCAUGAAGGCCGGUUCAUACUAUGGUGGGCCGGUUUAAGAGGAAAGGCAUGAGGAACAUUAUCUUACAAAGAGCUAAGACCUGGAAUUGUAUCCGGUUUGUAUUAAGAUAGACUAGUCCUAAUCCUAAUAGGACUCUACAUGUAACCCGCCCCUCCAACAUAUAUAAGGAGGGGCAGGGCUCCCCAAAGAGAGAGAGGGACAAGUUCCGCAAGAUGGACAAGUUCCGCAAGUUGGACAAGUUAGGUUUAGACAAUAGCUCUCGAGAUAGAGCACUCUUGUAACCGUGAUCAUCAUCAUCAAUAUCAAUGAAGCAGGAUGUAGGCUUUUACCUCCACCGUGAGUGGCCGAACCUGGGUAAAACAUCGCGUCUCUCGUCCCGCUCAACCCCUCUCAAGCUACCACAUAGAUGCGUUGGCCUCGUGACUAAGUCCUGACACUAAGGACAUCUGCCGUGACAAUUCCACGACAGGUGCCGUGUAUUUGGCACGAGCGAUCGAGUAUGCGGUCCAGACUGGACGGGCCCGGAGUGCUUCUUCUGAAUGGCUUUUUCCGUUGACCGGGUUUUGAGCCUCUGAAUCCGGCAUUGACUGCCGUAUCCUCGGCGUUAUCACUGUUAUUGCGGCGUUUAUAUUUGUUGCAACGUGGCAUGCUGUUACUAUCCUUGGUAUCCGAAGUGCCAAGGUUCCUUGAUAUGUUGUUGCUGCGAGCCAGCUAGCUAUCCUCUCCCUUGCAAAAGCGGGUCAUGAGUGUCGUGAGGGCUGCCAUUGAUUUCGACUUUUCUUGGCCGAGCUGCCGGGCGAGCCACUCGUCACGGAUGUUGUGCUUAAAUGCCGCUAAGGCCUCUGCAACCGAACAGUCGACAAUUUGAUUCUUCUUGGUUAAAAACCGAGUCCAGAAUUUCCUGGCCGAUUCCCCUGGCUGCUGAAUUAUGUGGCUCAGGUCAUCAGCAUCUGGUGGUCGCACAUAAGUGCCCUGGAAGUUGUCGAGGAAUGAGUCUUCCAGAUCCUCCCAACAACCGACGGAGUCUACUGGCAAGCUAUUUAACCAAUGCCGAGCUGGUCCUCUAAGUUUUAACGGGAGGUACUUGAUGGCAUGUAGAUCGUCGCCGCGAGCCAUGUGGAUGUGGAGGAGGAAGUCCUCGAUCCAUACCGCAGGAUCUGUUGUACCAUCGUAUGAUUCGAUAUUUACGGGUUUAAAACCCUCUGGGAAUUCAUGAUCCAUUACUUUGUCACUGGAGCAUAGGGGGUGUGCGGCGCCUUUGUGAUGGGCUAUAUCGUGGUGCAGCUCGUAUGAGUCUUGCAUGUUGUAUUCGGCCCGGCCGGAUUUACUUUUACUAUAUCCGGUGUGACAGUCACUGUCCCGCGUAGGGGCGCGCCCUCGUGAUCCAUAGAUUGAUCUUGCGUGUUUUGCCUUGUCUUCCAAUACGUCUCGCAGGUCUCGCGUGUUUCCCAUUGCCUUGGUAUGUUUCUUUGAGUGGCGACGGGGUGCGGGCUGAACUUCUGGCUGAAAUACCUCUCUGUCUCGGCCAUGAGGUGGUCGAUCAGUUGCGUCGUACGCUGGUGAUGUAUGUUUUAAUGCUUCCUCCUCAAGUCGGGGUAGCAACCUGCGCUUUGGGUGACCCUUGGAGGGGCGUUCGAGUUUGUAUUCCUCGGCCGCAAGGACUUCAGUCCAUCUAUCUGCUAGCAAGUCCUGAUCAGCUCGAAGUUGUUGCUAUUUUUUCUUCAGGCUAUUCGCUGUGGCUAUAAGCCGGCGCUUGAAGCACUCUUGCUCGACGGGAUCCUCAGGUACGACAAAUUCUUCGUCUUCGAGGCUCACUUCGUCUUCGGAUGGAGGCAUGUAAUUGUCCUCCUCUCCCUCUGCCGCUCAUUCCCAAGGGCUGGCUUGUUCAUCCUCCGGCUCUGGAUCCUAUUGGAGGGGAUUGUCAUCGUCUUCGGCACUGUCCGGAGUACUGUUAUCUCCUGUGCCGGUAUCACCGCUUUUGCUGUGGUGAGACUUAGAGCGGCACCGCUGACGUUGGGGCUUAGGUUGCUUCUUGGAGGGGUCAUCCUCCGCUGUCUUGUCGCCAUUGCCUUCUUUGGGUGUAUCCACCAUGUAUAUAUCAUAUGAUGAGGUGGUGGUCUAGUGCCCCGUGGGCAGUGGUUCCUGUUUGUCUCCUUCAUCAUUGUCCAUACCAUCGAUCUCUUCAGAGUUGAAGUCGAGCAUGUCGGUUAGAUCAUCGACAGUGGCUACUAAGUGGGUGGUGGGUGGGGCGUGAAUUUCUUCAUCGUCCGCAUCCCAUUCUAGCCAGACAUAGUUCGGCCAAGGUUCUCCUGACAAAGAGAGAGACCUUAACGAGUUUAGUACAUCACCGAAGGGCGAGUGCUGAAAGAUAUCCACGGAGGUGAACUCCAUGACCGGCGCCCAGUCGGAUUCGACAGGCACGGGCGCAGGCGGUUCAGACUCUGUGGCCGGAGACGAGUCUAUAGAUCCGGCGUCACGACUCUCGUGAGGGGUAGGGUCAGUAUCCGGCUCUAUCGUCGCUGAGAGUGCGGCCUCCAUGGAGGGGUCUAUCCGCCCAUCCUCAGAUGGCGCAUUCUGUUCCGGAUUGAAGGCCGGAGUUGUUGCUGGUGCGAUCUCCUGAACAUCGUCUGACGGUAGAGCUAAAUCGUGCUCGUCGUGAUCGUGCGGCGCACCUGGCAUGGGCUCGAAUCCGUCGAAGAUCAAGUCCCCGCGGAUGUCAGCCGUGUAGUUCAAGUUUCCGAACUUGACCUGGUGGCCAGGGGGUAGCUUUCGAUCUGCUCCAGAUGGCCAAGCGAGUUGGCCCGCAGUGCGGAGCUGCCGAAUACGAAUAUCUGUCCGGGGAGGAAAACCUCACCCUGGACCGCAUCGCUACCGAUGAUCGAAGGAGCCAUCAGGCCUUGUGGUGACGACACAGCAGAACUCUCAAUGAAAGCACCAAUGUCGGUGUCAAAACCGGCGGAUCUCGGGUAGGGGGUCCCGAACUGUGCGUCUAAGGAGGAUGGUAACAGGAGGCGGGGGACACGAUGUUUACCCAGGUUCGGGCCCUCUCUAUGGAGGUAAUACCCUACUUCCUGCUUGAUUGAUCUUGAUUAUAUGAGUAUUACAAGAGUUGAUCUACCACGAGAUCGUAGAGGCUAAACCCUAGAAGCUAGCCUAUGGUAUGAUUGUUCUUGUCAUACGGACUAAACCCUCCGGUUUAUAUAGACACCGGAGGGGGCUAGGGUUACACAGAGUCGGUUACAAUGGGAGGAGAUCUACAUAUCCGUAUCGCCAAGCUUGCCUUCCACGCCAAGGAGAGUCCCAUCCGGACACAAGACGAAGUCUUCAAUCUUGUAUCUUCAUAGUCCAACAGUCCGGCCAAAGGAUAUAGUCUGGUUGUCCAGAUACCCCCUAAUCCAGGACUCCCUCAUCGAGCUUUGGGUUGAAGUUUGAAAGUACCUUGAUGAUCGAGAGCAGAGUCCUGGCGGAGUUCAUUGCAGAAUGGACCUCAAUGCCCGACGAAGAAAUUUAGGAGACCACUCUCCCCGGCAAGGAAGCAAGCCGUGACUGGAUCAUGUAUUUUGAUGGGGCUUUCUUGCUGCAAGGCGCCGGUGCCAGUGUGCUGCUUGUCGCACCCACCGGAGAGCACCUCAAGUAUGUGAUCCAGAUGCACUUUCCCAGGGAGAUGUCCACAAACAACACUGUUGAAUAUGAGGGGCCUCUUGCCGGUCUCAGGAUUGCAGCGGACCUCGAGUGAAAAAGCUCAUCGUCAGGGGUGAUUCACAGCUUGUCGUCAGACAAGUUAACAAGGAUUAUCAGAGUCCGUUGAUGGAGGCCUACGUAGAUUAGGUGAGGAAACUGGAGGAGCGCUUCGACGGUAUACAAGCGGAGCACGUUCCUCGAGCGGAGAACGACAUCACUGACUACCUAUCAAAGCGUCCUGCAUUCAAGCUGCCUGUGGAACCAGGUACCUUUUUGCUUCGGUCAACUCAACCAUUCGUCGAGCCAUCAACAGAGCAGAACAAGCGGAGGGAGUCAGGCCCCGGCAAGUGCUUUCCUACCGAGCCCCCGGGGGCUGUCGGCAAGGGUGUUGCCGCGGAUCCUGAGCCCGCCAAGGGACAGCUGGCUCUGGCAGGGCACCAAGCCCUGGCCGUAGAGACGGCUGCCCCCAUGGCGGAAGAAAUGCCUUUGGUCCUUGCCGUCGAGCCCCAGGCUCCAGCAUGGGCACAACAUACUGUCCGUUUCCUCCAGACAGGGGAACUUCCUAAGGAGCAGGAAGAAGCAGAGAGAGUAGCCCGUCGGUCUGCCUUAUACCAGUUCAUCGAUGAUGUCCUGUAUAGAAGAAGGUCGAACGGUGUGAAAUUUAAGUGCAUCCCCCGGGAGGAAGGACUAGAGCUGUUGGCGGAGAUACAUGGAGGUAUAUGUGGCUCCCACAUAGGGUUAAGGGCCCUUGCCGGCAAGGCAUUCCGGCAAUGCUUCUUCUGGCCCACCGCCCUCUAGGAUGCAACGGCACUAGUAACAAAGUGUGAAGCGUGUCAGUUCCAUUCAAGGAAGCUUCAUCAACCAGAUCAAACCCUUCAAACAAUCCCUCUCUCCUAGCCAUUUUCGGUCUGGGGGCUCGACAUACUGGGCCCCUUCCCCCGUGCUGUCGGGGGCUUUGAGUACUUAUACGUAGCAAUCGACAAGUUCACAAAGUGGCCGGAGGUGGAACCGGUGAGGAAGGUGAUAGCACAGUCAGCCGUCAAGUUCUUCAAGGGACUAGUCUGUCGUUUUGGUGUGCCAAACAGAGUCAUCACCGAUAAUGACACACACUUCACAAGCCACACCUUCAUGCAAUACAUUCAAGACCUCGGCAGCAAGGUCUGUUUUGCUUCUGUGGCACACCCUCGGAGCAACGGCCAAGCGGAGAGGGCAAAUGCUGAAGUGUUGCGAGGCCUGAGAACGAAGAAUUUUGACAAGCUGCACAAGAGCGGAAGGCGCUGGUUUAAUGAGUUGCCGGCGGUUCUUUGGUCGAUCAGGACAACGCCAAAUCGAGCCACCGGCCAGACACCCUUUUCCCUAGUAUAUGGGGCAGAAGCAGUUCUCCCCAUGGAACUCAUGUACGGGUCACCUUGAGUGCUCGCUUAUGAUGAGCUUGAGCAAGAGCCGUUGCGGCAAGAUGACGCAAUGCUCCUUGAGGAAGAUCAUCUUCGAGCGGCUAUGAGAGCCGCAUGCUACCAGCAGGCCUUGCGCCGCUACCAUAGCCGCAAGGUCCAUGCCCGAAGCAUUGAUGAAGACGACCUUGUUCUUCGGCGCGUUCAGUCGGCCAAGAAUUCCAACAAGUUGACGCCGAAGUGGGAAGGCCCUUAUCGGGUAAUACAAGUCACCAGGCCUGGUGCAGUCCGCCUGGAGACUGAAGAUGCUGUCCCAGUGAGCAACUCCUGGAACAUCGAGCAUCUUCGCAAGUUUUACCCAUAAGGCGCGGCUUGCCGGGCCUCUCGGCAAGCCACCUUUUGUAUAAGCUUUGCCGGAAAGGCAUGUAACUCUCUGUACAAAGCCAGGCGCAGACCCUGAGCAUAAAUAAACGAAGCGUUGGCGCCCUAAGUUAUAGCGUGCAUGCUAGGUUGAGUCUCUCCCUCGGUUAGGGUUGAUAGUGCUUAGCGGGGACUAACCCCAAGCCUAGAGGUCGAGUAUGCGUCUUUCUUUCUCCUUUGGUUCGCAGGACAUGUGGACACUUCUCCUGAGUCGCUUGGGAGAAAGUGGACGGAUCGGUGCUCCGACCCCGGCAAGCCAGGAUUGCCGGGGGGCUGAAGACGCAAGGAUCCAACCACGACAAGCAAAGGUUGUCGGGGGCUGCGAAUUCAGAUAAGUCUUUCAUUCCCCUGUUAUGCAUUUUCGUAUGGGACUGAGACGUGUGAAACCUCGCUUAUUUUCUUAAAACCACCGUGCUCCCCUUUUCCCAUGCCCAAGAGCUAUCCCCUCGGUCGGAACUUGGUCGUAGUCGUGGUGGCAAGAGAAACAGAUGAGGGGCCUAACUCUACAUAGCCCCUGCCUUCGCCGAGAGCGUGAGAAUGGUUUGCUGAAGUGGGGGAACGGCAAGGCCUGUUGCCGGGCGACAAUGUUUAUAUUAAAAAUAACAAGGAUUCGUCCUUGGCAUGGGCCUCGCUCACGCACAAAGAGCCUGGCAAAUACCCUUUUUCAUUAAAAACGUCCCGUACAGGUACAGUUCGUAUGAAAUAAAAAACAUGAGCAAGGGGAUUACAAGUUUCAAAUCUAACAAAUGCCCACAGGCUUACAAACUGAAAAAAGAUAAGGUGCCCAUAAUCCCUUUCUUGUCCCUCUCCUCAGGAAAUGGAACAAGAUAACGGAAGGGCAGAAAGAGCGCCUAGGCGAGGCACGAGCAACAGAAGGCACCAGGAGAACAUCCCGGCGGCCAUCCCAGGGAGAGGCUGGUGAUGAUGAUGACGGGAGAAGAGCUGGAAAACGAGGCGGUAGGACCGGCAAUACGCGACGAAGGCAUGGGUGCCCGCAUACUCCGACUUGACGGCCCGCCACCCGCCUUCUUCGGGCCUCCUACGCCAGCCGCCCAAGGAGGCGACCCCGAGAAGUUCAAGGGACCCGGUGCAGAUGCUGCUACUGCUGACACCACCCCGGGACGGCGGGUCUGACACCUAGUCGGACCCGUCAUCCUCCCGCCUACUACCCUCGUCGUCGCUGUCGUUGUCCUCCUCGUCGCUCUCGCUCGAGGAGGAAUCUUCAUCGUCGAAGGAGCUCUCCACGCAGCACUUCAGGUGAGUGCCAAGAUCUCCGAAGACCAUGACGAAGAGCAGGCCGCCCUCCAUUAACUUGAAGUAGAGGACGAGCCCCACCGUCAGACUGUGGAUGCGGGCGAAUGUCUUCCAUCCGCUACGGAGAUACAUGACAUGAGGAGCGGGGAAGUUGACGUCGACCCGCGUGCCACCAGUCCCGUAGCCCCUCAUGUGCAACAUGAGGGUCUAGGGCGGAUCGAGCUCCAUCUCCUCUGCGAAAGGGGUGGGAAGACGGAUACGAUGAUGCGUUGGCCGGCACAGCCUGAUGAAGAACUCGUGGGGCCGGUCCCCGACGUGGCCCUCCACCGCGGGGGGCACCGCUGGCAGAGGCACGGCCACUGUGCCACCUCGUCGCCCUCUCCCCCGACCGCCGCGACGACCUCAGCCAUGCCCCCUCCCCCUUCCUCUUGUGGCUGGCUCCACCACCACGGGCUCAUGGGAAGGAGGGACGCAUUGAUAAGCAGCGACCCUUGCCGCCACCAUCGAAGGCUCAGCACCUCCUCUCGCCAUGGCAGGUGGAAGAAAGAAGCAAAGAUGAAGGAGGAUGAGUGCUGGAAGGAUGCAGGACGACACCCUCCCUCCCCCUCCUUAUAAAGGAGCGAGGUCGAGGCUCAGCCGCCCCACUCAGCCAAUCCAGCCGUCGGAGCUGCAGGGAAUCAGGACCGACCCGCCGCCCCAAUCAGCGACGGCCCGGUUUCCCGGCUCCGCCGCCCGCCACUUGCAUGAAGGACGCGUGGCAAACAUGCAGGGUCGAAAGGACGGGUGAGGCGACCAUUCCCCGCUUCGUGAUCGAGGUGGGGGGGCUUGGGCGCCUUGAAGACUGCGACUCGGGUCCAUCCAGUAAAUGAGCGGCGCCUCCACGCCUACCUCUUUUUAUGGGAAAGGCGCGAGCCGCCUCUUUACUGCGAUGUGAUGCAUGCGUGCGGGAACCGCCCCAUGCAUGCCACCCAUGUCACACACGCCCCCCCCCCCCACGUCGCGCGUUCAACGCGGGUCAUGGGGAAGCACAGCGGACGAAAAGUUACUGCGGUAAAAUAUGCCCCGCCUGCCCGUGCAACGUUUUGGGCCUGGCCCAACAACGUGUCACGCUUAUGUGUGGCCCAGGCCCAGGGGCUCCUCUCGGUGUACAAAAUUAGGGGCUCUCCUUUUGACCCCUUUACUUGUGCACGGGCAGUCAGAGCCACGCGCCGCGGCCGCACGUAGCAGGGCAAAGGAGGGAAGCCGGAGAGAAGCCGAAUCCCAACACAAGACGAUCAAGGCAACGCCAAGACCAGAAACACAAGACAGCAAAGGGGCGAGGUGGAGUCCCCCGACAACACACUUGCCGGGGCGGCCUCCGCGGCCCCAGCAAGAGCCUUACCGGGGCAACUUGCCCAAACACCAAUAGAGCGAACCACCCUUGAGCCCACAGGUUCCAACCCAACCAACCACAAUUGGGCCAGGGCUCGGGAGGCACCUCUGUGGUGGCAUGCAAAUCUUUAUCUAGACCACGGACAUAUGAGAUCAGAUGAGGACCAGAAGACGGCGACCCUCGGCGGGAUCCUUGCCGAGGAAAUCCACAAGACCCUCGGCAAGAUCCUUGCCGGGGACGACUGCGCGCCACAGCAAGACCCUUGCCGGGUCCCCGGCAAGGCCUUCACCGAGGACAUCAGCGGGGCCACUGCCAGGCCCGCACCAGCCAAGUUUCCAUCGCCGUUCGCGUGCAGCUGCCAGCCCAACCAGCUAGGCUGGCACCUACGUGGUGACAUGCAGCUUCCAGGCCAGGUCAGCAAGCUCCUGCAUGGCGGCAUGCAGAUCUUUGUGAAGACCCUACCACCGCGCCACCUCAGCUGCCUGCCUGCCUACAUGGCGUUGCAUGCACCGCUGGCCUGGGUGCGUGUCGAAGCGAGGAGGAGCGGCGACGGACGAUACGAGCCUCGCUCCCAUCCCCGAUAAAGCUAGGGGACACCUCAGUAGUGCAUUAAAUGCGUCUUGUCCUGUAAUACGGGCGAUAAGCUCGCAGUAAUGUGUGCCUUUCCACCUCAUGUGUGCCACUGUGGCAGCCCCUUUCGACUAUAAAAGGAGGCCCAUGGCGUACUGUAGGGGGAUUCAGCUCUUUUGAACGACGCAGCCACCAUAGCUAGUUGGAGAGCUCAAGAGCACUCAAUACAUCCACCAAAGCAGGACUAGGGUUUUACGCAUCCUCGCGGCCCGAACCUGGGUACACUACAAAAAAAUACACUUCCGUGAUGAUACGUGUUUGUCGCAGUAGGUCGCGUUUUUUGUCAUGCAUGUACAUCCAUGACGAUUUUAGGACAGAAUCAAGAUAGUCAUACCUGUGCUAUCGUAGAAGUGUUCCAUGACAUUACCAAAAUUAUCAUCACGGAAAUGUCCACUUCCAUGACGAUAAAUCACGCGUCACAGAAGUGCUUUCGUCAAGGAUGAUCGAUACGUGGCAUCCACCGUAACGGAACGUCGUUAAGCUAUCGGGUCGGAUUUUGGAUCCGAUAAUCCAUUAACAGCCCUGACCAAUGGGAAAUUUCCACAUGUAAAAUUUUGAUCGGCCGAAGGGAACACUUGUCAGCUUGUCAGUGGGCCAGAUGUUGCCCAUCCAUUGGAGGAGACAUGCCUAUGAGACGUCGACACGUGGCUGGGCCCAACAGAGGCCCAUAUAGGUUAAAAAGGCCGGUCCAGUCAAAGGCCCGUAGAACUUAAUCAGGUACUAGUGGGCCACCCAAUAACGGCCUGCUUAAUAAAGGCCCAUUUACGGCCCGAAGCCAGAUCUGGCCCGUUAAUUGUUUGUCCAAUAUUUGGGCCCAUUUACGGCCCAAAGCGAGAUCUGACCCGUUAAUUGUUCGCCCAAUAUUUGGGCCCAUUUGCGGCCCGAAGCCAGAUCUGGCCCGUUAAUUGUUCGCUGAAUAUUUGGGCCCAACUACAGCCCAGUGACUUUCGGCCUGUUAGAGGCCUGAUGUAGACAUGGGCCCAUUUUAGCCCGGUGUGACUUUCGGCCUGGGAAUGGCAUGUGCUGCCCAUUGGCCAUAUAUGGUCCGACGAGACAUCGGGCCCACUAACGGCCCGUGCUAAAGGUGGCAAUAGUUAAGCCCAACGUGACUUUGGGCCUGUUAAAGGCCUGUCGCGUAAUUCGGCCCGUUGAUGCCUGUGCUAAACUUUCGGCCUCUUAAAGGCCCAUGAUAUCAGUGGGCCAACUAAGGCCCAAGAUAUGUUAAGGCCUGGUAACGGCCCGUGAGCUAACUGGGCCCAAAACGGCCCGGUCUACAUUUCGGCCUGCUGAAGGCCCGUCGACGACUAGUGAAAAUUGAGGCCCAACAUGCAUUUUGGCCUGCUAAAGGCCCGUGGUUUCAUCUCGGCCGUAACAGGCCAGUACAAUAUUCAGCCUGUUAAUGGCCCAACGCUACCUGGGCCAAACUAAGCGUUGGGUCGACAAAAGGCCCAACUAAAAUAUAGGCCAGUGUAAGUUUGGGCCUGGCGCAAUGUGUGAAGGCCCCAAUCAUUCGGGCCCAAGAAAGACGGAGGCCGGCCCAAUUGUGGCCCGCUAAAAACCUGGCCCGUUAGAGUCGAAUGUUUCGGUCUGGUCGACUACAUAUGAUUUUUUUUAAAUAGCGAAUGAUGGCAGUAACUAGUAGGAAUUAAGAGCAAACCUACUCUAUACAAUAAAGAAAUUACGGCAUAGUAACUAUGAAUAAACCUACACUAUACAAUAAAGGAUUUAAGGUAUAUUACAUCCACUGGGCAUCGAAGUUCGCCACCAGUGAUCAUAAAGCGCAACGAAGAAGCAGAUUACAAAAACUGGGCACCAUUGAAGCGUAACAAAAUAAUACUGAACCGAGACCACUUCCAAGACAGUUCAAGAAAGGUUAGCCUUGCGGGGGAACUGCUGCGCAAGCUGUUGAGCAAGGCUGUGAGAACGGCCUAGCAUGUUGGUCAUAGCUUCCAGGUGUAGCUGUUUAGCGAUGAGGUUCUCAUUGGUGUUCUCCGCAAUCUUUCUUAGAGAUAGGACUUCAAGUCGAAGUUGAGUUGCAGAAUGCCUUUCUGCUAGAACUUGGGACUGAAGAAGUCGAACUGAUUCAGACAAAGAAUUCUGUGAGCUUGUCUGACUAUUAGUCUCAAGUAACUUGAACACUGCAUCAAGACAAGACUUUGGGGUUGUCUCGCUAUCUUCAAGAUGUUUUGCCUUCUUUGCUGCAAUAUAUGUUGGGUUUGUCUCACAACCUUCAGCAGACUUGUGCAUGCCAUCAGGCAUAUCACCCUGAAACAAAGCAGAGAGAUGAUAGGUUUUGCACGUGUAUAAACAAAGAUGAUAACUAUUCUGUCAAUUCUAUACAAUUUCAAAUUAGAAAAUAAAGAGUAAGCUCAAAAUAUCAAUAGCAUAAUUUGGCAUUUUUCAUAAUGCGGGGAGCUUCACCACACUACUGGAUUACCAUGUCAACAUAACAAACAUAGAUGAAGGGCAAAGAAAAUCAUUGUAUCUAUUUUGGAUAAUGUGCAUGGCAUGUUGUUCAUAUCAUCAGCCACAUCAGUAAGAUAAAACAGGAGAUGACAAGGUGCAAACGUGGCCUACUUCACCACACACUAGAUUAUAGAUCCACAAAAACAACCAUACAUAUAGGGAGUAUUAAGUAAUGUGCACGGUAUGAAUAAGGAAUUUGGUUUUACAAGUAAAACUUAGAACUUACAGUUCUUACAAACAUGCAUUUUGGUAGAAACAGCAAACUAAACAGCGGUAAACGAUAGGGAGUAUGAGCAAAUUAAACAGCAGUUGAGGAUAAAGGCUUUAGAAGGACUGACUUACAUUAACAGUUAACACCGGCUUUAUAAUGCCCUUCUCCAUGUCAAGGGAAGGAUAACUCAAGAAUUUCGGCACAUAAUCUUCUUCAUAAGCAUUGCAUGUACUCUACAUUUUGUAGAGAGUAAUUAUAGAUAUGAUAAUACUGGAAGGGAUAGAGGAUAAUGAAGAUAAGAUGCAGAUUGAUGCUACAUAAUCAACUACCAAUCCCUGGAAGUACAAGCGUUGCAGGACAAAAUGUACUGACAAGAGCAAUGGGCUACACUUCUGCACUGGCAUUGUCUGUGUAUUCUACUUGUUGGUAAGAUUAAAUAUAGAUCUGAUCUUUCUUAGUAAAUGGUGGGCAAGGGAGAUAAGAUGUAGAAUGCUACAAAAUGAACCAAUCCCUCUUCCCAUAAUACAAGAGUGUUUUGAACACUGGUGUACUGUACAAAACGUUCUUAUAUUAUGGGACGGAGGGAGUAGCUGUUAAUGUAAGUACAGUGAUAGACCGCGUUCAGUCCUUACAAGAGGACUGCAGAGCUAAACCUCUUCAAAAGCAUUGUGUUGAUUCUAAAUUUAUGUAAGAGUCCAUACGAAUCUUAUAAUGUCCACCAAAUGGACGAUUACGAGGCUAACAUGUGCAGUGAUGCUACAUAAUCAAACAACUACGAAAGUAAGUAUGGUCAUACAGGGAAAGAGGUACUCACAAGAGCAAUGCAGUGUGCAGUAUAGUUGCGAGAUUAUGUGGUCCCUUGAGAAUGAAUGUUCUUCUGCUAACAGUUUUCAUACAAGUGAGACAUUAAGGAAAAUGCAGAAAUGUAGUUCAAAUUGUGAUGAGAUAUCAUAGACAGUACCUUACGCUGCAACCAAGACCAAUGUGUAACAAGAUUAUUCCAGUCACCGUCGGAUAAAUGUAGCACCGGAGACUUUACAGAAAUUUCGUUCAGAGGCUUGCCAUCGAAGUGUGCUUGCCUCAGGUAGGAACGAUACUUCAUCAACAAGUGCUUGAAAAGCGCAACCAACCCUUGCUCGUCGUCACAAUCCAGUUUGCUCCUCACCUAUUUAAAAGAAUGAAAUCUUGUGUCUUCUGUUAGCAGAAACAUAUGCAGUAAUGACCAUGAAUAACAUUAGUACAUUACUUACGCGUAAGUUGCGAGGAAGACUGGAAAUUGUUCUGUGUCUACGGUAUAAUCUUUCCAUGAAGGAAAGAUGCGCACAAAGUUCCUGACAACAACAUAAGCUUCGUCUUCUAAACUGGGAAUAAAUGGAACAGGGGUCCUAUUUGCUGCAAUUGGGGCUCUCUCUGGUUCGAAAAUGGAUUUGGCAACUGGAUUUGGUGUACUCUUUGCUGGAAUGGGGGUUUUGCAUCGUACAGCUGGUGCUAUGUCAACUGGCAUAAUGAUACUGUUUGCUGCAGUUGGGGUCUGCUGAGUUGGGGCAUCAAAAAUGACCAGUGUAGUAGGGCUAGAGUCUGCUAGAGUUGGGGUAUUUUGUGGGUCGGGUGAUAUUGCAACUACGCCUAAUGGGAUAUUUGAUUUAUCAGGUGCCACUACCUUUUCCAAAUACUUUGCUUGUGCUCCUCCACGAUCAGCAAUCGCCCUCUUCCUUUUGAACGUCUGAUACACAAGAACAACAUUUGAAUGGAUAAAUAUGGUAUGAUGACAGAUGGAAUAUGUACUGAAAAUGGAUAGGCAGGGCGUAUUCACAUACACGAUGUGUAAACUAAGCUAAUGGCAAUUCAACAAAGUAGAAGCAAUGCAAAGCAUUAGUUGCAAGAUAUGUGCGAGCAAUGUCACCUUGGAAAGUUAGAGCAAGUACAUUGAUGGGUGAAUAAGAUAGGGCAUCUUCCUCUGACUCCUCCACUCGGGAGCUACAUUGACUUAGGUCUACCUCUAGCUCAGAAUCACUGUUAGGAUCAUAUUCUGAGCAUGAAUCUGUAGGUGGCUGGAAAGUGUGCACCUAGUUUGAGUCAUCCAGGUUGGCCCAUGCUAGUUUUGUUCGUCCCAAUGCACGAGCAGGCAAUGUAAAAAAUGAAGAAAAAUGUUUCAAUUUGGAUGGGCCAAUAACAUAAGUGCAAGGCAGGCCCUAUAGUAGGCUUGCGGCCCAAACAAGCGCCUCCCAUAUCGAUCGACAGCAGGAAAAAUCCCAAUUCAUUCGCUCCAGCCUCCAGUCUGGUUCGCUCCUAACCUAGCCGCCGCUGGACAAACUGACACAGCACUUCCUCGCGCCCUCAUCGGAGGGCGGUCACCAGGCUUCAAGCGAACGGAAGGACAAGAAGAUGAAGAUCCAACCCUGGGUGUAGCCUGCAUGGGAGGCAGCGGCGGCAGCACGGGCAUGGCAUCAAGCUUGCGCAAACGGACAGUCGUAGCUUGCAAGAGUAGCAUGCGCAACGAGCAGGUACAUCACACCCCUGAUUAUAUCUAAUUCAACUCUUCAAUUUCUAGCCAAUAGUUAAACCUGACGAUGUUGUAAAACUGCUUGUAUGUAGGGAAUCUAUGAGAAAAUGAAACCAAUUUCUACUUAUUUUAUAACUCCCCCAAUCAAUACUGAACUGGCUGAAUCUGAUGUAUCUAAUCAAGUUUCCGGUGCAAACAUACUAGCUCAUGUUGUUCUUGAGCCUGAAGUGUCUAAUGAACAGACUGCUAAUGAAGGAUUUGAUGCAAACAUUUUACAUGCUCCUUGCUCCUGGUGAUGAACAUAUAGUGUCUAAUGAGGGAUCUAAUGCAAGCAUUUUGCAAGCUCAUUGAAGGAUUUAGUGUCUAAUGAUGAUCUACUAUGUUGAGAGAGACAGAGAUUUGCAGGCCUUGAUGACAGGCAAAUUAUAGUGCAUUUUCAUAGCUUGAGAAAACGUCGAGGCCAUCUACUAGAAAGUCCCCGUAUCAUGACAACAUAGCAUAAAUACUUCUCUAAUAUGUUGUUUGAAACUAUUGGCAUACUUGUGCAGGAUAGAUAUAUUUAUAUGCAGUUUGCGCACUAGUUAUACGUGCAAUUACACUUCGAUAUUUUCAGCCAGAGAACGAAUAAUUCAAGCAGGUACAGACCAGGUUUGCAGUCCUUGUACACCAUGUUGCAUUUUGUGUUUUUUGGUGCUUGCAUCAUUUAGUGUUUAUAAUCUGAACUACUUUGGAUCAUUAGCUGGUUUUCAAAGUGCAUGUAGCUUCACAUUUCUCUAGUUAUGUUGAUUUCCGGAGUGCAAGUGCCUUCAUAUUUUUUAAGUUAAAUGUUGGCCCCUGGUAACUUGAAUUCAUGGAUCAGCCACUGCACACAAAUCAUACACGAAUGCCAGUAUGAAUUAAAUGAAAUGCAGGGACUUACGCUAGCUCAUUGUACAGGCUCACUGCAGCUCUGCUUGCACUUGGGAGGUUCCAUGUACAAGUACAUGUUACCACUUGCUUGGAUGUGCAGGCCUUGUGCUCCUUGCAUCCCCCUCUGCAUUUUUGACACGGUGAAUGGUUGAUCAAAUAAGAGGAAUCGACCUUGAUGUUGUACCGAAGGACAGAUACUUACAAGGUUAUACGGGUGUGUAGGAUGUGUACCAGAUCCCGUAGCACCAUCAUGCUUCGCUAAAAAAUGGAUUUGCUUGUUUCAGAUGAUAUCUCCAGAAGAAAUAAGAGUUAAAGUCAGACUUGCAUAGGCGUGUAAGCUAAGAGAGCAAUGAAAGGAUAUCCAAACAUCGUCGGAAUAGUGCACAAGGGAGUGAUGUGUGGAUACCUAGUUCGGGACGGCGUUUGGGCAUGCUCGCCUAGCUAGAGUGCAGGUCACUUUAGAGCCGUUGAGGGUGAUGCGCUGGCGUUGGCUGGCCGCGCACGGAUGCAGAUCUUGAGUGGCAGCGGAGCGCUACGAUGCGGUGGACGAGACCGUUGGUGAAGCCCCAAUGGCCUCGGGGGCGGAGGUGCGACGAUGUGCUCGGUGAAGUAGCCCGAGUGAGCUGGGAGACGGCGUCGGUGAAGCGCACUUGAUGCGGUGGAAAUCGGUGUCUGUGAGGCAUGUCGAUUGCGGCGACCGACGUUGUCGGUGGACCACCCAGUGUGGUGGACGAGGGCGUACAUGAGGUAGAUCCGGUGCGGUGGUGAAGCGCGACCGUCGUCUUCGUUGUCGUCAUCCAGCACAGAUGUGGGGAACGGUGGGGAAAGAGAUGAGACAAGGGGCGAUUCGAGGGUUGGCGGCGAAUUAGGGAUUUGAGCAAUAUGGGCACGGAAGCGGACGGUGGAGAAGAUAGAUUUUGCAGGGCUAGAAUUGGGGCCGCCAGAUAUUUCAAUCUGAAACAUGGAAGUGCAAACUUAUAUUGUCGUCGUCCUUUUGGGGGGAGUGGGGUGGGUGGCUGGGUGCUAUGCGUCCGUCCGACACACGCGACCACCCCGACAGGACUAUGCUUCGGUGCCUUAAGGCACCUGCCUUUGUGUCCAUGACAUGUCGGCCCAACAGGUGGUUGGCCCACAUGUUAGUGACCCAAAGGCAGUUGCCUUUAAGGCACCGAAGCAGCGUCCACCCCGACACGACCCUAGUCUGCCUGGUGCGCCUACAUUUGAGAAUGCAAACGAAUCUUCUUUCAUUUGCAAACGAAUCUGUAUGUAUUACCAUGCCCGUGUUUUCCUUGCAAUAAUUAGUCAUUCGAAAUGAGAUACUCCAUCCGUUCACUUUUGUAAGUCAUUUCAGACAACUUAAAAUGAACUAUUUUGCACAUUGUCUGAAAUGUCUUCAAGGUCUUAUAAAAGUGAACAGAGGGAGUACUAUAAAUUAAUUAAUGAGGAGUUAUUUGAAAAAAAAUCGAAACGGUACCCACGCUAACGUGGAUUAGAGUGUGUGUCACAUAAUUAGUUAUUCGAAUUAGAGUGUGUGUCACGUAGUUAGUUAUUUGAAUUAGAGUGUGUGUCAAGUAGCAAUCUCCAAUUCUAACGUGGAUUUCACAUUUCAUUGUAUCCACGCUACUUUUUUAAUACAAAUUCAUAUGUAUAUGAUGAACACCAUGGUAGUGAGAAAACUUUUGGAUCGAUUCAAACAUAUGACCUAAAAAAUAGCACAACAAACUAAGUCAAUGUCAACUUUUUGAAACUUAUUAUGGCACGAAUUCGAAAUAAUUACCCGUAUGCCUGGUCCUCGGUUCAAAUCUUACAAUGUACACCGAAUUGAAACAUCGAUAUUAAGUCUCAUAGUAUGUACAUUCAAAUGUUGUUUUUAGCCCCCCCCCCACCGCACAAAUGCUACAUACUUCUUGUAUCGGUCAAUCUUCCUCUCCUAACCACCUUAGGAAGCUAUCGGUUUCCAACACACGUUCAUUCUUUCUCUCCAUGUUUCGAUCUCUAAGUCUCUCAACUACACAAUACCUUUUUCCACUCUGUUACCAAAUGUAUUUACCUCACACACCCGCCAUUGCACCCCAUGCCGAGCUCUCUCUCCCCCCCCUCUCCCUCUCACUCUCUCGCGCUAAAUACAUGCAUUGCCUAUCUAGCCCCCCAACCUCUCGUGCGCACGCACGCACGUUGUAUAUCUAGGUCACUCCCUCGAGACUGUCUCACUCUUUCUUCCGCACGGCGGGCCACACUCGCUCAAUCUCGCUCUCUUUAUCUAAGUCUCAUUUAACCUUGUUUUCUUUCACACACAAAUGAUAUAUCUCCCUGUUCGGGCCUCGAUUGACACACUCUAUACUCUCUCAUGCAGAUUGUCUAUCUAGGUCAGUCCACCCAAGCCACUGCCACUCUUUCGACCUCAUGGUGGGCCACGCUCACUCAAUCUCUCUCUCUCUCUCUCUCUCUCUCUCCGUAUGUCUCGAUUGACCUCGCUCUUUCUCGGACAAAAACGAUAUAUCACCAUGUUUGAGCCCAAUUUGACCUAUUCACAUUGUAUACUCUCCCACGCACAUCAUCUAUCUAGGUCACUCUCUCCAACCCGUCUCACUCUUUCAAUCGCACGGCGAUGCUAUGUGAUCGGUUGACCUUGCUUACUCCCACGCACAAAAUAUAUCUACACGUCUGUGACUGGAUCAUCUCUCAAGCUCUAUCUUACAGCCCUCACCCUUGCCAAAAAGCUCAAUCGGACAAUAUCUCUCCAGAGCAUAUAUAUUUGUUCAAUGAAUGUCGGACCACACUCACUUUGUCUCUCUAUCUAUAUGCCUCUCGAUUGACCUCGCUUUCUCACACCAUAUCUUCCACGCAUUGAAGCUAUUAUCUCUCCAUCCCUCGCAAAGUCGGAGUUAUCUACAUUGCGAGGGGCACUCCAACCUUGGAUUAAUUUGUGUAGGCAUUUAUUCCGGUCGGUUUAGAUUAUAUUUUCGUAGCAUUCGGCCCACAACUACUCCAAACACCAUUGCAACCCACGCAACUCUCCUAGAUGAUUUCCCUCUGGCUCGGUCAUCGCUCUCUCACACGUCCUUUCUCGCCUUCAACGUUGCACCAUGGUAUUAUUGAAAAAACUAUGUUGUUCUCUUUAAUUAUUAUAAAUAAGCUACAAAACUACACACCGAUAGUCCACUUGGAAUGGAACAAAUACCCACAAAUUAAAGUGCUACAAACUACACACUGAGGGGACCACAUGUCAUGAAACAAAUUUGGACCCAUAUACAAAUUAAAAAAAAUAAAGGACAAGGAUCAAACAUGCGACCGGGCCUUCAAGCCGCACGUCAAUAGGCAACAUACGUAGAAUAGCAAUGUUUGUUGUACCCCCUUUGUUCACAUAAUGUUUUUAUAUUACCACAGCCUAAUUAAUGGAUAACAUGUAAUAUUAUUUUUAGUACUAUUCGCCUUCACUUACUGGUGGGUUCCAUGUGUGCUCUCUCUCUCUCUCCUCCCCAUCUGCGUUUAGACGCAUGGCCAAACAGGAAGAACUCGCGGGCGAUGUUGCCGUUGACCAUAUCUAGACGCGUUCACAAGUCAUGGCACCAGUUUCACGUACUAGCAGCACUAGUCAGUGUGUACGUGCAAUGCACGUUAAUUUGGAAGUAUAUUAAGUGCAUGCGGAUAUUAACUACUAGGAUAUUAUUUGUGUGUUGUCAUGUGAUUAGCAUUAUUUUUGGCAUGAAAUUAACUGCACGCUAAACAUGUUGAGCACUCGACAUUGAAGCAGUCUAGGUCGUUGGAUUACAAGGAAUACAUGUGGCUUGAUGACAUUUUAUAUUUAAUUUGAUACGGCUCUAGCAGAACAUUCAAUCGAUCAAACCAUACAUUUCGUUCAGUCUGACUCCGACUUUAAAUUAUACGACGAUCGAUAUAAAAUAAACGGAAGUGAUAAACGUUCGGAUUUUAAGCAUGGCAACCCGAACGUUUUUCAUGGCAAAUUUAGAUUACGCGGCGGCGGCGGGGGUGUCUCGCGAUGGGAAGCGGCUCCUCUGUCGUGCUCUGUGUGUCUUCGGGCCACUGACCGACAGCAACGGCGGUGUCUUGCAUCGUUGUUGGCGUACUACUGGACGUUGGCCUAGCUUCAAGGAAGGCCAAAAUGUUCUGGACUUCGGAGCGAGUCAACUGGCGGGAGGAGUCGACUGGCGUUGGUGCAAGGAAGCGGUCGAUGGCGGCCAUCCAUGCCGCUGAGGGGGGCACUGGCACCCGCGCGGGGACAUGCGCUGUCAACGGUGCGACGGAGACAUUCGUGUGCACGGGCACCGGCAUGGGCGCGCACGUCAGUGCACGCGCAGGCGCAUGCGCUGGUAGGUGCACGGGCACCGGCACGGGCGUGCGCGUUAGUGCACACGCAGGCGCAUGCGCUGGUAGGUGCACGGGCGCGUAAAAGUCGGCGGGACCUCGUGGAACCCCGUGGGAUCAAGCUCGGUGACAAUGUGCGGCUCCCAGCCCAUCAAUGCCACGGGGAUGGGCGCUGGCGCAGUCGGGGCGACGGGAGCCGGAACGGGAGCGGGGACAGGCGCGGCGUCUUCCCGCAAGGCCAGUUCAAGCUUGUCCCAAAGCGCCUUAUGUUCGUGAGACUCUGGCUGGGUGUCUUCCUCAGGAAACUGGAAUGGCAGACCAUCGUAAUGCGGCAUGGCGUACGUUUAGGUCAGGCUAGUUGGAGGUAGACGACGAGAGAAUCGGAGAGGAAGAGAGAGGAUUGUAGCGAUACCGGGUAGUGCGAGGUUGAUUUUAAACUGCGGCGCCAGCGACAUUAUAAGUGGGAGCAGUUGGGACGACGGUGGGCGGUGGAGCCUGGUCAAAGGGCUCGCCUCCCGGUGAGCCUGCACAGCUGUCUGCUCGCACGCCUCCCUGAUAGCCGGUGCAGCGAUCUACUCGCACGCCUCCCGUCGACUCACACGCUUGCUCGGACGGCACCUGUCGAUGAGAAGCGGGGACUCGUGGAGGCACGUAAACGCCCACGGUUUCAAUAGUGAAAGCGUUCGCCUUAACGUAACAGGUCUUUGUUACAAAAUACCUUGGCUCUUCAUUUGUGCAACUUGUCAUAAGCAGCUUGUCUCAAAUUGAAGAAAAAACUUACGAAGUAAUAUUUGUGCCAUAUCACAUGACCAUGCUUAGUUUCAAGAAUUUAUGCUCACUUUUGGAUUUUCUGAAAUUUAAGAUCCAGGAUUCGAAACAAUAUCAUAACCUGCAUCAUGCAAUAAUUUUUCAAGCCGUACAUCUGUCCUGUUGUAUUUCUUAAGAAAGGAUUUGGUCAAACAUUUUACUUAGUUAGACUUCAGACAAGUUAUAUAUGCAGAGUAAAAGGAUAAUCCCUCCGUACCAGUGCAUUGCCUGAGAUAUUAACUCAAGUACUAGGCACAAACAAACGGGCUCAAUUCUGUGCUCAUCCUGGUGUAGUAGUAGUAGUAGUAGUAGUAGGCAAUGCAGUUGACAGGUAACCUUAACGAGCGGUGACCGAGGGAAUUGAACCGUGCUCGGCACGGUAGGUAACGUUGUCUAGUUACUAAAGCAUCCCUCCGUUGUUCAUCGGUAGUCAUUAUGGACCGGGGACAUGAGGGGAAUUUCCUAGGGCUGGAAUUCUGGCCGCCAGAUAUUUCGACUUGAAACGCUGAGGCUCGACUGGUUGGGGUUGCCUAAUGUGCGUACCACGCACGCCACCGAAGGACACGAGCCCGGUUUUUUUAGGAUCAACACGAGCCAAGGUUUGGCUGGUACGGCGUUGGGUCCUACCAUUCGAGAAUAUGAAAGGAACCUUUUAAAUUGCCGAACGAAUCUAUGUGUAUUACAAUACCUGUAUUUUCCUUGCAAAUACUAAUCUCAAUGUGGUAAUUGAUUUAUGACGAGUGAUUGAAUUAGAGUGAGUUUGUGAUAUAGUGAUCUCAACGUGGAUUUCACAUUUCAUGGUAUCCCUAGUAAGUUUUCCAAUGCAAAUUCAAAUUUGAAAGAUGAACAAUAUGGAGGUGAGAAAACUUUGUAUAUAUCAAGCAUAUGACCACACACACAUAGAGAGAGAGAGACACACACACGCACGAACACAACAAGAAUCCAAUAAGUAUAGUGCAUCUAUUUUUCCAAACCAUGCAUGUAUGACACGAAUUCAAAAAUACUCCUUCUAUUCCUAAAUAUUAGUCUUUUAGAGAGUUCAACAAGUGACUACAUACGGAGCAAAAUAAGUGAAUCUAGACUAUAAAAUAUGUCUAUAUACAUCCGUAUGUGCCAGUCCAUUUGAAGCCUCUAAAAAGACUAAUAUUUAGGAACGAAGGGAGUAAAAUGUAAGACAUCCAUGGUCCUCGGUUCAAUAUUUAAAAUGAACAUGAAACUUAAACAUGAAUAUUAAGUCUAGUACUACAAUACAUGCAAAUGUUGUGUUUAGGCGGAGCUAUGAUUGUUGGGGGUCAACCCCUCGACCUUAGAUAAAAUUGUGGAGCUUUGUUUAGGGUUGUUUAGAUUAUAUUUGUCCCCACCCUCCCAACCACCGAUUGGUUGUGCAUCCCCCACCCCUCCUCCCCGGGAGAAUAUCAUGUGCCCCCAUACCUUAGAUGCUAUAUGCCGAUAUGAGUUGCUUGGAGCUUGUAGAUCUGAGAUAUAGCAGCUCACAUGAUGUGUACUAAUAUUUUUGCAGGAAACCUUGAUGAGUUUGAGAAUUUCACACAAUUUGUACAAAAACUACUUAGAUGCCCUUUGAUCCCAUAUCCAACGACCUCAAAGCUCGUAUCACCGUAGCAUCUAAGAUGAAGGAGGACAUCGUAUUCUCCUGUAUGUAAGAAUAUCAUGUGCUACCACACCUUAGAUGCCUUGGUGAUACAAGCUCUUCGGAGGCAUUGGAUUUGUGACCCAACACCUCCUCGGUGGUUCGAAUGGUUUUUUGCAGAAAAGCCCCAAAAGAGUUCGGCCACUGCUUACAAGCACAAAGACUGCUCAGAUGCCAUUGGAUCUCAGAUCGAACGACCUCCAAGCUCAUAUCACCGUAGCAUCCAAGCUACGAUAGCACCUUAUGUUUUCUCGCACGGGAGAGUAUGAGGUGCUCCUACACCGUAGAUUCUUCACUGAGAUCUAAUGGUCCAGAGUAGGAGGUUUGAAUGUUUUUGCAAUAUACGGCUGAUAGAGUUUGCGAAAUGCGCAGAAAGUACAAGUACUACGCAUGUGCCAUCUGAUCACUGAUCAUACGACCUAGAUGCUCAUAUCACCGUAGCGGGUAAUUAAGCUACGGGGAGCACCUAAUAUGAGAACCGGGGAGCCGUUGGAUCGAAGAUGCAGUGGCACACACGAGGCCUGAAUGUUUUAUUUGCAAAAAAACCUUUGGAGAGUUUGGAAAUUGCGAAUAAUUGCAAAGACUACUCCCAAGCCAUUGGAUCUCACUUCCAAUGGUGUAAAAACUCGUAUCACCAUAGUAUCUCAGCUGCGGGGUGGAUGUGAUAUUCUAUGCCACUUUAAUUUUUGUUCAUAAACUUGCAAAAUACGUGUAACUCGUGUCGUUACUUGUCUAACCGCGCAAAGUGUUUGUUCAAAAAAACCAUCCUACACUGAAAUAUCAGAACAACACACGGGGGUCCCACUUGUCAUUAAUCAAAUUUGGACCUAAAACUAACAAAUCUGAAAGACGAGAUUCGAAGUGGCAACCUAGACUACAAAGUGUAAGUCGAUAGCCUGAAAAAACGAAUGGUUGUUGGCUUUGUCCCAUAACUUGAUUUUAUACAGUACUUGCGUUGAGUAGAGUAGAGGGAGUGCCUCAUCAACAUGUGCAUGACCGUUGUCUCACUUACUGGUGGGUCCCAGGUUUGCGAUCUCAAUCUCUCUUCUCUCAAUCGUCUAACCUUUGCACGGGCACACACAAAGAGCGGCGCUAGCUUGCCGUGGUGUUAUUACAACUAAAAAAACUUGGAAAAUAGAAGAAUCGCCUAGAACAAGAGACGUUGUGGCUGGUCGAGACGGAGCUAACCACAUCUAUCCUCCGUGCCAUGUUUGCAUGAUGAAGCUGUGUGGCUUGUGGGGUGUUCUCGACCGACUGGCUAGGUCCCAAGGUCAAACCAUAGGUACUACGUCUGAUACAGUAUAUUUUUACAUGCACAUUUUUCCUCCGUGCCGAGAUGUGGCACACCCUACCGCACGGUUUUGGGGUCCUCCCGGGUGGUGCACGCAUAUAUUCUUCCUGACGUGGGACGCCCUACCGCGCGUUUUCUGGGUCCUCCUCGGUCGUAGCGCCGAAGCAAGUAAAUGAGUCGUCAAAUCAUGAAAGACCACCUUUCCCGCCGAGUACAUCAGUGAAGCACGGUGUCUAGCUAGUUGGGCUAGUUCGAUCGAUUAGCUAGGCCGCCGCUACAUUUGUUUUUUCACCCCUUUUUUUAUCUACUUGUCGGCAGGUAAAUUUAAAUAUCCACCACGGCAUUGCUCUGGUGUUUGGGUGUGGCAGGAUUUUUAAUUUUUUGAUUGAUGGGAGCAGACGUGGCAGGAUUUUUAAUUUUUUGAUUGACGGGAGCAGGCACGGUAGAAAUUAGUCGUGAUGACUCCGCCUGUAAAAACCCACUGCUCCCUGAUGUGAGAAGUCGUCGACUGGUGUUUUACCGUGGUGAAAACCAAAAGAUUCCCCGCUCCCUCCGCCUUCCCGUAGAUUGCAUUGCCUUUCAGCCAUUUCGCCCCCUUUGCUUCCUCUCCCCAUUGCUUCUACCUGGUGCCAUGGCGGCGCAGCAGAUCACGGAGUCUGAGGUGAGGCUCCUGACAUAGGAGCUCCAUGCCAAGGAUGCGGAGCUUAGGGCCAAGGACGUGGAGCUCCGUGAGCCCAAGCAGGAGAGGAGUAACAUGCUCCUCCGUUAUGUGCGGGAGUUCACGGAGCUUCAAAAGCGGCAGGCGUCCACCACAAAGAUGCUCGAGGUGUCGGCGGUGUUGCUGCAGAAAGCGGGAGAUACGAUAGGCCGUCAGGGGAGCCGGCUAGAGCACAAGCGGGCCGAUUGUGACGAGGUCCAGGAUCACCUCAGCCACUUGGUGAACCAAGUUGCCAUGCACGUGUUGCGGCUGUGCGAUGCCUACUGUCGUGCCAGCGUGACGAUGCCGGCCGUCGGGCUAAACCCGUUCGACCACCCGGUCGACUUCAACAAGCUGCGGCUUCCUGACCUGGUCUCCUUCUUCACCUAUAUAUCCGAGGAGCUGAGCCGUCUCUGCGUGAUUGUGGGGGCUGAGCUAGACAAGGAGGGUUUGCAGGCUGCCGUCGCCAUUGCCGGGCGAAUCCUUUCAGGGCUCCAUCACCGGAAUCCAUUCGUGCCAUUGGACGCCGUCUUUGAUGAGCUGGCUCCCGUCGACCGGGAGCGGGCGCUGCGGGAGGUUGCACCCUGCAUCACCAACGUCCUGCGCCUCGAGAAGCAAAGGGACUUCGGUGGUGUUUAGAUACCCUCUGCAUGGGCAUGUCCAUGUCUCGGCACAACAUGACCGUUGGAUCAAACUCAGACGAUGCAGAUCACUCACUGUAGCACAAAGCGUGUGGGUGUGUUUGGUUGCAUUCUCAUCUCAAUAUAGUUGUUUCUUCUUCGUGUAUUUUUGUCAACAUACUAGUGUGGACUCAUGCACCCUUCAUGCACUCUCCCAAACACCCAAAAGUGGGUCGAGAAGGGAACUUUUGCUCCCAUCCCGUGCACCCUUCAUACACCCUGCCUAACACUAUUCGUGCUUCAUAUGUUUCAUGUUUCGUGGAGUACUGUAGCACCGUACUCUCCAUGCGCUAUGGACCUAGUUCUAUUAACAUUGAUCUCACCAUACAUUCUCGACCAGACAGUCGAAAAAGCGGUACUAUGUUACAUAUAGGAGUAGUUGACAUGCGCACAACAUCAUUUGUUAUCUUCAUAUCUUACUACACUAGCAACAGGAUUGUGUAGUACUGACGUAUGAACCACUGCACAUGCCUAGUAGUAGGAGCACUGUGUAUGUUCAAGUGGCUGCCGUGUUUCGCACUCGUCCGUCGUAAGAGUGGAAACGCUUGCUGUAAUCAUUUUUUUCUUCAGAAAAAUAGUGGACACGCUCUACCGUGCGGAUCCUCCUCCAGCCAUGCACUAAAUUACUCACUUUCGCCGACGUGUGGGACAGGCAGCACCUGGGUCCACCAGCCAUGCACUAAAUUACUCCAUAGUAGAGUGAUGGUAGACUACCCCGAUCGAACCGCCGCAGUAAUGCCCAAUGAGCCGUCAAAUCACAAAACCCCCUCCUUUCCAGCAGUAAGUUGGAUGGACGAAGCAACCAUCAUUUCACUCUUCUCUCUCAGCUUCCUCUCUUGAGGAAAACCCCCAGUCGCUUCGCUUCUCCCACAUCUCGUUCCUCAUUUCACUCUUCUCUCUCAGCUUCCUCUCUUGGAUGGACGCCGGAGCACCGGCCGACGUGAUGUCUAUGGCUCUGGACAAAACCGUCGAGGCUCAUGGUACGAAGAAGCGCAAGCACCCCGCCGAGACUACCGCAGACAAUCUCAAAGCCAUCGCCCUGUCCAAGCCCCCCUCUCAGGGAUCCCUCAUUAAGCAAGUCCAGGUAAUGUCUCUUGUUGAUGAUAUUUUUCUCGAUCUUGAUCGUGUUUUUUCAUCUAGCACACAGUACUAGUACUGGUAGUACAACUUUCUGGGUGAUCUUGCAUGUGAUUUUAGUGUGCCAAAUGACGGUUCUAAAUUCCUCUCUUGACAAAAACAUGCGAGAGGUUGACACCGAUUUCUUAUAGAUUACUUUCAACUACUCCCUCUGUCUCAAAUUUCUUGUCUAAGAUUUGUCUAGAUACGGAUGUAUCUAAAACUAAAAUGUGACUUGAUACAUCCGUAUCUAGACAAAUCUAAGACAAGAAUUUUGGGACGGAGGGAGUACUUUAUGAACAUCAAUGCUACCUUUUAAGAGGGUAUAUUUGCCUUAGUAACUUGUGUUAUGGAUAUUGCAUGUAAUCCCUCUGCUCUCAUGCCUUUGAAGACAUGUUCUAGUGUCUUUGUCACUCAUUUCUGUGCGUAUAUGUAGUCAUAUAUGGAGUAUAAUAUCGAAAAUCAUCUUAUAUUUCUGAACGGAGGUAGUAAUAAAAUAUGGUUUCUGUUUGAAUUAGAACUAGGUCCGCGGUGGAGAUGAAGUUCUCAAAGUCAUGCCGUGUGAACUGGAAGACCUGAUGAUGAGUUCUACUGCUGAACUAUCCAGCUGUUGUGUCCUUGUCACCAUGUGUCCUGAACUAGUGUUUUCCUGUAGCAUUGUUGUCAGGCGUGUUCUCGAGGUUGUACUUGACCACAACAAUUUCCUGGCUGUGCCUUCAAAUAAGAAGGGUGUGGUUCUUGUAAAGCUUCCCAAAAAAUCUGAUGCGGCCUGUCUUCAUCAUCAUCUUUAUGAGUGGAAAGAACACUCUGUUAGGUUCUCCAAGGCUGACAAGAUGGUGAUGGUGCAUGUAGACAUCUCACACGAAGUCCAUGGCCUAGUCAGUUAUGCGGGGUUCAUCCCGUAGGUCGGUGGCAAGAAAUAGUCUGCAGAGUUUAGUUAGUACAACUUUGCUUGUCUGUAGUAAGUACUAUUGUCCAGUACUUGAUUUGUGUUUGUGAACCCUAUAUUGUUUAUUAGUACUACCGCUUUUGGUGUGUGGUCAGUCCUGAGAACGGUCUAUGUUAAUGUUUGUCCACUCAAUUCAGUCUGUAUAUUUUGAAGUAUCCAUAUCAUAUUUUUUGUGAGGACGGUUUAUCAAUUAUGGUUACACUCCAAUAUGUAUGCAUUGGAGGGUUUAUCGCACCCACCAGGAUUUCCAGUCCCAUGGAUGUUCGGUCCAUACGAUUUGUCACGACCUUUGGACUGUCCUGCUUGUGGGAGUAGGCGGGUCCCCUGCAUGCCACGCGUAGUUGGACGGUCAAUCUUCUGUUUAGUACUUCAACAUAGUGAUUUCCUGGUAAGGAUUCACUCGUGUCAUAUCAAGUAAAUCUUAUUGAUUUACUGUCUAAAUCUUAUUGAUUUAAUGUCAUGUUUUCUUUCUUUUCCUGUAAUUUUACGAUGCAGGUUUUGCCAUGUGACAUUCAUCACAGAAUAAACCGUUUGGUUUGCUCUAUGAUGGCUAUUUUUGUAGGUUUCACUUCUUAUGUCGUGUCAGUAACGAAGGCACUGUCCCUCACUUAUAUUACUGGAAAAAAUUGGAUCAGUUUGUUGUCUGAGUACAAGUCGAAUCCCUAUGAUGAACUGCAGUUUGGUUUAACAAAAACGCCACAAUUAGUCCUUCUCGCGUUUAAAAGAAAUGAAGAAAAAAAUUUGAUCAUAAUCAUGGAUCCUAGUCAAGUUAGAAAGCUGAUCAUAGCAGAUCAGACACGAUCGCCAUUGUCUCGCACAGAUCGAGCACUGUUAGUUGCUCUAGCACUGAUAGCAGCAGCAGCUCAGUCUGAUCCAGCUGAGGAUUAGCCACCGACCGCGUCAUCGGAUCAGACUGAUCUACCGGAGGAUCGGGCAUCGACACCGGCACCUGCUCCGACACCGGCACCAGCUCUACAAGGAGCACCAUCUCCGGCAGUAGCAGUGGCUUUGGCACCUACACCAACACUUGCACUUGCAUUUGCUUCGGCCCAUGCAGUUGCACCGGUAAUAGACUGGGCUGUAGUUCGCACUUCAUAUACCAAAGUCCUUACAAAAACCGGCAUGUCCACCUUCUUGGUAAGCAUUGGCGGCCCAAGUGCUUCGUUCUUUUUUCUUUCCAUGUUGUUUCACAUGAUUCACUGUGUUGAUCUAACUGUUUGGGUAUGUCUUCUUGUUUGCAAACAGAGAAUUCCUAGAGCAACGAUGGAGUUGUUCAACAAUCCGGGCGACCGCGGCCAAGUUUCUCUUACCAUGCGUAGCCUUGCUAUGAAUGAACCUGCUCAAUAUACCGUAAGUACAAAGGAUGGUCGCAUGAUGAUUGAUGCUAAAGGAUUGUCAAGGUUCAAAUCUAAAUCAUAUCUUGCGGUAGGGGAUGAUGUCAAAAUCGAACUUUCUCGGCAAGGAGAGCUGGUCCAAAUCAACUUUGAAAUUCUUCAGUAGCAGCACGCAACUGCCGAACUGAUCUAUCCUCCGAGAGAUUUUGAUGUAAUAAUCUGGCAUGGUGAAACAAGUGUCCUGUGUGUAUAAGUAGUAUGACAGUAUUAUUUAUCACAUGGUAUAUCGUUGAUAGAAUUGCAACUCUGUUUGCUGGUUAGGAACUGUCGUUCGAUUUCAUUCCAACAGCUGCCGUGCUUUAUUCAAUUUUGUGUAUUCGCCUUGCGACAGCAUCUAAAACCAGCGUCGUAUCGAUCGCUUGCAAUAUAAAAAGCGCUGAGGUAGAACACAUGUGCCCCCAAACAUGUAGGGUCGGCCUGCGGCCCAAAGUCCAGAACCCUGAGCCUAUCUGAGUAUUAUAUUCUCAGUUGAACCCCCAUAAAAAAAGUUGAACCCCCAUAAUGCUCGUGCGUUGUAGAAGGAGUAUAUUUCUCGGCAAGGUGAGCCUGUGAUAUAAAAAAUAUGUAUGUGUAACUAGUUACUCCUGUCUUUCUACUUCCUUUCGCUGAUAUGUGGGGCAACCAGCAACGGGGUCCACGUGCCAUAUGCACAAAUUAGAGUACACAACUUCACGGUAGACACACCCCGGUCGUAGCGCCGCAGUAAUGCCCAAUGAGCCGUCAAAUCACAAUCCCCCUUUCCAGCUUUAGCAGUAAGCUGGACGGACGAAGCGGCAAUAUUUCACUGGGUCUGAAUCCCCUUCUCCCUCGUCUGCUUGUUCAGAGAAAACCCCCUCUCGGCGAUUGCAUAGGGUUUUCUCAUGGAGAACCAGGUACGAAUUCUUCAUCCAUCCCCGAUAAAUCCAAGUCCCUUGGUCGCAGGUAAUCCUAGGAUGGCAGCCGCCGCCGUUGAUGCAUUUUUCUUCCUACUGAAUCUAGUGUGUUUCAUUUGCAGUGCCCAAAGUGCGAUUACCCUACAGGUUUCUGCGCCCUCGGCGAGACUCCACACUUGUUCCUUCUCACCCUAACACAGCAUUUUGAAACGCACACAGUAUGUUCCUAGAAUCCUCUUUUCUAUCCGGGAGGGUGGGGUUUUUUUUAACAUGUUGUGUUCUCAUAUUAUUUUUCCUGCAGUGUAUUAUUUGCUCUGCCAGAACACAUGUACUCAAGAUGCUCAGCCUUGCCAUAACUGAAUACACUAGUUUAAUGGUCACAGUGAAGACAAGCCAUGGAUAUAAGUUCUGAGUUGGGUUCAUGAACCAAGAAGAUCGCUGCUUUUUUUAUGGCCGAACUUGGAUAAACUUUCUCUAGUGUUACAAACAGAAAGUUGGCACACGAAUGUUGAUGGAAAUAGCAGAACCUGGUCUCAUCUUCACUGUGAUCUUCCACCCUGACGUCGUUCCAAUUGUUCAUCCAUGUUAGUUUUGUAUCUGGUUCUUGCUUGUUGCCUCGAUUACUUCUUAAUCCACCUAUUCUGUCUAACUAAUCACAAUUUAACUUUAGAAGUAGCAACGAAUCUCUCACGAAGAUGCUACUUCUAACUAAUAUUUUCUUAUAUUUGGUGGCAUGUGUAGGUUUUUUAGAGUUAAGCAGUCUGCCCGUUUGUUACUCUGUAAUAACUCGGCUGUUACUAAUGGCACUGAAGUUGACUGGAUCGACAUCCACAAGUUCCUACACUUUAUUGAUCGUCUUGAGGUCCUUGUGGGGCGUUUCAAUGGUGGAAGGCCAUGUGGGAUAUGUGUGCCACUGCUGCACUCGUUGAACAGGUCCAACUGUGUUGAGAAACUUAUGGUACGAGCUGUUUUGUGUUAUAUAUGUUGUUCAUAAACUAUUGCUUAUACACAGUUUUAUAGUUGUGAUCUUCUUGAAACAGGAACUGCCGAGUUCUAUUGUUCCUAUACAGAUGCCUGACCAUGGUCGGGUCAGACUUGUGCUUGGUCACAACAGGAUGUUUAUGUUGACCUACUCAAUUCCCCUUGGAGGUGAAAAGAUACUUAUUCAUGGGUGGUCUCAAAUAAUGAAGGCCCGUCCAUCUUGGAGAAUAGGACAGAAGAUUAUGUUCAUGCUUUUCCAUGGCUCAAAGGCGAAUAAUCUGUUUAUUGACCACAUUGCGAGAUGAAGCCGCUUUCAGAAGGUUGUGGAUGUGCGGGGUGGCGCCUGGGCCUUGUCCUGGGACUUGGUGGCCACACCCUUGGUUAACAAUAGGAAAAGUAGCGCUGUUCGAGGCGUGCUUUGUACGGUUGAACUUGUAUAAGUACUCAUACUGUUUUCAGCUUUGGUUGUUAAGUGCGCCUGCUGGUUUCAGUUAAGGUUGUUAACUACUCCUGCUGCUUUUACAGUCUAUCGUGUUUCUUCAGUCCUGUCUUCCUCCAGCCGCCAAAACCAAACCAGCGCCGGCGGGGCCGCCUGCUUCCACCUCCCACGGCUGGUUGUGCCUCAGCGCACGCAUCGCCGCCCCACUAUCUCCUAAAUUGUUAACGCCGACGUCCUCCGUGCGCUUUGGUGCGCUCACCGUGGCGCCGCCCUGUCGCGUUGUCAACAUGGUCAACAAACAACAGGAAUCGGCAGAAGUACGUGGAGAGGAUGACAGUAGGGGCCCACCACAUCAGCGUAUGGAAAAAUAAAAUGCUUCCUCCUAGUGUUUUCCUGACAUCUGGGACCCACGACAUUGUGAGCGUAUAUAGUCAAUAGACAAGAGAACAGCACAAGAUCGGCUGACACCUGGGACGUAGCUACUCGAGCAGUAUUUUUUUUGUUUCGUAUUGUUGAGACAGAGCAGGGUUUGAACUGGGCUGUGGCCCGUCUAGCUCAGGCUUAUAUUUUAUGUUCACCAUGUGACCAGCCCAGCUAUUUUUUCUUUGUGAAAAUGAGCCCAAUUUAUUUUUUCUGAAGAAUACCCAAUCCAGGCCUACUUAUUUUUCUACGCCCUAAUGGGCUGCAACUCUUUCAAGACGCCUGCAAAUCUUGAAAGUAAUAUGAAAUGGGUUGUAAAUAUAAAAACAGAUGACAAAUUGGCAAUUACUUUAUAAUUUCUGAAUUUUUUCACAUUUUCAUAUUCCUAUUUCACUGGGCAUUAACCUAAUUUAAAUAUAUCUUCAAAGUACUUUAAAUCUGGCUCGACAUUUCGGUAUUAAAAAUAGUUUGGAACCCACAGAAAUAUGCGAAAUUGGCCCUGGCCAACCAAAAAAACGACUGCAAUAAAUUGCAUAAGAAGUUGCCAUGAGCUAAAUAUAAAUUAUUAAAAAAAGAGGGAGUGGUCUGACUUGUGGGCCUGUUUAGUUGACGCGUAUGCAAGAUUUUUUUUAGUUAUUAUAUACGUCAACAAAUGAUUCUAGCAGACAUAACCGUUGGAUGUCAAUCCAACGGCCGUCGUGUUUCUUCAAUCUCUGAUCUUCUUGCUCCAGCCGCCAAAGCAGCGCCGGCGGGACCGCCUACUCCCGCCUCCCAUGGCCGGCUGUGCUGCCACGCAGGCCUCAGCGCCCCUACUACUCCCACGGCUGGCCUGGGCAUCCCUCUACUCACCCACACCCCAUGUUAUUCUGCGGCGACGGCAGCCUCACACCGCAGCCGAACCGGUGAACCCUCGUACUCCUCUCCGCGCGGGCUUCCACUACCGCGUCUUCCCCGACUCCACGUUGUCCCCUUCCUAGGCCUCGCCGUCGUCCACCGCCGUGGUGCUCUUAGCGCGGCGUGGUCAAUGUGGUCAACGACCGACUUCCAUCGGAAGAGUACUGUGCGUGGAGAGGCUGACAGUUGGGUCCACGGCAGCCGCAUGGAAGUGCCUCCUUAUUACGCGGAAAAUAAUUAUUCCUCCACCUGAGAGCAGGGACCCAUCAGACGGGCCACCAGUAUUUCGCGAAAAAAUAUGUUUCCCCCUGACUGCUGGGACCCACAGGAUGGGCCACCGUAUUUCGUGAAAAAAACGUCCCCCCCGCUGUCAGCUCGGACCCACCGGAAGUGCCUCCUUAUUACGCACAAAAAAAUGAAUACCCCCUGUUAGCUGGGACCCACCUUGGUGGGAGGCUGACUUGUGGGCCUACUAAGUUGACUGGGACGGAGGCCUUUGUCAACUUUAGUCAAUAUAUGAACGAUUCUAGCUCCAGUGACCGUACAAUGUCCAUCCAACGGCCAUAGUGCUUCUUCAACCUCUGGUCUUCUUCCUCCAGACGCCCAAAGCAACGCCGGUCGUGCCGCCUCCUCCUGCCGGCUAUGAUGCCGCGGUGACCUCACCGCCCCCUACUACUCCCACCACUGGCCAGGCCAUCCCUCUACGCACCCACACCCCCUGUUAUUCUAUAGCGACGGCAGCCUCACACCGCAGCCGAACGAGUGAACCCUCAUACUCCUCUACGCGUGGGCAUCCACUGUCGCGUCUUCCCCAGCUCCGCGUCGUCCCCUCCCUAGGCCUCGCCGUCGUCCACCGCCCUGGUGCUCUCGACGCGGUGUGGUCAACAUGGUCAAGGAAUGGCUUUCAUCGAACAUGGACUGUACGUGGAGAGGCUGACAGUUGGGUCCACGGCUGUAGCAAGGAAGUGCCUCCUUAUUACGCGCAAAAUAAUUAUUCCUCCACCUGACAGUGGGGACCACCGGACGGGCCAUCGUAUUUCGCGAAAAAAAUGUUUCCCCCUGACUGCUGGGACCCUCCAGCUACAUCUUCACAUGCAAGGAAGUGCGUCCGAAAAAAAACAAUUCGCCCCCCUGACUGAUGGGUCCCACCAGCUACAUCUUCGCACGCAAGGAAGUGCAUCCAGAAAAAAAAAUGAUUCGCCCCCCUUACUGCUGGGACCCACCAGCUACAUCUUCGCACACAAGGAAGUGCGUCUGGGCAAAAAAACAAAACGAUUCCCCCUCCUGACUGCUGGGACCCAGCAGCUACACCUUCGCAUGCAAGGAAGUGUGUCCGGGCAAAAAAAACAAAACGAUUUGCCCCCCUAACUGCUGGGACCCACCAGCUACAUCUUCGCAGGCAAGGAAGUGCCUGACAGUCGGGACCCACUGUCACAUCCCUAGAUGCUGGUAGUGCUCUAGGCUAGCUUCAUGUGUGCAUCAUGUCUAUAUUUUCGAAACUUGAAUUGAGGAAAAUUGGAAGCCUCAAAACCCUAAAUAAAAGUAGGGCAAAAACCCUAAAAAUCUCAUUCAUUGUUCCAAAAUGCUCUUCUUAAAUGUUUGAUAAUUCUUGGCAAGGGUUCUGGUCCCAACCAAAAUAUUGAACAUUUUUAAGGAAUUAUUUUUGGGCCUUUGGAUUUAAUUCAUUAGCUAUUUGAAUUUGAAUUAUAUUCAUAUAAUUAGAAUAUAAUUUCAAAUACCCCUGAAAUAUUUUAUAAGCUUUUGGAAAAGUCCAUCUAGCAAUAUAAAAUAUUCAGAGGAGUUUUUGGCAUUGUUUGAAUUAUUUUAAAUUCAAAACAGUGGCAAAAUAAAUUAAAUAAAACAAAACAGAGAAAAAUAAAAAGAGCAAAAGCCUACCUGGCGCUCACCUGGUAGCCAAACCGGCCCAGCAGUGCAGCUGGCCGGCCCAGCCCGCCACCGCUACCCCCUGUCGCCUUCCUUUGCCAGGAGGACGGGCACGCGCCCGGCGCGCGCGGCCACGCGCCCCGGCCACCUCCUGCUUCUCCGGCCACCUCCUGCUUCCCCGGCCCCUCCUAGACGACGCCACGGAGCGCCACGCAGCCCUGGCUCUCUCUCACUCUCUCCCUCGCCUCAUCCUCUCCUCUGCUCUCUCUCCCUCUCUGCCCGAGCGGAGCUCGUCGCCACUGACGCCAUUCGCCGUGGCCACAGCCACCCCCUCGCUCCCUCUCCACACCCCUGAGCUCCGUCCCGACCCCAUGGAGCUGCACACCGACGCACGCGAUCAGAGGAGGCCCCAGUCGACCGGAGCGUCGUCGUCUUCAUCUUCGGUGCCCGGAGAUCGCCGCCGUAAAUUCGCGUCGUCCAGAGCUUCCCCGACCUCGUCGUCGACUCUGCUAGUCCCGACGUGAGCCACUCUUCUUUUUCCCCCUGGAAUCCCCGUCGUUCCCCUCCCCUAGCUAGCUUCCCCACCUCGGCCGAGAGCUUCUCGCCACCGGCCAUGGCGUGGCCGUGGCCACAGCCACCGCAGCUCCCUCCCGAGCCCACCAUCGUGCUCAGCACGAUCGCAUGAACCCGUAGACACCCACAACGCCUCCUGCCGUGCUCCCUAACACCGACCCCGAGCUCGCCCGAGCUCCGGCCGCCGCCGAGGUCGACGCCGUGCUCAACUCCGGCCACCUCGCGGCCUCCCCCCCGUUCCUUUGGAUGCGGAGGAGCAAGAGCUUCCCCCUAGUGCCCUCAGCGCGCCAAACCACCGCUCGUAGCGCCAAACCCGCCACCACCCGAACUCCGGCGGCCGCAGCCGAGCUCGCCGUCGUCGGUACCGGCCAUCACCGGCACGGCCACCACCACCGUUCGAUGCGCACGAGUCCCAGCUCGCCGUAGAACCCAACCGCACCCUAAACUGUGCCAUGUAGCGCGAAGCCGAUGCGUUUCCGCCGCUCCGUUGGUCGUCGCCGGCGAAACUCCGGCAGGAGCUGACGUGGCUCCGUCAUUAGGAGCUAACCCAGCUGGUUAAUCAACCUACAGACACUGACAGUGGGCCCCACCCCUGGUCAAACCCCAGCCAGCACUGGGUUUGACCGGGAUUAGUUCCUGUGUCACUGACGUGUGGCCCCCACACGUCAGGUUUGACCUGGACCCGCCCUGUUGACCUGAUGACAUCAGGGUGAGGUCAUGCUGACGCAAUAUUCCUUUUCUGGAAUUUAGUUUAUUUUAUAAUAAUCAGGAAAUUCCAGAAAAUUGUAUAAACUACAAUAAAUCAUAGAAAAUUAACCGUAACUCCAAAUUAAAUGUUUUAUAUAUGAAAAAUUAUCAGAAAAAUUCAAGGAAUCCAUCUGUACCAUUUUCAUGCAUGUUUGAACAAUGUUUGUCCUCUGUUUUGGACAAACAAAUAAAGGGCAUUUAAAUAACCAUAUAUGGAGCUGGAAUUUGAAUCAUGUAUUCAAACCAACUUCAUUUAAAUCAUAGCUAAGUGCAUUAGCCCAAAACACAGCAUAUUGCCAUGUCAUAGCAUGCAUCAUAUUGUGCAUUGCAGUGAUCGUGUUUCUUCUGUGUUUGCCGGUGUUGUUCCCCCUCGGUAGACGCUAUACCGAUGAUGUGAUCGUUGACACUAAUGAAGACUCAAUGCUAUCUUCAGAAGUGCCAGGCAAGCAAAACCCCCCUUGUUCAUUCCGAUAAAAUCCCCCUCUCUCGCUCCUGCUCUCUUUUACUGCAUUAGGACAACAACGACAUAUUUGUUACUUGCUACGGUAGCUAAACCCUUUAUCCUUUGCAUGACCUGUCAUUGCCACAGUAAAUAGAUGAAACCCACUAGCAUGAGUAGGAGUUGUUUGAGCCCUGAUGUGCCUACUCAUUCAUGCUUGUUUGUCAUGCCUGCUACUGCUUAGAGUUGAGUCAGGUCUGAUUCAUCGGGGAUGAAUCAGAGGCGUGUGAACAUGUCCUACUGGGUGUGAGCUAAGUGUGUGAACACGAUUUGGUAAAGGUAGCGGUGAGAGGCCAUGUAGGAGUACAUGGUGGGUUGUCUCAUUGCAGCCGUCCUCAGGAACUGAGUUCUGUGUUUGUGAUCCAUGAACAGUUACUACCACACAUUGGGUUCCGGUAACUCGACCACUCUCGACUUAUUAAUCAACAUGAUCUCUGUCCAGGAGUUGCAACUAGUUUCUGGUGUUUGUAGGUAGUGUUAGUAGUCUACCAAGUGGCACCCGGUACAGGUGGGCUUGGGACAGACUAGGCACAGUGGCCCGGUGUACCAAGUGGCACCCGGUUGGUGGGCUUGGGAACCUUGCUGACACCGUUUGGGGCCGUAAGAGACACCCCGGCCAGAUCUCCUUGCGGAUGGAACCCGAAUAGGCGAUAAACCUGGACUAGAGACUUGUUCGGUUAGUCAGGUCGUGGCCGACUCCCUCGCCCGGCUUCCGCUUGAAGGUUGCCGAGGUACAUGACGUGUACAGGGCGAUAAGUCGUGAAAGCGUGUGUGAAGAAGUACACCCCUGCAGGGUUAUCAUUAUCUAUUCGAAUAGCCGGAUUCAUCGGAUAUGGAAACUUGGACCCCUUGUACAGUUCAUAGACAAGUGAAAGUGGAUACCCUAAAAUACGCAAGAUAAGCAUGAGUGCUAUGGAUGGCGUUCUCGUAGGGAGACGGGAGCAGAUCCAUAGUGGUGUAUUGAUAUGGUGAAUAUGUGGACUCGUGUGCGCCACCUCAAAAGAGUUACUUGCAGUCGUAGUUCAGGUUAGCCACCGAGUCAAAGCUGGCUUGCUGCAGUUAAACUCCACCACCCCCUUUGUUGAUAAUGAUGCAUAUGUAGAUAGAUCUGAUGUAAGUCUUGCUGGGUACAUUUGUACUCACGUUGCUUAAUUUAUGUUUUUUGCAGAGAGACUUCAGUCUCACUAGUAGUUCCACGUGGACUUCGACGUUUAGCUUGUUACCUCAGCUACGAUCUUGUGCCCUCGGCAGGAUCUGGUAGAUAGUCAGGCUUCUCAGCCUUUUUCAUUUAUAGUUGUCUGUACUCAGACAUGUUAAGCUUCCGCUUGUGCUUUGAUUUGUAUGCUCUGAUUGUUGGGUCAUGAGACCCAUGUUUGUAUUAUCUCGCUCCUCGGAGCCUAUUGAAUAAAUACUUGAGUUGUAGAGUCAUGUUGUGAUGCCAUGUUGUAUUUGCACAAAUCGAGCAUAUUGUGUGUAUGUUAUUGAAAUGCUUGGUAUGUGUGGGCUCUGACUAUCUAGUUGUUUAUCCUUAGUAGUCUCUCUUACCGGGAAAUGUCUCCUAGUGUUUCCACUGAGCCAUGGUAGCUUGCUACUGCUCCGGAACACUUAGGCUGGCCGGCAUGUGUCCUUCUUCGUUCCUGUGUCUGUCCUUUCGGGGAAAUGUCACGCGAUGAAUACCGGAGUCCUGUUAGCCCGCUACAGCCCGGUUCACCGGAGUCCUGCUAGCCCAGUGCUACAGCCUGGAUUCACUCGCUGAUGACCGACACGUUCGAUGCUGGGUCAUGGAUGCCUGUCCCUGUAAGUUUGUGCCACUUUGGGUUUACGACUAGCCAUGUCAGCCCAGAUUCUUUGUCAUAUGGAUGCUAGCGACACUAUCAUAUACGUGAGCCAAAAGGCGCAAACGGUCCCAGGCCAGGUAAGGUGGCACCCGUGGGAAUACCGUGCGUGAGGCCGCAAAGUGAUAUGAUGUGUUACAUGCUAGAUCGGUGUGGCAUUGAGUCGGGGUCCUGACAGCAUUGGUAUCAGAGCUUGACUGCCUGUAGGAUUACCAAGCCAAACUGGUCGAAGUUCAGUCUAGAAAUUCUUUAGUUAUAUAAGGGAAUUGAUUGUGGGAUGGAACGUAAGGCUCUUUUUACUCCUUAUACCUCAUGGCCUUCUGAUCUGAGUCAUCAUCUUAUUUUUCCUACGGGGGUUAAGAACUAGGCCUUCUCCUCUUUCUAUCAGGAUCACGUGUUACUAAUCCGUAGACUUACAAGAUUGUUGGAUUUAAGCUUGAGUUCAGUUUCUACUACUUCCGUAUGUUAAUUGUUGAUCUCGAAACCUUGAUAUUGUGCACCGAGUGGUUAUGCCACCAUUUUUGUGAAUGUCUCAAAUCUUUUCUGAGCAUUUACAGCCGUUAUGCUGUCCGAGUCAUCCCAGGUUUCUAAAUAGUCUGAUGCAUUUGCAAAAUCCUUUCCCUCUGGUUACGAUGUUCCUUUAUGCUAGCUCAAUCACACUAAUUGUUGAGUUGAGGUAUUCUAUUGCUUUGACAUUUAUGUUGGAGUUAUUAUUACGACCCUAGGUGUCUCAGGGGAUCAUCUAGUAGUCUAGCCAUGUUUUGUGUCCCAGUGUGAUGAUUCUGGCUUUUAUUCUCGAAAGCAUCCCAUGAUGCCACUUAGUAGUAGGUAUUCUACUCCUUGGGUUUUGAACCCGAGAUUCACCCCACUUACUUCAUGUUGAUAGUAAUUGCUAGCUCCCUUAGGUUAUUAGUAACCUUUGCGAUAGUCCUUGAAGUCCGUGGUAUCUUCUUCUUCCAAAUACCAUGAACUACUUAUGGCGGAAGUUCCUCGUUGAACUGAACGAUCACAACCAGAGUGCUCUUGAUGAGUUCUCCAUUAUAUAUUGUGGCUCUGCCAGUUCUACCUUUCUGCAUGGGUUAUCCGGAAGAAAUAUGUUGAACUUUGUUCGACAUGCUAAACCAUGCAUCCACAACUCAGAAAAUCGUAUGUUCCUUUGAGUUGUCCAUCUUUAGUUGUUUUCUGGCCCUUGUAUAUCAACUGAUAUUCAGGAGUAGUUAUGCAUCCGUGUUCAUCGUUGCCACUACUCUUGUGGUCUGUCAAGCCAUUCCAUUCAGGAUGAAUAGGGGAAACAAACUCCAGAACCUCAUCCAUAUCUAGGAUUGGGUCAAAGCAAUUGCAUUCCGCAGAUCAAGUUGCAAUCCAGCUUCUGGUCUGUUCUACCUUGAAGUAUUACCAUCUUUAUAUCAGGAAUGUCAUGGGAAUUGCACACCAUCUUAUAAAUUCUUGACGCAGUAAUACUUCUUAUCAUCAUUGAUAAUUUCUCGGUUUCCGUGUCAUUAUAACCGGGAUACCGACAAAUGAAUUGUGAUGUGUGAAAUCAAUACUCCCAGCAACUAGUUGCUUGGUAGUAAAUGGACAAUAUUCUCAUUCUUAGCAUGUUGGUUUUGAAUCACCAUUCUAAGAUAGAUUGUGCUACCUAGUCCAUAUUUCCUGGUGCACUCUUUGGUUGUUGAGUUAGGAUUUUGUCAAGUCCUCGCUCAUUUGAUCAUAUCAUCUUGCCCUGAAAAGCAAGAUUGUUCUCGAGCUUAGUAACAUACCGGUGGUUCAUGAUAUUUCGAAUUUCUUCUCGGAAGUAUCACCAGGUUGUCGCCUGACCGCUAUGUUGAUCUCGUGAUCAAGUUGGCUUAUUCCUGUAAACCACUAUUCUCCAAGAAUCCGUGUUGGAUACCCCUGAGCUAGUUGGUUAAACUAGACAACAACUUGGAGAAUUGGAAGAUAAAAGCUUGCCUAACUUAGUUCGUUCCAAAGGGAUAUUCUUGUGUAGUGUGUGUUGAAGAAAGAUGAUAUCUUCAUCAAUUGGUCCCUGUGAUCAGUUGCUGGACCUAUUGUCUUAUCAAUCCUUUGAUUUGAGUGUGGGCUAUCGUCAAAUCAAAUCAGAACCAACGAUAUUCGUAAUGUUGUCUUACUCGUGGUUGAUCCCUCGAGCAUACACCAUUAUAUCUUUUGGGUCUGACCAAUGCUAUCACCGUGUUCACUUAACUAUGGAAUCCCUUUUAAAAGGAAAACCGGAUGAAUUGUUGUUGAGCCCAUCGACAACAUCCUGGUCUUCUCCAUAAUUUUGCUGAACAUUAAGCUAGUGUUGGAAACUUUUGAAAGCAUCUGUUCAUGCUAACUCAUGAAGCAUAUGCUGGAUGAAAGAAGUGACUUUCUUUGAUUCACGUGUAUUUGAUGUAAGUUGCCGCCGUGGGUUUGAGCAAGGUUUGUUUUGUUUCCUCUGGAAUCGUCCCAAGUCAGUCAUGCAGGUGCAAAGUAUACUAUGGUUUGGUAGAUUAAUUACCUCCACUCCAUGUGUGUUCCGUAGCACCCCAAGCCACUGACUGAUUUGUUCUAGGAGAAGGAGUUCUUUUUAAGAGCUAACCCGGGCUUAAUCAAGAACUUUGAUAUCCUCGAUGAUGGUUCCCAACCAGAACUCGGUAGUGUUUUAUUAUAAGACUACCAUGUGGUCAUGCUUGUCUGGGACAACAUGUUCACAUGUUUGUAGCAGAACCAACUCAUGUUUUGGAGCUUGCUAUCGCAGUUCGUCCCUCGAGAAUCUUGCAACAUCAUCUCGUCGAUUUGUGUUGCAAACUUUCAUUUUUCUUCCUAGCCUCGAUGAGUCUGGAAUAUCCUGACACCAACCAGAUCUGAAUCUCAGGCAGAUAUGAUGGUUGGAACAUUUUCCCAAGAACUAUGAUACUGAUCCCUCGAUAACUGGUAAAGUGGAUGUCGUGGCCAGCACCACCUAGCCGAAGGACCUAUUAUUGUAGUAUCUUGAUUGAAGAAGUUGGCCACCUUCCCAUAAGGACUUCGUAGGAUUUACUCCCUAGUUGUGCCUUGUGAUUUUUGUGUUCCGAAGUCCGACCUUUUACUUGAUGUUCUAGAUACCAAACCAUGGGAUGGGAUACACGAGCACAUCAAGGACAACAUUAGAGGCGGAGUGCUAAAUGUCUCUCGGUCGAUCAUCCAGCUUUUAUUUCCUUGGCCCCGCCAAGGGUGAAAUCUGAGAAAGUGUUAUCUUCCUUUGCAUCUGCAUCAUCCAUCAUCAUUCAUCAUGGUAGUACGUUGUGUUGCCAGGAUCCUUGACACGGAUGUUGGUAAAAUCUUGAUUAUUAUGGAAAUGCUCAAGUUCUUGAGAGCACGCGCAAGUGCCAGGUUUGAUCGUCGGCAUUAACUGUAUAGUGCUCUCAGUUUCCUCGAAAAUGCUAUGACCUUUUCAAACAGUGAAUUCACCCUUUAUUGUUGGGUUCUUCCCCAGUUACCAGAAUCAUUCCCAGCAUUUGCAUUUUGUUCCCAGCUUGCACCACCAAUGUGCCAUUCUACCAUGGGUCUCUUCCAUUUCCGGUGGUAAGCAAAUUCAUCCAUUACGUUGUCUUCAACAAGGUAAUCCACAUCAUCCAAGUCCGAGUAUGCCAUUCUACCGAACCCCUCCAAACGAUCGCUCGAGAUUUGCCUUAGGCUGGUAUAAAGAGUUUCAAUGGUCUCGGAAUCAAAAGUAAUUCUUUUUGCCACUUAAGGUAAUAAUCUACGAAUCACCCUCCUCCAGGAUGUUUCGUCGUGGUAUCAUGGCAACUCAACUCCUCGUUACGUUGCCAAUCAAUUACCACCUUCUUAAGCGUGAAAUUGUUGUCUACCUAGUGAACCUUUGUCAUCUGCUUCACUCCAUUCACAUGGAUGUAUGUUUAGUGUCUCAACCCGAGAGAUGGUUCUAUGUCUCAUUCCGUGAGUUGUUCGACCUUCGAGAAGUUUGAUCCUUCUAGAGUUUCCCUUUCCUCUUCUUGUCAUGAUUAGCUAAAGUUCUCGAAGCAAGACAUCAAGACAAUGAUGGUGAUCGAAUCAACGCUCUUAUGAAGUGCACCCUGGAUCGUGAAGAUUAUACUAGUUUGCGUUUCCCCUUCAUCUUACCCUACGCUUGAAUCUCGGGACGAGAUUUUUGUUUAGUAGGGGUGAGUUGUCACAUCCCUAGCUGCUGGUAGUGCUCUAGGCUAGCUUCAUGUGUGCAUCAUGUCUAUAUUUUCGAAACUUGAAUUGAGGAAAAUUGGAAGCCUCAAAACCCUAAAUAAAAGUAGGGCAAAAACCCUAAAAAUCUCAUUCAUUGUUCCAAAAUGCUCUUCUUAAAUGUUUGAUAAUUCUUGGCAAGGGUUCUGGUCCCAACCAAAAUAUUGAACAUUUUUAAGGAAUUAUUUUUGGGACUUUGGAUUUAAUUCAUUAGCUAUUUGAAUUUGAAUUAUAUUCAUAUAAUUAGAAUAUAAUUUCAAAUACCCCUGAAAUAUUUUAUAAGCUUUUGGAAAAGUCCAUCUAGCAAUAUAAAAUAUUCAGAGGAGUUUUUGGCAUUGUUUGAAUUAUUUUAAAUUCAAAACAGUGGCAAAAUAAAUUAAAUGAAACAAAACAGAGAAAAAUAAAAAGAGCAAAAGCCUACCUGGCGCUCACCUGGUAGCCAAACCGGCCCAGCACUGCAGCUGGCCGGCCCAGCCCGCCACCGCUACCCCUUGUCGCCUUCCUCCUUUGCCAGGAGGACGGGCACGCGCCCGGCGCGCGCGGCCACGCGCCCCGGCCACCUCCUGCUUCUCCGGCCACCUCCUGCUUCCCCGGCCCCUCCUAGACGAUGCCACGGAGCGCCACGCAGCCCUGGCUCUCUCUCACUCUCUCCCUCGCCUCAUCCUCUCCUCUGCUCUCUCUCCCUCUCUGCCCGAGCGGAGCUCGUCGCCACCGACGCCGUUCGCCGCGGCCACAGCCACCCCCUCGCUCCCUCUCCACACCCCUGAGCUCCGUCCCGACCCCAUGGAGCUGCACACCGACGCACGCGACCAGAGGAGGCCCCAGUCGACCGGAGCAUCGUCGUCUUCAUCUCCGGUGCCCGGAGAUCGCCGCCGUAAAUUCGCGUCGUCCAGAGCUUCCCCGACCUCGUCGUCGACUCUGCUAGUCCCGACGUGAGCCACUCUUGUUUUUCCCCCUGGAAUCCCCGUCGUUCCCCUCCCCUAGCUAGCUUCCCCACCUCGGCCGAGAGCUUCUCGCCGCCGGCCAUGGCGUGGCCGUGGCCACAGCCACCGCAGCUCCCUCCCGAGCCCACCAUCGUGCUCAGCACGAUCGCAUGAACCCGUAGACACCCACAACGCCUCCUGCCGUGCUCCCUAACACGGACCCCGAGCUCGCCCGAGCUCCGGCCACCGCCGAGGUCGACGCCGUGCUCAACUCCGGCCACCUCGCGGCCUCCCGCCCGUUCCUUUGGAUGCGGAGGAGCAAGAGCUUCUCCCUAGUGCCCUCAGCGCGCCAAACCACCGCUCGUAGCGCCAAACCCGCCACCACCCGAACUCCGGCGGCCGCAGCCGAGCUCGCCGUCGUCGGUACCGGCCAUCACCGGCACGGCCACCACCACCGUUCGAUGCGCACGAGUCCCAGCUCGCUGUAGAACCCAACCGCACCCUAAACUGUGCCCUGUAGCGCGAACCCGAUGCGUUUCCGCCGCUCCGUUGGUCGUCGCCGGCGAAACUCCGGCAGGAGCUGACGUGGCUCCAUCAUUAGGAGCUAACCCAGCUGGUUAAUCAACCUACAGACACUGACAGUGGGCCCCACCCCUGGUCAAACCCCAGCCAGCGCUGGGUUUGACCGGGUUUAGUUCCUGUGUCACUGACGUGUGGCCCCCACACGUCAGGUUUGACCUGGACCCGCCCUGUUGACCUGAUGACAUCAGGGUGAGGUCAUGCUGACGCAAUAUUCCUUUUCUGGAAUUUAGUUUAUUUUAUAAUAAUCAGGAAAUUCCAGAAAAUUGUAUAAACUUCAAUAAAUCAUAGAAAAUUAACCGUAACUCCAAAUUAAAUGUUUUAUAUAUGAAAAAUUAUCAGAAAAAAUCAAGGAAUCCAUCUGUACCAUUUUCAUGCAUGUUUGAACAAUGUUUGUCCUCUGUUUUGGACAAACAAAUAAAGGGCAUUUAAAUAACCAUAUAUGGAGCUGGAAUUUGAAUCAUGUAUUCAAACCAACUUCAUUUAAAUCAUAGCUAAGUGCAUUAGCCCAAAACACAGCAUAUUGCCAUGUCAUAGCAUGCAUCAUAUUGUGCAUUGCAUUGAUCGUGUUUCUUCUGUGUUUGCCGGUGUUGUUCCCCCUCGGUAGACGCUGUACCGAUGAUGUGAUCGUUGACACUAAUGAAGACUCAAUGCUAUCUUCAGAAGUGCCAGGCAAGCAAAACCCCCCUUGUUCAUUCCGAUAAAAUCCCCCUCUGUCGCUCCUGCUCUCUUUUACUGCAUUAGGACAACAACGACAUAUUUGUUACUUGCUGCGGUAGCUAAACCCUUUAUCCUUUGCAUGACCUGUCAUUGCCACAGUAAAUAGAUGAAACCCACUAGCAUGAGUAGGAGUUGUUUGAGCCCUGAUGUGCCUACUCAUUCAUGCUUGUUUGUCAUGCCUGCUACUGCUUAGAGUUGAGUCAGGUCUGAUUCAUCGGGGAUGAAUCAGAGGCGUGUGAACAUGUCCUACUGGGUGUGAGCUAAGUGUGUGAACACGAUUUGGUAAAGGUAGCGGUGAGAGGCCAUGUAGGAGUACAUGGUGGGUUGUCUCAUUGCAGCCGUCCUCAGGAACUGAGUUCUGUGUUUGUGAUCCAUGAACAGUUACUACCACACAUUGGGUUCCGGUAACUCGACCCCUCUCGACUUAUUAAUCAACAUGAUCUCUGUCCAGGAGUUGCAACUAGUUUCUGGUGUUUGUAGGUAGUGUUAGUAGUCUACCAAGUGGCACCCGGUACAGGUGGGCUUGGGACAGACUAGGCACAGUGGCCCGGUGUACCAAGUGGCACCCGGUUGGUGGGCUUGGGAACCCUGCUCACACCGUUUGGGGCUGUAAGCGACACCCCGGCCGGAUCUCCUUGCGGAUGGAACCCGAAUAGGCGAUAAACCUGGACUAGAGACUUGUUCGGUUAGUCAGGUCGUGGCCGACUCCCUCGCCCGGCUUCCGCUUGAAGGUUGCCGAGGUACAUGACGUGUACAGGGCGAUAAGUGGCGAAAGCGUGUGUGAAGAAGUACACCCCUGCAGGGUUAUCAUUAUCUAUUCGAAUAGCCGGAUUCCUCGGAUAUGGAAACUUGGACCCCUUGUACAGUUCAUAGACAAGUGAAAGUGGAUACCCUAAAAUACGCAAGAUAAGUGUGAGUGCUAUGGAUGGCGUUCUCGUAGGGAGACGGGAGCAGAUCCAUAGUGGUGUAUUGAUAUGGUGAAUAUGUGGACUCGUGUGCGCCACCUCAAAAGAGUUACUUGCAGUCGUAGUUCAGGUUAGCCACCGAGUCAAAGCUGGCUUGCUGCAGUUAAACUCCACCACCCCCUUUGUUGAUAAUGAUGCAUAUGUAGAUAGAUCUGAUGUAAGUCUUGCUGGGUACAUUUGUACUCACGUUGCUUAAUUUAUGUUUUUUGCAGAGAGACUUCAGUCUCACUAGUAGUUCCACGUGGACUUCGACGUUUAGCUUGUUACCUCAGCUAUGAUCUUGUGCCCUCGGCAGGAUCUGGUAGAUAGUCAGGCUUCUCAGCCUUUUUCAUUUAUAGUUGUCUGUACUCAGACAUGUUAAGCUUCCGCUUGUGCUUUGAUUUGUAUGCUCUGAUUGUUGGGUCAUGAGACCCAUGUUUGUAUUAUCUCGCUCCUCGGAGCCUAUUGAAUAAAUACUUGAGUUGUAGAGUCAUGUUGUGAUGCCAUGUUGUAUUUGCACAUAUCGAGCAUAUUGUGUGUAUGUUAUUGAAAUGCUUGGUAUGUGUGGGCUCUGACUAUCUAGUUGUUUAUCCUUAGUAGUCUCUCUUACCGGCAAAUGUCUCCUAGUGUUUCCACUGAGCCAUGGUAGCUUGCUACUGCUCCGGAACACUUAGGCUGGCCGGCAUGUGUCCUUCUUCGUUCCUGUGUCUGUCCUUUCGGGGAAAUGUCACGCGAUGAAUACCGGAGUCCUGUUAGCCCGCUACAGCCCGGUUCACCGGAGUCCUGCUAGCCCAGUGCUACAGCCUGGAUUCACUCGCUGAUGACCGACACGUUCGAUGCUGGGUCAUGGAUGUCUGUCCCUGUAAGUUUGUGCCACUUUGGGUUUACGACUAGCCAUGUCAGCCCGGAUUCUUUUUCAUAUGGAUGCUAGCGACACUAUCAUAUACGUGAGCCAAAAGGCGCAAACGGUCCCAGACCAGGUAAGGUGGCACCCGUGGGAAUACCAUGCGUGAGGCCGCAAAGUGAUAUGAUGUGUUACAUGCUAGAUCGGUGUGGCAUUGAGUCGGGGUCCUGACACCCACCUGGUCGAAGCGUACGUAGUGUUGUCAUUCUGGUCGCGAGCGUGUACGUACAUAUAUACUGGUCAAUGUAGAGGCGUGCACGUGUCGUUGUAGAGGCGCGCACGUAGCAUGUACACGUACGUACAGCGGCUAGGGUGCAAGAAAGAAAAUACGGCCACGUACGUACAUACGAGCAGGGUCUCGAACGCCUACUCGUCAAUACGUAUGGCCAGGGCUCGUGUACAUGGCUAGGUCAGAACGGAGAAACAGUGUCGUCGUCGUGUUCAUGGGGAGGCAACGGAAUGCGUUGUGUUCAUGGGGAGGCAACGCAAUGCUCGUGUUCAUCGGGAGGCAACGAAAUGCGUGGGAGCCAACCGGCUGGGUCGGAACAGAAUGCGUGGUCGUGUUCAUCGGAAGGGCUUGGACGGAACAGGCAAUGGAAACGAGGCCUGGCGUACCGCAAAACGGAGGAAACGGCUUUGUGUUCGACCGGCCACGUUCGAAAUGGGAUCCUGUUCAUCGGGAGGGGCCUGGCGUACUGCAAAACGGAGGAAACAGACCUCAUACGGUCAAAACGAGGGUCUUGUUGAUUGGGAGGGGUGUGGCGUACCGCAAAACAGAGGAAACGGACUUGUGUUGGAGCGCUACGGUCGAAACGGGGGUCAUGUUGAUCGGGAGGGGUGUGGCGUACCGCAAAACGGGACUCCACGGGAUACUAUUAAUCUCCACCGUCGACCUCCUACAGCCUCCACGGGCUACCGUCGACCUGCUCUAGCCUCCAUAGGCUCCUGUUCAUCCAGCCUCCACCGCGCGCUACUCCACCGGCUACUGUUCAACCACCCCUCCACCGUCUACUAUUCAUCCAGCCCUCCACACCACGGGGUCCUGUUCAACCACCCCUCCAUAGGCACCCCUCCAUCGUCUACUGUUCAUCCAGCCCCCCACACCCCAGGGUCCUGUUCAUCCAGAGGCAACGCCACCGCUAACUGUUCAUCCAACCCCCCCCCCAUAAUGCUCACUAUUCAUCCAAUCCCUCGGCUUCAGUUAGCAACAGUAGCGAAGGAAUCGCUCGAUCGGGUUCAGUUAACAACCAUCGAUCGAUCGCUCGGGUUCAGUAACGCGUAGCCUGCAGUGCAAUCGCUCGGGUUCAGUUAGAGCCCAACGUCUCGCUCGGAUUCAGUUAGAGCCAACGCCUCGCACACACUCACGUACGUGUAUGAGAGAAACACGCAUCACUCGGCCCCCGACCUCCCACCAUAACCGGGACUCCCCGAAAUUUCCCUCCCCCUCGCUUCUACCAUGGUUUUUUGUCAUGGAUGGCCCAAAGAAUGUCAUGCAGUUGCGUCUCCGGCCCGCCCAGGACAAAAAGCCCAUUUUCUAUCAUGAUUUUUUGUCAUAGAAGUAGGAGCCCACCACAUCUAUGAUGAUACUGCGUUUUGUCACAAUUAUCGUCAUAGAAGUGUCAUAUGUAUGACAGAAAAAAAUUCGUUCAGCCCAAAAUGUCACGGAUGUGUCUUUUUUUUUGUUGUGGUACGAUCCUCGUGCUGACUAUUAUCCCUGCUCUUCUCACAACCUUGCGCCCCGGCAACCGUAUUAGGGAUUCUCGUGAUCCGAUAGGUGUCGUUUCCCACCGACACCGACGAUCGAAUCUCGUGCAAGUAACAUACCGAUGACAAAGGGAAAAAUGUAUGUUGUUAUGCGGUUUGACCGAUAAAGAUCUUCGGAGAAUAUGUAGGAACCAAUAUGAGCAUCCAUGUUCCGCUAUUGGGAAUUGACCCGAGACGUGUCUCGGUCAUGUCUACAUAGUUCUCAAACUCGUAGGGUCCGCACGCUUAAAGUUCUGUGACGAUCGGUAUUAUGAGUUUAUAUGUUUUGAUGUACCGAAGGUAGUUUGGAGUCCCGGAUAUGAUCACGGACAUGACGAGGAGUCUCAAAAUGGUCGAGACAUAAAUAUUGAUAUGUUGGAAGCCUAUAUUUGGACGUCGGAAGAGUUCCAGGUGAAAUCGGGAUUUUACCAGAGUGCCGGAGGGGUUACCGGAAGCCCCCGGGGGUUAAUGGGCCUAGUUGGGCCCUAGUGGAGAGAUAGAUGGGCCGGCCAGGGCAGGCCGCGCACCCCCUCCCCCUCUGGUCCGAAUUGGACUAGGAAGGGGGGGGCCUUUCCUUCUCCUUCUCCCCCUUCCUUUCCCCCUCCUAGUAAGAGUAGGAAAGAGGGGAGUCCUACUCCUACUAGGAGGAGGACUCCUCCUCCUGGCGCGCCCUACAGGGCCGGCCAGCCUCCCCCUUGCUCCUUUAUAUACGGGGGCAGGGGGGCACCCUAGAACACACAAGUUGAUCAUUCAUCUCUCCCAGCCGUGUGCGGUGCCCCCUUCCACCAUAAUCCACCUCGGCCAUAUCGUAGCGGUGCUUAGGCGAAACCCUGCGACGGUAGCUUCAUCAACAUCGUCACCACGCCGUCGUGCUGACAAAACUCUCCCUCGAGCUCUACUGGAUCGUGAGUUCAUGGGAUGUCACCGAGCUGAACGUGUGCUGAACGCGGAGGUGUCUUACGUUCGGUACUGACUAUUGGUCGAUCGUGAAGAUGUACGACUACAUCAACCGCGUUGUCAUAAUGCUUCCGCUUAACGGUCUACAAGGGUAUGUGGACGACACUCUCCCCUCUCGUUGUUAUGCAUCACCAUGAUCUUGCGUGUGUGUAGGAUUUUUUUUUUGAAAUUACUACGUUCCCCAACAAUGCACUUAUGAUUGGAACUCUAGCAAGCAUCCGCAACUACUAAAGAUCAUUAAGGUAAAACCCAACCAUAGCAUUAAAGUAUCAAGUCCUCUUUAUUCCCAUACACCAUGACCCACUUAUCUGUGUUUAUGUUUCAGUCACUCAUGCAACGCACACAAUAAGCAAACCAUGAACAUAUUGCAAAUCCUACAGCGGGGAUCCCUCACGCUUGUGCGACACGGAGAUCACCAUAGGACAGCACCAACAAUAAAACAUGCAACUCAAACCAAUCACGGUCAUCAAUUAACCCAUAGGACAAAACAGAUCUACUCAAACAUCAUAUGAUAGCCAUACAUCAUUGGGAAAUAAUAAAUAGCAUUGAGCACCAUGUUUAAGUAGAGAUUACAGUGGGUAAAAGAGGGGUUACACCGCUGCAUAGAGGGGGGAAGAGUUGGUGAUGAGGGCGGUGAAGUUGAUGGUGUAGAUUGCAGUGAUGAUGAUGGCCCCGGCGGCGCUCCGGUGCAACCGAAAGUGAGGGGGAGAGAGCCCCCUCCUUCUUCUUAUUCCUUGUCCUUCUGCCUAGAUGGGAGAAGGUUUUCCCCUCUGGUCCAUGGUCUCCAUGGCAUGGGAGGGGUGAGAGCCCCUCCGAGAUUGGAUCUGUCUCUCUGUUUCCGCACGCUCGAUUCUGGCCUUUCACCAUUUCUUAUAUUCCCGAAGAUCCGUAACUCUGAUUGGAUCGAAAUUUUAACACGUUUUUUAUCUGGAUAUAAGCUUUCUUGCGACGAAAGAAGGGCAGCAACCGCCUUACGGGGUGUCCACGAGGUCCAGGGGCGCAGCCCCUGCCUCGUGGCCCCUAGGGCAUCGUCUCGUGUUGAUUCCACUUCCCAAAAUUCACAUAUAUUCCAGAAAAACCCUUCGUCAGUUUUUAUCCCGUUUGGACUCUGUUUGAUAUGGAUUUUCUGUGAAACAAAAAACAUGCAACAAACAGGAACUGGCACUGGGCACUGGAUUAAUAUGUUAGUCCCAAAAAUAGUAUAAAAAGUUGCCAAAAGUAUAUGGAAGUUGUGUAAUGUUGGCAUGUAAUGCUGGGCACUGGGCCUUUUUUUUAUGGGCUUCUUUGGCCUCUUUUUUUAUUUGGGCUUCUUUUGGCCUCUUCUAUUUUGAUAACCUCACCUGAGACAAUGCUCUAAUAAUGAUGAUCAUCACACUUUUAUUUACUUACACCUCAAUACUACAACAAAGAUAUGACUCUAUAUGAAUGCCUCCGGCGGUGUACCGGGAUGUGCAAUGAUCUAGCGUAGCAAAGAUAUCAAAAACGGAUAAGCCAUGAAAAUAUCAUGCUAGCUAUCUUAUGAUCAUGCAAAGCAAUAUGACAAUGAAUGCUCAAGUCAUGUAUAUGAUGCUGAUGGAAGUUGCAUGGCAAUAUAUCUCAGAAUGGCUAUGGAACUGCCAUGAUAGGUAGGUAUGGUGGCUGUUUUGAGGAAUAUAUAAGGAGGCUUGUGUGUGACAGAGCGUAUCAUAUCACGGGGUUUGGAUGCACCGGCAAAGUUUGCACCAACUCUCGAGGUGAGAAAGGGCAAUGCACGGUACCGAAGAGGCUAGCAAUGAUGGAAGGGUGAGAGUGCGUAUAAUCCAUGGACUCAACAUUAGUCAUAAAGAACUCACAUACUUAUUGCAAAAGUCUAUUAGCUAUCGAAACAAAGUAGUAUGCGCAUGCACCUAGGGGGAUAGACUGGUAGGAAAAGACCAUCGCUCGUCCCCGACCGCCAAUCAUAAGGAAGACAAUAAAUAAAUAAAUCAUGCUCUGACUUCAUUACAUAACAGUUCACCAUACGUGCAUGCUACGGGAAUCACAAACUUCAACACAAGUAUUUCUACAAUCCAUAACUACUCACUAGCAUGACUCUAAUAUCACCAUCUUUACAUCACAAAACUAUUGCCAGGAAUCAAACAUAUCAUAUUCAGUGAUCUACAAGUUUUAUGUAGGAUUUUAUGACUAACCAUGUGAAUGACCAAUUCAUGUCAUCUCUCUAAAUAGAUAUAAGUGAAGCAAGAGAGUUUAAUUAUUUCUACAAAAGAUAUGCUGUAACGCCCCAGAUGUAACUUUCCAUAUUUGUAACUCCAACUCUUGCCAUUUCCGGCUAUGUGAUAUGAUAUUUCCUUCGUGGUUGGGUUUUGUCUUUCAUUUUUGCAUUUUGUUCAUGUCAUGCAUCUCAUCUCAUAGCAUCAUGCGCAUUGCAUCUGCAUGUUUUCAUAAAACUUGCAUCAGUUCGUAGUUGUCGCAUUACCCCUCGCUUUUGUUGACCAUUCCGAGACCAACCUUGUUCUUCGUUUUUCCCUCUUGCCUAAACCGGAGUCUCUCUGUAAAGUGCACAGAGCCCCUCGCUUGCUCGGCCGAAACCUCUCCCAAACCUGACCCGCUCAGUCACCACCGUUGCAUACAGUUCAUCCCCAAACAUCUAUAAAACAUCUCCAUUUUCUUAACUAUAAAACAUCUCCAUUUUCUUAAUAGGACACCUUAGCCUAUUUUAUCUCGACCAUCCAAUUUUAAUCGGAUGAUCCAAACUUCCCUCUUUUCCUUAUAUAUAGUCCAACCUCAUACCUAAUCUAGAGAAACCCUAAAUUUUAGGAGGAUUGUCCCCCACCGCCGCGCCUUUUCCCGACCCCCACGACCUCCUUCGGCCCCGUUCCUGUCGAAGGCCGCCGUCGUCGCUCUGGUUCGGCGUGACCAGCUCAUCUGCCUCGCGUCUCGUCCUCAUUGCAGGGAGGAGGAACGCUCGCGCCCAGCCCGUCUUCGAGCCAAGCCGCCGCGCUGGAGAUUUUUCACUGUCCAGCAGGUCCCGCUGACCAUCCCCUGAUCUUUUUCCUCUCCAUCUCCCUUUGUUUCUCCUGUACGUCUCUCACCUCGCUCUCCCGACAUCGUUUUUCCCAAGGAAUUAGGAGCUCAAGCCCCUCCAUGGCCGCGCCCGACCUGCGCGACCCCGUCGGCCGGAUUUGCUCGAGCUUGUCGUCCCCUGCGCCUCAAGUUCCUCCUGCUGGAGCCCCAAGUCCACCUCUACCCCGCGCCAAGUCCUCUGCCCGCGCAGCUGCGCGACGCCCUCUGCUUCACCCUGCGUUGACUGCCUGCAUCGCGUAGCCCAGCGCCUCCCUAGCCCACUGCGCAGUCGGCCCAGCCUCUCCCCGAGCCGGCCUGAUGGCCCAUGGUGAGCCCCAUGGAUCCAGCGCCCAGCCAGUUUCAGCCCAGUUCAUGUUUUUAUCCAGUUAUGCGAAUUUGUCUAAUUUCCAGAUAAACCUGUUUUGCAGAAAACCCCCUAGACAUCAUGCAUAUAGUAACUCCACAACCGUGCAUCGGAUUAAAAUGAUGUAAACAUGUAAACUACUUAGAAUUCUGUCUAGUUUCAUACUAUGCCACUUUCAUCCAUGUUAAAAAUGUUUAAAUUGCGGUUUGAGUAAUUUUUCUCAAAUGCCAUGCUAAAAUGAUUUAUUUCAUAACUAAAUAACCGUAGCUCCAUUUUAAAUAAACUUUAUAGGUAAAUGGGGUAGAAAAUGCAUAGAUUAAGAUGAUGCACUUUAUUUUACUGUUUAACAACAUUAAAAUAUGUUUUAGGGCAGAACAGUAGCAAAUUCGAAAUAUGCAUAUGAGGAUUUUCCGGAAUUGUUGUUUGUUGUUCCGGCCUCAUUUAAACUUGCCUAGAUAGGUAGUUUUAUUGUGCUUCACCCCUUGCCAUGUUUAAUAAUAUUUAAUAUAGUUGGGUACAUAAUCGGGAGAGAACUCAAUAAAUGCAUGUGGUGUUUCGUCAAUAUGCAACUCGUUGCAUAUUGAACUCCACUUAAUUUGUAGUAUUGUUUGUUGCACUUUGCCAUGCGAGGCCUCAUUAAACCAGACAUGCAUCAUACUUGAUAGUUCAUCAUGCCAUGUUUAUGCUUGUGUGUUUACCAUGUUGUUUGCUUCUUUCUGGUUUGCUUCUCUCGUUAGCUUCGGUUUCGUUCUGGAGUUGUGAGGAUUUGUUCGACUACGUCCGUUUGUCUUCUUCAUGGACUCGUUCUUCUUCCCUGCGGGAUUUCAGGCAAGAUGACCAUACCCUCAAAAUCACUUCUAUCUUUGCUUCCUAGUUGUUCGCUCUAUUGCUAUGUCACGCUACCUACCACUUGUUGUAUCAUGCCUCCCAUUUUGCCAUGUCAAGCCUCUAACCCACCUUCCUAGCAAACCGUUGUUUGGCUAUGUUACCGCUUUGCUCAGCCCCUCUUAUAGCGUUGCUAGUUGCAGGUGAAGUUGAAGCUGGUUCCAUGUUGGAACAUGGAUAUGUUGGGAUAUCACAAUAUCUCUUAUUUAAAUUAAUUCAUCUAUAUACUUGGUAAAGGGUGGAAGGCUCGGCCUUAUGCCUAGUGUUUUGUUCCACUCUUACCGCCCUAGUUUCCGUCAUAUCGGUGUUAUGUUCCUUGAUUUUGCGUUCCUUACGCGGUUGGGGAUUUAUGGGACCCCCUCGACGGUUCGCUUUGAAUAUAACUCCUCCAGCAAGGCCCAACCUUGGUUUUAACAUUUGCCACCUAAGCCUUUUUCCCUUGGGUUCUACAGACUCAAGGGUCAUCUUUAUUUUAACCCCCCGGGCCAGUGUUCCUCUGAGUGCUCGUCCAAACCGGGCGAUGUCCGGCGCCCCCUGGGCAAGCAGGGUCUAUGCCAACCCGACGUCUUGCCCAUCUGGUGUGCCCUGAGAACGAGAUAAGUGCGACUCCUAUCGGGAUUUGUCGGCACAUCGGGUGGCUUUGCUGGUCUUCGUUUACCAUUGCCGAAAAGUCUUGUAACCGGGAUUCCGAGCCUGAUCUGGUCUUUCCGGGAAAGGAAUAUCCUUCGUUGACCAUGAGAGCUUGUGAUGGGCUAAGUUGGGACACCCCUGCAGGGUAUUAUCUUUCGAAAGCCGUGCCUACGGUUAUGUGGAAGAUGGGAAUUUGUUAAUGUCCGGUUGUAGAGAACUUGACGCUUGACUUAAUUAAAAAGCAUCAACCGCAUGUGUAGCCGUGAUGGUCUCUUUUCGGCGGAGUCUGGGAAGUGAACACGGUUUGGGUUAUGUAUGAACGUAAGCAGUUUCAGGAUCACUUCUUGAUCACUAGUAGCUUCUCGUCCAUUGCGUUGCUUCUCUUCUCGCUCUUAUUUGUGUAUGUUAGCCACCAUAUUUGCUUAGUGCUUGCUGGAGCUCCACCUCAUUACCCCAUCCUACCAAUAAGCUUAAAUAGUCUUCUCGCGGGUUUUGAGACUGCUGAGUCCUCGUGACUCACAGAUACUACCAAAACAAUUGCAGGUGCCGAUGACGCCAGUGCAGGCAAUGCUACCGAACUCAAGUGGGAGUUCGACGAGGAACUUGGUCGUUACUACGUUUUGUUUCUUGAUGAUCAGUAGUGGAGCCUAGUUGAAACGAUCGGGAACCUAGCAUUUAGGGUUAUCUUCUUUUUAUUUGGAUUUGACCGUAGUCGGUCUAUGUGUGUAUCUUGAAUGAUGUAUGAAUUUAUUUAUGUAUUGUGUGAAGUGGCGAUUGUAAGCCAACUCUCUUUAUCCCAUUCUUGUUCAUUACAUGGGAUUGUGUGAAGAUGACCCUUCUUGCGACAAAACCUACAAUGCGGUUAUGCCUCUAAGUCGUGCCUCGACACGUGAGAGAUAUAGCCACAUCAUGGGUGUUACAAGUUGGUAAUCAGAGCCAUCCCCAACUUAGGAGCCCCCUGCUUGAUCGAAUCGCUGGCGUUGUUGAGUCUCAAACUAAAAUAUUUUGAGUCUUAGGAUUAUAUAUAUCGGAGGGUAGGAUUAUUUUUUACUCCUCAGUCCCUUCUGUUGGGGAACGUAGUAAUUUCAAAAAAAUUCCUACGCACACGCAAGACCAUGGUGAUGCAUAGCAACAAGAGGGGAGAGUGUUGUCCACGUACCCUCGUAGACCGAAAGCGGAAGCGUUAGCACAACGCGGUUGAUGUAGUCGUACGUCUUCAUGAUCCGACCGAUCAAGUACCGAACUUACGGCACCUCCAAGUUCAGCACACGUUCAGCCCGAUAACGUCCCUCGAACUCCGAUCCAGCCGAGUGUUGAGGGAGAGUUUCGUCAGCACGACAGCAUGGUGACGAUGUUGAUGUUCUACCGAUGCAGGGCUUCGCCUAAGCACCGCUACAGUAUUAUCGAGGUGGAAUAUGGUGGAGGGGGGCACCGUAGACGGCUAAGAGAUCAAUGAUCAAUUGUUGUGUCUAUGGGGUGCCCCCUGCCCCCGUAUAUAAAGGAGCAAGGGGGGAGGCCGGCCAGCCCUUGCUAGGCGCGCCAGGAGGAGGAGUCCUCCUCCUAGUAGGAGUAGGACUCCCCUCUUUCCUACUCCUACUAGGAGGGGGAAAGGAAGGGGGAGAGGGAGAAGGAAAGGGGGGCGCCGCCCCCCCUCCCCUAGUCCAAUUCGAACCAGAGGGGGAGGGGGCGCACGGCCCAUCCUGGCUGCCCCUCUCUCUCUCCACUAAGGCCCAUAAGGCCCAUUACUUCUCCCGGGGUGGUUCCGGUAACCCUCCCGCACUCUGGUUUUCUCCGAAAUCACCCGGAACACUUCCGGUGUCAGAAUAUAGUCGUCCAAUAUAUCAAUCUUUAUGUCUCGGCCAUUUCGAGACUCCUCGUCAUGUCCGUGAUCACAUCCGGGACUCAGAACAACCUUCGGUACAUCAAAACAUAUAAACUCAUAAUAUAACUGUCAUCGUAACGUUAAGCGUGCGGACCCUACGGGUUCGAGAACUAUGUAGACAUGACCAAGACACGUCUCCGGUCAAUAACAAAUAGCGGAACCUAGAUGCUCAUAUUGGCUCCUACAUAUUCUACGAAGAUCUUUAUCGGUCAGACCGCAUAACAACAUACGUUGUUCCCUUUGUCAUCGGUAUGUUACUUGCCCGAGAUUCGAUCGUCGGUAUCUCAAUACCUAGUUCAAUCUCGUUCCCGGCAAGUCUCUUUACUCGUUCUGUAAUACAUCAUCCUGCAACUAACUCAUUAGUUGCAAUGCUUGCAAGGCUUAAGUGAUGUGCAUUACCGAGAGGGCCCAGAGAUACCUCUCCGACAAUCGGAGUGACAAAUCCUAAUCUCGAAAUACGCCAACCCAACAAGUACCUUCGGAGACACCUGUAGAGCACCUUUAUAAUCACCCAGUUACGUUGUGAUUUUUGGUAGCACCCAAAGUGUUCCUCCGGUAAACGGGAGUUGCAUAAUCUCAUAGUCAUAGGAACAUGUAUAAGUCAUGAAGGAAGCAAUAGCAACAUACUAAAUGAUCGUGUGCUAAGCUAACGGAAUGGGUCAUGUCAAUCACAUCAUUCUCCUAAUGAUGUGAUCCCAUUAAUCAAAUGACAACUCAUGUCUAUGGCUAGGAAACUUAACCAUCUUUGAUCAACGAGCUAGUCUAGUAGAGGCAUACUAGUGACACUCUGUUUGUCUAUGUAUUCACACAUGUAUUGUGUUUCUACUUAAUACAAUUCUAGCAUGAAUAAUAAACAUUUAUCAUGAUAUAAGGAAAUAAAUAAUAACUUUAUUAUUGCCUCUAGGGAAUAUUUCAUUCACCUUCGUCGCUCUGGUGAGGCCUCCUGACGUAGAUGUUUUGUCUUUCCUCUCCUCAAAUUUCACUAAUUUUUUUUAGGAUCACACAGGUAUCUUGGGAUCGUUUCGAUAUUCUUGUGACGAGAACAUUGUUCUUGGUGCCUCCUGACAUUUAGGGGUUGUGGCAGUGUCCCGGGGAGUUGAGCUCCGAGGUGUUGUCGUCACAAUUUUAUCAUUGCAGUUCUGGAAUACCUGAGUUUCGCCGACAUCAAAAAUCUCUUUUAUGCAGUUGUUGGUGAGAUAACCUCGACGCCACCCAGUAAUGGGGCAGGAGUUCAGGAGUAUUGCCAUAACUCAUAUAACGGAUGCUUUUCAAAGGUUGAGGUACACGAUUUCUGGAGUUUUCUUGGUUAUGUGUUGACGUAUGGAUACAGCUGGAUGUAGGGAUUGUUAGUUUGGGUGAGAUAUAUUGCUUCCCCUGUAUCCCCAACACCAGAUUGCAUAACCAGAAAGUUUUGGGAGUUUAAAGGUGGGAAUUCAAGUAGCUCGUAGGAUAUCUUUCCAACAGACACAUGAUACGAUAUGGGGUCUAUCAUAUGUUUGUUCCGUCUUAUUUUGCAAGCCAAUUCUUUGUUUUGUUUUAAGUUGUGGUAUUCGAGUUGCUUCGAAGUCAAAUGUGGAUUCCAUAACUUUUCUAAGUGGUGUUUGCAUAUUCCUAUGUGGAUACUAAUCCUUCUUGAUCACCGAGAUUGCCAUCUUAAUUCUAUUUCCAACCGGCGUGUUUCUUUUCAAGUGCAUCCGAUCAUUCCAACAUUCGCAAGAUCAAUCCUAAGUUUUUCUCAAUGGUGUUCAUUUCAUCUGCCCCAAGUUGCCUUUGUUUUCCCCGCCCUCCUACCCUUUUUUCUUCAAGGACUCAUAUAUCUUAAUCAAGUAUCCAUCUUAUGGAUGUGAAGUUUCUUCAUUCUUUCAUUCAAUGUUCCUAGCCGGCGAUUCUCGCGGAGUUACUAAUAGAGCUUCAAGUUUAUCAAUUCUUCGUCACAUUUUCCUCUCCGGUGGAUUCAAUUCAAGCAUUCUCGAUCCUAUUUUUUUCCUUAUUUCAAAUGCUUUCUCAUGCCGGUGUGCCUCUUAAUCAUCCACUUCUCGCCAUUCAUUUGUUCUGGAGUGCCGAAGGUAUCUCAGAAGAUUUGUGUCUCCAUUAUCAAUUCGUUCAAGCUAUUUCGAGGUUGUUAUCACAUUCAAUCCAUUUAAUUCAACCAGCGCAAUCUCUCUUCCAAGCGACCUUUCUAACGGUGUAUCUUUUGAGUGGGCCCUAACCCACAGGUCUUUUCCCAAGAUCUUACCUGACCCUUCUAAUUUUUUUCGGAGAUAUUUUCAAAUUCAUUUCAAAGUUUGACGUAAGAAUGAGUCAUCAUCAGUCAAAUGUCUUUCUCCAAGAUCUUCCAAAUUCUUUUCAUUUUUGGUUCAACCUUUCUAAUUUUCAUUCCGAAGUGCCUCAACAAUUCAUGGUGAUGUUUCUCAUCAUCAUUCUCUGCAUUUGAAGACCGAAGAAGAGUUUUCCUCUAAAUCAUUCCUCUAAAUCAUAUCUGUUCUCUUAAAGAUUCAUGGGUCUAACUUCUUGUCAUCCUCAUAAUUGUUCUUGAUUGUGAGAAUUCUUUUCAUACCCAUCCGAAGCAUUUCAGGAGUAUUUUUCAGUUUGAUUCUUCGGAGCCCAUCAUCUCAGAAUUAUUCAUUCCAGCUUUCAGCUCUCGUUCUCCAAAAUCUUACCGGUGCAUCGUUCAAAUAUCCUCUAAUCAGUUCAUGAUCUCUUCGUUCUCAUGUAUCUAAAUUCUCUGAAGUAUCUUCAUUUUUUUAUAAUUCUUCCUAGUGUUUCUUUAUCUUUUCUUUGUUCAUUUUCAAUUCAUACGGUAGUUCGUUCAAGAGUUCUCUUCCUUGGUUAUCAUAUCAAUUCAUUCGUUCUUUCCAAUCCUACCGACGGUUCGUUGAAGACCUUCCCAAGUUGAGCAAUAUCUCUCUUCAAUCCUUUUUCAACGAGAAUAAGUAGUAUGCCAAAAUCCGUUGCUUGUCAUCAAUUUAAAUUGGUGAAGGAUACGCAUAACGUAAUUCUUAUUAUUGUUUCAUCCAAGUGAUUAAUUCCUUCUUCCAGAGUUCAUAAUGGUAUCAAUUUAUCAUUUCUAAGUUGUUCAUCUCUUCUUUCCGGAGUUUGUUCAUCAUAUCACAUUCUCGGUUCGAGAUGCUUCAUCUUUUCUUUCCGGAGUUCAAAGUUUCCUCAUUAUAUCAUCCUGAAGCUCCAUCUAAAUCAUUGCAAGACUUCACCUUGUUCUUUCAACUUCUCUUUUCUUUCUAUCAUCCUUUUGUUUAAUGGAGUUCUUCAUGGAGGCUCUGCAUGGUGGUUCAUCAAGGAUUCCUUUCAUUUCUUCAAUCAUUUUUCAAGAUUUCUCUCGAAGUUAAGAUCUGCCAAGCUAUACUCAAAAAAUUAAACAUGGUGUUCAACACAUGUCUUGUUUUGAGGAGUUCAAGCAUUCUUCAUCUUGCAUUCCGAAGUGCAAUUAUUUCUACCUUAUCUUUUGAGAUGGUGAUAUGUCAUUCUUGACAAUUUCUUUCAUGUUUCAUGAUUCUCAAGUUCUCAAGAAUGAGAUAUUUAAACCCAUCAUUUUCUUCCUUGGACUUACCUUAUGUUAGAUUUCACCUAAAGCCUUCCAUUGGGAAUGUUGCUAUAUGUGGUGCUUAUCAAUGAUCCAAAUUUUCUCCUAUCCUCUCGGCGAGAGAAGUUUUCAUCUCUUCGUUGAUCUCAAGCAAGCAAUUGUUUUCAUUAGUGGCAGAAUUUCACCUCAAGUUUUGAGAUGUCUCCAUAAGCCCACGAGGAUUAUAUCCUUUCAUUGUUGGUUUUCCAACAACUCCGCUCUAACCUUCUUGCAAGGGUGCUUUCCAAGAUCAUUUGUGGCAGAAGUUGGCAUUUUCUUCUCCAUUCCUUUAUUCCAAUGAGCUAUCUUCUAUAAUUUCUUCCGGAGGCAUUGUGAUGUUGCUCUCUUCACUCAUCAUCUCGGAUUGUGAGGACCAUGUUCUUUUCGUGCUUAUCCAUUCAAUCGGAGUGUCGUGUCCUCUUUUCAAGUAUCCUCUCAUCUUGUCAAGAUCAUGUUCAAUUCCUUCCAUUUACAGUCGGAGUGCUGCCCAAAUUAUAUCAUUGUUAUUCCUUCUCUAUCUUGUUUUAACUGGAGUGGUUUCAAUAUCUAUCUUGUCACUUAACCACUUAGUUUUUGUCGUAUCCCAUGUUCUUCUUAUCUAACAGAGUGUUUUCAACUUCGUUCAUCUCUGUUGUAUUCUUUUCAAAAAAAUGUUUAACCUCUGAAGGUUCCUUGGUUUCACCCAUUCGUCGAAGAAGCAACUUAGUUUUACCUUUUAUCUUCCUCUUCCGUUUCUCCCCGGUGCCAUCCUAGAUCUCGGGACGAGAUCCUCUUGUAGUGGUGGAGUGUUGUAACGCCCCAGAUGUAACUUUCCAUAUUUGUAACUCCAACUCUUGCCAUUUCCGGCUAUGUGAUAUGAUAUUUCCUUCGUGGUUGGGUUUUGUCUUACGUUUUUGCAUUUUGUUCAUGUCAUGCAUCUCAUCUCAUAGCAUCAUGCGCAUUGCAUCUGCAUGUUUUCAUAAAACUUGCAUCAGCUCGUAGUUGCCGUGUUACCCCUCGCCUUUUGUUGACCGUUCCGAGACCAACCUUGUUCUUCGUUUUUCCCUCUUUCCUAAACCGGAGUCUCUCUGUAAAGUGCACAGACCCCCUCGCUUGCUCGUCCGAAACCUCUCCCGAACCCGACCCGCUCAGUCACCACCGUUGCAUACAGUUCAUCCCCAAACAUCUAUAAAACAUCUCUGUUUUCUUAAUUGGACUCCUUAGCCUAUUUUAUCUCAACCAUCCAAUUUUAAACGGAUGAUCCAAACUUCCCUCUUUUCCCUAUAUAUAGUCCAACCUCAUACCUAAUCUAGAUAAACCCUAAAUUUUUGGAGGAUUGUCCCCCGCCGCCGCGCCUUUUCCCGACCCCCAUGACCUCCUCCGGCCCCAUUCCCGUUGAAGGCCGCCGUCGUCGCUCUGGUUCGGCGUGACCAGCUCAUCUGCCUCGCGUCUCGUCCUCAUUGCAUGGAGGAGGAACGCCCGCGCCCAGCCCGUCUUCGAGCCAAGCCGCCGCGCUGGAGCUUUUUCACUGUCAGCAGGUCCCGCUAACCAUCCCCUGAUCUUUUCCUCUCCAUCUCCCUUCGUUUCUCCUGUACCUCGCCCUCCCGGCGUUGUUUUUCCUAGGGAAUCAAGAGCUCAAGCCCCUCCAUGGCCGCACCCGACCUGCGCGACCCCGCCGGCCGGAUCUGCUCGAGCUCGCCGUCCCCUGCGCCUCAAGUUCCUCCCGCCGAAGCCCUAAGUCCACCUCUGCCCCGCGCCAAGUCCUCUGCUCGCACAGCCGUGUGACGCCCUCUGCUUCACCCUGCGUUGAUUGCAUGCAUCGCGCAGCCCAGCGCCUCCCCAGCCCACUGCGCAGUCGGCCCAGCCUCUCCGCGAGCCAGCCUGAUGGCCCGUGGUGAGCCCCCACGGAUCCAGCGCCCAGCCAGUUUCAGCCCAGUUCAUGUUUUUUUUCCAGUUAUGCGAAUUUGUCUAAUUUCCAGAGAAACCUAUUUUACAGAAAACCCCCUAGACAUCAUGCAUAUAUAAUAACUCCACAACCGUGCAUCGGAUUAAAAUGAUUUAAACAUGUAAACUGCUUAGAAUUCUGUCUAGUUUCAUAAUAUGCCACUUUCAUCCAUGUUAAAAAUGUUUAAAUUGCGGUUUGAGUAAUCAAAUGCCAUGCUAAAAUGAUUUAUUUCAUAACUAAAUAACCGUAGCUCCAUUUUAAAUAAACUUUAUAGGUAAAUGGGGUAGAAAAAUGCAUAGAUUAAGAUGAUGCACUUUAUUUUACUGUUUAACAACAUUAAAAUAUGUUUUAGGGCAGAACAGUAGCAAAUUCGAAAUAUGCAUAUGAGGAUUUUCCGGAAUUGUUGUUUGUUGUCCUGGCCUCAUUUAAACUUGCCUAGAUAGGUAGUUUUAUUGUGCUUCACCCCUUGCCAUGUUUAAUAAUAUUUAAUAUAGUUGGGUACAUAAUCGGGAGAGAACUCAAUAAAUGCAUGUGGUGUUUCGUCAAUAUGCAACUCCUUGCAUAUUGAACUCCACUUAAUUUGUAGUAUUCUUUGUUUCACUUUGCCAUGCCAUGCCUCAUUACACAGGACAUGCAUCAUACUUGAUUGUGCAUCAUGCCAUGUUUAUGCUUGUGUGUUUACCAUGUUGUUUGCUUCUUUCCGAUUUGCUUCUCUUGUUAGCUUCGGUUUCGUUCCGUAGUUUUGAGGAUUCGUUCGACUACGUCUGGUUGUUUUCUUCAUGGACUCGUUCUUCUUCCUUGUGGGACUUCAGGCAAGAUGACCAUACACUCGAAAUCACUUCUAUCUUUGCGUGCUAGUUGUUCGCUCUAUCGCUAUGUCGUGCUACCUACCACUUGUUGUAUCAUGCCUCCCAUUUUGCCAUGUCAAGCCUCUAACCCACCUUCCUAGCAAACCGUUGUUUGGCUAUGUUACCACUUUGCUCAGCCCCUCUUAUAGUGUUGCUAGUUGCAGGUGAAGUUGAAGCUGGUGCCAUGUUGGAACAUGGAUAUGUUGGGAUAUCACAAUAUCUCUUAUUUAAAUUAAUGCAUCUAUAUACUUGGUAAAGGGUGGAAGGCUCAGCCUUAUGCCUGGUGUUUUGUUCCACUCUUGCUGCCCUGGUUUCCGUCAUACCUGUGUUAUGUUCCUUGAUUUUGCGUUCUUUACGCGGUUGGGGAUUUAUGGGACCCCCUUGAUGGUUCGCUUUGAAUAAAACUCCUCUAGCAAGGCCCAACCUUGGUUUUAACAUUGGCCACCUAAGCCUUUUUCCCUUGGGUUCUGCAGACUCAAGGGUCAUCUUUAUUUUAAUCCCCCGGGCCAGUGUUCCUCUGAGUGCUGGUCCAAACCGGGCGAUGUUCGGCGCCCCCUGGGCAACCAAGGUCUAUGCCAACCCGACAUCUUGCCCAUCCGGUGUGCCCUGCGAACGAGAUACAUGCGACUCCUAUCGGGAUUUGUCGGCACAUCGGGUGGCUUUGCUGGUCUUGUUUUACCAUUGUCGAAAAGUCUUGUAACCGGGAUUCCGAGCCUGAUCGGGUCUUCCUGGGAGAAGGAAUAUCCUUCGUUGACCGUGAGAGCUUGUGAUGGGCUAAGUUGGGACACCCCUGCAGGGUAUUAUAUUUCGAAAGCCAUGCCCGCGGUUAUGUGGCAGAUGGGAAUUUGUUACUGUCCAGUUGUAGAGAACUUGAUGCUUAACUUAAUUAAAAAUCAUCAACCGCGUGUGUAGCCGUGAUGGUCUCUUUUCGGCGGAGUCCGGGAAGUGAACACGGUUUGGGUUAUGUAUGAACAUAAGUAGUUUCAGGAUCACUUCUUGAUCACUUCUAGCUUCUCGACCGUUGCGUUUCUCUUCUCGCUCUUAUUUGCGUAUGUUACCCACCAGAUUUGCUUAGUGCUUGCUGCAGCUCCACCUCAUUACUCCAUCCUACCCAUAAGCUUAAAUAGUCUUGAUCUCGCGGUUUUUGAGGUUGCUGAGUCCUCGUGACUCAAAGAUACUACCAAAACAGUUGCAGGUGCCGAUGACGCCAGUGUAGGUGAUGCUACCGAACUCAAGUGGGAGUUCAGCGCGGAACUUGGUCGUUACUAUGUUUCGUUUCUUGAUGAUCAGUAGUGUAGCCCAGUUGGAAUGAUCGGGGACCUAGCAUUUGAGGUUAUCUUCUUUUUAUUUGGAUUUGGCCGUAGUCGGUCUAUGUGUGUAUCUUGAAUGAUGUAUGAAUUUAUUAAUGUAUUGUGUGAAGUGGCUAUUGUAAGACAACUCUCUUUAUCCCAUUCUUGUUCAUUACAUGGGAUUGUGUGAAGAUGACCCUUCUUGCGACAAAACCUACAAUGUGGUUAUGCCUCUAAGUCAUGCCUCGACACGUGAGAGAUAUAGCCGCAUCGUGGGUGUUACAUAUGCCCACGCUCUAACAAAUAUAAGUGAAGCAAAAGUGCAUUCUACAAAUGGAGGUUUUCUAUGUGAAGAGAAACAGGCAAUCCAAACUUCAAAUGAUAUAAGUGAAGCACAUGAAGCAUUCUAUAAAGCCAUACUCAAAAGAUAUAAGUGAAGUGCAAUGAGCAUUCUAUAAAUCAACCAAGGACUAUCCCAUACCAGCAUGGUGCAUAAAAUAAAAGUGAAAACUAAAUGCAAUAGACGCUCCAAGAUUUGGACAUAUCGCAUGAACAAAACGAAUCCGAAAACAUACCAAUACUUGUUGAAGAAGGAUGGGAUGCCUACGGGGGCAUCCCCAAGCUUAGACACUUGAGUCUCCUUGAAUAUUUACUUGGGGUGCCUUGGGCAUCCCCAAGCUUGAGCUUUUGUCUCUCCUCCUUCUCCUCGUAUCGAGACCUCCUCGAUCUUUGAACACUUCAUCCACACAAAACUCAACAGAAAGCUCGGUAAGAUCCGUUAGUAUAAUAAAGCAAAUCACUACUCUAAGUACUGUUGCAAACCAAUUCAUAUUUUGUUUUUUCAUUGUAGCUACUGUAAUAUAACAUUUCCAUGGCUUAAUCCACUGAUAGAAAUUGAUAGUUUCAUCAAAACAAGCAAACUAUGCAUCAAAAACAGAAUCUGUUUUAAACAGGACAGUCUGUAAUAAUCUGAACAUUCACCAUACCUGUGGUACUCCAAAAAUUCUGCCAAAAUUAGGAAAAAUAAAAAAAUGUAUAGAAAGAUAGUGCAAAAAGUUUCAGAACCGUUUGACGUUCCAGUAAAAAAUGUAAAAUCGCGCACUACAGCCAAAGUUUCUGUUCUGCACCGCACAAACCAACAAGUAAUCUAAAACAUCCUAAAGGCAAACCUCGACACAUUAUUUUUAUAAUACAAUGGAAUUGUACAAGGGGAUAAUUAUUUUUGUUGAAAAGUUUCUAUAAUCAAGAUUCACAAAGUUUCCAUGAGCAUGAACAAAUUUCAAGGAGCUCCCGCACUUCAACAAUUCUUGUCUCUCUCACUUUCACUUUCCUUUUUGAAAAGUUCUGGGUUCCCCUCUUUUUUUAAACUAUAUAAAAGCAAUGAACAGAAAUAAAUGACUCUCUAAAACUUCCGGGUUGUCUCCCUGGCAGUGCUUUUUUUAAAGCCAUUAAGCUAGGCAUAUAGUGCUCAAGUAAUGGAUCCACCCGGAUCCCAAGGUAUAUCAAAGCCAAUUUUAGUUAACAAUGAUUUGGCAUUUAGUAGUGAGCACAAAGCAACAUAUAUCAAGCAAUGACGAAGUCUAACUCUCUUCCUAUGCAUCGGCAUGUCAUAAAAGAACAAUUCAUGCACACAAAGUAAAGGCCGAUGCUUAGUAUAAACAGUUUCUUGCAAUUUUAUCAUGUGGGAAACAUAGAGAGGUGGAGAUAUAGUUCCUCUCUCAUAAUAAUUGCAAGUAGGAGCAGCAAGCACAUACUAUAUCUAUCAAAAUCAUCAUGUGUAGUAGUAGAACGCAACCCAUCAAUAUAAUCCUUAAUAAGGGCAAACUUCGCCGAUAUAGUGUAGUCCGGAGAAUUCAAAAAGAUAAUAGGACUAUCAUGCGUGGGUGCAAUAGCAACAAUUUCAUGUUUAACAUAAGGAACUAUAGAAAGUUCAUCUCCGUAAGCAUAAUUCUUAUUGGCAUCUUGGCCACAAGAGUAUCAUCAAAAAGGGAUAUUUCAAAAGAAUCAACGGGAUCAUAACAAUCAUCAUAGCAAUCAUCCUUCGGUAAGCACGAAGGGAAGUUAAACAAUGUAUGAGUUGAAGAAUUACUCUCAUUAGAAGGUGGGCACGGGUGAUCAAUCUGCUCUUCUUCCUAUUGUUAUUUGCUCUCCUCCUCAUCUUCUUCAUCCAAUGAGCUCACAAUGUCAUUAACUUCUUCUUCCAUAGACUCCUACAAAAUAUUAGUCUCUUCUUGGACAAUGGAGACUCUCUCAAUAAAAUCAUCAAUAUCGGAAUUGAAUUCAUAAUUCUCAUAGCAAUAUUUAAGUAUAGCAAAAAUUUCAGGUCUAUAAACUGAAUCAUCAAAAUCUUCAAACUCUUUAAAUAAAGAUUCAAUUUCAUAAGAACCCAUAAAAGCAACGAACUCUUCUAUUUGUUCCACAUCAUAGUAAUCAUAUAUACCAUUAGCAUAAGAAGCUAAGGUUUCAUUAUCAUUAAAUUCACAUGAAAAGGGAAGGUGUGGAGCCUUCAUCCUAGAGCAACAAGUAUAAUCAUAUCUCAAGCAUAGUUGCCGAGCAUACCAAUGCAAUAUAUAAAUUUGAUCCCAUAAUAGUUUCCCGUUUUGAGUCAAGCGAUAAUCCCUAAAGUAUUCACGUUGAUCCAACGUGUCUCCCAUUACAAAGUUGAAUGGGGUUUUCUCAGUAUUAUCAAAGUAGUACAUAAUAUCUUUCACAUAAUGAGCAUCGAGGGUUUUAGGAGGUUCCCCAUCUCCAUGACUAGCAAGUAAACCUAUUUUUUUUUGGUAUUUCGUGUUCCAUAUCCAUAACUAAAGAUAGAGAACAACUUAGAACAGCAAAUAAAAAUUACUUAGUGAUAAAGCAAACAAGCACACACGAGAAUAUUCACCCCACGCUAUAACUCCCCGGCAACGGCGCUAGAAAAAGGUCUUGAUAACCCACAAGUAUAGGGGAUCAAUUGUAGCCUCUUUCGAUAAGUAAGAGUGUCGAACCCAACGAGGAGCUAAAGGUAGAACAAAUAUUCCCUUAAGUUCUAUCGACCACCGAUACAACUCUACGCACGCUUAACGUUUGCUUUACCUAGAACAAAUAUGAAACUAGGAGUACUUUGUAGGUAUUGUUGGAUAGGUUUGCAAGAAUAUAAAGAGCGCGUAAGUAAAUAGUAGGGGCUGUUUAGAUAAAGACACAACUAAAUUAGUUUUAGUAAAGAGCUUUUUGUCACGAGAAAGUUAUUUGUCCCUAGGCAAUCGAUAACUAAACCGGUAAUCAUAAUUGCAAUUUUAUUUGAGGGAGAGGCAUAAGCUAACAUACUUUCUCUUCUUUGAUCAUAUGCACUUAUGAUUGGAACUAUAGCAAGCAUCCGAAACUACUAAAGAUCAUUAAGGUAAAACCCAACCAUAGCAUUAAAGUAUCAAGUCCUCUUUAUUCCCAUACACCAUGACCCACUUAUCCGUGUUUGUGUUUCAGUCACUCACGCAACGCAGACAAUACGCAAACCAUGAACAUAUUGCAAACCCUACAGCAGGGAUCCCUCACGCUUGCAUGACACGGAGAGCACCAUAGGACAGCACCAAUAAUAAAAAAUGCAACUCAAACCAAUCAUGAUCAUCAAUUAACCAAUAGGACAAAACGGAUCUACUCAAACAUCAUAGGAUAGCCAUACAUCAUUGGGAAAUAAUAUAUAGCGUUGAGCACCAUGUUUCAGUAGAGAUUACAGCGGGUAAAAGAGGGGUUACACCGCUGCAUAGAGGGGGGAAGAGUUGGUGAUGAGGGCGGUGAACUUGUUGGUGUAGAUUGCGGUGAUGAUGAUGGCCCCGGCGGCGCUCCGGUGCCACCGGAAGAGAGGGGGAGAGAGCCCCCCUCCUUCUUCUUCUUCCUUGACCUUCUCCCUAGAUGGGAGAAGGGUUUCCCCUCUGGUCCAUGGUCUCCAUGGCAUGGGAGGGGCGAGAGCCCCUCCGAGAUUGGAUCUGUCUCGCUGUCUCUCUCUGUUUAUGCGCGCUCGAUUCUCGCCUUUCACCGUUUCUUAUAUUCCUAGAGAUCCGUAACUCCGAUUGGAUUGAAAUUUGAACACAAUUUUUAUCCAGAUAUAAGCUUUCUUGCGGCGAAAGAAGGGCAACAACCGCCUUACGGGGUGUCCACGAGGGUCAGGGGCGCGCCCCCUGCCUCGUGGCCCCCUCAGGCAUCGUCUUGCGUUGAUUCCACUUCCCAAAAUUCACAUAUAUUCCAAAAAAAUCUCUGACCGUUUUUAUCCCGUUUGGACUCCGUUUUAUAUAGAUUUUCUACAAAACAAAAAACAUGCAACAAACAGGAACUCGCACUGGGCACUGGAUUAAUAUGUUAGUCCCAAAAAUAGUAUAAAAAGUUGCCAAAAGUAUAUGAAAAUUGUGUAAUAUUGGCAUGGAACAAUCAAAAAUUAUAGAUAAGAUGGAGACGUAUCAUAGUGAUACACAUAUUCAUAAUAUUGAAUUGUGGCACUGCCAUUUAGGUCAUAUUGGUGUAAAGCGUAUGAAGAAACUCCAUGCUGAUGGACUUUUGGAAUCACUUGAUUAUGAAUCACUUGAUGCUUACGAACCAUGCCUCAUGGGCAAGAUGACUAAGACUCCGUUCUUCGGAACAAUGGAGCGAGCAACUGACUUAUUGGAAAUAAUACAUACUUAUGUAUGCGGUCCGAUGAGUGUUGAGGCUCCCGGCGGGUAUCGUUAUUUUCUGACCUUCAUAGAUGAUUUAAGCAGAUAUGGGUAUAUCUACUUCAUGAAACAUAAGUCUAAAACAUUUGAAAAGUUCAAAGAAUUUGAGAGUGAAGUGGAAAAUCAUCGUAACAAGAAAAUAAAGUUUCUACGGUCUGAUCGUGGAGGUGAAUAUUUGAGUUAUGAGUUCGGUCUUCAUUUGAAACAAUGUGGAAUAGUUUCUCAACUCACGCCACCUAGAACACCACAGCGUAAUGGUGUGUCCAAACGUCAUAAUCGUACUUUAUUAGAUUUGGUGUGAUCUAUGAUGUCUCUUACCGAUUUACCACUAUCGUUUUGGGGUUAUGCUUUAGAGAUGGCUACAUUCACGUUAAAUAGGGCACCAUCUAAAUCCGUUGAGACGACACCAUAUGAACUGUGGUUUGGCAAGAAACCUAAGCUGUCGUUUCUUAAAGUUUGGGGCUGCGAUGCUUAUGUGAAAAAGCUUCUACUUGAUAUGCUCAAACCCAAAUCGGAGAAAUGUGUCUUCAUAGGAUACCCAAAGGAGACUGUUGGGUAAACCUUCUAGCACAGAUCUGAAGGCAAGAUUUUCGUUGCUAAGAGUGGAUCCUUUCUAGAGAAGGAGUUUCUCUCGAAAGAAGUGAGUGGGAGGAAAGUAGAACUUGAUGAGGUAAUUGUACCUUCUCCCGAAUUGGAAAGUAGUUCAUCACAGAAAUCAGUUCCAGUGAUGCCUACACCAAUUAGUGAGGAAGUUAAUGUUGAUGAUUAUGAAACUUCGGAUCAAGUUACUACCGAACCUCGUAGGUCAACCAGAGUACGUUCCGCACCAGAGUGGUACGGUAAUCCUAUUCUGGAAGUCAUAUUAGUAGACCAUGACGAACCUACGAACUAUGAGGAGGCGAUGACGAGCCUAGAUUCUGCGAAAUCGCUUGAGGCCAUGAAAUCUAAGAUGGGAUCCAUGGAUGAGAACAAAGUGUGGACUUUGGUUGACUUGCCCGAUGAUCGGCAAGCCAUAGAAAAUAAAUGGAUCUUCAAGAAGAAGACUGACGCUGAUGGUAAUGUUACUAUCUACAAAGCUCGAGUUGUUGCGAAAGGUUUUCGACAAGUUCAAGGAGUUGACUAUGAUGAGACCUUCUCACCCGUAGCGAUGCUUAAGUCUAUCUGAAUCAUGUUAGCAAUUGCCGCAUUUUAUCAUUAUGAAAUCUGGCAAAUGGAUGAAAAACUACAUUCCUUAAUGGAUACCUUAAAGAAGAGUUGUAUAUGAUGCAACCAGAAGGUUUUGUCGAUCCUAAAGGUGCUAACAAAGUGUGCAAGCUCCAGCGAUCCAUUUAUGGACUGGUGCAAGCCUCUCAGAGUUGGAAUAUACGCUUUGAUAGUGUGAACAAAGCAUACGGUUUUAUACAGACUUUUGGAGAAGCCUGUAUUUACAAGAAAGUGAGUGGGAGAUCUAUAACAUUUCUAAUAUUAUAUGUAGAUGACAUAUUGUUGAUUGGAAAUGAUACAGAAUUUCUGGAUAGCAUAAAAGGAUACUUGAAUAAGAAUUAUUCAAUGAAAGGCCUCGGUGAAGCUGCUUAUAUAUUGGGCAUCAAGAUCUAUAGAGAUAGAUCAAGACGCCUGAUUGGACUUUCACAAAGAACAUACCUUGAUAAAGUUUUGAAGAAGUUCAAAAUGGAUUAGUCAAAGAAAGGGUUCUUGCCUGUGUUACAAGGUGUGAAGUUGAGUCAGACUCAAUGCCUGACCACUACAGAAGAUAGAGAGAAAAUGAAUGUCAUUCCCUAUGCCUCAGCCAUAGGUUCUAUCAUGUAUGCAAUGUUAUGUACCAGACCUGAUGUGUGCCUUGCUAUAAGUUUAGCAGGGAGGUACCAAAGUAAUCCAGGAGUGGAUCACUGGACAGCGGUCAAGAACAUCCUAAAAUACUUGAAAGGACUAAGGAUAUGUUUCUCGUUUAUGGAGGUGACAAAAAGCUUGUCAUAAAUGGUUACAUCGAUGCAAGCUUUGACACUGAUCCGGAUGACUCUAAGUCACACAUCGGAUACGUAUUUAUAUUGAAUGGUGGAGCUGUCAGUUGGUGUAGUUCCAAGUAGCUGAAGGAAAUAUGCCCUAGAGGCAAUAAUAAAGUUAUUAUUUAUUUCCUUAUAUCAUGAUAAAUGUUUAUUAUUCAUGCUAUAAUUGUAUUAACCGGAAACAUAAUACAUGUGUGAAUACAUAGACAAACAGAGUGUCACUAGUAUGCCUCUACUAGACUAGCUCGUUAAUCAAAGAUGGUUAUGUUUCCUAACCAUGGACAAAGAGUUGUUAUUUGAUUAACGGGAUCACAUCAUUAGGUGAAUGAUCUAAUUGACAUGACCCAUUCCAUUAGCUUACACCCGAUCGUUUAGUAUGUUGCUAUUGCUUUCUUCAUGACUUAUACAUGUUCCUAUGACUAUGAGAUUAUGCAACUCCCGUUUACCGGAGGAACACUUUGUGUGCUACCAAACGUCACAACGUAACUGGGUGAUUAUAAAGGUGCUCUACAGGUGUCUCCAAAGGUACAUGUUGGGUUGGCGUAUUUCAAGAUUAGGAUUUGUCACUCCGAUUGUCGGAGAGGUAUCUCUGGGCCCUCUCGGUAAUGCACAUCACAUAAGCCUUGCAAGCAUUGCAACUAAUGAGUUAGUUGUGAGAUGAUGUAUUACGGAACGAGUAAAGAGACUUGCCGGUAAUGAGAUUGAACUAGGUAUUGAGAUACAGACGAUCGAAUCUCGGGCAAGUAACAUACCGAUGACAAAGGGAACAACGUAUGUUGUUAUGCGGUCUGACCGAUAAAAGAUCUUCAUAGAAUAUGUAGGAACCAAUAUGAGCAUCCAGGUUCCGCUAUUGGUUAUUGACCGGAGACAUGUCUCGGUCAUGUCUACAUUGUUCUUGAACCCGUAUGGUCCGCACGCUUAAGGUUUCGAUGACAGUUAUAUUAUGAGUUUAUGCAUUUUGAUGUACCGAAGUUUGUUCGGAGUCCCGGAUGUGAUCACGGACAUGACGAGGAGUCUUGAAAUGGUCGAGACAUAAAGAUUGAUAUAUUGGAAGCCUAUAUUUGGAUAUCGGAAGUGUUCCGGGUGAAAUCGGGAUUUUACCGGAGUACCGGGAGGUUACCAGAACCCCCCGGGAGGUAUAUGGGCCUUAGUGGGCCUUAGUGGAAGAGAGGAGAGGUGGCCAGGGAUGGGCCGUGCGCCCCUCCCCCCCUAGUCCGAAUAGGACAAGGGAAGGGGGCCGGCACCCCCCUUCCUUCUCUCUCUCCUCUUUCCCCCCUCCCGAAUCCUAUUCCAUCUNNNNNNNNNNNNNNNNNNNNNNNNNNNNNNNNNNNNNNNNNNNNNNNNNNNNNNNNNNNNNNNNNNNNNNNNNNNNNNNNNNNNNNNNNNNNNNNNNNNNNNNNNNNNNNNNNNNNNNNNNNNNNNNNNNNNNNNNNNNNNNNNNNNNNNNNNNNNNNNNNNNNNNNNNNNNNNNNNNNNNNNNNNNNNNNNNNNNNNNNNNNNNNNNNNNNNNNNNNNNNNNNNNNNNNNNNNNNNNNNNNNNNNNNNNNNNNNNNNNNNNNNNNNNNNNNNNNNNNNNNNNNNNNNNNNNNNNNNNNNAGGGAGCACCCCUAGAGACACAAGUUGAUCCACGUGAUCAUAUUCUUAGCCAUGUGCGGUGCCCCCUUCCACCAUAGUCCUCGAUAAUAUUGUAGCGGUGCUUAGGCGAAGCCCUGCGACGGUAGUACAUCAAGAUCGUCACCACGCCAUCGUGCUGACGGAACUCUUCCCCGACACUUUGCUGGAUCGGAGUCCAGGGAUCGUCAUCGAGCUGAACGUGUGCUAGAACUCGGAGGUGCCGUAGUUUCGGUGCUUGAUCGGUCGGGCCGUGAAGACGUACGACUACAUCAACCACGUUGUGCUAACGCUUCCGUUGUCGAUCUACAAGGGUACGUAGAUCACACUCUCCCCUCUCGUUGCUAUGCAUCACCAUGAUCUUGCGUGUGCGUAGGAAAUUUUUUGAAAUUACUACGUUACCCAACAAUGGCAUCAGAGCCUAGGUUUUAUGUGUUGAUGUUAUUUGCACGAGUAGAACACAAGUGAGUUGUGGGCGAUAUAAGUCAUACUGCUUACCAGCAUGUCAUACUUUGGUUCGGCGGUAUUGUUGGACGAAGCGGCCCGGACCGACAUUACGCGUAUGCUUACGCGAGACCGGUUCUCCCGACGUGCUUUGCACAAAGGUGGCUAGCGGGUGACAGUUUCUCCAACUUUAGUUGAACCGAGUGUGGCUACGCCCGGUCCAUGCGAAGGUUAAAACAGCACCAACUUGACAAACUAUCGUUGUGGUUUUGAUGCGUAGGUAAGAUUGGUUCUUGCUUAAGCCCGUAGCAGCCACGUAAAACUUGCAACAACAAAGUAGAUGACGUCUAACUUGUUUUUGCAGGGCAUGUUGUGAUGUGAUAUGGUCAAGACAUGAUGCUAAAUUUUAUUGUAUGAGAUGAUCAUGUUUUGUAACCGAGUUAUCGGCAACUGGCAGGAGCCAUAUGGUUGUCGCUUUAUUGUAUGCAAUGCAAUCGUGCUGUAAUGCUUUACUUUAUCACUAAGUGGUAGCGAUAGUCGUGGAAGCAUAAGAUUGGCGAGACAACAACGAUGCUACGAUGGAGAUCAAGGUGUCGCGCCGGUGGCGAUGGUGAUCAUGACGGUGCUUCUAAGAUGGAGAUCACAAGCACAAGAUGAUGAUGGCCAUGUCAUAUCACUUAUAUUGAUUGCAUGUGAUGUUUAUCUUUUAUGCAUCUUAUCUUGCUUUGAUUGAUGGUAGCAUUAUAAGAUGAUCUCUCACUAAUUAUCAAGAAGUGUUCUCCCUGAGUAUGCACCAUUGCGAAAGUUCUUCGUGCUGAGACACCACGUGAUGAUCGGGUGUGAUAGGCUCUACAUUCAAAUACAACGGGUGCAAAACAGUUGCACAUGCGGAAUACUCAGGUUAUACUUGACGAGCCAAGCAUAUACAGAUAUGGCCUCGGAACACGGAGACCGAAAGGUCGAGCGUGAAUCAUAUAGUAGAUAUGAUCAGCAUAGUGAUGUUCACCAAUGAAGCUACUCCAUCUCACGUGAUGAUCGAACAUGGUUUAGUUGAUUUGGAUCACGUAAUCACUUAGAGGAUUAGAGGGAUGUCUAUCUAAGUGGGAGUUCUUUAAGUAAUAUGAUUAAUUGAACCUAAAUUUAUCAUGAACUUAGUACCUGAUAGUAUCUUGCUUAUUCAUGUUUGAUUGUAGAUAGAUGGCCCGUGCUGUUGUUCCAUUGAAUUUUAAUGCGUUCCUUGAGAAAGCAAAGUUGAAAGAUGAUGGUAGCAAUUUCACGGACUGGGUCCGUAACUUGAGGAUUAUCCUCAUUGCUGCACAGAAGAAUUACGUCCUGGAAGCACCGCUGGGUGCCAGGCCUGCUGCUAGAGCAACACCAGAUGUUAUGAACGUCUGGCAGAGCAAAGCUAAUGACUACUCGAUAGUUUAGUGUGCCAUGCUUUACGGCUUAGAAUCGGGACUUCAACGACGUUUUGAACGUCAUGGAGCAUAUGAGAUGUUCCAGGAGUUGAAGUUAAUAUUUCAAGCAAAUGCCCGGAUUGAGAGAUAUGAAGUCUCCAAUAAAUUCUAUAGCUGCAAGGUGGAGGAGAACAGUUCUGUCAGUGAGCAUAUACUCAAAAUGUCUGGGUAUAAUAAUCACUUGAUUCAAUUGGGAGUUAAUCUUCCAGAUGAUUGCGUCAUUGACAGAAUUCUCCAAUCACUGCCACCAAGCUACAAGAGCUUCGUGAUGAACUAUAAUAUGCAAGGGAUGAAUAAGACUAUUCCCGAGCUCUUCGCAAUGCUGAAAGCUGCGGAGGUAGAAAUCAAAAAGGAGCAUCAAGUGUUGAUGGUCAACAAGACCACUAGUUUCAAGAAAAAGGGCAAAGGGAAGAAGAAGGGGAACUUCAAAAAGAACAGCAAGCAAGUUGCUGCUCAAGAGAAAAAACCCAAACCUGGACCUAAGCCUGAAAUUGAGUGCUUCUACUGCAAGCAGACUGGUCACUGGAAGCGGAACUGCCUCAAAUAUUUGGCGGAUAAGAAGGAUGGCAAGGUGAACAAAGGUAUAUGUGAUAUACAUGUUAUUGAUGUGUACCUUACUAAUGCUCGCAGUAGCACCUGGGUAUUUGAUACUGGUUCUGUUGCUAAUAUUUGCAACUCGAAACAGGGACUACGGAUUAAGCGAAGAUUGGCUAAGGACGAGGUGACGAUGCGCGUGGGAAAUGGUUCCAAAGUCGAUGUGAUCGCAGUCGGCACGCUACCUCUACAUCUACCUUCGGGAUUAAUAUUAGACCUAAAUAAUUGUUAUUUGGUGCCAGCGUUAAGCAUGAACAUUAUAUCUGGAUCUUGUUUGAUGCGAGACGGUUAUUCAUUUAAAUCAGAGAAUAAUGGUUGUUCUAUUUACAUGAGUAAUAUCUUUUAUGGUCAUGCACCCUUAAAGAGUGGUCUAUUCUUAUUAAAUCUCGAUAGUAGUGACACACAUAUUCAUAGUGUUGAAACCAAAAGAUGCAGAGUUGAUAAUGAUAGUGCAAAUUAUUUGUGGCACUGCCGUUUAGGUCAUAUCGGUAUAAAGCGCAUGAAGAAACUCCAUACUGAUGGGCUUUUGGAACCACUUGAUUAUGAAUCACUUGGUACUUGCGAACCGUGCCUUAUGGGUAAAAUGACAAAAACACCGUUCUCCGGUACUAUGGAGAGAGCAACAGAUUUGCUAGAAAUCAUACAUACAGAUGUAUGUGGUCCGAUGAAUGUUGAGGCUCGUGGCGGAUAUCGUUAUUUUCUCACCUUCACAGAUGACUUAAGUAGAUAUUGGUAUAUCUACUUAAUGAAACACAAGUCUGAAACGUUUGAAAGGUUCAAAGAAUUUCAGAGUGAAGUUGAAAAUCAUCGUAACAAGCAAAUAAAAUUCCUACGAUCUGAUCGUGGAGGAGAAUAUUUGAGUUACGAGUUUGAUGUACAUUUGAAACAAUGUGGAAUAGUUUCGCAACUCACGCCACCCGGAACACCACAGCGUAAUGGUGUGUCCGAACGUCGUAAUUGUACUUUACUAGAUAUGGUACGAUCUAUGAUGUCUCUUACUGAUUUACCGCUAUCAUUUUGGGGAUACGCUCUAGAGACGGCCGCAUUCACGUUAAAUAGGGCACCAUCAAAAUCCGUUGAGACGACGCCUUAUGAACUGUGGUUUGGCAAGAAACCAAAGUUGUCAUUUCUGAAAGUUUGGGGCUGCGAUGCUUAUGUGAAAAAGCUUCAACCUGAUAAGCUCGAACCCAAAUUGGAAAAAUGUGUCUUCAUAGGAUAUCCAAAGGAAACUAUUGGAUACACCUUCUAUCAUAGAUCCGAAGGCAAGACUUUUGUUGCUAAAUUCGGAAACUUUCUGGAGAAGGAGUUUCUCUCGAAAGAAGUGAGUGGGAGGAAAGUAGAACUUGACGAGGUAACUGUACCUACUCCCUUAUUGGGAAGUAGUACAUCACAGAAACCUGUUUCUGUGACACCUACACCAAUUAGUGAGGAAGCUAAUGAUGAUGAUCAUGAAACUUCAGAACAAGAUACUACUGAACCUCGUAGAUCAACCAGAGUAAGAUCCGCACCAGAGUGGUACGGUAACCCUGUUCUGGAAGUCAUGCUACUAGAUCAUGAUGAACCUACGAACUAUGAAGAAGCGAUGGUGAGCCCAGAUUCUGCAAAAUGGCUUGAAGCCAUGAAAUCUGAGAUGGGAUCCAUGUAUGAGAACAAAGUAUGGACUUUGGUUGACUUUCCCAAUGAUCGGCAAGCAAUUGAGAAUAAAUGGAUCUUCAAGAAGAAGACGGACGCUGACGGUAAUAUUACUGUCUACAAAGCUCGACUUGUCGCAAAAGGUUUUCGGCAAGUUCAAGGGAUUGACUACGAUGAGACCUUCUCACCCGUAGCGAAGCUUAAGUUUGUCCGAAUCAUGUUAGCAAUUGCCGCAUUUUAUGAUUAUGAAAUUUGGCAGAUGGGUGUCAAAACUGCAUUCCUGAAUGGAUUUCUGGAAGAAGAGUUAUAUAUGAUGCAACCAGAAGGUUUUGUCGAUCCAAAGGGAGCUAACAAAGUGUGCAAGCUCCAGCGAUCCAUUUAUGGACUGGUGCAAGCCUUUCGGAGUUGGAAUAAAUGCUUUGAUAGUGUGAUCAAAGCAUUUGGUUUUGUACAGACUUUUGGAGAAGCAUGUAUUUACAAGAAAGUGAGUGGGAGCUCUGUAGCAUUUCUGAUAUUAUAUUGGAUGACAUAUUACUAAUUGGAAAUGAUAUAGAAUUUCUGGAUAGCAUAAAGGGAUACUUGAAUAAGAGUUUUUCAAUGAAAGACCUCGGUGAAGCUACUUACAUAUUAGGCAUUAAGAUCUAUAGAGAUAGAUCAAGACGCUUAAUUGGACUUUCACAAAGCACAUACCUAGACAAAGUUUUGAAGAAGUUCAAAAUGGAUCAAGCAAAGAAAGGGUUCUUGCCUGUGUUACAAGGUAUGAAGUUGAGUCAGACUCAAUGCCCGACCACUGCAGAAGAUAGAGAGAAAAUGAAAGAUGUUCCCUAUGCUUCAGCCAUAGGCUCUAUCAUGUAUGCAAUGUUGUGUACCAGACCUGAUGUGUGCCUUACUAUAAGUCUAGCAGGGAGGUACCAAAGUAAUCCAGGAGUGGAUCACUAGACAGCGGUCAAGAACAUCCUGAAAUACCUGAAAAGGACUAAGGAUAUGUUUCUCGUUUAUGGAGGUGACAAAGAGCUAAUCGUAAGUGGUUACGUCGAUGCGAGCUUUGACACUGAACCGAAUGAUUCUAAAUCGCAAACCGGAUACGUAUUUACAUUAAACGGUGGAGCUGUCAGUUGGUGCAGUUCUAAACAAAGUGUCGUGGCGGGAUCUACGUGUGAAGCGGAAUACAUAGCUGCUUCGGAAGCAGCAAAUGAAGGAGUCUGGAUGAAGGAGUUCAUAUCCGAUCUAGGUGUUAUACCUAGUGUAUCGGGUCCAAUGAAAAUCUUUUGUGACAAUACUGGUGCAAUUGCCUUGGCAAAGGAAUCCAGAUUUCACAAGAGAACCAAGCACAUCAAGAGACGCUUCAAUUCCAUCCGGGAUCUAGUCCAGGUGGGAGACAUAGAGAUUUGCAAGAUACAUACGGAUCUGAAUGUAGCAGAUCCGUUGACUAAGCCUCUUCCAUGAGCAAAUCAUUAUCAGCACCAAGGCUCCAUGGGUGUUAGAAUCAUUACUAUAUAAUAUAGAUUAUUGACUCUAGUGCAAGUGGGAUACUGAAGGAAAUAUGCCCUAGAGGCAGUAAUAAAGUUAUUAUUUAUUUCCUUAUAUCAUGAUAAAUGUUUAUUAUUCAUGCUAGAAUUGUAUUAACCAGAAACAUAAUACAUGUGUGAAUACAUAGACAAACAGAGUGUCACUAGUAUGCCUCUACUAGACUAGCUCGUUAAUCAAAGAUGGUUAUGUUUCCUAACCAUGGACAAAGAGUAGUUAUUUGAUUAAUGGGAUCACAUCAUUAGGUGAAUGAUCUGAUUGACAUGACCCAUUCCAUUAGCUUACACCCGAUCGUUUAGUAUGUUGCUAUUGCUUUCUUCAUGACUUAGACAUGUUCCUAUGACUAUGAGAUUAUGCAACUCCCGUUUACCGGAGGAAAACUUUGUGUGCUACCAAACGUCACAACAUAACUGGGUGAUUAUAAAGGUGCUCUACAGGUGUCUCCAAAGGUACAUGUUGGGUUGGCGUAUUUCGAGAUUAGGAUUUGUCACUCCGAUUGUCGGAGAGGUAUCUCUGGGCCCUCUCGGUAAUGCACAUCACAUAAGCCUUGCAAGCAUUGCAACUAAUGAGUUAGUUGUGAGAUGAUGUAUUACGGAACGAGUAAAGAGACUUGCCGGUAACGAGAUUGAACUAGGUAUUGAGAUACCGACGAUCGAAUCUCGGGCAAGUAACAUACCGAUGACAAAGGGAACAACGUAUGUUGUUAUGCGGUCUGACCGAUAAAAGAUCUUCGUAGAAUAUGUAGGAACCAAUAUGAGCAUCCAGGUUCCGCUAUUGGUUAUUGACCGGAGACAUGUCUCGGUCAUGUCUACAUUGUUCUCAAACCCGUAUGGUCCGCACGCUUAAGGUUUCGAUGACAAUUAUAUUAUGAGUUUAUGCAUUUUGAUGUACUGAAGUUUGUUCGGAGUCCCAGAUGUGAUCACGGACAUGACGAGGAGUCUUGAAAUGGUCGAGACAUAAAGAUUGAUAUAUUGGAAGCCUAUAUUUGGAUAUCGGAAGUGUUCCGGGUGAAAUCGGGAUUUUACCGGAGUACCGGGAGGUUACCGGAACCCCCCGGGGAGGUAUAUGGGCCUUAGUGGGCCUUAGUGGAAGAGAGGAGAGGUGGCCAGGGCUGGGCCGUGCGACCCUCCCCCCCUAGUCCGAAUAGGACAAGGGGAGGGGGCCGGCAUCCCCCUUCCUUCUCUCUCUCCUCUUUCCCCUCUCCCGAAUCCUAUUCCAACUAGGAAAGAGGGGAAUCCUACUCCCGGAGGGAGUAGGACUCCUCCUGGCGCGCCCUCUCCUGGCCGGUCGCACCCCCCCCCCCUUGAUCCUUUAUAUACGGAGGCAGGGAGCACCCCUAGAGACACAAGUUGAUCCACGUGAUCAUAUUCUUAGCCGUGUGCGGUGCCCCCUUCCACCAUAGUCCUCGAUAAUAUUGCAGCGGUGCUUAGGCGAAGCCCUGCGACGGUAGUACAUCAAGAUCGUCACCACGCCGUCGUGCUGACGGAACUCUUCCCCGACACUUUGCUGGAUCGGAGUCCGGGGAUCGUCAUCGAGCUGAAUGUGUGCUAGAACUCGGAGGUGCCGUAGUUUCGGUGCUUGAUCGGUCGGGCCGUGAAGACGUACGACUACAUCAACCACGUUGUGCUAACGCUUCCGUUGUCGAUCUACAAGGGUACUAGAUCACACUCUCCCCUCUCGUUGCUAUGCAUCACCAUGAUCUUGCGUGUGCGUAGGAAAUUUUUUGAAAUUACUACGUUACCCAACAGUAGCUGCUUCGGAAGCAGCAAAUGAAGGAGUCUGGAUGAAGCAGUUCAUAUCCGAUCUAGGUGUAAUACCUAGUGCAUCGGGUCCAAUGAAAAUCUUUUGUUACAAUACUAGAGCAAUAGCCUUGGCGAAGGAAUCUAGAUUUCACAAGAGAACCAAACACAUCAAGAGACGCUUCAAUUCCAUCUGCGAUCUAGUCAAGGAGGGAGACAUAGAGAUUUGCAAAAUACAUACAGAUCUGAAUGUUGCAGACCAGUUGACUAAGCCUCUUCCACGAGCAAAACAUGAUCAGCACCAAGACUCCAUGGGUGUUAGAAUCAUUACUAUGUAAUCUAGAUUAUUGACUCUAGUGCAAGUGGGAGACUGAAGGAAAUAUGCCCUAGAGGCAAUAAUAGAGUUGUUAUUUAUAUUUCCUUAUAUCAUGAUAAAUGUUUAUUAUUCAUGCUAGAAUUGUAUUAACUGGAAACUUAGUACAUGUGUGAAUACAUAGACAAAACAGAGUGUCCCUAGUAUGCCUCUACUUGACUAGCUCGUUGAUCAAAGAUGGUUAUGUUUCCUGACCAUAGACAUGUAUUGUUAUUUGAUGAACGGGAUCACAUCAUUAGAGAAUUAUGUGAUGGACAAGACCCAUUCGUUAGCUUAGCAUGAUGAUCGUUUAGUUUUAUUGCUAUUGCUUUCUUCAUAACUUAUACAUGUUCCUCUGACUAUGAGAUUAUGCAUCUCCUGAAUAUCGGAAGAACACCUUGUGUGCUAUCAAAUGUUACAAUGUAACUAGGUUAUUAUAAAGAUGCUCUACAUGUGUCUCUGAAGGUGUUUGCUGGGUUGGCAUAGAUCAAGAUUAGGAUUCGUCACUCCGUGUAUCCGAGAGGUGUCUCUGGGCCCUCUUUGUAAUGCACAUCACUAUAAGCCUUGCAAGCAAUGUGAUUAAUGAGUUAGUUGCAGGAUGAUGCAUUACGGAACGAGUAAAGAGACUUGCCGGUAAUGAGAUUGAACUAGGUAUGAUGAUACCGACGAUCGAAUCUCGGGCAAGUAACAUACCGAUGACAAAGGGAACAACGUAUGCUGUUAUGCGAUUUGACCGAUAAAGAUCUUCAUAGAAUAUGUAGGAUACCAUAUGAGAAUCCAGGUUCCGCUAUUGGUUAUUGACCGAAGAUGUGUCUCGGUCAUGUCUACAUAGUUCUCGAACCCGUAGGGUCCGCACGCUUAACGUUCGAUGAUGAUUUGUAUUAUGAGUUAUGUGAUUUAAUGACCAAAGAUUGUUUAGAGUCCGGAUGAGAUCACGGAGAUGACGAGGAGUCUCGAAAUGGCCGAGAGGUAAAGAUUGAUAUAUUGGAAGGUUAUAUAUGGACAUUGAAAUGGUUCCGAUAAGGUUCCGGGAUUUAUCGGAGUACCGGGAGGCUAUCGAAACCCCCCGGGAAGUUAAUGGGCCCUAUUGGGCUUUAGUGGAGAGAGGGAAGAAGGGCCAUGAGGUGGCGCACACCUCCCCUUGCCCAAACCGAAUUGGACAAGGGGUGGAUGCGCGACCCCCCCUUUCCUUCUCCCUCUCCCUCCUUUCCCCUUUCCCCUCUCCGUAAGAUGGAAGGAGGGGGGCCGAAUCCUACUAGGAACGGAGUCCUAGUAGGACUCCCCCCUCAUGGCGCGCCCCCCUUGGGCCGGCUUAUACGUCAAUUUAGUAUCAUGCUUUUAUAUUGAUAUUUAUUGCAUUAUGGGUUGUUAUUACAUGUUAUGCCACAAUACUUAUGUCUAUUCUCUCUUAUUUUACAAGGUUUACAUGAAGAGGGAGAAUGCCGGCAGCUGGAAUUCUGGGCUGGAAAGGGAGCAAAUAUUAGAGACCUAUUCUGCACAACUCCAAAAGUCCUAAAACUUCACGGAAGUCAUUUUUGGAAUUUAUAAAAAAUACUGAGCGAAGAAAAUACCAGAGGGGGCCCACACCCUGGCCACGAGGGUGGGGGCGCGCCCUACCCUCCUGGGCGCGCCCCCUGUCUCGUGGGCCCCCUGGCAGGCCUCCGGUGCCCAUCUUUGGCUAUAUGGUGUCUUCUACCCUGGAAAAAAUCAUAAGCAAGCUUUCGGGAAGAAACUCCACCGCCACGAGGUGGAACCUUGGCGGAACCAAUCUAGGGCUCCGGCAGAGCUGUUCUGCCGGGGAAACUUCCCUCCGGGAGGGGGAAAUCAUCGCCAUCGUCAUCACCAACGAUCCUCUCAUCGGGAGGGGGUCAAUCUCCAUCAACAUCUUCACCAGCACCAUCUCCUCUCAAACCCUAGUUCAUCUCUUGUAUCCAAUCUUUGUCCCAAAUCCUCAGAUUGGUACCUGUGGGUUGCUAGUAGUGUUGAUUACUCCUUGUAGUUGAUGCUAGUUGGUUUAUUUUGUGGAAGCUCAUAUGUUCAGAUCCAUUAUGCAUAUUAAUACCCCUCUGAUUAUGAACAUGAAUAUGAUUUGUGAGUAGUUACGUUUGUUCCUGAGGACAUGGGAGAAGUCUUGUUAUUAGUAGUCAUGUGAAUUUGGUAUUCAUUCGAUAUUUUGAUGAGAUGUAUGUUGUCUUUCCUCUAGUGUUGUUAUGUGAACGUCGACUACAUGACCCUUCACCGUUGUUUGGGCUUAGAGGAAGGCAUUGGGAAGUAAUAAGUAGAUGAUGGGUUGCUAGAGUGACAGAAGCUUGAACCCUAGUUUAUGAGUUGCUUCGUAAGGGGCUGAUUUGGAUCCAUAUGUUUCAUGAUAUGGUUAGGUUUACCUUAAUACUUCUUUUGUAGUUGCGGAUGCUUGCAAUAGGGGUUAAUCAUAAGUGGGAUGCUUGUCCAAGAAAGGACAGUACCCAAGCACCGGUCCACCCACAUACCAGAUUAUUAAAGUAACGAACGCGAAUCAUAUGAGCGUGAUGAAAACUAGCUUGACGAUAAUUCCCAUGUGUCCUCGGGAGCGCUUUUCUCUAUAUAAGAGUUUGUCCAGCCUUGUCCUUUGCUACAAAAAGGAUUGGGCCAUCUUGUUGCACCCUAUUUACUUUCAUUACUUGUUACUUGUUGCCAAUUACCUUAUCACAAAACUAUUUGUUACCGAUAAUUUCAGUGCUUGCAGAGAAUACCUUGCUGAAAACCGCUUAUCAUUUCCUUCUGCUCCUCGUUGGGUUCGACACUCUUACUUAUUGAAAGGACUACGAUAGAUCCCCUAUACUUGUGGGUCAUCACCGGCCUCCUCCUCCCCCCUCCUUUAUAUACGUGGGCAGGGAGGCACCCCAAAGCACAACAAACAAUCUUUUAGCCGUGUGCGGUGCCCCCUCCACAGUUUAACACCUCGGUCAUAUCGUCGUAGUGCUUAGGCGAAGCCCUACGCCGAUAACUUCAUCAUCACCAUCACCAUGCCGCCGUGCUGACGAAAUUCUCCCUCGUCCUCAACUGGAUCAAGAGCUCGAGGGACGUCAUCGUGAUGAACGUGUGCUGAACACGGAGGUGUCGUACGUUCGAUACUUGGAUCGGUUGGAUCAUGAAGACGUUCGACUACAUCAACCGCGUUACUAAAUGCUUCCGCUUUCGGUCUACGAGGGUACGUGGACACACUCUCCCAUCUUGUUGCUAUGCAUCUCCUAGAUAGAUCUUGUGUGAUCGUAGGAAUUUUUUUGAAAUACUGUGUUCCCCAACAAAUACCGCCGAAUCAAAAUAAUACGUUGGUGGUAAGAAAUAUGACUAUCACCGCCCACAACUCUUUGUGUUCUACUCAUGCAUAUCAUCUACGCAUAGACCUGGCUCAGAUGCCACUGUUGGGAAACGUUGCAUGAAAAACAAAAAAAUUCUACGCACACGCAAGAUCUAUCAAGGGGAUGCAUAGGAACGAGAGGGGAGAGUAUGUCUAUGUACCCUCAUAGACCGUAAGCGGAAGCAUUUGACAACGCGAUUGAUGUAGUCAAACUUCUUUGCGUUCCAACCGAGCGAGCACCGAACAUAUGGCACCUCCGCGUUCAGCACACGUUCAGCUCGAUGAUGUCCUCCGCGUUCUUGAUCCAGCAAUACGGCGAGGUAGUGGAUGAGUUCUGGCAGCACGACGACGUGGUGACGGUGAUGGUGAAGUGAUCUCCGCAGGGCUUCGCCUAAGCACUACGAAAAUAUGACCGAGGGUGUAAACGAUGGAGGGGGCGCCGCGCACGGCUAAGCAAUUGUCUAGGGUGUGCUAGCCCCCCCCCCCACUUAUAUAUAGGUGGAGGGAGAGGGGAUAUGCCAAGGGUCACCCCAAGUAGGUCCGAAUCCUACUUGGGCUCUUGCCCUUGGCUGCACCCCCCUGCCAUGUUUGUCGGAAGGUGGAAGGAAAGGGGGAGAGGAAGGAAGGGGGAGGCCAAAUUCCCCCCACCUUUCCUGUCCCACUAGGGAGGCUGCCAUGGGGGGCGCGCUAGCACCUUGUGGGCUGGUGUUCUCCCCUCUUAUGGCCCAAUAGGCCCACUAACCUCCCGGGGGUGUCCGGUACCCCCUCCGGUACUCCGAUGAUCACCCGGUACAGUUCGAAACACAUCCGGUGUCUGAAUACCAUCGUCCUAUAUAUCAAUCUUUACCUCUAGACCAUUUAGAGACUCCUCGUCAUGCCCCUGAUCACAUCCGUGACUUCGAACAACAUUCGGUCACCAUAUCAUAUAACUCAUAUAACACUAUAUUGUGAACGAACGUUAAGCGUGCGGACCCUGUGGGUUCGAGAACUAUGUAGAAAUGACAGAGAAACCUCUUCGGUCAAUAACCAAUUGUGGAACCUGUAUGCCCAUAUUGGCUCCUAUAUAUUCUACGAAGAUCUUUAUCGGUUGAACCGCUAUGACAACAUACGUAAUUCCCUUUGUCCAUCGGUAUGUUACUUGCCCGAGAUUCGAUCGUGGUAUCUUCAUACCUAGUUCAAUAUCGUUACCGGCAAGUCUCUUUACUCGUUCUGUAAUACAUCAUCUUGCAACUAACUCAUUAUUCACUUUGCUUGCAAGGCUUCUUAUGAUGUGUAUUACCGAGAGGGCCCAAAGACACCUCUCCGAUACUCGGAGUGACAAAUCCUAAUCUCGAUCUAUGCCAACUCAACAAACAUCUUUGGAGAUACCUGUAGAGCAUCUUUAUGAUCAUCCAGUUACGUUGUGAUGUUUGAUAGCACACACGGUAUUCCUUCGGUAUCCGAGAGUUGCAUAAUCUCAUAGUCGGAGGAAUAUGUAUUUAACAUGAAGAAAGCAAUAGCAAUAAACUGAACGAUCAAUAUGCUAAGCUAACAGAUGGGUCUUGUCCAUCACAUCAUUCUCCUAAUGAUGUGAUCCCGUUAUCAAAUGGCAACGCAUGUCUAUGGUUAGGAAACCUUAACCAUCUUUGAUCAACGAGCUAGUCUAGUAGAGGCUUACUGGGGACACGGUAUUUGUUUAUGUAUUCACACAUGUACUUCAGUUUCCGAUCAAUACAAUUCUGGCAUGAAUAAUAAACCUUUAUCAUGAAUAAGAAAAUAUAAAAUAAUAAUUUUAUUAUUGCCUCUAGGGCAUAUUUCCUUCAAGAAAAGCCCAGCUCCACGAAAUUGAAGAGCAAGAGUUUAGCCAAGUUACAGUUCAAAUUGCCACCACAAAAGUAAACAUUCCACCACCGCACCCCAUGUCGCUACCAGUGCUUCUCUCCUACCUUCCCUGAAUCGGUACGAUGUACCCCCUCGCCUGCUCAUCUCUCUCCCUCGACAUAUCCCCUCGCCCGCUGCUAACCCUAGCUAGCGCCCAAAGUGAUGUCGAACAUGCCAGGACUCGCCGCACAUGUCACACCGGGAGAAGCUACCGCUCGAGCCGAACGCUCGCUGAUCGCCAGGAAGAGACCGAAGCUAGUGAGGGAAGCCAAAGUUGCGGAUUUGGAGAAGCUGAGAGGGUUCCAAACAUGCCCUUAGUAUUUCCUGCCGAACUCGUAUGUGGGACCUAGCCAAUAAAACCACCCCAUGGGAGGAAGGAUGUGAAGUCGACAAUAGUGCUAAGAAUCAGGUAACCAUAUUUUUUAUGCGCUCUAGGCAAAGUUUGUGAAGUCGAUGAAUUUCAAUGGGUUGCAAGACCUAUAUUUUGGUAAGAAAAAAUUUGGUGUAAUUUCAAAACGAUUCAUAUUGUUCUUAAAGAAUAAUGUUCACUUGCUAUCGUAGGUCCUAUUGAAAUGGUGGAAAGCCUUCUUUCCUACGCAUGGACCAUUUUUUGUUUGAAUCAUUUGACUAUCGACAAGUAUUUGAAAGAAAUUUGAAGGCCAAUUUCCCCCAAAAAAUUCACAAAAUCAAAAUUCCAGUGAGGUGGAAAACUCUUUUACAAAACCAGGGAACCCCUAGAUAGAGUAGCAAUCAAGCGCUAAGCCGGAACGUGCUUUGAGAAAUCAUUAUGCAUGAAGAGAGUGUGCCUUUGAUUGAUUAUUCAACUGUUGAACUAUCAAUCCUAACUAGUCACCGGUCCGUGGCCUGAAACUAGACCGAUGCUCUUUCCUUCGUGUUCUUUCGCAUCGACUUGAUCUAGUAUAUGACACCACAUCAAGGUAUAUAUGAUCUCCGCCCAAAGAAUUUUAGCAACACAGCUACUCUCUCUAAUUCAAAUUAAUUAUCACUUUUUAAUACAAAGUUGUAUUAAAGCAGCGACAAUUAACAUGGAUCGAAGGAAGAACAUAAUCAUUUUAUGAGUGAACGAAGAUAAAUACGAUAUAUAUUAAUUCAUCCAGUAGUAUGUAGCUGUGUACCAAAGCGCAAUACGCGCGUCAACUGAUCAGAACAUAACCCGUACAUGGCAUCCCUGCAAAAAAAAAAACCCGUACAUGGCACAUCAUCAGCUAAUUAAAAUAUACGACUGCAGAGUUCCGGUCCAGCCAGCAGACGCCGCGGGCGCGCAGCUCAGCAGAAGAGGUACCCAACGGCGGCGGCGACGAGCGUCCCGACGGCGAAGGCCGGGAUGGUCGUGGCGGCUCCGGCGUCCGGACUGGGAGCCGGCCCCUCGGCAGCCAUGGCCACGCCCAUCAUGGACGAGGCCACGACGGCGGCGGCGGCGAGGAUCCUGAGCUUGAGGGUGGCCGCCAUUUCCGCUAGCUAGCUUCUCGGUCGAUCGACGCUUGGGAAUCCAGUCGAAGACGCGUAUGCAUUAAGCGAAGGACAGGAAGCUAGCGAGCUGGACGGCUUGGGAUGGGAAGGAAGAGAUGGACACGUCGAGUAUAUAUAGCUGCCAUUGGUAGGGCUUUGGCGUGCUGUGUUGUGGAAGGCUAGCCAUGAAAUGGAGGAUCAUUGGCUGGAGCCGCUGCUUUCGGUCUGUCGGUCUUUCCCAGGCUGUGCGAUGCGAGUGGGCAUUUCUUUAGGCUUUGCUGUGAUCGCCGAAUGGGUGAUUGAGGGUGCGCAAUGAUUAGUCGUUGUGGUUUGCUGCUUCUGAUUGUUAUUUUGUUGGCAACUGCCAACUGGUACGUAUAGUUAUCAUCGAUGGUUCAUGUCUCGGCGCUCGUUUUUUGAAAAAGAAAUUUAUUAAUGAAAAAGCAGAACUCCUGCUGGUUGCUUGAAAAAAAAGGUGAUCUACAAGUGCACUGCUUGUUGCCGUGGUAGGGAAGCAUUGCCAUGGCUUCCCGAGCGAAUGCAUUGCAUUGUAGAAAAGUUACAUAACAUAUACAUCAUAUUGGUAAUACUGAAAUUCUAAUUGUAAAAUAAAAUACACCCUCUAUCCACUAAUGUAAGAUAUUUUGCCUAUUCGACGUCUUACAUUAGUGAACAUAAAUAGAAGUAAUUACUAAUUAAAUAGUCUAUAUACAAAUUUUGGACAUGAUGGAUACCAUCGCGAACUCAGAGAACACUUGCUUAUCCACCUUGUCACAUGGCAUUGCAGUCCCUUCCCAUGAUCUAUCCUCGCCUCCCCGUUCAUACCACGUUGACCUCAACCUAAGAGCUCUCAUGUAAGUUGAGAUAACUCUGAUUGUCAGCUCUGUAAAUCUCUUUGGUGCACAUAUUUUUUUAGUUUACAAUGCACCUCCCUCUGUUCAUUCCCUCGUCUACAUUCCACAAAAAGGUUUUGCCCCGGCAUAUCGAUUUUCUUAAUCAUCCCAGAGUUGGCGACAAAGCUUGUUAGGAAAUAAGUUACAACUAAAGUUUACACAAUUUUGGUAAGUGCCAAAUGCUCAGGUAUUGAUAGUAAUUUUCCUUUUCGGCCCUUCAGUAUGUGUACCACCUUUUUAGUCAAUGGUUGUUUUCUNNNNNNNNNNNNNNNNNNNNNNNNNNNNNNNNNNNNNNNNNNNNNNNNNNNNNNNNNNNNNNNNNNNNNNNNNNNNNNNNNNNNNNNNNNNNNNNNNNNNNNNNNNNNNNNNNNNNNNNNNNNNNNNNNNNNNNNNNNNNNNNNNNNNNNNNNNNNNNNNNNNNNNNNNNNNNNNNNNNNNNNNNNNNNNNNNNNNNNNNNNNNNNNNNNNNNNNNNNNNNNNNGGGGAGGUGGAGUCCCACCUGUCUAUUGAUCUCAAUUCAAAAGAAAUUGAGCCGGUUUAUGUGAGAAAUUGAGUCAAAAAACAUGAUCCAAUUUAUGAGGGAAACUAGAUCGAAUACCUUCACAACCCCCCGGGGCAAUACAUCUUGUUGAAGCAAGAACAUAGAAGAAAAAAUACAAGUACAAAGAUACAACACCAUGCAAAGAUCACCCUGUUGUACAUCAGAUGAAUCAAGGAGGUCGUAUUUGCAGCACAAGUGAUGUCAUAAGCACGUACAUGGCACCACUAGCUUCAGAGAGGGGUACGCCGAGGCAUUACAUCAUACUAAGAGACAACAGAGCAAACUUCAAAGUAGACACAGACGAGCUCCACUAAGUUACCAUUGUAGCAACCCCGAUGGUGAGACCACGAAUAGUGACGUCAAUGAGUUGGGGCAUCACCUAGCAUGUCCAUCCAACACUCAAGUAAGCGGGGAAUUACACAUGACAUAUUUUUUCUUAAAAAACUUAAGUUUGAAAAAAAAUUGUGUAGUGUUGAAAAUGUCGGUGCAACUUUUACAAAAUGUUGAUAGCAUUUGAAAAAACUUUUCAAGACGUAUUUGGAAAAAAAUGUUCAACACAUAUUCAAACAACAAUUAAAAAAAGUGAUUGAAAAAAUGUUAAUCAUGAAUUUCAAAAAUGUUAAAUGUGUAUGGAUUCUAAUGUAUAUGAAAAAUGUACGCGUAUGAAAAAGAGUAGACAUCAAAACACACAUAUGAAGAAAAAAAUCGUGUAUUUACUAAAUGAUAAACGUGUAUAGAAAAAUGUUUCUUACGAUGUAGGGGCUCACGCAGUCGUUCUCCCCUAAAAAAUUAGGGUUCCUCCCACGUCUGUUACUUUUUCUCCUAUUGCAACGCAGGGUUUCCUUUGCUAGUUACACAAAUAUAAUCUUUACGGUUAUGCUAAAUUUGAUAAUUUUUUAGCGGAAUCCUAAAUUCAAUUUUUCGGACUGGCUUUCCUUCAAAGUCGAUUUUUAAAACUACAACCCUAUUUUAGUGUGCAAUUAGGUGAAAAUGUUAGAUAUAGAAACAUAAGAUCUAUAAGCAGCAAAAGAUAUAAAAACAUCUUUUGAAAUUACAGACGUGAUUUUUUGAAAUUUCCUGAAAAUUAUGAUUAUGAAAAAUGUUCUAAAUAUUUAUUGAAAAUGCAAAUAAAAUUUUAAAUUUAAACAAUUUCUGAACAUGUGCAUUUUGAUACCAAAUUUGUGUUUCCUAAUUCCAAAAUUAUUUGGAAAUGUGAACAAACUUUGGAGAACAAACAAAUUUUUGAAUAAUUCAACAUUUUCUGAAAAUCUAAUAUCUUUUGAAAUUCCGAACAUUUAUUGGAAAUGCGAUUUUUGAAAAUUGUGAACAAAUUUUGGAAAAUGAAAACAUUUUCUGAAAAUCUGUUUUCUUAUUUGCCAACAAUUUUUAAGUUUCAUUUUUUUAAAUGUGAACGUAAUUUUUUAAAACAUGAACAAUUUUUAAUGUCCCCAAACAUUUUAUGAUAAUAUGUUUGUUUUUAAACAAGAAUACUUUUUAAAUUUAUGAGUUUCGAGAAAAGAAGGAAAAGGUAAAACAAACCAAUAAUACAAAAAAAGAAAAACAUUAAAAAACUGAAAAAAUUAACUUCUAGAAUGUUCCUAAAACCUGUGAAAAGCCGAACAUGUAAACUUAAAAUGCGCUGCACUACGCUGGAUACACAGGGACGGCCGAUCCCCANNNNNNNNNNNNNNNNNNNNNNNNNNNNNNNNNNNNNNNNNNNNNNNNNNNNNNNNNNNNNNNNNNNNNNNNNNNNNNNNNNNNNNNNNNNNNNNNNNNNNNNNNNNNNNNNNNNNNNNNNNNNNNNNNNNNNNNNNNNNNNNNNNNNNNNNNNNNNNNNNNNNNNNNNNNNNNNNNNNNNNNNNNNNNNNNNNNNNNNNNNNNNNNNNNNNNNNNNNNNNNNNNNNNNNNNNNNNNNNNNNNNNNNNNNNNNNNNNNNNNNNNNNNNNNNNNNNNNNNNCACACACACACAUCCUUACUCUUUUUGGGCUAUAGUUACGCAUGUUAUCUCGCAUACUACAGUUGGGCAAGCCUCCCAUGUUACAUUGCAGCCCAAGUCGUAAGUAGUUGGACACAAAAACACAUGUGCUUUUGUCUUAGUGUCCCUUGCUAAACAUCAAGAUAAUCCAUGGCUAAAGCAUGCUCUUAGGGCCUGUUCGGAUCUUCUCGCUCUCAAAUUCGUGAACUCAGUGCACUAAGCUGCUCCUAAUAUGGGAGUUCCGCGGAACUAAAUUCGAGAAGUCGAGCCCUCCCCUCAUGUAAAAAAGAGAAGACAGAAAAGCCCAACUCCACGAAAAUGAAGAGCAAGAGUUUAGCCAAGUUACAGUUCAAAUUGCCGCCACGAAAGUAAACAUUUCACCACCGAACCCCAUAUCGCUACAAGUGCUUCUCUCCUACCUCCCCUGAAUUGGUACGAUGUACCCCCUCGCCUGCUCAUCUCUCUCCCUCGACAUAUCCCCUCGUCUGCUGCUAACCCUAGCUAGCGCCCAAAGUGAUGUCGAACAUGCCAAGACUCCGCUAGCUGGGUUGCCAGCCCAUGGCACACCAGGAGAAGCUGCCGCUCGAGCCAAACGCUCGUUGAUCGCGAGGAAGAGACCGAAGCUAGUGAGGGAAGCCAAAGUUGCGGUUUUGGAGAAGCUAGUAGAGGUUCCAAACAUGCCCUUAGUAUUUCUGCCAAACUCGUAUGUGGGACCUAGCCAAUAAAACCACCCCAUGGGAGGAAGGAUGUGAAGUCGACAAUAGUGCUAAGAGUCAGGUAACCAUAUUUUCGAUGCGCUAUAGGCAAAGUUUGUGAAGUCGAUGAAUUUCGACGGGUGGCGAGGUCUAUAUUUUUGUCAAAAAACUUGGUGUAAUUUCAAAACGAUUCAUAUUGUUCUCAAGGAAUAAUGUUCACUUGCUAUCGUAGGUCCUACUGAAAUGGUGGAAAGCCUUCUUUCUUACGCAUGGACCAUUUUUUGUUUGAAUCAUUUGAUUAUCGGCAAGCAUUCAAUGUACCCCAAAAAUUUCACGAAAUCAAAAUUCCAGUGCGGUGCAAAACUCUUUUUAAAAACCAGACAACCCCUGGACAGAGUAGCAAUCAAGUGCUAAGCGGGGACGUGCUUUGGGAAAUCAUCAUUCAUGAAGAGUGUGACUUUGAUUGAUUAUUCAACUGUGGAAUUAUCAAGUCCUAACUAGUCACCGGUCCGCGACCUGAAGCUAGACCGAUGAUUUGUCCUUCGUGUUCUUUCGCAUCGACUUGAUCUAGUAUAUGACAUCACAUCAAGGUAUAUAUGAUCUCAGCCCAUAGAGUUUUUGCAACACAGGUACUGUCUCUGAUUCAAAUUAAUUAUCGCUUUUUAAUACAAAGUUGUAUUAAAGCAGUGGCAAUUAAUAUGGAUCGAAGGAAGAAUAUAAUCAUUUUAUGAGAAUGAAGAUAAAUAUGAUAUGUAUUAAUUCAUCCAGUAGUAUGUAGCUGUGUACCAAAGCGUAAUACGCGCGUCAACUGAUCAGAACAUAACCCUGACACGGCACAUCAUCAGCUAACUAAAAUAUACGACUGCGGAGUGCCGGUCCAGCCAGCAGACGCCGCGGGUGCGCAGCUCAGCAGAAGAGGUACCCAACGGCGGCGGUGACGAGCGUCCCGACGGCGAAGGCCGGGAUGGUCGAGGCGGCUCCGGCGUCCGGGCUGGGAGCCGGCCCCUCGGCAGCCAUGGCCACGCCCAUCAUGGACGAGGCCACGACGGCGGCGGCGGCGAGGAUCCUGAGCUUGAGGGUGGCCGCCAUUUUCGCUAGGAGCUAGCUUCUCGGUCGGUCGAUGCCUGGGAAUUACUCGAAGACGUUUAAGCACUAAGAACAGGAAGGUAGGGCAGUGGGUUUGGGAUGGGAAGGAAGAGCGGGACACGUCGGGUAUAUAUAGCCGCCAUUGGUAGGGCUUUGGCGUGCUGUCUUGUGGAAGGCUAGCCAUGAAAUGGAGGAUCAUUGGCUGGAGCUGCUGCUUUCGGUCUGUCCGCCUUUCACAGGCUGUGCGAGGGGGCAGUUGUUUAGGCUUUGCUGUGAUCGCCGAUGGGUGAUUGAGGGUGCGCAAUGAUUAGUCGUUGUGGUUUGUUGCUUCGUUAUUUUGUUGGGUUGGGCACUGCCAACUGGUACGUAUAGUUAUCAUCUAUGGUUCAUGUCUCGGACUCUCGUUUUUUGAAGAAUUUUUUUAAUGAAAAAGCAGAAAUCCUGCUGGUUGCUUGAAAAAAAGACGAUCUACCUUUUUCUUCAACAAAACUUUCGAUCUAUUCAUUAACUGUCAAGGUAGUAUAAAGAAAACAGUAAAAAAAAAUACAUCCAGAUCCGUAGACCACCUAGCUACGACUACAAUCACUGAAACGAGCUAAAAGCGCGCCACCGUCUUAGCCUCUCCCUCAACGAAGCCGGGCAAACCUUGUUGUAGUAAACAGUCGGGAAAUCGUCGUGCUAAGGCCUCAUAGGACCAGCGCACCAGAACAGUAACCACCGCUGAUGAAGGGAAGCAUAGAUCAGAAGGAUCCAACCUGUAGACACACAAACACAGGCGAACGAAGAUGGUAUCCACAUGGAUCCACCGAAGACAAACGUCGAUCGAAUCUCGCGAGAUCCGCCAAAGAUAAACCUUCACACGCCAUCCAAUGAUGCUAGAAAAAGAAAAAGAUGAUCUACUACAAGAGCACUGCUUGUUGCCGUGACAGGGAAGUACUGAGCCCAUGCAUUGCAUCGUAGAAAAGUUGCAUGACAUAUACAUCAUAUUGGUAUACUGAAAUUCUAAUUGUAAAAAUAAUAAAAUGCAUCCUCUGUCCACCAUUGUAAGAUGUUUUGCCUAUUCGACGUCUUACAUUAGUGAACACAGGUAGCAAUAAUUACUAAUUAAAUACUUUGUAUACAUAUUUUGGACAUGAUGGAUGAGUAAUUUUAAGAUGCUUCCUCUUACCCCCUCUUUUUACAUGGGAGGUAAAAAGGUAGAAGUUAAUCAGACCACUACUUAAUCAAAUCAAUGACUCAGAUAUACUAUAUACUCUCCUUUUAUGUGAAAAUGAAAUAUAAGUCGGAGCAUGCUAAAAUUUGCCAUGUAAAUUUCCUUGAGAACACUUACUUAUCCACCUUGUCCGGUGGCAUUGCAGUUCCUUCUCAUGGUGUAUCCUCGCCUCCCCAUUCAUACCACGUUGACCUCAACCUAAGAGCUCUCAUAUAAGUUGAGAUAACUUUGAUUCUCAGCCCUGUAAAUCUCUUUGGCAUGCAUAUUUUUUUAGUUUACAAUGCACCUCCCUUCGUUCGUUCCCUCGUCUACAUUCCACAAAAAGGUUUUGUCCCGGCAUAUCGAUUUUCUUAAUCAUCCAGGAGUUGGCAGCAAAGCUUAUUAGCAAAUAAGUUGCAAGUAAAGUUUACACAAUGUUGAUAAGUGCCAAAUGCUUAUGUAUGGUUAGUAAUUUUCCUUUUCAACCCUUCUGUGUACCACCUUUUUAGCCAGUGCUUGUUUUCUAAAUUGAGAGGGGGGGUCCCACCUGUAUAUUGAUGUCAAUUGAAAAGAAGUUGAGCCGGUUUAUGUGAAAAAAUGGGUAAAAAGCAUGAUCCAGUUUAUAAGGGAAACUAGAUCGAAUGCCUUAUCAACCCCCGGGGCAAUACAUCUUAUGCUGAACCAAGAACAUAAAAAGCAGAGAGAGAAAGUACAGAGAUACAACACCAUGCAAAGAUCACCCUUCAGAUGAAUCAAGGAGGUCGUUGUUGUAGCACAAGUGAUGUCAUAGCAAGUAUUCCCUCCGUUCCUAAAUAUAAGUCUUUUUAGAGAUUUCAGUAUGACUACAUACAUACAUACAUAGAAUGGGUCUAUUAUGAUAACACCCCUUAAGACCUUAUUCUAAUAACAGUAGCCUUAUUCUGCUAACACCCCAGCGCACCUUCGAAACGCAGACGAAAAACCAACCCCACCGGCCCACCCCACCCACCACUCUCUCUUCUCCGCCUUCCUCCCCCGAUCCCCUCCACCUCCCCCGAUCCCCUCCAGCUUCCUCCCAGUCAACACCCCACGCCCAGAUCCGCACACUCCGGCGACCUCCUCNNNNNNNNNNNNNNNNNNNNNNNNNNNNNNNNNNNNNNNNNNNNNNNNNNNNNNNNNNNNNNNNNNNNNNNNNNNNNNNNNNNNNNNNNNNNNNNNNNNNNNNNNNNNNNNNNNNNNNNNNNNNNNNNNNNNNNNNNNNNNNNNNNNNNNNNNNNNNNNNNNNNNNNNNNNNNNNNNNNNNNNNNNNNNNNNNNNNNNNNNNNNNNNNNNNNNNNNNNNNNNNNNNNNNNNNNNNNNNNNNNNNNNNNNNNNNNNNNNNNNNNNNNNNNNNNNNNNNNNNNNNNNNNNNNNNNNNNNNNNNNNNNNCCCCCGCGCCGCUGCACCACCAUCGCUGCCACUUCCUCAGAACCGCCGCCGCCGAACGGGGUCAGGGCCGUGCCCCCCACCCCGCACCUCCUACCUCCCACCGCACGCCCCUUCCGGCCAUCGACCCACUCCGCCGCCAGCUUGGGCUCGCGUCGCCCCUGCUCGGCAUCGCACAUUCGCCACGCCCGGAUUCGGCCUCGUCCCUGAUCUGGAUCGAGCAGCCGUCGCGAUGACGGGUUCCGCUACUCCGGCUUGUGAUCGACAGCCAAGGCACACCUCCUCCCCCUGCACAGCUGAAACGCCCCUUCCUCCACCAUUCCUCCAUCUUGCAGUUCAGCGGUGGCGGGAGUUCAACUCGGCUCCUCUCUGUUGUUCCCUCGACUAAUUCCCAACGCCUCCUCUGUUUUGCAGGUCUGGUAGCACUCCCUGUGUCGACGACGAAGAUGAAACUACGACAGUGCAGCUCACUCCCUCAGGUGUUUUUUUAAAUGCAGCUCGCUUUGUCCACAUCGUCGGUGCUUCGGCGGUCGACCUGCAAUUCGCCCAUCCCCUUGGUGGUCCAGUGGCUACCAAGGACUGCACCCAUUGUCAACACAAAGAAAAGUUGAUGCACUAUAUAUGCCUCUGCCAUCCUCUGUGAAAGGGCAUUUCCCUACUUUAUGUUUUGGAUGAUGAUGACAACUCUUUGUGGUCUAAUCGUGUGCUAUAUGUUUCAGGUUCUCGAUGCUUAGGCUUACAUCGGAUUGCUAUUGCCUCUCGAAGGAAAAGAUGGAAGACGUGUCCUCUACGCUUUUAUUUUCUUUGGUCGUAGAGUACCCGUACUAUCAAGAGGGAAUCCUCAUUAGGAAGCUCUGGGAGAAUCAGUUCACGUACACUUUUCUCACCCUCUCUUUGCCUUCCUCAGGUGUGUGUGUGAGAGAGAGAGUUUUCCUUGCCUCUUCCCCUCUUUCCUGCUCACUGUUUCUGCCCAGCGGUUGUACCGCUCUCUGGAGCGGUUGUAUCGUUGGGUCUUGUCGCUCACCAGCUUUGCUCGAGUGGUUGUACCGCUGCCUCCGGGCGGUGGUACCGCCACCAUGCUCUGCAACAGCUGGGGCGGUGGUUCCGUCCAUGCACCGCUCAAGUGCCGCUCUCGCUUCUGGUUUGAUGCGGUUCUUGGGCGGUAGUGGCCCAGUUGGUCCGAUCGUUCCACGAUGACCGGUACCACCGGUGGUCCGAGCGGUUCUUCCGCUCAGAACUUAGCCGCCCAAGAGCUCAAGGCCAUGCGGUUGUUCCGGCCAGGCACCGCCCAAGUACCGGUCAAGCUCCUGUUUUGAUGCGGUGGUUGAGCGGUAGCCAGGCGGUUAGUCCGGUUAUUUUUCUUAGCCGGUACUACCGCCCGCCUGUCCGGUUGUACCGCUUGGUAGGGUUCUGCAGUUACACCAUGAGUCCCGGUUGUACCGGGACGAGGACCGGUUGUACCGCUGCAGUGCAAAAAACGCAGUAACGGUUGGAAAUGUGGGUGUCUAUUUAAGGGAGCUUCUCCCACCUACCACUCCCACCUUUGACCUCUCUCACUCCACCAUUAAUGCCCUUCAAGCUCUCUUGCCCGAUCUCUCUCUCUCUAGCCACUCAAACUUGUUGAUUUGCUAGGGAUUGAAGGAGGAGACCUAGAUCUACACUUCCACCAAAGGAUAUUUGCUUCCCCCAUACUUUCUUGUGUGGAUUUUGUUACUCUUGGGUGUUUGAGCACCCUAGACGGUUGAGGUCACCUCGGAGCCAUAUUCCAUUGUGGUGAAGCUUCGUGGUUUUUGUUGGGAGCCUCCAAUUAAGUUGUGGAGAGAUCCCCAACCUUGUUUGUAAAGGUUUGGUCGCCGCCUUCAAGGGCACCAAUAGUGGAAUCACGGCAUCUCGCAUUGUGUGAGGGCGUGAGGAGAAUACGGUGGCCCUAGUGGCUUCUUGGGGAGCAUUAUGCCUCCACACCGCUCCAACGGAGACGUACUUCCUCUCAAAGGGAAGGAACUUCGUCAACACAUCCUCGUCCCCACCGUCUCCACUCUUGGUUAUCUCAUGCCUUUAUUUGAGCAAGCUUACUUGUUUCAUAUCUCUUGCUUGCUUGUGUAUCUAUCCUCGUUGCAUCAUAUAGGUUGCUCACCUAGUUGCAAUCUAGACAACCUACUUUGAUGCAAAGUUUAAAUUGUUAAAGAAAAGCUAAAAAUUGUUAGUUGCCUAUUCACCCCCCCCCCCUCUAGUCAACCAUAUCGAUCCUUUCAAUUGGUAUCAGAGCCUCGUCUCUUUAUUAAGGACUUUACCGUCCAAAGAGUAUGGUUGAUACCGUAGACGGUGUGGAGGAACACUCCAGUGUGAAUCCGAUCUCGUCUAUGGGAGAUGGGGGAACUUCGGUCUCUCGUGAGGAGUUCAAUGUGGCCUUGGAGACAUUGAAAACCUCCAUGAUGACCGAAGUCGAAAGCAUGUUUACUAAAUUUCUUGAGGGGCUUAAACUAUCCACCGCAUCGUUGAAAGUGGGUGAUCCCGCCAACAAGGUGACGGAUACUAUCCCCGACAAGGGGGAAGCUAGUGGUGAAAAGGCUCCUUCUUCUAGUGGCAAGAAUGGCACCGGCAUCUUUGCCCAUGUGGAACCACCACUUGUUUAUGGUGGACCGGUUCCUUCCACUUGAAUCAUGCCGGUCCUCCCCCUAAGGUUAUGAAAAAUGAGGAUUUUGAUUCUUGGGUUUACCGCUUUAAACGUCAUUUAAAUCAUGUGAACACUAACCUUUGGAGAAUCAUUGAAGAAGGUUUCUAUCCACAUGAUUCAAGCAACUUCACUCCUCGAGAAGCCGCGGACAAUCAAUUCAAUGAGAAUACUCUCUUCAUCAUUCAAGAUGCAAUUCCACCAGAAGACCUACCUCAUCUUCCUCCUUUCGCCUUGGCCAAAUAUGCAUGGCAUUGUGUCGUGUCUCUCUAUCGGGGAAGAGCAAGCAUUCAACGCUCCAACUAUGAAGUGGUACAAGAUGAGGCCGAUGAGUUUGCAAUGAAGGAAGAUGAAGAACCUCGUGAGCUCUAUCGGAGAGUAACCAAACUCGCGGUCUCACUACGAGAUCACGGGAGCAAGGACAUGGAUGACAAUUGGAUCAAGCGCAAAUCCCUCAAGGCAAUGAUGCCCUAUCACAAGGCCAUGUCCUCCGUCAUUCGUCAAAGACCGGACUUCCACACUUUGACCUCAAGCGAAGUGUUGGAUGAGUUUGUGGCCAUGAACAUUUUGGACAAGACCGCCGACAAUGCGGUGCUCCGUUCUUAAUGGGCAAAGAAGCCUAACCUUGCAUUGAAGGCCAAGCUCAUCGUGGAAGACGAAGAAGAGGAAGAAGAGGAGAGCAACCCCGAAGAUACGAAGUAUGCAUAUCAUGAACACAUGGCACUUGCUUCAAGGCAAUUUUGGAGCAAGAAAAACUCGAGGCCAAACUUUAGCAAAAACAACUCGAGUGGUACAAGGGGCAAGCAACGUGUAAGGACUUCCUACAAUUGCGGCAACGUGAGUCAUUUCGUUGCGGAAUGCCCGUAUGAGAAGAGGGAAGACAAUAGUGGCAAGCUCAUCCGAAAGGACAAGGCCAAGUCGUUUCCCAACAAGAACAACUUCUCCAAGAAGACUCCUCCCAAGGCUUUGGUUGCGCAAGAAGAGUACAAUGAGGGUGAUGACGAUGAUGAGGAUGAUGAGUCGGUUGCCAUGGCCUCCGUUGCCAUUGCAACAACGUCACGGGUGUCUCUCUUCGACUCACCCAACGAGAGCAUCACCGCCAAGUGCCUCAUGGCUAAAGCCACCAACAAGGUAACCUCCAACAUCAAAACUACCAUCAUUAAUCAUCCUUCCCCGACGGAUUGCAUUAAUGAACUUGAGGGAGCUAAUGUGGAGGCUAACGAGUUUGAGGCCUUUAUGGGCAAACUCAAGGGAAAAUCCAAGAAGCACUUUUUUGCUCUCUUGGAACAACUUGGUGAAGCGAAUGACAUGAUCGAGGCUCACGAGGACACCAUCUCUAAGAUGGAAGGGCAUAGUCGUGACUAUGCCGAUGAGAUCUCGGAUCUUUCCAAUGCUCUUGAGGAAGAACGUGGUCUUCGUUUGGCUCUUGAGGAGUCACACAAUGUUGAUCAUGCUAAGUUAAAGAAAGAUUAUGAUCAUGUCCUCAUUGUUUCUCGUGUGCUAAAUUCCGAGAAGGCCAAACUCGGGGUUGAUCUUGCUAGACUCAAAGAGGAGUUUGAUAUACUUGACAAGGCCCACAAGGCCUUGAAGGGUAUUCACGCUAGUCUCAAGGAGUCUCAUGAUCAACUCCAAGUGAAGCUAACUAAGGAGAAAGCAACUUUUCCUCAUAUGGUUUUAAUUGAUAAUGCAAAUGCUACUAACCCGUGUUGUGAGCAUAUACAUCUUGUUGAGGAAAAUGCUAAGUUGAAGGAGCAACUUGAGAGAGGUCUUGUGACUUGCAUAUGAGGCAAGAAGAACCUCAACGAUCUCUUGAUCAACCAAAAGGGAGUUGUGGCCAAGGAAGGGGUUGGGUACGUGCCCGACUCCAAGAACAAGAAGAAGAAUGACAAGACCAAACGACCUCCUCCUCUCAUGCAAACCUUUGUGAGGGAGGGAGGGAGUGCCCCCAAGGAGAAGAAGAAGAACAAUGUCAAGAAGGGAAAUGUCACCCCUCCCAACAAAGCCGGCGAUUUUAAUCCUUCUUAUGUGUUAUGCCGUGCUAGUGAUGGGCAUGUUUAUGCCAAAUUUGUUGGUUCUCUUCAUGAAUACAUUGAAUGGUCUAUUUGGGUUCCUAAGACCCUUGUUACUAACAUCAAAGGACCCAUUACAAAAUGGGUACCUAAAACCAAGCAUUGAUCUCUUGUAGGUGUUUGCUUCCGGUGGUGGAUCAUGGUUGCUCGAUAGCGGAGCUACAAAUCAUAUGACCGGAAGCAAGGACUUGGUGGUGGACGUGCACAAGGUUCCAUCUAUGCCCACCAAUGUCGAGUGGGGUGACGCCUCAUCUUCUAAGGUAUUGGGACUUGGCAAGGUGGUCAUCUCUCAUGAUCUCACGAUCGAGAAGGUCAUGCUUGUUGAGUCCCUUGCAUGCAAUUUACUUUUCGUUCAUCAACUUGUAAUCAUGGGCUUUGCCACUUUCUUUGAUAUUGAUACCGUGGCCCUCUUGUGGAGCAAGACUCUUAAAGUAGCCUUUGUUGGGCAUGUCGAGAACGGUCUAUAUGUGAUUAACUUUUUGGAGCGACCCACUAAGACCACGACAUGCCUAAUGGCUAAAGUUGAUGUGGGAUGGCUUUGGCAUCGCCGUUUAGCCCAUGUCAAUAUGAGAUCUUUGCAAAGUCUCCUCAAGGGGGACCAUGUCCGUGGACUAACGAAUGUUAGUUCUGCUAAAGAUCGUGCUUGCAGUGCCUGUAUCGAAGGAAAGCUACAUGAGAAGGCUCACCCUCCCACGACUAUCAUUUAUUCAAAGAGGCCUUUGGAGCUCCUUCACAUGGAUCUCUUUGGGUCUCCAUCCUUCGAUAGUCUUGGAGGUAGGAAGUAUUUCUUGGUGAUUGUGGAUGACUACUCAAGGUACAUGUGGGUGUAUUUCUUCAAGAGGAAGAGCGAGACCCAACAAACCGUCAUUGACUUUGCAAAUGAAGCACAACGUCAACACAAUGCAAAGAUCUUGACAAUAAGAAGUGACAACGGCACCGAGUUCAAGAAAUACACCUUGGAUGAAUUUCUUAGUGAUGAGUGAAUCAAGCAUCAAUAUUAUGCACCAUACACCCCUCAACAAAACGGUGUUGCAGAGAGGAAGAACCGGACGUUGAUGGAUGCGGCAAGGACCAUGAUGGUGGAGUUCAAGUCUCCGUACAACUUUUGGGCCGAAGCCAUCAACACCGCGUGUCAUGCAUCCAAUCAGCUCUACCUCCGCAAGGGCUUGAACAAGACUCCAUAUGAGAUACUCAUCGAUAACAAGCCCAACCUCAAGUACUUCCGGGUAUUCGGGUGUAAGUGUUUCAUUCUCAAGAAAGGUGUUCGGUUGUCUAAAUUUGAGGCUAGAGCUCAUGAGGGCAUAUUUGUUGGUUAUGCUACAAACUCUCAUGCUUACCGUGUCCUCAAUAAAUCCACGGGACUUAUUGAGGAGACGUGUAACAUGGAGUUUGAUGAGAAUAACGGCUUCCAAGUGGAGCAAAGUGGCACUUGUGAUGUAGGUGAUGAAAUUCCUCCUCAAUCCAUAAGAAGAAUGGGUGUUGGUUUUAUCCUACCCAUUGAGGAACCCCUUGUGGCCGAAGGAGAAGGACAAUGCUCCACUCAAGUGGAGCCAUCACCAACCCAAGGCCCACACGCUUCCGAAGAACAAAGUGAAGGCCCUCAACCUCAUGAACAAGACCAAGGGCAAGAUCAUACUCAAGACGGUGUUGACACACCAAGUGAUGCCCAAGGUCAAGUUCUCUCCCCCGAGCAAGUUCAAGAUCAAGAACAAGUUCAUGACGACGCUCAAGAUGAUCAAGUAACUGCUCCUCAACUCACCACCGAGGAGGAAUUAGAGCGUCGUGCCGCCAAGAUUGCAUCCAAGCUCUCCACCAAGGAUCAUCUCAUGACGAAUGUGCUUGGAAGCUUAAGAAAGGGGGUAAGCACUCGUAGACAAUUAGCAAAUUAUUGUGAGCAUCACGCGUUUGUCUCUUGUGCGGAACCCCACAAGGUCUAUGAGGCGCUAGAAGAUCCGGAUUGGCUCAAUUCCAUGCAUGAAGAACUCAACAACUUCGAGCGCAACAAAGUGUGGAGAUUGGUGCCAAGGCCAACGGGGAACCACAAUGUCAUUGGAACCAAGUGGAUAUUCAAGAACAAGCAAGAUGCCCAUGGGAUUAUCAUUCGCAACAAAGCUUGUUUGGUAGCACAAGGCUACUCCCAAGUCGAGGGUAUCGACUACGGUGAAACCUUUGCUCCCGUUGCUCGUCUUGAAUCCAUUUGCAUGUUAAUUGCAUAUGCUUCUCAUCAUAACUUUAAGUUACAACAAAUGGAUGUGAAGAGUGCUUUUCUUAAUGGUCCCAUUAAUGAAUUGGUUUACGUCAAGCAACCCCCUGGGUUCGAGGAUCCCUACUUUCCCGAUCAUGUGUAUCAACUCGAUAAGGCGCUCUAUGGCCUUAAACAAGCCCCACGUGCGUGGUAUGACCACCUUACCGAGUUGUUACAAGACCGUGGUUUUGAAGUUGGGCUAAUCGACCCCACUCUUUUUACUAAGAAGGUCAAAGGGGAGUUGUUUGUUUGCCAAUUAUAUGUUGAUUAUAUUAUCUUUGGUUCUCCUAACAAAGCUUUCAAUGAGGAAUUUGCCGCUCUCAUGACCUCAAAGUUCGAGAUGUCCUUCAUGGGAGAGUUGAAGUUCUUUCUAGGGUUCAAAGUGAAGCAAAGAAGAGAAGGAACCUUCAUCAAUCAAUCCAAAUACACUCAAGACAUGCUCAAGAGAUUCAAGCUAAGUGACGUCAAGCCGGCUUCCACUCCAAUGCCCACCAAGUGCCAACUUGACUUAGAUCCCAAUGGUAAAGUGGUGGAUCAAAAGGUAUAUCGUUCCAUGAUUGGAUCCUUGCUUUACCUUUGUGCAUCUAGACCGGACAUCAUGUUGAGUGUGGGAAUUUGUGCACGGUUUCAAGACGCACCUAAGGAAAGUCACUAUGUGGCGGUCAAACGAAUCUUUCGAUAUUUGGCUCAUACCCCAAACUUUGGCCUAUGGUACCCUAGAGGAUCAAACUUCAAGCUUGUAGGGUACUCAGAUUCUGAUUGGGCGGGAGACAAAGUGGAUAGAAAGUCCACUUCCAGAGGGUGCCAAUUCCUUGGUUGCUCUUUGGUAAGUUGGUCUUCCAAAAAGCAAAGUUGUGUGUCUCUCUCGUCCACUGAGGCGGAGUAUGUUGCCGCCGGUAGUUGUUGUGCUCAACUCCUAUGGAUGAGGCAAACUUUAAAGGAUUACGGUGUCACUUGUGACAAAGUGCCUCUUUGGUGUGACAAUGAAAGUGCCAUCAAGAUCUCUCUCAAUCCGGUGCAACAUUUCAAGACGAAGCAUAUUGAGAUCCGGUAUCACUUCAUCCGGGAUCACAUUAGACGAGGAGAGAUCGAGCUCAACUAUGUCAACACUUAUGACAACCUUGCAGAUAUUUUCACGAAGCCCUUGGAUGAAGCAAGAUUUUGCGAGUUAAGGCAUGAGCUAAAUAUCAUUGAUUCGAGCAAUGUGGCUUGAACCCUUGCACACCCUACCAUGCUCAAUUUGUUGUCUAGUUUAGGUGUAGGCAUGGACAUAGGGGGGUGUUGUUCUCUCAAUGAACUCUCCCUCCCCCCAUUAUGCAUAAAUUGAUUGUGUCUUUGACAUUAGCCAUUUUUUAUGGUACUUGUGCUUCAAAGACGAGUUUUGGUCAUGGACCCAAGGAUAAUUCUUCGCGGUGCCAUACCAAUUGACUCAAACAUAGGUGGCCUCGGCCACCGUCCUCUCUUCGGGAGGUUGGAGUUAGCCUUGUUGUUCUCGUGUUGUUUUCUCUUCUUCUAUCUUUGAUCUUUGUGUUAGGUUCUCCUAGGGUGUUGUUUCUCUCCUGUUUUGUGCCCCUUCUUCCUCCCUUCGGAUUGCACUCAUUUGAUCUUGGCUUGGGCUUAGGUGGUCGGGCGGUACAACCGGUACCACGAGCGGUUCUACCGCUGGUACCGGGUUGUGCCAUCCCAAGGGUCUCCGUUCGGUGCUUGGGCGGUUCCACCGCACAAACCCAUGGUAACCCACGUCCGGUACUACCCGUUGAUGCCGUGCGGUACUACCGCUGCCUCCCAGGAACCGGAAGUACCGCCUCCAUCCACCGGUCUGUACCAGACGAGCGGUACAACCGCUCCCCUAAGCGGUUCUACCGGGGCAUGUGUAUGGGCCUAUAUAUACUCGACGGGACUGAAGGGUUGUCUUUUUCCCUUCGUCCUCGUUCCUCUUAUUUUUUUGCCCUAGCCGCCGGCCAUCUCUACCCCUGCCCCGGAGUGCGUCUCGCGCUUCGGAUCCUUGGCUCUCCGUGGAUUCUCUCCGUGGAGGCCUCCCGAUCUCUUCCCAUGGAUGGUGGUAAUGCCUCAUGUUCUUUGCCUCUAGAUUUUUUAGGGUUCUUCCUUGUCUAGGGCUUUACUUAUCUUUCCGCGUUUAGUGUUCGAUCGAUGGCUUAGAAGAGUUCUUUGUUAGCCUCCUGUCUUGUUUGCAGCACUUAGAAUUCGGAAUAUUACUUGUGUGAUUCGUAUGCCUCGGUUAGAUCUAUCUUCCCUGGUAGUGCCACUGUCAGCGGUUCUACUGCCCCUACGGGCGGUACAACCGCUGGAGCGGUACUACCGGCGGAAGAUCCGGUACAACCGGAGUAUAUCAACCACUAAGCACUGUUCUAUCUUCUCUGUUGUUGCAACUUGUUCCUUUUCUACUAGUGGGUGCAAUCCUCUCAUCCUUGUUGGGUUUUUGUGUGUUCUUUUCGUGUGUGUGUGUGUUCAGGUGGCUCUAGUUCUCGCUCUGCUCCUUGCAAGACUAAGAAGAGGGCACGAAGGACCUUGCGCCCGGUUGUGUCUGAUGAUGAAGCAUAAGUUGUGAUUCCCACCAAGCCCACUCGCCGUGAAAAGUCUGCAGCUGCUAAGCAACAUGUGGUUAUGCCGUUGCAUCGUUGGAAAGCCAAGGAUUGGGAAGCCUUCCGCUCAAAGAAUCCGUAUGAGGUUCCCAUUGCUCCCCGUUGGACCACUGUUCAGUUCCGGAAUGAAAUGCAAGUGCGGAUUGUUCAUGAACUCUUUGAGCACAACAAGAAUAGAUAUGCCAAGCAGUGGACAAUUGAUUUUGAUCAUUGGAGAAACAACAUGGAGUAUUUUGGUGAGGCGCUAGCUCUCUGCGAGGAGUUUGAUCUUGUCAAGAUCAUGUCAGUCAACUGUGACUUUGAUGUUCAACUUAUCAAUCAGUUCUAUGCCACGGUUCAUUUUGGGGAAGAUGAUGCGCGCACUCUCACCUUCAUGUGUCACGAUGAAUUGUUUCACGUUCCCUGGAGGGCUUUCUGCAAUGCUAUUGGGUACGAGGAUACCGGUCUGGAAGGAAGGGGUGGCAUUCGCCCUCAUGAUUUUCCUGAGUCCAUGCCUAAGGAGAAGCUUGCCCCUCUGUACAUUCGGGGCCGUGGGAUUAUUGGAGAAUCCAAGGAUUUGGAGAAGGUAUAUGACAUCAUGCACCGAGUGUUCCGCAAUGUGCUCUUGCCCAAGGUGGACAAUCAAGAUGAGAUUCAUGGCUAUCUGGUUGAUUUGAUGGUUGCUAUGAAGACCAUGGUGGGGACAGGGGCAACGUUUGAUGUGUCAAAUUGGCUGUGGCAUGAGAUGUACAACAUGGUCAUCUACCGUAAAGUCCCAAUCUACGCUCCGUUUAUCAUGUGCUUUCUGAACUCUGUGUGGGCUGUUCGUCGUCCUGGGGAGCUCCUCACUUCUCCAGACAACCUCACUGUUCAUGAGGUCAAGCUCCUUAAGAAGAAGAAGCAUGCCGAGCCUCGCUUCCCUGAACAUGCUCCUGAGGAUGUCUAUGCUACUUCUGACGAUGAGGACUUUGAGCUGGAGCCAGGGGCCAGGCCUUCAUGGGUGGCCAAACUUACUGCCAAGGUGAAGAAGACCUUUUGUCUCCAGGCUGACAUCCAGAAGAAGAUGUAUGAGGCACAUGUCAAUGAGAAGCUUGCACGGCGUCGCCAAAUUGCAAUGAUGAAGCACCUCAACAUGCAGGUUCAGAGUGGCUCUGAGAAGAGCAUCACCCUAGAGGAGCGUUGGAUCUCUACCCAUAGCACCUGGACUGAUGAUGAAGCCCCUCCCCGGCAAUCAUCCUCGUUUGCAGCAGCUGACAAUGCCAUGGAAGAAUCUGAUCACGACGACGAUGACGACUCUGAUGAUGAAGAUCCAGAUGCAACCGAGGAGUCAGAGGAGGACGCCUGAGCUUUGGGUCGCUAGCUUCGCUCUUUUCCUUUUUGGUGUCUUGAUGCCAAAGGGGGAGAGGGUUCUAUAGGUCUCGGGGAUUUGCUUGGGUUUUUCUCUUGUUCUCGUGUUUUGUGUUUGUUUGUGGACUUGUUUCGUUCCGUGCUGUGUACCUUUCCAUUCGUAGGUCUUUAUCGUUAUUAUUGCCUCUAAGGAUUAUAUUGUCUAUCCUUUUGAGCUCAGAGUGAUGAGUCUAUAAAAUCUAGGGGGAGUCUAGUCCUGAAAGUGUGCCCAUGCUUUCUAACAGCUAGUACUUGUUGGGGCACACAUUCAGGGGGAGUUCCGUCUAGAUUUCAUUGACUUAUCUCUUGCAAAUCGUGUUGUUGUCAUCAUCCACCAAAAAGGGGGAGAUUGAAAGGGCAUUUCCCUACUUUAUGUUUUGGAUGAUGAUGACAACCCUUUGUGGUCUAAUCGUGUGCUAUAUGUUUCAGGUUCUCGAUGCUUAGGCUUACAUCGGAUUGCUAUUGCCUCUCGAAGGAAAAGAUCGAAGACGUGUCCUCUACGCUUUUAUUUUCUUUGGUCGUAGAGUACCCGUACUAUCAAGAGGGAAUCCUCAUUAGGAAGCUCUGGGGGAAUCAGUUCACGUACACUUUUCUCACCCUCUCUUUGCCUUCCUCAGGUGUGUGUGUGAGAGAGAGUUUUCCUUGCCUCUUCCCCUCUUUCCUGCUCACUGUUUCUGCCCAGCGGUUGUACCGCUCUCUGGAGCGGUUGUACCACUGGGUCUUGUCGCUCACCAGCUUUGCUCGAGCGGUUGUACCGCUGCCUCCGGGCGGUGGUACCGCCACCAUGCUCUGCAACAGUUGGGGCGGUGGUUCCGUCCAUGCACCGCUCAAGUACCGCUCUCGCUUCUGGUUUGAUGCGGUUCUUGGGCGGUAGUGGCCCGGUUGGUCCGGUCGUUCCAUGAUGACCGGUACCACCGGUGGUCCGAGCGGUUCUUCCGCUCAGAACUUAGCCGCCCAAGAGCUCAAGGCCAUGCGGUUGUUCCGGCCAGGCACCGCCCAAGUACCGGUCAAGCUCCUGUUUUGAUGCGGUGGUUGAGCGGUAGCCAGGCGGUUAGUCCGGUUAUUUUUCUUAGCCGGUACUACCGCCCGCCUGUCCGGUUGUACCGCUUGGUAGGGUUCUGCAGUUACACAUGAGUCCCGGUUGUACCGGGACGAGGACCGGUUGUACCGCUGCAGUGCAAAAAAUGCAGUAACGGUUGGAAAUGUGGGUGUCUAUUUAAGGGAGCUUCUCCCACCUACCACUCCCAUCUUUGACCUCUCUCACUCCACCAUUAAUGCCCUUCAAGCUCUCUUGCCCGAUCUCUCUCUCUAGCCACUCAAACUUGUUGAUUUGCUAGGGAUUGAAGGAGGAGACCUAGAUCUACACUUCCACCAAAGGAUAUUUGCUUCCCCGAUACUUUCUUGUGUGGAUUUUGUUACUCUUGGGUGUUUGAGCACACUAGACGGUUGAGUUCACCUCGGAGCCAUAUUCCAUUGUGGUGAAGCUUCGUGGUUUUUGUUGGGAGCCUCCAAUUAAGUUGUGGAGAGAGCCCCAACCUUGUUUGUAAAGGUUCGGUCGCCGCCUUCAAGGGCACCAAUAGUGGAAUCACGGCAUCUCGCAUUGUGUGAGGGCGUGAGGAGAAUACGGUGGCCCUAGUGGCUUCUUGGGGAGCAUUGUGCCUCCACAUCGCUCUAACGGAGACGUACUUCCUCUCAAAGGGAAGGAACUUCGGCAACACAUCCUCGUCCCCACCGUCUCCACUCUUGGUUAUCUCGUGCCUUUAUUUGAGCAAGCUUACUCGUUUCAUAUCUCUUGCUUGCUUGUGUAUCUAUCCUCGUUGCAUCAUAUAGGUUGCUCACCUAGUUGCAUAUCUAGACAACCUACUUUGAUGCAAAGUUUAAAUUGUUAAAGAAAAGCUAAAAAUUGUUAGUUGCCUAUUCACCCCCCCCCCUCUCUAGUCAACCAUAUCGAUCCUUUCACUUUGCAGAUCACCAGCGAUGCACUACAUGCCGUAGUUCAUUUUGCUUGAUGUUGAAAUUGAUCGGCGCUGAAGGUCCCGUGCAGUCCGGCGUGGCGCAAGCAUGCAGUACGGGCGGCGAAGAGGUUUCUCAUGUAGUUCCUGUAGGCGGUGUGUGUAAUUUGUUUGCCGUCCAUGUGCCUGGGUCGUGGCUCACUUCCAUCGAUGCAAAGUUGAAUUGCACUCGUUUUUGCGCGGCGUUGUGUGUUUCGAAAAAGUAAAUUGCAUCAACACUUGCAGUGCACUUUGCCGUCGCGUGCGGUUCACCACACUCGGUCUCGCUGUUGAGAUGAAAUUAUCAAAGAAAAUGUUAGCAAAAAUAAUGAUAAUAUGCAGUUCUCUUUGUCGACAUUGCAAUCCGUUUUUACAUCUGAAAUAGUGUAGUUUUCUGUCUGAUGCAGUUUACUUCGUAGAUUUGGGUGUCACAAAAAGCAAAGUGCAAAAACGACAAAAGAAAUCAUGCAGUCGGCUUGCCCAUGUUUUUACAUUCUCAAAUGAAUGGGUAUAUAUGUUCUGAAGCUCACUUUGUUCUCCCAUGUGGUUCACUAUAAAACUCCUCCGUGGUUUACUAUAUCAAUACAACACCUGCAGUGUGUUUGGUCUUCAGAUGUGGUUCACUUUUGAGAGUGAUGCUGUUCGCUUGCGCACAAUGUGGAAGUGCGAUUCUUUUAGCAAAACAACAAAGAUAGUAAUGAGGUUCACUUAGAUAUAUGUCGCGGUUCACUUGCCUCCUCUCUGCGGUCCACUCUCGUUCACAAAAGUUUUGAAAAAAUGACAACAAAAACUCGCCUGAGAAACAUUUACGUUCAACAAAAGAAACAAGCGGUUCAUUUGCCCUUCCGAUGCAGUGCGGGUUUCAGUCUGAAGCAGUGCAGUUUUCUGUCUAAUGCAGUACAUACGACGAUUUGGGUGUCGCGAAAAAACAGAGUGUCCGCAUUUCGUUAAAAUCAAAAUUGCUCUUAAACCGUAAGGAAUCAGAAAGAGUGUUCUACAUGAAAAAGUUGUGUCUCAGCGAUAUCUUUCCAGCAGCGUAACGUUUGAAUCAUUUUGACAAGCGGUUUGUAAAAAACUCAUGAAAAACGACCGCUGCCACUCGUCAUCCGCCGCACUAUUUUCAAAAUUAACUUAAAACCGUAAGGAAUCUCAAAAUCAUUUCUACAUAUGAAAGUUGCGCCUUGUCCAUAGCUUUCCAUCGACGUAUUACACGCCUCGUCGACAAACGGUUCAAAAACUAGAGCAAAAACAGUACCGAAAAUUGCAAAAAAUUCAAAAAAAAACAGAAUUCCACGAUUUAGUAAAUUCGAAAUUGCUCUUAAACCGUAACGAAUUAGAGAAAAUAAUAGAUAUGAAUAAGAUGUGCCUCGAUGAUAUCUUUCCAAUGGCGUAUCAUUUGCCUUAUUCCGAUGAGCGGUUUAGAAAAAAUCACAAAAAUACGCUCGCUGCCACUCGUCAUCCAUCGCACCAUUUUUGAAACUGCUCUUAAACCGUGAGGAAUCUCAAAAAGUGUUCAACAUGGCGAAGUUACGCCUAAUCCAUAGCUUUCCAACGGUAUAUCAUACGCCACGUUCUGAUAAAUGGUUAAAAAAUUAGAGCAAAAACAGUACCGAAAAAAUACUGCGUACAGUUUUUUACGACACGAAGUUCACUAGUCUCUGUAAUGCAGUGCUCUUGCUAAAGAAAAUGCAGUGCCCUCGCGUUGAGCAUGCAGUGCGGAAGUGUUAUCAGAAUAGUUAUUCUGAUAAUUAUUUUAAAGUGUAGAUUCACUCAUUUUGCUUCAUAUGUAGUCCAUAUUGAAAUCUCUUAAAAGACAUAUAUUUAGAAACGAAGGAAGUACAUGGCAUCACUAGCUUAAGAGAGGGAUCAAAGUACACGAGCUCCACUAGGUUACCAUUGCAGCAACCAAGAGGGUUAGACCACCAGUAGUGAUGUCAAGGAGUUGUGCUAUCACCUUGCAUGUCCAUCCAACACUCAAGGAAGAGGGGGAAUUACCCAUGACAUUUUUUUUAAACUCUUCAAUUUGAAAAAAAAAUGUUUGUGUAGUUUUGAAAAUGUUGGUGCAAUUUUUAAAAAUAAUUUGAUAGUAUUUGGAAAAAUAUAUUUCAAGACGUAUUUGAAAAAUAUUCAACACAUUUUCAAACAACAAUGUUAAAAAAAUGUGAUUGAAAAAAUGUUAAUCAGGCAUUUAAAAAUGUUAAAUAUGUAAAAAAUGUUUCUAUUGUAUAUGAAAAAUAUACAUGUAUGAGAAAAAGUAGAAAUCAAAACAUACAUAUGAAAGAAAUAUUAAUCAUGUAUUUACAAAAUGUUAGACGUGUAAAGAAAGGCGUUUCUGAUGUAUAAAUAAUGUACAAGGUGUACGGAAACAAGUAGACAUCAGAAGUAUAUAGUAAAAAAUGUUAAUCAUGUAUUUGAAAAUGUCAACCGUACAUAUAAAAGAUGUUCCUGAUGUAUAAGAAAAAUGUACAACGUGUAUUAGAAAAUCAUGUAUUUGAAAAAUAUUAACUAUAUUUUAAAAAUGUUUUAAAUGUAUACAAAAAAUGGCGGCGGCGUGGGCGGCAGCAGAGGAGGAAGCCAUCCGCACCCGCACUGUGAAGAAACGACGGCGGAUGAACACACGCGCCCUCGCCUGAGAGCAGAAUCGGGCGCUCCAUGCCAUGGUCGGACUGCCAUCGAAGGACGAAAAAGAGGACAACGACGACGACGAGCAGAUCCGGCUCCAUUCCUAGUGCGUCUUCGACCGGUACUUCCGCGAGAAGAAUGGCAAGGGCACCAGGAAGGGCAAGGGCAGUCGUGGAUGAUCUUCACCAUAGCCAAACAUGUCAAAUUUUGGUAGUCCGAUGACAUGUUAGUAGUGAUGGAGUAGUCGGACGAUGUGUGUAAUGCAUCGACGUAGUUGCAUGAGUUUGUACGAAUUUGAGAUAUGAUAAUUGAGAUGUCCGGUUUUGAGAAGGCAAAUUUGAGACUUGACAGAUCAGUGUUCGCGGACGCGCCCAGGCGCGUCUGCGGGUGUUUGAGAGACCGGAUUUGUAAAGUUCGACUGUAGAUGCUCUUACCUCUAUAUGAUAGGGCGCAUCCGCGGACGUUUGAGAGACCGAAUUUGCAAAGUCGUAGAUGCCCUUACCUCUCCGUGAGAGCCUACUUGAGUUUUUUUGUGUGCAUACACGAUCUCAACUCUCACGAACUCUGUUGACUGUGGAUACACCUCUGUUACGAACCAUGUCACAGCCAGGACAGUGUUUUUUAAAACGAGGCAAAAGAUUUGUCAUUUUUAUUGAUUAAGAAAAAAAGAAUUGCAUGUUAAUUAACGGGAACCCGGGCGAAAACCGUUACAACACACCUAUAAAAUAGGGCACUCCGGCUGACCUGGCACCCACAAAACCACAAACACUAUCGAGGAGAGGACGCCAUCGAGGUUGCCUGCAAUGUCACCCGUCAUCACCUCUCCCCGAGCAGGCGACUCUGACUACGCCACUGAUGACCCAUCAAGACCCUUCCGAACGAGCGACGCCCAAGGACCUCACCGGCCACAACCAAACAAUCGGCCGAGACGUCGAUGACCGGCAGCUCGGAUUUUGUUGAUGCGCUGCGCAGGAGAAAGUUGCAAGCCUCGCACCAACCUAGUCCAUCGCAUCUCUGGAGAGCAUUGUCCACUGAAGUCGCCCUCAUGGAGUUAUCGUUGCCGUCGGGGCCCCGCCACGCGCAUCUCCAACUUCUCUGUCACAGCGAGAAACAAACAAAGGCACACCCAUUGACACAUCAGACCAUCGACAUCAGAAGGACCGGCCGCGACCUAGCUCCGCACGCCACCAUCGUCGCCGCCGCACAAGUCACGACGCCAACCACUCGCAUCACCGGUUGGGCACCAGCUAACCUUGAUGUCGUGGACGUCCAGCCCAGAAAAGCGUGAAAGGGAACAAAUUUUGAAGACAAUGCCCCAAGGAAGGAAGCGACGCUAAAACAACGACGUCGCCCGACCCUGCGACAGGGCCAUAGGCUUUCACUCGAAGAUGAACCCCGGAGGUGGACAAGGCGAAAGAGCUCUGCGACGACCCCUCAGGAAGGUAUAACGACGCCCACAGGCGCCGCGUCGUCGGCGUCGGCAGCAGCCACGCAGGCUGUCACCCGGAGCAACAAGCCUCCACACCCCACCACAACCAGCCACCGGCAAGGACAACCUGCAGCUGAUCCGUAGACACGUUGGCCCGCACACCUCCGGCGCCACCACCACGCCAGAUCCAUCCACCUCGCCGCCGGCAGGCACCGACGAGUCGUACUGGCCAAGACGACCAAAUCAGGCGCCCCCAACUGCAGCGCCAUCGCAGAGGCCACCAAAGGCCGGCGAGCAGCAGGCCCGCGAGAGGAGGAGCCACCAAAAGGCCGGAAGGGGGGCCUCCACCCCGCCCCGUCUCACCGACAGGACCACUGGGGCGCAGCCCAGGAGCCCAACGGUGCCGUCACCGCGACCGCCACCCACCGGUGAUGCAACCUUGGAGAACCCAGCCACCGACGCCGAUGCGGCACCCCGUAGAAGAGGGCGGAGCCUCCCUCCAUCAGUCGAUUUACGAGCCGCAGAUCAAAGGGCCAGAACAGCUAGAGAUACAAACAACAUUGAUUUAUUAGUUGUUGAUCCCCUGUGCUCUUUUCUUCUCGAAAAAAAUGCCAUGGGAUCAUGUGCGCUCCCCUUAGUUUUUUUUAGCAAAGUGCUCCCUCGGGCUGGCCAUAGUGAUGGUAUCUUAGGCGGUAUCACGCUGAUGAGAGGAUUAGAGUACAUAGAUAGAUACCGAAUCAUAAUAAAUGUUAUACUAAUGUGUGUCAUGCAUGAUAAUAAAUAAGAUAAUGUAUGAUAAUAAUAUAUGAUACUAUGCAUUAUGAGAUAGUAUCCCCACUAUGAGUAGCCUUAGCUGAGACCAUCAUAAUUUUGAUCGACAAGAUGAAUCAGGCAGAGAUGGACUUUUGGGCCCUUCGGACGGCACAACCUCUAAAAAUCAAAUAUCCUAGUAUUACACAAAUAUAAUCUUUAUGGUUAUGUAGGGAUGUAAACGGCAUAUAACAGCGCCCCUAAGUCUCAUUUAGUUAAUUUUAGCUAGCUUGAUAGUUCAUUUCAAUGAAAUAUAAACUUUAUUGAAGGGUUAGAUCAUAAGUGGGCUUAAACGGUCCCAGUUUACAUCCCUACAGUUAUGCUAAAUUCAAAUUUUGGGACAAGCUUUCCGUCUAAGUCGAUUUUCUAAACUACAACUAUAUUUAGUGUGCAAUUAGGUGAAAAUGUCAUAUAUAACAACAUAAGAGCUAUAAGCAGCAAUGGGUAUGAAAAGAUUUUUUGAAAUUACAAUCCUUUUUUAUUUAAUUAAAAUUUUGAUUUUUAAUCUCUAAAUAUUUUUGGAAAAACACAGACACAUUUUGAAAUUCUAAACAAUUUUGAAGAUGUGGCAUUUUUUAAAUUUUUGAAAAAUUUCCAAAAUGCCAAAAAUUACUUGAAAUUGUGAAGAAACUUUAAAGCAUGAAUAAAUUUUAAAUAUUUAACAUUUUUUGAAAUUUAUGAACAAUUUUUGAAAAAAUCUUGUUUUUGGAAAUGUGAACAAUUUUAAAAAUUAGUGAAUACUUUUGCAAUUCUAAACAUUUUUUGAAACAAUGAUUUUUCAAAAAAAAUUGGAAAUCAUGAACAUUUUUUGGAAAUCUGAGUUUUUUUCAUAAAAAAAACAAUCAUUUUUUUACAAAUUUGUGAUUUUUAAAACACGGACAACUUUUUAAAUGUCACCAAACACUUUUGAUAUUUAUGAAUUUUAACAAAGAUAAAAUAAAGGACAAAAAAAUAAAAAACGGAACGACAAAAGAAACCAAAGCCUCGAGAAUGUUCCUAAAACUAGGGAAAAAACAGACAGGAAAGCCUAUAAAUGCCGCACUGUGCUGGAUAGACAUGGGCCGGCCCUUCCCCGAGCACUCUUGUGAGAAUGUCCAGUUAUUUGCAGCAAUNNNNNNNNNNNNNNNNNNNNNNNNNNNNNNNNNNNNNNNNNNNNNNNNNNNNNNNNNNNNNNNNNNNNNNNNNNNNNNNNNNNNNNNNNNNNNNNNNNNNNNNNNNNNNNNNNNNNNNNNNNNNNNNNNNNNNNNNNNNNNNNNNNNNNNNNNNNNNNNNNNNNNNNNNNNNNNNNNNNNNNNNNNAUGGGCUAUCACUACGCGUCUCAUCUCACAUACUGCAGUUGGGCAAGGCCCCCCAUGCUACAUUGAGGUCCAACUAGUAAGUAGCAGGACACAAAAACACAUGUGCUUUUGUUUUCUUGUUCCUUGUUGAACAUCCCACCAUAAUGAGGGAUAAUCCAUGACUAAAGCAUGCUCUUAGGGCCUGUUUGGAUCCUCUUCAGUUUUCAAAUUCAUGAAUUUAGCGCUCGAACCGCACUGAAUGUGUGAGCUCUGUGGAACCAAAUUCAAAAAGCUGAGCCCUCCCUCGAUGUAAAAAGGAGAAGACUAGAAAGCCCGACUUCACGAAAACGAAGAGCAAGAGUUGAGCAAAUUUAUGGUCGAAUUGCCACCACACAAGUAAACGUUUCAGUGCCACACCUGAAUCGCUACAAGAGAUUCUCUCCUACCUCCCCUGAAUCGGUACCCGUAACCCCUCACCCGUUGCUAACCCUAGCCAUCGCUGAAAGUGUUGCCAAACAUGCCAGAACUCCCCCUAGCUGGGCUGCCAGCCCAAGGCGCACCGGGAGAAGCUGUCACUCGAGCUGAACGCUCGCUGAUCAUCAGGAGGAGCCCGAAGCUAGCGAGGGAAGUCAGAGUUGCGGGUUUGGAGAAACUAGGAGAGGUUCAAAACAUGCCCCUAGUCUUUCCUGCCAAACUCGUAUGCGAGACCUAGCCAAUAAAACCAAGUCAGAUAGUAUUGCUAAGAGUCAGAUAACCAUAUUUUCGAUAACCUCUAGGCAAAGUUUGUGAAGUCAAUGAAUUUCGAUGGGUGUCAAGGCCUAUAUUUUGGUCACAAAAUUGGCCUAAUUUCAAAAUCAUCCAUUCAUAUUAUUCUUAAAUAAUAAUGUUCACUUGCUACCGUAGGUCCUAUCACAAUUGUGAUUUGAAAGAAAUUUGAAGGCCAAUUCCCAUCAUCCAUUCAUAUUGUUCUUAAAUAGUAGUGUUCACUUGCUACCGUAGGUCCUAUCACAAUUGUGAUUUGAAAGAAAUUUGAAGGCCAAUACCCAUUAUCCGUUCAUGUUGUUCUUAAAUAGUAAUGUUCACUUGCUACCGUAGGUCCUAUCACAAUUGUGAUUUCAAAGAAAUUUGAAGGCCAAUUCCCAUCAUCCGUUCAUAUUGUUCUUAAAUNNNNNNNNNNNNNNNNNNNNNNNNNNNNNNNNNNNNNNNNNNNNNNNNNNNNNNNNNNNNNNNNNNNNNNNNNNNNNNNNNNNNNNNNNNNNNNNNNNNNNNNNNNNNNNNNNNNNNNNNNNNNNNNNNNNNNNNNNNNNNNNNNNNNNNNNNNNNNNNNNNNNNNNNNNNNNNNNNNNNNNNNNNNNNNNNNNNNNNNNNNNNNNNNNNNNNNNNNNNNNNNNNNNNNNNNNNNNNNNNNNNNNNNNNNNNNNNNNNNNNNNNNNNNNNNNNNNNNNNNNNNNNNNNNNNNNNNNNNNNNNNNNNNNNNNNNNNNNNNNNNNNNNNNNNNNNNNNNNNNNNNNNNNNNNNNNNNNNNNNNNNNNNNNNNNNNNNNNNNNNNNNNNNNNNNNNNNNNNNNNNNNNNNNNNNNNNNNNNNNNNNNNNNNNNNNNNNNNNNNNNNNNNNNNNNNNNNNNNNNNNNNNNNNNNNNNNNNAAACUCUUUUACAAAAACCAGAGAACCCUUGGAUAGAAUAGCAAUCAAGCGCUAAUAUGGGACGUGCUUUGAGAAAUCAUCAUUCGUGAAGAGAGUGUGACUUUGAUUGAUCAUUCAACUAUGGAAUGAGCAAGUCCUAACUAGUCGCCGUUCCGCGGCCUCAAACUUGAUCAUUGCUCUGUCCUCCCUCCUGUUCUUUCGUAUCGACUUGAUCUAGUAUCUUGAUGACAUCACAUCAAGGUAUAUAUGAUCUCAGCCCAAAGAGUUUUAGCAAAAUAGGUACUCUCUCCAAUGGAGAAUUAAUUGUCGCUACUUUCAUAUAAAUAUAAAGUUAUAUUAAAGCAACGAUAAUUAAUAUAAAUCAGAGAGAGUACAUAAUCAUUUUACCAGUGAACGAAGGUAAAUAUGAUAUAUGUAUUAAUUCAUAGUAUGUAGCUGUGUACGAGUAAAUUGCACAAAACCACCAAUUUGAAGACUAGGUUUGCAAAAAACACUACGCUACACUUUUGUUGCAAAAAACACCAUGUCUUCUGUAAUCGUUUUGCAAAAACCACUGAUCGGCGGCUUUGUCUCGGUUAAGCGUGUUUAUGACAGAUGGGCCCACCAGUCAGGCUGACGUGGCACAACUUAACACCUCGCAGGUAACGGUGAUGGAUGGUAACGUUGUCAGCAUGUGUGGAGCCAUGUGGGGUCCACCUGUCAUUGAAAGAAAAAAGAAAAAAUGCCUUGUUUUUGCCUUAUUUUUUUAGAACCACUUUGCCUUAUCUUCACCACCGGACUUGGCCGGGGCAGAGGCCCGCUGCCCAUCCCGCCCUCGGCUAGGGCAGGGCCGCCGUAGCCAUUGUCGCGCGGAGCUCGUCCCGCCCCCGGCCAAGGCAGGGGCCGCCAUCGCCAUGGUCGCCCGAAGGUCAAGCCCGCCUCCCCUCUUCUCCUUCAGCUUUCCCCUCCCAGAUCCCCAAUGGACUCCCACGCCCGCCUCCUCAGAUCCUCCCCCAGGCGGCCCCGUAGUUUCUUGUGCAGCCACUCGCUCAGCGAGGCGCUGCGGGAGGCCCACGACGAGAUGGAGGCGGCCGCCGGUGGCUGUGAUGGCCGCGCCGCCCAGGCGGAGCUAGCCGUCUUCCGAUGCGCGUGACGGCGCCGGCCCCCGUGCUGCUGCAGCGGAUGCUGAGCGUGUUCGAGGAGGAACAGGAGGACGCCCCGCUCUGCCAUCUUAUGCUCUUGAGAGACAUCACCUGCGGCAUGCGGAGCUCGCCGGCGUCGAAGCAAGUGCACCUCCCGAGGAACAGCUACGCAGCUCUGUUUCAGUACAGGGGAGAAUAGCAAGCAAAAAUAAAAGGCAGGUAUUUUUUUCUUUCAAUGACAGGUGUACCCCACAUGGCUCCACACAUGAUGACAACGUUACCAUCCAUCGCCGUUACCUGCUAGGUGUUAAGCUGUGCCACGUCAGCCUGACUGGCGGGCCCAUCUAUCAUAAACACAUUUAACCGAGACAAAGCCGCCGAUCAAUGGUUUUUACAAAACGAUUACAAAAGACAUGGUGUUUUUUGCAACAAAAGUAUAAUGUAGUGUUUUCUACAAACCUAGCCUUCAAACUAGUGAUUUUAUGCAAUUUACUCAGCUGUGUACCAACGCCCAAUACGCGCGUCAAGCAUAACCUGUACAUGGCACAUCAUCAGCUAAUUAAAAUAGUGACCAAUAAGGCGGGAACACGACUGCAGAGUGCCGGUCCAGCCAGCAGACGCCGCCGGCGCGCAGCUCAGCAGAAGAGGUACCCAACGGCGGCGGCGACGAGCGUCCCGACGGCGAAGGACGGGGUGGUCGCCGCGGCUCCGGUGGCCGGGCCGGGAGCCGGCGCCUCGGCAGCCAUGGCCACGCCCACCACGGACGAGGCCACGACGGCGGCGGCGAGGAUCGUGAGCUUGAGGGUGGCCGCCAUUUCCGCUAGCUAGCUUCUUGGUCGGUCGAUGCCUGGGAAUUACUCGAAGACGUGUAAGCACUAAGAACAGGAAGGUAGGGUGGGUUUGGGAAUUGGGAU